AGAGCUUCCCAGGUGAUUCUAAGCUAUUCUUUGCUUAGCAACAAGAUCAAUCUAGGUGGAAACCCUAAGGCUGCGUUUGAUUCGGGUAUAAGUAAGAACUGUUAGUUCUAGGGAUAGGUACAAGUUCAGGUAUAAGCAGGAAUUAGACCAAUUUUGCGUUUGGAUGAAAAUUGGGUUGUUCCUAGGAAUAAGGUAAAUAGUGUUUGGAUGAUUAGAUUGGAACAAGAGGAAUAAACGUUAUAAUUUGAAAUUAAAAUUAUAUUAUGUAAUUAAUUAACAUAAAAAUAUUACUUAAAAAUAAAUAAAAAAUUAAUUAUUAAUAAUUAAUUAUAAAUAAUAAUUAAUAAUAAUAAUUAAUUAUAAAUAAUAAAUUAUUAAUAACGAUUAUCUAAUUAAUAAUAAUUAUUAUUAUUAUUAAUUAUUAAUAAAUAAUAAUAAUUAUUAAUUAUUCUUAUUAAUUAAUUAUAAAUAAUAAAUUAUUAAUAAUAUUGAUUAUCUAAUUAUUAAUAAUAAUUAAUAUUAAUAUUUAUUAAUAAAUAAUAAUAAUAAUUAUUAAUAAUUAAUUAUAAAUAAUAAAUUAAUAAUAACAUCGAUUAUCUAAUUAUUAAGAAUAAUAAUUAUUAAUUAAUUAUUAAUAAAUAAUAAUAUUAAUUAUUAAUUAUUAAUUAUAAAUAAUAUAUUAAUAAUAAUAUCGAUUAUCAUUAAGAAUAAUAAUUAUUAAUAAUUAUUAAUAAAAAAUUAAUAAAUAUUAUUAAUUAUUAAUAAUUAAUUAUAAAUAAUAAAUUAAUAAUAAUUAUUAUCUAAUUAUUCAUAAUUAAUUAUAAAUAAUAAAUUAUUUAAUUAUUUAAUUAUUAAAAUAAUAAAUAAUAAUUUAAAUAUAUUAAUUAGAUUAAUUAAUAAUUUACAGCCAUUAAAAUUAAAUUUAGAUUUUAAUUAAUCUUGUUCUCAUCAAGGAACAGGCUUGUUCCAGGAAAUGGAUGGAAUAGCAGUUCCAACCUUAUACCAGCUAGUUCCAGAUUUUCAAGAACUACUGUUCCCGGGAGCCAAACAUGGCGUUUGGGAACAAAGGGGGGAACAAGGGCUUAUUCCCCCCUUUGUUCCCCAACCAAACGCUACCUAAAAUGACAUUGUUAGGGUUCGAAAAUUGGGGCUUUUGCCCUAGGAUUUUUCGGGAGCGAAUUGACCCCGUAGAAAUCUAAUUGGGGGUGUCCUCGACGCGUGGGACAACUCCAUUUAACGUUACGAAAAGGUUUAGAUGGAGUUAUUGAUAAAAAGCCUGAUUCGGCUUCGUUUUGCCGCAUGCGAAAAAGUAAAGCUUCAAAAAAUUCUAAGAAAUUCACCGUAGCAACCUCUCAACUUUCUAAGGUGGGUGGUGCAUUCCAAGGACCUCGAAAAUCCCUUUAUAUCUAAAGUGUCAUGUUUGAACAUAUAUGUAUAUAUUGAGCAUGUUGCAUAGUAGGGUUAAUUGUGAGCUUUUAUGGCAUGAUUGUGAAUUUAAUUUCGUAUAAAAUACUUGUAAGAAUGUGAGAAUUGUAAACCCUAUUUAUGCAUGACAAGUGACAAGAACUUAGAAGGGCUAGUGAACAAAAGUGACACAUGGACAUAGAUUUAGUGAGUGACAUUGAUGAGUCUCGAAAACUUAGAAAACAAGUGUGGCAUGAGUCAAGAACAUAACACUUAAAAAACAAGUGUGGCAUGAGUCCAAGAAUAUAGUAGUGUAUAUGACACUAGUGAUAGUAAAGAAUGCAAAGAAAAGAAUGAUUGAAACAUUAUGACAUUUCAAUCUUAGAGUUAAGGGUCGUUUGAGUAUGGUCUUCCUUAAAGUUAAGGAAUGGAUUGAACUUGGAAUCCUCAAUGUAGGAUUGAUCGUACUCAUCUUUAGUCCUUGCUCGAGGGUGGUAGCUCCCCUUUGGGCGAUGUGCUCCGGAGUUGACAUCACUGGGUUGUAGCGGGUAUCUCCCCAGAGGACGAUCUUAUCGGGUUGUAGCGGGUAUCUCCCCGUUUAUUAGGAUUUUGGGUUGGUGGGUUUGUUGAGGGCGAAACCUACGGGUUAGCCAAGAGAUUAGGUAAAGAAAUUGUGAUCCUGCAUUCAUCAUGAGCAUUAUAUCGAGCAUCGCAUUUUAUAUUGUUCAGGCAUAUCAGUUGUAUUUGUUAGUUGGUUACUUUCUUUCCUCUAUUCUAUUAUACCUGAUUAGACCUAGUGGGAUAGUCGGCGUGGUUGGUUGCCGAACCUACUGAAAACUUUGUUGUAGUUCUCACACCCCUAUUUUUACAGAGCCGGGACCGAGCGAGCCGGCUGACAAUCGCGGUAAGGACAUCGCGCCCUAGAUAGAGACCAUCCGAGUUGGUUUCACCUUUUGGAUAAGUUGCAUACCCUUUAGUUAUCAUCUUUUGUAUUUUGAUGGUUUUAGCAUUAUGAACAUGUUAAAUGAAUGAUGUAAAAAGAAAUUAUGUUUCAAUGCAAAGUUUAUAUUUUGAAAUAUCAUGUGAUGUAAAAGAGAAGAAAUGAUGCAAAAAUUGUAAUUGAUUUCUCAAGUGUAGUUUAUUACUUUCACUAUUGGCUAUUGCUUGCCCUCGUGUGUAUGCUUCCGCUUAUGCAAACUUUAUACUCUAUCUGUACCUGUUGUGGAGCCUUGGGCGGACAGGGGAGGCUCUGUCCGUUCGGCGUCUGUUUGACGCUCUCGAACUGGCCAAAAGGAUCGAGCUCAGGGCGUGACAGAUAAGAUGGUAUCAGAACGUAAAGAGCUAAAAAGUGAAAGCAUAGGAUGAACCUAGAGACCUUUAGGAAUGGAAAACCUUGAGGAUCUAGGAAACGUGAGUGACGUUGAACAAGAUAUAGCGAAGACAUGGAUUGGGUUGAUGUAAUUAUGUCUCUAAUGUGGUUAGGGACUAAACUUAAGUUGUUAUUUGUUUUCUAUUCUUUGUGUUGUGAUCGGCGGCCGACGACAUGACGCUUUGGAAUGAAAAUGAAUACACUUAUAUGCUUUCGCCGGAUUGGGUAUAAUCGAGUAUAUUGUCACGUAACUGACGUGAAUUGCUUCGUUUCAGGAAGCAAUGCUGCCUCGUGGACGACCUAAGUUGCCUCGUGGUCGACCGCGGAUGAGGUCUAUGGCCGAGGAGCCAAGUGCGGCUCCCGUGCAACCCGGAGCAGGUGGCGACUAGGAGCUUCGAGAGCAGAUGGCCGCGCUUAUUGGCGUAGUGCGGCAGCAGGCGGAAUCCGUUCAACGCCAAGCGGAAUCCGUUCAGCGUCAAGGGGAGCAAAUCCAGAGGCUCUAGGAGGCCUUGGAGCGGUAGCAGGCGGUGGCGGCGGCGGCGCCCGUGGAGGCUGUGCACCAUGCGCCUCCUGCAGUAGUGCCGCGUGCAGCCGAGGGUGUGGCCAAUUACGAUGGUGCCGGCUGGAUCGGGGACCUCAAAUCCCGAUAGUGCGGCGGAGGAGGCGGAGCGGGAGCGCGCGUUGGCAGCUCUCAUUCAGUUCUAGAAGUUCAACCCACCUACCUUCGAAGGGGGGGUGGUGGAACCGGCGGUGGUGGAGUCCUGGAUCGACUCCAUGGAAACACUUUUCGAGGAUCUUAACACCUUGGAGAAGGACAAGGUGUACCUCGCCACACAUUGCCUUGAGAAGGCGGCAAAAGUGUGGUGGAAGCGUGUUAGGCGGGAUCGAUCGCCCGAUCUUCCGCCUAUGUUGUGGGAGGAGUUCCGGAGGGUGGUGUUCGCCAACUACUUCCCCGAUAUGGUGAAGCGGAAGUUGCCAGAGAAAUUCCGCAAGUUGAGGCAAGGAGAUCGCUCGGUGGCAGACUACGAGCAGGAAUUCUCCCGCCUCAUUGACUGUAUCUCGGAUGUUGUUAGGAAUGACCGGGACCGAGCAGUGUCACGCCCCGGGACCGAGCGGAAGCCCGCCCGGCGCGUGCCCAGACCCGCCAUAUGUUUAAAACAUACAAGGCGUCUAUAACAAAGUGAUAAAUGAAGCAGUAAAAAAAAAAAACAUCUAAGAGUAUCAGAGCAAGUAUAUCUAGCUGCUACGAUAGAGGAAAAGAACAUAAGAGUAAGCCCACUAAGUAAAAACAUAAGGUGAAUACAAUAGGAAUCCCAAUACAAAAGCUAAACAAGUAUAUAGGUGGUCUCUCUAUACAUGGUACUCAAAACUCUCUCUCUCACAAAAACCAAAAAGAAGAGAGUGACCACCUAGGAGCAACAGCAAGCUCCGCUAUCUAGCUAUGCGACUCCCUUACCGCGAUCCCGUGCCUCCGCCGGUGCCGAAGGCUCUGAAAUAAAACCAUAAAAUAGGGGGCGUGAGAACUAUUGAAUAAUAGUUCCCAAUGGGCAAUUACUCGCCUCAGUGAAAUGCACUAUUAGGCCGAAACAAAAAGGGGCUCAGUAAGCAGAUAUAAACGAAAACGAUAUGUACGACAAGUAAAUAAGUAUGAAUAUUUGCUACCACAUGAUAUCUCUACUUAGCAUGAUUUAGCAUAAGUAAGAAAGCUAUUCACGUAUGAAUGUACCCAAGCAUCGCUAGUAUGAUGUCCAUAAGUCAAAUAGUAAAGAUGUCAUUAUUUACUAUUCUAAUCAAUGUCCACAUGGCAUGAUGAAUGCUCAAAAUCAAAUCCGAAGAGACCCGCCCGAAGGCUGUCUGGCCCUGAGACCCACCCGUAGGCUGUUUGGUCGGUGCCGAGCCUAAUGGCUCCGUGGUAGUCAACAUCUCCACUCUAGGAAUGAGCCUUUCCCACGGCAAUCCACUGGCGCCCAAUCCCGCACGGCGAAUAUGUAUCGCGAUGGCCAUCUCCGGAGUGCCGGCUUGUACGGAGCGACUCUCACAAGCAUGUGCGAAUGAGCACAAUGGUAAGUAACCAAAAGAUCGUCUCAAGUAUCAAGUCCUCAUGUUUAGCAACAUGGAAUACGUCACACACUCUUAUAGGCCUAUCUCUAUGUCAUUAUGUCUAAAACAUGGAAGGUAGAAGAUGUCCAAGGCCUAUCACUAAGUCUCAAUACAAUAGUCUCAUAGUGUGCUAGUCUAAGUGCCCCUUUAUGACACUUUCAUUUACUAAGUCCAAGCUUAAACCAAAUGUUCAUAAAUGCAUAAUUGAGUCACCUUAAACAUAUGAUGCAUGUUUCCAAACGACUAGUGCGAACACUACUCAUAUGCAUGUAACAAUACCCAGAAUGCUCUACUAUAUAGAAUGAAAAUUAUCUUACACAUAACACAUGCAUUUUAAGUGUUCUAAAAUUUACAUAAAUUCCAUUUAGCAUAGAUUUGUAUUUAAAAUGACGUUAUGACCAGUAUAGAAAGCAUGGGGGCUAUUUCGCUCCGUUUUCAUGAAGGCAAACCCACCACCACUCUUGCGCUCCUUCGUUUGCUCUGACGAAGAUGUCCGCUAGUCUCCUAGCACCCUAAAGAUGUAGGAACAAGGGUUAAACGAACCUUACGAUCAACCCUAAGCUCAAUCAAUAAGCAACAUAGACAAAGAUGGAAAAACUCACCUCAAGUGAAGAAAUCCUCUCUCAAGCUCCAAAUAAGAGUUAGAGUUCUUCAAAUCCUACCUAAAUAAAGGUUCUAAGCCAAUCAAUUGAGUCUCCAAGCCCUCAUGAUCAAAUCAAAAAUCUCCAAAAUAAACCCUAAAUCUCAUUUCUAGGGUUUCAUAUGGUAAAACCUACCAAAACAUAGAUCAAAGGCUAGAAUCAAGGUACUAACCUCUCUAGAUGCCCAAAAAUAAGCUCCAAAUCUUCUAGGGUUGAAGAUUGAUCCUCCACAAAGCCCCAAUAGCAAGCCCGAAGCCUCCAAUGGUGAGAAAAAGGAGAGGAAAAUGCUCCAAAGCCUCAAGAUCUUGCUCUCAUCCAACUCCUUCUUCUUCUCCUUCUUCUUCUCUUUCUAGAGGGUGUAGAGAGAAUGUGAGGGAGAGAAAUGAGGGUGAGAGGUAGAGGAAAUGGCCUUAAGGCCCUUUGAAGCAAUAAAAUCCAUAUAAGUCCCUCAAAAAUCCAACCAGUGCACUCCCCGGGUCUGGGCAGUUUUCGGACUGAGGGACCAGUCUCCCCGACCUGGGUCCGGUCUCUCAGCCUGCCCCGAAAAUCCAAUGUUCGGGAACCGGUCUCUCCCCACAUGGGACCGGUCUCUCCCCGCGAAAACGUACUCGGGGACCGGUCUCACCCGCCAGGGACCGGUUGCCUCAAGCCCUACCGCAGCACUGUUCUGAGGGGACUGGUCUCUACCAUCAGGGACAGGUCCCCGAGAGUGAAAACUCUCAGGAUAUGCCAAAACUCUAGAAAUCGAACUUUUAGGUCGGAAUACCAUCUACGACCUUCCACCAAGUGUGAAAAAGUUUGGAAUCUAUAUCAAACACUUGAACCUCGCAAUUUGCACAGAUUCAGUGUGUUACAUUCACCCCUCCUAAAAAGGAGUUUCGUCCAUGAAACUCAAAAGCAAACACAUAAAAGAUGGGGAUAGCGCUCCCGCAGCGCGCUCUCUAGCUCCCACGUAGCCUCCCACUCCCUGUGGUUGCUCCAAAGCACCUUCACAUACGGAAUAUCCCGAUUCCGCAGUUUCUUCACCUCACGAGCCAAGAUCUUCACAGGUUGCUCCUCGAAGCUCAAAUCAUCCCGUAGCUCCAUAGGUGUAGCAUCCAACACAUGAGUCGGGUCGAAAACAUACCUCCGAAGGACCGAUACAUGAAAGACGUUGUGCACACCCGAUAGGCUCGGUGGUAGAGCAAGUCGAUACGCUACCGGAUCUACACGUUCCAAGAUCUCAUACGGUCCAAUGAAACGGGGGCUCAACUUACCCUGAAUCCCGAAUCUCUUGAUCCCUCUAGUCGGCGAAACCUUCAAGAAAAUAUGGUCUCCUACUUGGAACUCCAAGUCUCGCCGUCGUCGAUCGGCGUAGCUGCUCUGUCUACUCUGUGCAGUCAAAAGUCGCUCCCGAGCAAUUCGAACCGUGUCCUCAGCUUCCUGGAGCACAUCAGGACCUAAAGCCAAUCUCUCGCCAACUUUACUCCAAUGAAGUGGCGAUCUACACUUCCGUCCAUAGAGUGCUUCAAACGGAGCCAUCUUGAUGCUUGCUUGAUAACUGUUGUUAUAAGCAAACUCUGCCAUAGAUAGAUGCUAUGACCAUCCUCCCUGGAAGUCUAUCACACACGCUCGGAGCAUAUCCUCUAAAGUCUGAAUGGUGCGCUCCGACUGCCAUCACUCUGAGGGUGAAAAGCAGUGCUGAAGUCCAGUCGGGUGCCCAAGGCGUCCUGUAGACUCUUCCAAAAGUGAGACACAAACCGAGUGUCUCGAUCCGAUACUAUCGAAGUAGGCACUCCGUGAAGUCGCACAAUCUCAUCAAGAUACACUUGUGCGAGCUUCUCUCCGGUCCAACUAGUAUGAAUAGGUAUGAAGUGUGCCGACUUCGUCAACCUAUCCACGAUCACCCAUAUAGCAUCAUGCCCGGCCUGAGAGCGGGGCAGCCCAGUCACGAAGUCCAUGGUGAUCUUCUCUCACUUCCACACGGGAAUAGACAAACUCUGAAAUUUUUCCGCUGGUAAUCGGUGCUCCGCCUUUACUUGUUGGCAAGUUAGACAACGAGUUACAAACUCGCCAACAUCCUUUUUCAUCCCGGGCCAUCAAUAGAGCAACUUUAAAUCCUUAUACAUCUUGGUGCCUCCUGAAUGUAUAGUAUACGGCACUCGGUGCGCUUCUUGAAUAAUAUCCUCUUUAAUUUCCGAAUCCGCCGGUACACAAAUCCGUCAACGGAAACAUAUCAAUUCUUGGUCAUCCACAAGGUAGUCGCCGGUGCAACCAUCAACCAUUUUAUUUUGAAUUUUUUGCAACUCCACAUCGAAGAGUGUAGGUUGCACUACCAAGAUCAUCAACCUCAAAGGCGUGUCAGGAGUCACUACCUCCAACUCCAACUGCUUUAUCUGCUCGAUCAGCUGCGGUUGAGUAACAACAUGCAUUGCUAAGUUUUCCGUUGACUUCCUACUUAGCGCAUCCGCCACCACGUUAGCCUUACCCGGGUGGUAUAGGAUUGUCAGAUCGUAAUCCUUAAUAAACUCCAGCCAUCUGCGUUGCCUCAAGUUUAACUCCUUCUGAGUGAACAGAUAUUUCAAGCUCUUGUGAUCCGUAUAUAUUUCACACCGCUCACUAUAUAAAUAAUAGCGCCAUAACUUCAAUGCGAAUACUACAACUGCCAACUCCAAAUCGUGCGUAGGGUAACUCUUUUUAUAUUCCUUCAGUUGGCGAGAAGCAUAUGCGAUCACUUUGCCGUCCUGCAUCAAAACACAGCCCAAUUCAUUAAUCAUCCAUUUGCAUGAUAUGCGACUUCUUUUGAAUAAGAUUGAAUAGUUUUAUUGAAACGAUUAAAUUCUUUUUCAUUAUAGUUUUAAUUUUUUUUUAAUUGUUUGUCUAUAAUGUAGACUGUAUUUACUAUUUUCUUAUACUAAAUUGAUAUUUUAUUUUUUAAUAAAUUUUUAUUUUAACAGUAUCUAUCCGCGGUAACGGCAGGUCGCUACACUAGUUAAGCAUGAAAUUUCUUUAAAUUUCUUCCUCUUAUGAAGUCGGGAUGAUAAGCUGCUCAACCAUCGAAUCCAACGCAAAUUCUUUUCAUGAAGUCGGCUGUUUUUUAUGUUUCGCCGCCGAAAUCAGCGUGAGAGUUUUACGAACUCAGCUGCUUCGAUAUAUCGUCACCGGCUUCAACAUAAAUCCGACGUAAUAGGUUAGCUUCGGAUGGAGCGUAUCGGUGAGAGGCGAGCUUGUUCCGUUUCUCUUCUUCCAUGGUGAAAAUGGCGGGCCUCGUGGGAUCGCCGUGGCUCCGAAUUAGGGUUUCUCCCGAUUUCGCUCCUCCUCUUCUCCGNUUUUUUAUGCUUCAACAGUGACGUUGAACAAGAUAUAGCGAAGGCAUGGAUUGGGUUGAUGUUAUUAUGUCUCUAAUGUGGUUAGGGACUAAACUUAAGUUGUUAUUUGUUUUCUAUUUUUUGUGUUGUGAUCGGCGGCCGACGACAUGACGCUUUGGAAUGAAAAUGAAUACACUUAUAUGCUUUCGCCGGAUUGGGUAUAAUCAAGUAUAUUGUCUACGUAACUGAUGUGAAUUGCUUCGUUUCAGGAAGCAAUGCCGCCUCGUGGACGACCUAAAUUGCCUCGUGGUCGACCGCGGACGAGGUUUAUGGCCUAGGAGCCAAGUGCGGCUCCCGUGCAACCCGGAGCAGGUGGUGACGGGGAGCUUCGGGAGCAGAUGGCUGCGCUUAUUGGCGUAGUGCGGCAGCAGGCGAAAUCCGUUCAGCGCCAGGCGGAAUCCGUUCAGCGCCAAGGGGAGCAAAUCUAGAGGCUCCAGGAGGCCUUGGAGCGGCAGCAGGCGGUGGCGGCAGCGGCGCCCGUGGGGGCUGUGCACCCUGCGUCUCCUGCAGUGGUGCCGAGUGCGGCCGAGGGUGUGGCUGCGGCGGCCGUGCCAGUUACGAUGGUGCCGGCUGGAUCGGGGACCUCAAAUCCCGAUAGUGCGGCGUUAGAGGCGGAGCAGGAGCGCGCGUUGGCAGCUCUCAUUCAGUUCCAGAAGUUCAACCCACCUACUUUCGAAGGGGGGGGUGGAACCGGCGGUGGUGGAGUCCUGGAUCGACUCCAUGGAAACAGUUUUCGAAGAUCUUAAUACCUUGGAGAAGGACAAGGUGUACCUCGCCACACAUUGCCUUGAGAAGGCGGCGAAAGUGUGGUUGAAGUGUGUUAGGCGGGAUCGAUCUCCCGAUCUUCCGCCUACGUUGUGGGAGGAGUUUCGGAGGGCGGUGUUCGCCAACUACUUUCCCGAUAUGGUGAAGCGGAAAUUGCAAGAGAAAUUCCGCAAGUUGAGGCAAGGAGAUCGCUCGGUGGCAGACUACGAGCAGGAGUUCUCCCACCUCAUUGACUGCGUCCCGGAUGUUGUUAGGGAUGACCGGGACCGAGCAGUGUCACAACCCGGGACCUAGCGGAAGCCCCCCCCGGCGUGUGCCCAGACCCGCCAUAUGUCUAAAACAUACAAGGCGUCUAUAACAAAGCGAUAAAUGAAGCAGUAAAGAAAAAAAAGAACAUCUAGGAGUAUCAGAGCAAGUAUAUCUAGAUGCUACGAUAGAGGAAAAGAACAUAAGAGUAAGUCCACUAAGUAAAAACAUAAGGUGAAUACAAUAGGAAUCCCAAUACAAAAGCUAAACAAGUACAUAGGUGGUCUCUCUAUACAUGGUACUCAAAACUCUCUCUCUCACAAAAACCAAAAAGAAGAAAGUGACCACCUAGGAGCAACAGCAAGCUCCGCUAUCUAGCUAUGCGACUCCCUUGCCGCGAUCCCGUGCCUCCGCCGGUGCCGAAGGUUUUGAAAUAAAACCAUAAAACAGGGGGCGUGAGAACUAUGGAAUAAUAGUUCCCAGUGGGCAAUUACUGGCUUCAGUGAAAUGCACCACUAGGCCCAAACAAAAAGGGGGUCAGUAAGCAGAUAUAAACGAAAACGAUAUGUACGACAAGUAAAUAAGCAUGAAUAUUUGCUACCACAUAAUAUCUCUACUUAGCAUGAUUUAACAUAAGUAAGAAAGCUAUUCACGUAUGAAUGUACCCAAGCAUCGCUAGUAUGAUGUCUAUAAGUCAAAUAGUAAAGAUAUCGUUAUUUACUAUUCUAAUCAAUGUCCACAUGGCAUGAUGAAUGCUCAAAAUCGAAUCUAAAGAGACCCGCCCGAAGGCUGUCUGGCCCUGAGACCCACCCGUAGGUUGUCUGGCCGGUGCCAAGCCUAAUGGCUCCGUGGUAGUCAAUAUCCCCCCUCUAGGAAUGAGCCUUUCCCACGGCAAUCCACUUCGGCGCCCAAUCCCGCACGGCGAAUAUGUAUCGCGAUGGCCAUCUCCGGAAUGCCGGCUUGUAGGGAGCGACCCUCACAAGUAUGUGCGAAUGAGCACAAUGGCAAGUAACCAAAAGAUCGUCUCAAGUAUGAAGUCCUCAUGUCUAGCAACAUAGAAUACGUCACACACUCUCAUAGGCCUAUCUCUAUGUCAUCAUGUCUAAAAUAUGGAAGGUAGAAGAUGUCCAAGUCCUAUCACUAAGUCUCAAUAGAAUAGUCUCAUAGUGUGCUAGUCUAAGUGCCCCUUUAUGACACUUUCAUUUACUAAGUCCAAGCUUAAACCAAAUGUUCAUAAAAUUGAGCCACUUUAAACAUAUGAUGCACGUUUCCAAACGACUAGUGCGAACACUACUCAUAUGCAUGUAACAAUACCCAGAAUGUUCUACUAUAUAGAGUGAAAAUUAUCUUAUACAUAAUAUAUGCAUUUUAAGUGUUCUAAAAUUCACAUAAAUUUCAUUUAGCAUAGAUUUGCAUUUAAAAUGACGUUACGACGAGUAUAGAAAGCAUGGGGGCCAUUUCGCCUCGUUUUCAUGAAGCCAAACUCACCACCACUCUUGCGCUCCUUCGUUUGCUCCGACGAAGGUGUCCGCUAGUCUCCUAGCACCCUAAAAAUGUAGGAACAAGGGUUAAACGAACCUUACGAUCAACCCUAAGCUCAAUCAAUAAUCAACAUAGGCUAAGGUGGAAAAACUCACCUCAAGUAAAGAAAUCCUCUCUCAAGCUCCAAAUGGGGGUUAGAGUUCUUCAAAUCCAACCUAAAUAAAGGUUCUAAGCCAAUCAAUUGGGUCUCCAAGCCCUCAAAUCAAAAAUUCCCAAAAUAAACUCUAAAUCUCAUUUCUAGGGUCUCAUAUGGUAAAAUCUACCAAAAUAUGGAUCAAAGGCUAGAAUUAAGGUACUAACCUCUCUAGAUGCCCAAAAACAAGCUCCAAAUCUUCUAGGGUUGAAGGUUGAUCCUCCACAAAGCCCUAAUAGCAAGCCUCAAGCCUCCAAUGGUGAGAAAAGGGAGAGGAAGAUGCUCCAAAGCCUCAAGAUCUUGCUCUCCUCCAACUCCUUCUUUUUCUUCUCCUUCUUCUUCUCUUUCUAGAGGGUGUAGAGAGAAUGUGAGGGAGAGAAAUGAGGGUGAGAGGAAGAGGAAAUGGCCUUAAGGGCCUUUGAAGCAACAAAAUCCAUAUAAGCCCCUAAAAAAUCUAACCAGUGCACUGCCCGGGUCUGGGCAGUUUUCGGACUGACGGACCAGUCUCCCCGACCUGGAACCGGUCUUUCAGCCUGCCCCGAAAAUCCAACGUUCGGGAACCAGUCUCUCUCCGCAUGGGACCGGUCUCUCCCCGCGAAAACGUACUCGGGGACCGGUCUCACCCGCCAGGGACCGGCUGCCUCAAGCCCUGUGGCAGCACUAUUCUGAGGGGACCGGUCUCUCCCAUCAGGGACCGGUCCCCGAGAGUGAAAACUCUUAGGACAUGCCAAAACUCCAGAAAUCAAACUUUUAGAUCGGAAUACCAUCUACGACCUUCCACCAAGUGUGGAAAAGUUCGGAAUCCAUAUCAAACACUCGAACCUCGCAAUUUGCACAGGUCCAGUGUCCGACAUUCACCCCUCCUAAAAAGGAGUUUCGUCGGUGAAACUCAAAAGCAAACACAUACCUCAAAGCUCCAUAUGAAAAAGAUGGGGAUAGUGCUCCCACAGCGCGCUCUCUAGCUCCUACGUGGCCUCCCGCUCCCCGUGGUUGCUUCAAAGCACCUUCACAUACGGAAUAUCCCGAUUCCGCAGUUUCUUCACCUCGCGAUCCAAGAUUUUUACGGGUUGCUCCUCGAAACUCAAAUCAUCCCGUAGCUCCAUAGGUGUAGCAUCCAACACAUAAGUCGGGUCGAAGACAUACCUCCGAAGGACUGAUACAUAAAAGACGUUAUGCACGCCCGAUAGGCUCGGUGGUAGAGCAAGUCGAUACACUACCGGACCUACACGUUCCAAAAUCUCAUACGGUCCAAUGAAACGGGGGCUCAACUUACCCCGAAUCCCGAAUCUCUUGAUUCUUCUAGUCGGCGAGACCUUCAAGAAAACAUGGUCUCCUACUCACCGUCGUCGAUCGACGUAGCUCCUCUGUCUACUCUGUGCCGUCAAAAGUCGCUCCCGAGCAAUUCGAACCUUGUCCUCAGCUUCCCGGAGCACAUCAGGGCCUAAAGCCAAUCUCUCGCCAACUUCACUCCAUUGAAGUGGCGAUCUACACUUCCGUCCAUAAAGUGCUUCAAACGGCGCCAUCUUGAUGCUUGCUUGAUAACUGUUAUUAUAAGCAAACUCUGCCAUAGGUAGAUGCUGCGACCAUCCUCCCUAGAAGUCUAUCACACACGCUCGGAGCAUAUCCUCUAAAGUCUGAAUGGUGCGCUCCGACUGCCCAUCACUCUAAGGGUGGAAAGCAGUGUUGAAGUCCAGUCGGGUGCCCAAGGCGUCCUGUAGACUCCUCCAAAAGUGAGACACAAACCGAGUGUCUCGAUCCGAUACUAUCGAAGUAGGCACUCCGUGAAGUCGCACAAUCUCAUCAAGGUACACUUGUGCGAGUUUCUCUCCGGUCCAAGUAGUAUGAAUAGAUAUGAAGUGCGCCGAUUUCGUCAAUCUAUCCACGAUCACCGAUAUAGCAUCAUGCCCGACCUGAGAGCGGGGCAACCCAGUCACGAAGUCCAUGGUGAUCUUCUCCCACUUCCACACGGGAAUAGGCAAACUCUGAAGUUUUCCCGCGGGUAAUCGGUGCUCCGUCUUUACUUGUUGGCAAGUUAGAUAACGAGCUACAAACUUGCCAACGCCCUUUUUCAUCCCGGGCUACCAAUAGAGCAACUUUAAAUUCUUGUACAUCUUGGUGCCUCCUGGAUGUAUAGCAUACGGCACUCGGUGUGCUUCUUGAAUAAUAUCCUCUUUAAUUUCCGAAUCCGCCGGUACACAAAUCCGUCAACGGAAACAUAUCAAUCCUUGGUCAUCCACAAGGUAGUCGCCGGUGCAACCAUCAACCAUUUUAUUUUGAAUCUUUUGCAACUCCAUAUCGAAGAGUGUAGGUUGCACUACCAAGAUCAUCAACCUCAAAGGCGUGUCAGGAGUCACUACCUCCAACUCCAACUGCUUUAUCUGCUCGAUUAGCUGCGGUUGAGUAACAACAUGCAUGACUAAGUUUUCCGUUGACUUCCUACUUAGCGCAUCCGACACCACGUUAGCCUUACCCAGGUGGUAUAGGAUCAUCAGAUCGUAAUGCUUAAGCAGCUCCAGCCAUCUGCGUUGCCUCAAGUUUAACUCUUUCUGAGUGAACAGAUAUUUCAAAUUCUUGUGAUCCGUAUAUACUUCACACUGCUCGCCAUAUAAAUAGUGGCGCCAUAACUUCAAUGCGAAGACUACAGCCGCCAACUCCAAAUCGUGCGUAGGGUAACUCUUUUCAUAUUCCUUCAGUUGGCAAGAAGCAUAUGCGAUUAUUUUGCCGUCCUGCAUCAAAACACAACCCAAUUCAUUAAUCAUCCAUUUGCAUGAUAUGCGACUUCUUUUGAAUAAGAUUGAAUAGUUUUAUUGAAACGAUUAAAUUUUUUUUCAUUAUAGUUUUAAUUUUUUUUUAAUUGUUUAUCUAUAAUGUAGACUGUAUUUACUAUUUUCUUAUACUAAAUUGAUAUUUUAUUUUUUAAUAAAUUUUUAUUUUAACAGUAUCUAUCCGCGGUAACGGUGGGUCACUACACUAGUUAAGCAUGAAAAUUCUUUAAAUUUCUUCCUCUUAUGAAGUCGGGAUGAUAAGCUGCUCAACCAUCGAAUCCAACGCAAAUUCUUUUCAUGAAGUCGGCUGUUUUUUAUGUUUCGCCGCCGAAAUCAGCGUGAGAGUUUUACGAACUCAGCUGCUUCGAUAUAUCGUCACCGGCUUCAACAUAAAUCCGACGUAAUAGGUUAGCUUCGGAUAGAGCGUAUAGGUGAGAGGCGAGCUUGUUCCGUUUCUCUUCUUCCAUGGUGAAAAUGGCGGGCCUCGUGGGAUCGCCGUGGCUCCGAAUUAGGGUUUCUCCCGAUUUCGCUCCUCCUCUUCUCCGAUCGCGGCUCGCUUCGAAGCCCUACCUCGCCCAUCGGCGGAGGAGGUACCUCUCCGCCUCGGCUUCUUCGGCCCCGGCGCAGGGCGAGGUCCGCGUCCGCUUCGCCCCGUCGCCCACGGGGAACCUGCACGUCGGCGGUGCCAGGACGGCGCUCUUCAACUACCUCUUCGCUAGGUUCGUCUUUGGCUUUUCACUCCACAGAUUCACCACUCCCUACGAACGAAUCGUCUUUAUGAACUUGUUAAUCCGUGUAAUAAUCUCUAUAUUUACUUCUUUUUUUUUAAAAAAAUUUUAUUGGUGCUUAUUAGAAGUAAAAAGUAAAUGUUGAUUGGUAAAAUUAGAGAUGGUGAGAUGAUUUCCUGUAUGUAACUAGCUUGCAUCUAAUCUAGCGUUGAGGUUGAGGUUGAGGUUGCUUCUCUUCAAAUUCAUUAAUCUAUUACUGGCCUGUUUGUUUGGUCGUAAGUGAUUUUCAAUUUGAAAAUGAUUUUUAGUUAAACUGAAGUUUAAGUCAAUGGCUUUUGAACCGUAAUUAUCCUACUUUUUUUAUUUAUUUUGUCGAAAGAUUUCACACUGGCAUAUGAGAGAAUAAAAUAAACUUGCAGCUGUUAAUUUUUUUAUUAGUUUGUUCUACCUUUUUCUCUUCCGUAAUUUUCUUGGGCACCACCAAGGGCGGAGUCAAUUACGGCAUUUUGAAAUGGCGGAAUUAUGGGGGAAUUUAAUUUGCUGCAAACCAAACAAUGUAACUGGGCAUUUACAGCCUAAAACGACUUUGUCUCCCUCCAUUUUCGGUGAAACAAACAUGCUCUUGAUAUCUCUGCUUUGUAGUCCGUUCUUCUUGCAAAUUGCAGUCAUUCGGUGCCCUCAUGGAAAGGACUUGCUUUUCAUUUCUAAUUCCAGUCAAAUUAGCAAUUUUUUUUUCUUUUUUUUUUUUGUGCUUUGUACUGUGUAGAUUUGUUUGAUAUUUGAACAAUAUGUACUUAUAGGUCCAAGGGCGGAAGAUUUAUACUGCGAAUUGAAGACACCGAUCUGGAGAGGUCUACUAGGAAGUCGGAGGAAGCAAUGUUGCAUGAUCUCUCUUGGCUUGGUCUUGAUUGGGACGAAGGUGAUUUGUAGUCUCGUCGCUGUAAAUUUUUGAUUAGUUGAUAUAACUUUGUACUCAUCUACCGUUUGUAUGCUAUUAUUUAAAGAUGAGAUUGCGUAGUUGCUUCCUUUGUUUUCUUUUAUUAACUUGAAAUUGGAAAGCAAACUUGUGUUGUGUUGCAUGCAUUAGAAGAUGAAAAAUAUCAUGUGAUGAACUUUCAGGUCCAGGUGUCGGUGGAGAUUACGGUCCGUAUCGACAGUCAGAGCGGAAUUUCCUUUAUAAACAAUAUGCUGAGAAGUUGUUAGAUUCCGGUGCUGUUUACCGUUGUUUUUGCUCUAAUGAGGUAAUUUUGGUGUAUGAUUCAGAAGUUGACACUUUUGCUAGGUAUAGCGUCAUAAAAGUUAGUUGCACAUUCAAAGCUUCAUACGUUAAAUUGAUUGGGUAUAUGAAGCCACUAUGCAUAUAAACUUCUCAUUUAAGUGGCCUACGAAAAUUGUAGAAUAUAAUUUUUGUAUGAUUGUCUGUGCAUUACUUGAUGAGUUAAUUUCAUUUCUAUGGAGCUGUUUCUUUUGUUAUUUUUUUUAAAGUAAUGAUGUACCUAAAUCAUUGUUGAACCAUCUGAUUCAAUAAAAUAUGAAGUCCUUUUGGAUUGAAGGGACUUACGCAUGCUCUAUGAAAUACUUAAGGUUCUUAAGUGCUUUACUUCAAAGUUUUUAUAGUUUUAGCUUUUAACUUAUUAGUUGAUGAUGCUUCAUUGUCCUUAUUUAACUAUUAUUUUCUCCAGGAGCUUGAACAAAUGAAGGAAACUGCAAAGCGUCUGCAGCUGCCUCCAGUAUAUACAGGAAAGUGGGCAACUGCUCCAGAAAAAGAAAUAGAGGAGGAGUUGGUGAAAGGAACGCCCUAUACUUACCGCUUUCGCGUGCCUGAGGAGGGGACACUGAAAAUCAAUGACCUUAUUCGUGGAGAAGUAAUAAUUUCACUAACUUGUUCAAUUUAAAAGGCUCACGAUUCUUGUCAUAAUUAUAAUUGUUUAUUUAAAUUUACUAAUUGAUCUGAUAGUUUCAUGAAGGUCAGUUGGAGCUUAGACACACUUGGUGAUUUUGUCAUCAUGAGAAGCAAUGGUCAACCUGUGUACAAUUUCUGUGUCACUGUUGAUGAUGCUACAAUGCGUAUAUCGCAUGUUAUUAGGUGAUGCACUCACAUACACUGAAGUAUCCCUGAUGAUUAAGUUGAACUUUUUUGAGUUUUCACAUAGAAUGGCUGAUGUUCUGGUCUUCUUUCUAUGUCUUUCUCAUACAGAGCAGAGGAGCAUUUACCAAACACCUUGCGACAAGCACUCAUUUACAAUGUAAGUUCUCUCAUUCCAUUUACUUGUUUCUUUUCUCUCUCCUUGUAAAUAUUCAUGUCAGCUUUCUUGUAAAGUUGGGAAAACUAGCAUCAUCGUCAAUAUUUUUGUGCAGGCACUUGGAUUUCCAGUGCCUUCUUUUGCACAUGUUUCCCUAAUUCUUGCUCCAGAUAGAAGUAAAUUAUCAAAGCGCCAUGGUGCAACUUCAGUAGGGCAGGUAGUUAAUGAUGAUAGUCUCUGGUAAUGCUUCCAUAAUCAUAUAUCUAAUUAAGGAAAAACGUUAUAAGCCUCUCUCAAAUACUUGUAUGCAUGUACUCCUUUUUCUUUGGCAGUUCAGAGAAAUGGGAUACCUGCCUCAAGCGAUGGUAAACUAUUUAGCUCUUUUGGGUUGGGGUGAUGGCACAGAAAAUGAAUUCUUCACCAUUGAUCAGCUUGGUUAGUUUUUUCUAGUGCAAUAAACCUAAUGUGAGGGUUUUUUUUUUUUUUUUUUUUUUUUCCAAUGUAUGUCAACGUUCGUUAAGUUGUGCUCUUUCUAUUUAGUUGAAAAGUUUUCCAUAGAUCGUGUCAAUAAAAGUGGGGCAAUCUUUGAUCCUACAAAGCUAAGGUAAGCACUCAAGAAAAAGAAUGGGAAUAUUCUAAUUUGAAGUUUGAAGUUUCCUAUGCAGUGAUCUUGAGUUGUGAAGUAUUUAUAUGUUGGUUCUGUGAUGUAUAUCUUGUUUAUGAUUAGAUGGAUGAAUGGGCAGCAUUUAAGAUCCCUUCCUUUGGACGAACUGAUCGAGAUUUUUGGAGAUCAGUGGAAGCGCACUGGCAUUCUCGUCGAGUCUGAAGGCACUUUUGUCAAGGUAAAACUUUGCCUUUUCACUUAUACAUAGCAGACUUGGAAAUUUUCUGCUUAUUUGUUUUGACUUGUUGUGCUUUGUCUAUCUUUAAUUUUAUUGCUUGAUGCACCGCUACAGUAUGUUUACCUUGCUUUGUCCUUGUAUUUGUACAACGUUAAUUUACAUAGCACAGAUAUUCUUGCAAGGAUGCAAGUCAUUGACUGCUAGCAUAGGAAUUAUUAUGUCCUAUAACCUAGAAAAUGAUCAUUGAGAUUACAGAGGUACCUGGCAUAUCAUUUGGAGCGCAUGCUGAUCAAAGAGAGAAAUAGUGGAAGCAACCUUAGCUUAGUUUUCAUGUUACUGUACUAUGCAUAAUCUGUAUCUUGAGGUGGAUCAUAAUAACGUAGGCUAUAAUAUAUGAAUUGCAUACUAGCAGAACUUAUUUUCUUUUAUAGCUAAUAAGCUAAUAAACACAAGUACAUAUACCCGACAAAGCAUAUAAUUUCUCAAUCUUGGUCUCAUAUAGAAUGAAAUUCUAACUCUUGAAAUAUAAUAACUGCAGGAUGCGACUGAACUGUUGAAGGAUGGGAUAGACUUGAUUACAGAUGCAGAUACAGCCUUGUCUAAUUUGCUAUCUUAUCCAGUCCUCUCUACUUUAAGCAGGUGUGAAGAGCUUUGCUAUGUUUAAAAAUGUAGUUCUCUUUUCUCUUCGCAUAUUGUAACGUCCCAAUAGUCCCACAUCGGGUGGGAAGCUAAUUCUGAUUAAAAUAUAUAAGGCCUACACGCUAGUAAUAAUAACCGCGUUUAAGCAUUUUGGGCCGGUGGUUUGGGCCCAAUGAGUUAUUAUUGCUAGCGGGUCGGGUCGUUACAAUUGGUAUCAGAGCCGAAUACCAGCUGGAAGUGUGAGAGCUAAGUGCUAUUCAGGGCAAAGUGCUACACCAACGGUUUGGUAGGAGCCACCUCUUGAACCAGGAGGAGCCACCUCUAGAAUCUCAUAUCGCCUGAUAAUUCUGGUCUGCAUUUGUGAUCUGGUUUGGACCCGACGAGGACGUCAGGGUCUAAACAGAGGGAGUUUGUAAUGCCCCAAUAGUCUCACAUCAGGUGGAAAACUGAUUCUGAUUAAAAGAUAUAAGGUCUACACGCUAGUAAUAAUAACUGGGCUUAAGCAUUCUGGACUGGUGGUUUGGGCCCAAUGAGUAAUUAUUGCUGGCGGAUCGGGUCGUUACAAUAUUAAAUGAAUUCUCAUAUAAGCAGAACUAAAGUUUAUUAUACAACGCAAACAAAAUUUGGUCUAACAGAUACUAUAAAUAACAAAAGUUUCACUCGAUCCCGGCCCCGCCCUGCGAAUCAAUCUCGGUACCUGGGUAAGCAACCAUACACCACAUUAGUCGGAUUAAGCAUACGAAUUAAUAUAUAACAAAUGCUCUAAAGUAAAUUCUAUUACAGAAAUUAAUUUAAGCGACUGGUUUUUAAUUUGCAAAAAUUUUCAGAAAAUACAGCUUAUCAAAAUUUAAGAUUCAGAUCAAAUAGCAAAUGUAAAUUUACAAACAUUUCCUUUUUCAGCAAUUAAACAAAAUAAACGUUAAGUCUCCGAUAACUAACUAUAUUAUGUAAUCCGUUGGCGAGAUCCAGAGGCAUCGAAAGGCGCAAACAGAACAGAGAUACCCGAAGGCGUAAACAGAACAAAGGCACCUGAAGGAGGCGCUCGAAAGUGCAAUUACAGAACAGAGACGCGAAUAGACGCAAGUACCAGAAGGCGCAAUACAGAGACGAAGCUAGCUUUUAUAACAGAAUACAUGUCGACAUGGCCAACAUUGCAUAGCAGAAUACCAAGAGACAUUAUAAUUAAAAAUUUAUUCAGUCACUAAUUUACAUAACAAAUUAUCAAAUUUGAAAAAUUCUUUUUGCUGAAAGAACUUGUCGAUCACAGUUGAAGCUCAAUUUGCAGAAAUAUUUAAUAAUAUACUUAACCCUUAAUUUUAAAAUCUACAAAAUAAGAUUUUUACACAAUCAAAGUAUUUUCCUAAAUUAUUUAGCGGAAACUAACGGGUGUCCGGUCGCUUACCUUAACGCAGUUUCAAAGAUAAGAAAUUAUCCAGUCGGAAAUGCACAGAAAAAAUCAAUCGUCGGAACUUAAAAUAGAGACAUGCGAUUCUCUAUAAGCUACUAAAAAAUGAACUUACAAAGGGGAUAUAUAUAUACAGAGUUGAGCUAGAAUACUAUCGAUAGCAAACCGGCACUUUUGCCACCAAUUUGUUUUCGAUGAUGGAGCCUCCAAAUUGAUGAUCGGCACUGUUGAACAUGAUCUAUACCAUUUGAAGUAUUUAGAAAUUAAAUUUCAUACAUUUUCGAUAUUGCUCUCUUAUCCAUCGAGUGGACACAAAAAUGAACGGCUGAAAAUGAAUAUUCUUAAAAAAAUGAUGAUAGGAGUCUUGUAAUCAAGAUCAAGAGUAUAGAUCUUGUUUUAAAUAGUUUACAGAAUUUUCUAACAAAAAUCAAUUGAUUUGGAUAUAUUUACGCUGUUAAACGAGAAAACGCCUCAUAUCGACCAUUAAUAUUACAAAUUUUGAAACCCUUUGAUCAAUAGGCAAAUGAUAUCGAAAAGAUUUGAAAUUUAAUUUCUAAAUAUUUCAAGUGGUAUAGAUCAUGUUCAACGGUGCCGAUCGUCGAUUUGGAGGCUCAGAGAGAUUACAAAAAUUUAGAUUUUGAAUAGGCUCACAUAGGUUGACAUGAUCGAUGACAAAUACAUGCUGAUAGGUUGAGAUGGAGCAUAAGAGGGCUUAAAAAAAAAUUAAACUCGACAAAACUCAAAUAUAUAGUGCGCUAAAACUUAGAAGUGGCGGGGGUGUUACAUCUUCCCUCCUAAAAGAAAUUUAGUGCUCUAAACUUAACAUACCUUAGUUCUCAAAAAGCUGAUGAUUGAUUCGCACCUUAUCUGUUCUCGAGCUCCAAGUAGUUUCUCGUUCAGAAUGGUUGCUCUACUGUGGAUUGUAAUAUACGGAAUGGUUCGUCUUCUCAAAACUUGCUUCUUGGUCCACAAUAUGUACCGCUGUUCGUCAUAAAGAUAGAUCUUUCCUAAGCUGCAAAGGUUUCGGCUCCACAACGUGGCUCGGAUCGUGGGCAUAUUUUCUAUUUGGUAAGCGCCCCAAUAGUCCCACAUCAGGUGGAAAACUGAUUCUGAUUUAAAUAUAUAAGGACAUACACGUUAGAUAAUAACGGCUUAAGCAUUUUGGGCCGGUGGUUUGGGCCAACGAGUUAUUUUGCUGAGCUGGUCGGUCGUUACAUAUUUUAUAUCAGUAUCACUGAGGUUCGGAGUUUCGUGGCUUAGAAAGAAACUAUAGAAGAUUUGUGGAAGUUUUUUCUUGCCUUGCUGUUUGACCCAGUUGACACGGAAAGGAGUUAAAUUUCAGUGGUAGAUAAAUGUGAACAAAGCUUAUUGGAGUUUGAAGAAACGUUUAAUAUCAGCGCCUAUUCUUACUUGCCUGUUAGCGGUGAGGGAUUUACUAUUUAUAGGAUGCCUCGAAGAAAAGGAUUAGGAUGCGUCUUGAUGCCAGAACGACAAAGUAAUUGCUUAUGCUUCCCAACAGCUGAGGCCAUUCGGGAGAACUACGAUGUAACACCUCUUACUUUAUCCCUUUUGUUUUGUUUAUUUUCUUAUAAAUUGUGGACCUUUGUCAGACUCUAAUCUUUGAAGGACUCGGUGGCAUAUUAUGCCUAAUUAAUCCUAACUUAAUUAGGUCUCUUUCUAUUCGUUCAUAGCAACCCCCAACCCGAACUACCUCUUUCUCCCUCAACUCCCUCUCUCCCCUCGCAUCCCUACGACCGUCUCUUUUCCACCUUGCGUCCGUACGUCAUUUCCCCCGCUGCGCGCGCACAUCGUCAUUCCGAUCAUCGCCGUUGUCGGCCGUCAUCCACAGCCGCCUCCGCCGUAAUCCUUAUCGGCCGUUAUUUUUUGGUUCGCUGUCGACGGCAUUUUGCCGUCGUUUUCACACAUCUUCGAGAAGGUUUUUCUUUUUCUCGCAUUUUUACCUCUAUAUCGGGAUCUUGUGAUAUUAACCUCUUUGUUCAUCGUUAUAUUAUUAUUUUGAAUACUCGUCUCAUGAUGAUUAAAAUUUGAAAUCAUCAAAAUCUGAUUUGCUUGUAUCUAAUAUUUGUCGUUGGAACCGUUUAAUUUCAUAUCUUAUAUCCUCUAUAUGAUCUAGUUGUGUAAAACUUCACAGAUUGUACACACUAAUUGGAAUGCCGCAUUAUGUUUCGACAAAUGCCUAAAGAAGCGUGUGGUGUUUUUGCUUCUAAUUUUUGAUCUUAUUCCGAUUGUAGAUGGUAAAAUUAGUUUUGUAAAUGUGAUAAACCCUCUGUUUGAAUACUAAAACCCUCGUAUUAUUUUAAAAUUCCGUUAUGUUAUCUUACUCUCUUUGAAUAUUUUAAUUAUUGAAACUCCCUCAUCUUUUGAUUGUAAAUUGAGUUUUGUCGAGUUUAAUUUUUUUUUAAAGCCCUUCUAUGCUCCAUCUCAACCUAUCAGCAUGUAUUUGUCAUCGAUCAUGUCAACUAUGUGAGCCUAUUCAAAAUCUAAAAUUUUGUACGAGCUUCUUUCCAUAUAUAUAUUAUACAUAUAUAUAUAGAGUCGGCUACUAUACUAUCGAUAGUACCAAGCCCUUGGUACUAUUGAGAUUUCUAACCGUUAGAUGUACCCUUUGAUCAGUUCCACCCGUUAGAUUAUACAUUAAACCAACCACCCACUCAAUCCUAGGAGACACUAUCAAUUUAACCGGGAGACCACUAUCAUCGUAACCGCACAUCUAUUCAUCCAACGGUCGAAAACUCAAUAGUACCAAGGCUUGAUACUAUUGAUAGUAUAGUAGCAUAAUUCUAUAUAUUAUAUAUAUAUAUAUAUAUAUAGGUCCGGCUACUAUACUAUCGGUAGCACGGAGUGCUCCGUGCUACCAAGUUGUUUUCGAUGAUGCGGCUUCCAAAUCGAUGAUCGGCUCCGUUAGACUUGAUCUACACUAUUGAAAGUAUUUGGAAACUAAAUUUCAGAUUUUUUCGACAUCAUUUGACUGAUGAUCAAAAGCUCAAAAUUGACAAUUUUAAUGGCCGAUGUGUGUGUUUGAGAGUUUAACGGUGUAAAACAAUCCAAAUUCGAUAAAAAUUUUAUAGAAAAUUCUUUCACUAUUUAGAGUAAGAUCAGUUUAAUCUGAUCUUGAAUUAAAAUCUUUUAUUAUCAUUUUGUUAUAGGUUUUUAUUUUCAGCCGUUCAAUUUUAGACUACUUGUUUGAUAGGUAAAUGGUAUUGAAAAAUUAUGAAAUUUAGUUUUCUAAAUACUUUUAAUAGUAUAGAUCAAGUCUAACGGAGCCGAUUGUCGAUUUGGAAGCCGCAUCAUCAAAAACAACUUGGUAGCACGGAGCGCUCCGUGCUACCGAUAGUAUAGUAGCCUAGCUCUAUAUAUAUAUAUAUAUAUAUAUAUAUAUAUAUAUAAUAUAUAAUGAGUCCGGCUACUAUACUCUUAUCAGUAUGAAUCGCCCUCGUACUCAUAAGUUGUUUUCGAUGAUAUAGCUUCCGAAUCGACGAUCCAUACCGUUUAAACGUUAUCUAUAGCAUUUAAAACUUCUAGAAAUCAAAUUAUAUAAUUUUUUUACAUCAUUUCCUUACGAUCAAAAUGUCACAAAAUGACAAUUUUUAAUGGCCGGUAUGGGAUCUUGCUAAUUUAACGGUGUGAAAGAAUCGGAAUCGGUUGAAUUUUUAAUAGAAAAUUCUAUUCACUACCUUGAUAAAGAUCAAUAACUUCGAUCUUAAUUGAAGGAUCCGAUCAUCCAUUUUAGAACGUCGUUCGAUUCGACCGUUCAUUUAUGCCCGCUUGAUGGACUUUAUUAUGAUUUCGAAAAUUAUACGAAAUUUAUUUUCUAAGAAGUUUCAAUUACUCUAGAUCAUAUUUAACGGAGCGGAUCGUCGAUUCGGAAGCUCCAUCAUUGAAACACUUAUGAGUACGAAGCUCUCUAUACUCAUAAGAGUAUAGUAGCCUACUAUAUAUAUAUAUAUAAGAGAGAGAGAGAGAGAGAGAGAGAGAGAGAGAGUUGAGCUAGAAUGCUAUCGUAGCAAACCGGCUCUGUUGCCACCCAUUUGUUUCGAUGAUGGAGCCUUAAAUUGACGAUCGGGCACUGUGAACAUGAUCUAACCACUUGAAAUAUCUAGAAACCAAAUUUCAAAUCUUUUCGACAUUAUUAACACUAAUGAUCAAGAGAGUUUCAAAAUUUGUAAUUUUAAUUCCAGAUAUGAGGCGUUUUCUCGAUUAACGGGUGUAAAGCCUCCAAAUCGAAUUGAACCUUUAGUUAGAAAAUUCCUUUAAACUAUUUAGAAUAAGAUCUAUACUCUCGAUCUUGAUUACAAAAUUCNNNNNNNNNNNNNNNNNNNNNNNNNCUCCUCAUCAAAACAAAUGGGUUGCGCAAAAAGUGUCGUUUGUUAUCGAUCACAUUCUUAGCUCAACUCUAUAAUACAUAUAUGGAAGGAAGCUUGUUACAAAAUUUUAGAUUUUGAAUAGGCUCACAAUAGGUUGACAUGAUCGAUGACAAAUACAUGCUGAUAGGUUUGAGAUGGAGCAUAGAGAGGCUCUUAAAAAAAAAUUAAACUCGACAAAACUCAAUAUAUAGUGCUCUAAACUUAGAGAAUGGGGGGUUUACAUCCUUCCCUCCUAAAAGAAAUUUAGUGCUCUAAACUUAACAUACCUUAGUUCUCAAAAAGCUGAUGGUACUUCGCCACUUAUCUGUCUCGAGUCCCAAGUAGUUUUCGUUCAGAAUGGUUGCUCUACUGGCAUUGUUAAUAUACGGAAUGGUUCGUCUUCUCAAACUUGUCUUUGCGUCACAAUAUGUACCGCUGUUCGUCAUAAGAUAGAUCUUCUCUAAGCUGCAAAGGUUUCGGCUCCACAACGUGGCUCGGAUCGUGGGCAUAUUUUCUUAUUUGUAACGCCCCAAUAGUCCCACAUAGGUGGAAAACUGGAUUCUGAUUAAAUAUAUAAGGCAUACACGUUAGUAAUAAUAACGCGCUUAAGCAUUUUGGGCCGGUGGUUUGGGCCAACGAGUUAUUAUUGCUGGCUGGUCGGUCGUUACAUAUUUUAAUCAGUAUCACUGAGGUUCGGAGUUUCGUGGCUUAGCAAGAAACUAUAGAAGAUUUGUGGAAGUUUUUUCUUGCCUUGCUGUUUGACUCAGUUGACACGGAAAGGAGUUAAAUUUCAGUGGUAGGAUAAAUGUGAACAAAGCUUAUUGGAGUUGAAGAAACGUUUAAUAUCAGCGCCUAUUCUUACCUUGCUGUUAGCGGUGAGGGAUUUACUAUUUAUAGGAUGCCUCGAAGAAUAGGAUUAGGAUGCGUCUUGAUGCCAGAACGACAAAAGUAAUUGCUUAUGCUUCCCAACAGCUGAGGCCAUUCGAGGAGAACUACGAUGUAACACCUCUUCACUUUAUCCCUUUUGUUUGUUUUAUUUUCUUAUAAAUUGUGGACUUUUCGUAGACUCUAAUCUUUGAAGGACUCGGUGGCAUAUUAUGCCUAAUUAAUCCUAACUUAAUUAGGUCUCUUUCUAUUCGUUCAUAGCAACCCCCAACCCGAACUACCUCUUCUCCCUCAACUCCCCUCUCCCUCCGCAUCCCUACGACCGUCUCUUUCCACCUUGCGUCGUACGUCAUUUCCCCCGCUCUGCGCGCGCACAUCGUCAUUCCGAUCAUCGCCGUUGUUCGCCGUCAUCCACAGCCGCCUCCGCCGUAAUCCUUAUCGGCCGUUAUUUUUUGGUUCGCUCGUCGACGGCAUUUUGCCGUCGUUUUCACCAUCUUCGAGAAGGUUUUUCUUUUUCUCGCAUUUUACCUCUAUAUCGGAUCUUGUGAUAUUAACCUCUUUGUUCAUCGUUAUAUAUUAUUUUGAAUACUCGUCUCAUGAUGAUUAAAAUUUGAAAUCAUCAAAAUCUGAUUUGCUUGUAUCUAAUAUUUGUCGUUGGACCGUUUAAUUUCAUAUCUUAUAUCCUCUAUAUGAUCUAGUUGUGUAAAACUUCACAGAUUGUACACACUAAUUGGAAUGCCCGCUAUAUGUUUCGACAAAUGCCUAAAGAAGGCGGUGUGGUGUUUUGCUUCUAAUUUUUGAUCUUAUUCGAUUGUAGAUGGUAAAAUUAGUUUUGUACAUGUGAUAAACCCUCUGUUUGAAUACUAAAACCCUCGUUAUUAUUUAAAAUUCCGUUAUGUUAUCUUACCUCCUUUGAAUAUUUUAAUUAUUGAAACUCCCUCAUCUUUUGAUUGUAAAUUGAGUUUUGUCGAGUUUAAUUUUUUUUUAAAGCCCUUCUAUGCUCCAUCUCAACCUAUAGCAUGUAUUUGUCAUCGAUCAUGUCAACCUAUGUGAGCCUAUUCAAAAUCUAAAAUUUUGUACGAGCUUCUUUCCAUAUAUAUAUAUAUACAUAUAUAUAUAGAGUCGGCUACUAUACUAUCGAUAGUACCAAGCCCUUGGUACUAUUGAGAUUUCUACCGUUAGAUGUACCCUUUGAUCAGUUCCACCCGUUAGAUUAUACAUUAAACCAACCACCCACUCAAUCCUAGGAGACACUAUCAAUUUAACCGAGGACACUAUCAUCGUAACCGCACAUCUAUUCAUCCAACGGUCGAAAACUCAAUAGUACCAAGGCUUGAAACUAUUGAUAGUAUAGUAGCAUAAUUCUAUAUAUAUAUAUAUAUAUAUAUAUAUAGAGUCCGGCUACUAUACUAUCGGUAGCACGAGUGCUCCGUGCUACCAAGUUGUUUUCGAUGAUGCGGCUUCCAAAUCGAUGAUCGGCUCCGUUAGACUUGAUCUACACUAUUGAAAGUAUUUGGAAACUAAAUUUCAGAUUUUUUCGACAUCAUUUGACUAGUGAUCAAAAGAUCUCAAAUUGACAAUUUUAAUGGCCGAUGUGGUGUGUUUGAGAGUUUAACGGUGUAAAACAAUCCAAAUUCGAUAAAAAAUUUAUAGAAAAUUCUUUCACUAUUUAGAGUAAGAUCAGUUUAAUCUGAUCUUGAAUUUAAAUCUUUUAUUAUCAUUUUUUAUGAGGUUUUUAUUUUCAGCCGUUCAAUUUUAGACUACUUGUUUGAUAGGUAAAUGGUAUUGAAAAAUUAUGAAAUUUAGUUUCUAAAUACUUUUAAUAGUAUAGAUCAAGUCUAACGGAGCCGAUUGUCGAUUUGGAAGCCGCAUCAUCAAAACAACUUGGUAGCACGGAGCGCUCCGUGCUACCGAUAGAUAGUAGCCUAAGCUCUAUAUAUAUAUUAUAAUAUAUAUAUAUAUAUAUAUAUAUAUAUGAGUCCGGCUACUAUAUACUUAUCAGUAUGAUCGCCCUCGUACUCAUAAGUUGUUUUCGAUGAUAUAGCUUCCGAAUCGACGAUCCAUACCGUUAAACUUAUCAUAUAGCAUUUAAAACUUCUAGAAAUCAAAUUAUAUAAUUUUUUGACAUCAUUACCUUACGAUCAAAAUGUCACAAAAUGACAAUUUUUAAUGGCCGGUAUGGGAUACUUGCUAAUUUAACGGUGUGAAAGAAUCGGAAUCGGUUGAAUUUUUAAUAGAAAAUUCUAUUCACUACCUUGAUAAAGAUCAAUAACUUCGAUCUUAAUUGAAGGAUCCGAUCAUCCAUUUUAGAACGUCGUUCGAUUCGACCGUUCAUUUUAUGCCCGCUUGAUGGACUUUAUUAUGAUUUCGAAAAAUUACGAAAUUUAUUUUCUAGAAGUUUCAAUUACUCUAGAUCAUAUUUAACGGAGCGGAUCGUCGAUUCGGAAGCUCCAUCAUUGAAACACUUAUGAGUACGAAGCUCUCUAUACUCAUAAGAGUAUAGUAGCCCUACUAUAUAUAUAUAUAUAAGAGAGAGAAGAGAGAGAGAGAGAGAGAGAGAGUGAGCUAGAAUGCUAUCGGUAGCAAACCGGCUCUGUUGCCACCCAUUUGUUUCGAUGAUGGAGCCUUAAAGACGAUCGGGCACUGUUGAACAGAUGCUAUACCACUUGAAAAUCUAGAAACCAAACAAAUCUUUUCGACAUUAUUAACCAAUGAUCAAAGAGGUGUCAAAAGGGUGAAUGUAAGGCGAGAAGAGGCGUGGUCGCGGCGUAACGGGGGAAACCCCGCCUAAAUGCAAUGGAAACGGGGAGGGAGGAAAGUCGGGAAACCGAGGGAGAAGAAGAGCGGAUGACUCGCGAGCGGAGGACAAAGCCUAGCAGCACGGGGAGAGGAGAGCAAGGUCAGGCCAUGCAGGGGUACCGCCCACGGGGGCUACAUUGAGAAAAGAGCGGAAAAGCAGGAAAGAGGAUGGCGGAGAGACGCAAGGGAGAGAGCAGUCAACGGGCGGAGCAGCGAUGGAGGGCUCGGCAGAAAAACAAAAGGGGUGGGCACGGAGCCCGGGGGCGCGAAGAGGAGUCGAGCGGAGCGGCGUGGAGGGCGGCGGCGCGCGCGUAGAGAGAGAGGAGAGAGAGAAGAGAGAGAGUAGAGAGAGAGAGAGAUAGAUAGCCGCGGGGAGGCAGGGAGUGGAGGAGCUGAGAGGAAGGGCAGAGCGCGAGGGAGGGGCGACGAGGGAGGUUGGCGGGCAGGGGCGACGGGAGAAGGGGGAGCGGGGAAGCUGAGGAAGGGAAGCCACCGGACACCGUGAGGGUGCGCUAAAGAAGGAGAAAAAGACGGGGAGGGGAAAAUCGGAGGUGCAGAGGGGAAAAGGAAGGGGAAGGAGAGGAGGAAAGAUGGCGGGAAAGGGAGCGGCAACGGGAUGGACAAGGGCGGGGAGCAAAAAGAAGGUGGAAAGGGGAGAAGGGGGGUGGGAAAGGAGGGACCGGAUAAAGGUGAAUGAGAGGGCUGGGGGGAGUCGUGCGAGACAAUCGGGGCAGGGGACAGGGAGGGGGGAGAGAAGCGAGGGUUCGGCGCGGGAUUGAGCUGCGGCGCAGUACCGGCGGCGAGCCGCGCCGGGGGGGAGGGCACGGGCGAGCGCCUCGGAGGGGGGAACAGGCCCGGCGGGGCGGGGGCGAGGGGCGCGGCGGGGACGGCGGGGCUGUGGGGCCGGGGAGGGCCGCGGGAGAGCGCCAACGGAGCACAUAAGAGAGGGGAACAGGUAGGUGGGGGAAGGGUGGAAAAAGGAAAGGGGGGGAAGGGAGGGCGAGGGCGAGCGAAGCGAAAGGGGGAGAAGCGGGAGGGGCGAAGAGGGGGCAAAGUAAAAAGCAGCCGCGGAAGGAAGCGGCUGGAAGAGAAGUGACUGGAGAGCAGGGGAGAGAGGGAGGGGAGGCGGAAGCGACGAAGGGGGGGAGGGGGGCGACCCAAACGACCGAGACGGGGGGCCAGGGCGGGACGGGUCGGAGGGAAGGGGUAGACGGAGCGAGGGGGGGGAGGCGCGGGCGGGAGGCGAGGGCAGGGAGAGGGAAGGGGGGCGGCGGAUAAGGCAACGGGGGAGCGGCGGGAGGGGUGAGGGGCGGAGCACGGGGGAGGUAGGUAGCGGCGGAGGACGAAGGGGGGGGGGACGAGGGCAGAAGUAAACGGGAGGGCGGCGGAGAGGAGGAAGGCUGGGGGAGGGGAACGAGCGACCCGCCAGCAAGAAGAAGGCGGGGGGGCCAACCACCAGCCCAAAGGCGGAAGCCCAGGAGGAGGACGAGCGGGGAGGCGGAGAGAGGGGAAGCAGAAGCGGGGGUCCACCCCGAGGGGGCCAGUGAGGGAGAGGGCGCGCGGGCGGGGGCGGGGACACAGAGGCUCGAUGGACAAGGGGAAGGAGGGCGGGCCGGACCGGGUGGGCAAGCGUGGGGACGCGAGUCAGGGAAAACACGCAAGGCACGGAGGAGAACACGGAGAGCAGAGCGAAACGGGCUGGCGGGAGGCAAAGGAGGCGGAAGGGCCGGCCAACGGAGAGGACGGGCAAGCGACAGAAAGGAGGAAUGGAACCAGUGGGCAAGAGAAGCGGGCCGAGGGCCGCCAGGUGGAGGGCGGCGGAGAGAGUGGGAGAGCGCCGGGAAGCACGCGAGGAAGGGCAGGCGGCCGGGGGGCAAAAAAGGGGGUGAAGAGCGGGGGCAAGGACGCAGCGGAAGGGGGAGGGGGAAGCAGACAAAAGGCCCAAGAGAGUUGGAAGAGAGGGCGAGGGAGGGGCGCGGUGGGGAUAAGGAAGAAAGGAAGGGCGGCGCCGUCCGGGCGAGGAGCGAAGAGGCGCGGAGGAAAGAGGGGGGCGGCAGAGGCGCGGGGGGAACGGGAGAGAGAGGCGGCAUGGAGGAGACCCACAGAAAGGUGGGGAGGCAGAGGGCGAGGCGAGUGGGGGGAGGCGAGGGGAAGGCCAGGGGGAAGAGACGACAAGAAGAUAAAAAAAGAAAAGGGUAGGGCACAGGGCGAGCGACGGGAGUGAAGGCGGAGACCGAAAAGCGGGGGGGGGGGUGGCCCGCGUGCGGGGAUGACGGAGCAGGGAAAAGCGCGAGGGAUGCCGCGGCGAGGAGGGACGAACGGGGAGCGGCAGGGCCAGAGUGAGGGGGGAGGAGGGGCGGAUGGAGAAGGGGGAGCGGCGAGCAGGGAAGCGCAGCGCAGGGGGGACGGGGGAGGAGAGAUCGCAAAGGGGAAGGGAGAGGGACGGGACGCAGGGAACAAGGGACCAGAGCCGCAACCGAAGCUGCGCAACGCGGCGCGCAUAAAGGGGGGGGAAUCGAGAGGGGAGGGGAGGGGAGGGGCGAGGCCGGAGGGCGGGGGGGGGGGGCGACUCACACAGCGAAAAGGCGGAGAGAAAAAAGCCGGGGGGUGGAACAGCCAGGGGGGGGGGGAGGAGGAGCAAGCGGAGGAGGGCCAGAGCGGGACCCGCGGGGGAGGGGGGGGGGGAGCGCGCGCGCGAGCACGCAGGACCCGGGGGGAGGAAAGGCGCGGUAGCGCGCGCGCAAGAGGAUAGGGUGGGGCACCAGGGAUGGGCGCGGGGCGCGCGCAAAGGCGACAACCAGGGCCGGCACAACGCGGGGGGAGGGGCGGGUAGGGGGGCGGGGCCCAGGCGAGGCGGCGCCCGGAAGGGGAAGCCCGCAACAAAGACAACGAACACAAAGGGGAGCGCCAACGUAGGAUGGGGGGGGCGGCAGCGGGAUGGCCCGGGGGGGGGGGGACCAGGGAGGGGCGAGCCGCCGGGGGAGCACAAUCAAACACUGAGGGGGAGGAGCGGACAGGGAGAGGGAGAGAGGAAAGGUAGGGAGAGGAGAAAAAGGGGGCGAAGGGCGGGGGAGGGGGGGCGAGGGGCCCGAGGAUGACGCGCCCGCCCAAGGCGGGAGGGGCCCGGCACGGGGCCAGGAGCCAGGAAAGGGGCCGCGAAGGGCGGCGGGUGGACGGGCGGAGGGAGGGGGAAUCGCGGGGGGCGCAAGCCACGAGGACAGAUGGGCACGCCGAGGGCGACAGGAGGGGGGAGACAGAAACGGCAAUAGGAUGGAACGGCCAGAAAAAAGGGGCGAUGGGGCAAGCGGGGCCAGGGGCACAAGGCACAACACAAGAAGCGGAGAGGGGCACGAAGCGAAGGAGGAGGGGACGAGACGAACCAAACGAAGGACCACGAGGCGGGGAAAAGGGGAAGCGCGACAUGAGGGGGGCGCAGAGAAAGCACGGCGGGAGGCGGGGCACAGGAGGGCAGGGAGCAGGGGCCGGGCAGACGGGGGAAAAAGGGAGGGACGCCAGAGCAAGGGGGACCGGGAGAGGGAGCAAGCGAGGGGGAUGCAAGAGCGGAGGAAAAGGCAGCAAGGGGGCAAGGUAGGAGCCGAAAGGACACACGCGGCGGCCAGGGGCGCGGGCGGGCACCAAAGCAGCGGCACACGCGGCAACCGAGAGCGGGCGAAAGCCGGCAGCGGGGAAGCGGGCCGGGCGCCGGAAAGGGCUGCGGAGCGCCCCCAAACCGAGCGCAGAGCGAGGGAUGGGUAUGGGCCAAAGAGAAAGAGAGCAGAGGGUGGAAGAUGACAAGGGGAGAGGCGAGAGGAAAACCGGCAGAGCACACCCCGCCCCUCGCGCAGGGCGCGGGGGCAGCCGGGGCGGGCGCGCGCUGAAAAGGAAAGAAAGGAGGGGGGGCCGUGGGGGAACCCGCAGAGCACCCGAGGGGGAGCGGGGAGAAGAGGAAGAGCGCGGGCGAGGAGUCGAGGAGAGGAAGGCUGAACCAACCGCGCGAUCAACCCACGAGGGGCCGGGGGUUUGGGAGGAGAGGGGAAGGGAGGGGGGGCGGAUGAGAGGGCCAAACGAAGAGGGGGAGGGGGACGCAGGGGACGCGGGGGGGAGAGGGCCGAGGGAGGGGCGAAAGAGGGCAAAAAGCAGCGCCGAGAAAGCGAAGAGAGGGAAAAAAGAGCAGGAAAGGAGGUGUGGCCGGGGGAAAGAGGGGGGCAGAGGAGGGAGGAGAGGGUAAAAAGGAAGGCGCGCAGAGCGCGAAAGGGCAGGGGGGGCGAAAAGCGGGCACACCGCGGGCAGAGAGCGAAGCGUCGGGAGACGGGACCGCGGGAGACAAGCGGAAGCACGGCGGGCGCACACGAUGCGGCACCCGCGAGCAAGAGCAAGGAGGAGACGGGGCACAACGACAAAAGGCCGAGGAGGCGAACGAAGUAUGUGUAGUGAGUGUGAAUAGGAGCAAGAGGAAGCAAGACGAGAGAGACAGCCAGAGGAGAGCAGACAUGGCCAAACAGACACCACCAGCUGGGGCAGCAGGCAGAGAGGGAGGGGCGGCGGGCAAAGAAAGACAGGAGGCGAGGCCGCGCGAGGGGGGGCAAGACGGGAAAAGGGCGUAAGGGUCGACCGCGGGAGCGGGGAGGAAGGAAGAGAGAAGGACAGAAGAGGGGCGACGAUGAGAAGCAAGGACGGACGAGAGGAAGAGGGAGAACGAGGUGACAGACGAUGAGAAGCGCGCGCAGAGAGAUUGAAGGAGACGACGCGAUGAGAGGCAAGAAAACACAGAGGAAUGAGAGCGAGCCGACAGAGAGGAAAGGAGCGGAACAGCCCCCACCGCCAAACGAAGCAGCGGGGAGGCGAAGAGGGUCAGCCGCUAAGAGGCGAAACCGAGAGAGACAGGGCGGGGAAAAGGGCGGCAAGGGCGGGCAGAAGGGAGAGGAGGAGGCCAAUAGCACCAGAGCGAACGGGGGCCGCAAAAGGGAGGAGCAGGGCAAGGGGCGGCGGCGAGAGGGAGAACAGGAGGGGCCGGCAGGGAGGGGAGGCGUGAGGGGCGCCAGAAAGACGGAGAGAGCGCCAGAGAAAACACGAUAAGGGCAGCGAAGAGACGAGAAGCGCAGACGGGGGCAGCAACGGGGGAGGGACAGCAGGAGACGGGCCGGCGAACGAGAACUGAAAGUGGGGGGUGGUCGUUGAGGGGACCAGAGAGAAGACUGGGCCGACUAUCAUCACUUUUUAGAGGAUAUUCAUUUUCAGCCAUUCAUUUUUACGCUCACUUGAUGGACAAUAGAACAAUAUCGGAAAAGCAUAAAAUUUGAUUUCUAGAUACUUCAAGUGGUAUAGAUCAUAUUCAACGGUGCUGAUCAUCGAUUUAGAGGCUCCGUCAUAAAAAACAAAUGGGUGGCAACGGAGCCCGUUUGCUACUAAUAGUAUUCUAGCUCAACUCUCUCUCUCUCUCUCUCUCUCUCUCUCUCUCUCUCUAUAUAUAUAUAUAUAUAUAUAUCCUCUUUGUAAGUUCAUUUAUUUUAGUAGCUUAUAGAGAAUCGCAUAUCUCUAUUUUAGGUUCCGACGAUUGAUUUUUUCUGUGCAUUUUCGACUGGAUAAUUUCUUAUCUUUGAAGCUGCAUUAAGGUAAGCCACCGGACACGCGUUAGUUUUCGCUAAAUAAUUUAGAAAAAUACUUUGAUUGUGUGAAAAUCUUAUUUUGCAGAUUUUAAAAUUAAGGGUUAAGUAUAUUAUUAAAUAUUUCUGUAAAUUGAGCUUCAACUGUGAUUGACAAGUUCUUUUAGCAAAAAGAAUUUUUGAAAUUUGAUAAUUUGUUUUGUAAAUUAGUGACCGGAUAAAUUUUGAAUUAUAAUGUCUUUUGGUAUUCUGCUAUACAAUGUUGGCCAUGUCGACAUGUAUUCUGUUAUAGAAGCUAGUUUCGUCUCUGUAUUGCAUCUUCGGGUACCCGCGGCUAUCCGCGCCUCUGUUCUGUAAUUGCACUUUCGAGCGCCUCUGUUUUGUACAUGCACCUUCGGGUGCUUCUGUUCUGUUUGCAUCUUCGGGUACGUCUGUUCUGUUUGUGCCUUCGGGUGCCUCUGGAUAUCGCCAACGGAUCACAUAAUAUAGUUAGAACAUUUAUUUUGUUUAAUUGUUGAAAAAGGAAAUGUUUGUAAAUUUAUUUGCUAUUUGAUCUGAAUCUUAAAUUUUGAUAAUCUGUAUUUUCUAAAGAUUUUGCAAAUUAAAAAUCAGCCGCUUAAAUUAAUUUCUGUAAUAGAAUUUACUUUAGAGCAUUUGUUAUAUAUUUAUUCGUAUGCUUAAUCCGACUAAUGUGGUGUAUGGUUGCGUACCCAAAUACCGAGACUGAUUUGCAGGGCGGGACCGGGUUUGAGUGAAUGUUAGACGUAGCUAGUUUUGUUUUUAGUCUCUUUCGUUUUAUGUCUAUUGCAUUUAGAUGUGAAUUUUGGGCUUCGUAAAUGAUCAACUGUUUAUCUGCUUUUAUUUUGUUAUUUCUUCGGAUCCACUUUUGUUAUUUAUAGUAUCUGUUAGACCAAAUUUUGUUUGCGAUGCAUAAUAAACUUUAGUUCUGCUUAUAUGAGAAUUCAUUUUAUAGUGUAACGAUCCGACCCGCCAGCAAUAAUAAUUCGUUGGGUCCAAACCACCAGCCCAAAAUGCUUAAGCCCAGUUAUUAUUACUAGCGUGUAGGCCUUAUAUAUUUUAAUCAGAAUCAGUUUUCCACCCCGAUGGUUUGGGCCCAAUGAGUUAUUAUUGCUGGCGGGUCGGGUCGUUACACAUAUGCUCUAUGUACAAUUUGGAAUGAUGCCUUUCCUUACCUUGGUGCAAGCUUGUUUUUACUCGAUUCAUUAAAACACCACUUCCACUUAUGAUAAUACUGAUAUCAUAGCUAAACUGUCUGUCUUUAUUCAAAUUAUGCGUAAUUUACCGGCCCAACCUAAUAUUACGUGCAAGCUACAGUGAUGAAGGUAAACCCAUUGUGCAAGAUAAGCUUUCCGAGGUGGCCGCCAGUUUGAUUUCUGCUUAUGAUAGUGGAGAGCUCCGUGAAGCACUGGAGGAAGGGCAUGCUGGUUGGCAAAAAUGGGUGAAGAGCUUUGGCAAGUUACUCAAGCGUAAGGUUAGUUUAGAAGCAUAACAAAAUGCCCAGAUAGUUUAAUAUAGUUGCUAAGUUUAGCAUGUUCUGUUUUUCAUAAUUAAUAAAUUACAGUUGCUUCUCCUCCUUUCUAUUAUCUAAAUAUGCUCGGAGGAAAGAUUUUGUCUUCAUAUUCUGUGGGAACUUUAUAUAUAUGCAUUCAUGUAGAUACCCACAUAAAUGUGUGUAUGCAUAGUGCUAUGCAUAUUUAUUUGUAAUGCUAAUUGAAUUCCAUGUUUAAGAGACGACAAGAAUAUAAAAAGGAAAAUUGUUAUGGUCACAGUUUCUAUCGACUUGGAAUUUAAAGUCUGAAUACCUAACAUCUUUUUUUUUUUUCCCCCUCUUCCUUUGAUUACUUAUCAGGGAAAAUCUCUAUUUAUGCCUCUUCGAGUAUUACUAACGGGGAAGCUUCAUGGCCCAGAUAUGGGGGGAAGUAUUGUUCUGAUUUAUAAAGCUGGUAUCUGCGGAGCAGUUAAUCCGCAAUCAGGUUUUGUACCUUUGGAUGAGAGACUCAAAAUUUUAAGGGAGAUUGACUGGGACGCAUUGAACAAGGGACCAGAUCCGCAACCCGAAUCUGUCGCAACCGUCGCUCAUUAAAUGUUUGUUUAACUAAUAUUUUAUUUUAUUUUAUUUUUCCUAUUCCUGAGGGCUUUUUGUUGUUUCUACUCACACAGCUAAAAUUCUGAGAGAAAAAGCCGUUGGUUGUAACAUCCAGCUUUUUGUGUGUAGUGAAUGUAGCAAUCUGAGUAGUGCAUCAUCUGUACCCUCUUUUGAUUUUGUUUCGGUGAUCUCUCUCUCAAUCAACUCAUGACCCUGUUUUUGAUUAAAUUUGGGUGAUCUCUCUCUCAAGAUUGAUAGUUUGUGCACCAUUUAGUCGCUGGUCGUCGCAAAUCUACAAACCAUUGCCGGCACAACUGCUGUUUUGUAGUUGGUUAUGUUGCUUGUGCAUUCUGAUUCUGGCCCUGAAUUGGAAUCCUCAACAACUACAACGACACACAAAUGGAAUCCUCCAACUUAUUAUUGGUUUUUCUUCAGGUUAUUGCCCUGUUUGUGUGUGACCAUUUGUAUUUUCUAUCCCUCCUGUGGUACUCGACAACAAGCACAUUAUGUUAGAUUUAGCUAAGUUAGAUUUAUAUAUUAAAUUUAAGUAGAUUAGAAAAUUGGUCGAAUUGCUUUUGAUGGUGUGGGAUUUUAUCCCUAUUAUUACUCUCCCCUCCAAGUCUUGAUUGUCCAUCACUUCUUCCACUUGAGCCUGAAUUAGCCUCUAAUUUCUCUUUUCUGACUUUCUUAUUCUAUUUUUAAUCUCUUUUUUUCGCAAUCCACUAUUACAGUAUAUGCUACAUAUUUAUUGCUACAGUAUUGGUGCUACAGUACUGCAAUAGUAUUUUAACUGCAUAAAAAAUUGUCUAUGGUUCAAUCUUUUGCCAUGUGACACAAUCAAACACAAUAAUCUUAUCGAGGAAAAGCUCAUCAAGGUUUUCAAGUAGGAGCCGAAGACACAACGCUUCGGCCAAUGGUCUCGGUCGGGCACCCAAAUCAUCUUCCAAACGCUGCAACUGAGAGCGUCGAAGCUGCAGCUUUGAGCUUUCUGGCAGUUGAAAGUUCGGGCGGGCGCCCCAAACCUAUCGCAGAUGCUAUGUUAUGUUUAGUUGCAAAUAGAAAUUAUCGGAGGGUUUAAGUACAAUUGUAGCACUUCUAUAGAAAACCUCUCAUAGCCAACACCCCUCCCCUCUUUCAUUUCUCUUUUGCACUCUCUUUUCUUUCUCUCUCUAAAAAGAAGAAAAAUCUAGUUUUUGCCCCUUUGUUGGAACCCUCAGAUCCACCCCUAUUGGGAGCUUGGAGAAGAUGAAGAGCUCUUAGAGGGAGCUCUAGGAUAGGAAAGGGAACCACCUCGCGAUCAACCCACAUUUUCCUUGCUUGGAGGAGAUGUUAAGUUGAAAUUUUUAGGGUUUGUUCUUAGAGAUAUUUCCAAACGAAAGAUUUUGAGGUUUUAACUCAGUUAGACUCUUUUUUAAGAGUUCCUUGAUGUUCUAAAGAGAUCAAAAAGCAUCUCCUAGAAAAAUCUAACUAGAGGUAAAAAAUAUCAUUGAAAUGGAUUUGAUUUUCCCUUUGUUUAAAGAAUUUGUUCAUAUGUAUGUAUUAUAGGUAAAAAAGUAAAUUAAAGUAUAUUUAGUUUGCAUAUCAUGAGAUUUAAAAGUUCAUGUGGGCUUAAAAGCUGUCACACCUCGGGCUAUAGCGAAGCCUCUGGGUACACUAAUAGACCCGCUGUAUACAUGGGAAGCACUUUGCGCACACGAAGCGUCAACCAUCUAUCAAUAGCAAGUAUUAGACGUUCACAACUACAAAAGUCCUAGUAGUCUGCAACUAAUAUGUAUGAGUAUAAAGUAAUCAAAUAGAUAAGCAAUGCUAUACAUACAUACAUCCAUAGUAUAUCAUACAUAUCCAAAAUACAGCCACCACGGGUCAGCCAAUUCAUAUAUGUAUUGGCUGGUGUCAAAAUAAAGUACAUAGGCUAGUCCUCCUCUAGUUUGGUCAAUACUAAUAGGAGAUGUUAUCUAAUCUACGAUCCCUUUACCUCAGCCAGAUGGAGCAGGAGCUAAGUUAUCUAAAACCAAAAAAUAACAAAAAAAGUGUGAAAACUAUUAAAUUGUAGUCCCUAGUAAGUCCUAUCGUCGACGACAAUGGCACAACCACUAGGUCUAUUAGAGACAAAGUUAGUACAGAUAGCUAAAUGAAAGUAGGAUAUAUAGAGUUGGUGAAAAUAAAUUACCACUAUCAUACCUCUAUACUACUACUGCUGAAAAUUGUAAUUCAUAAAUAGCAUGCAUCAACUAGUUAUUGAAUAAGUAAAACUGUAACCCAAUCACACUGGCCGACUUGUAAGUCUCGUCAAGCCUGCGCUCGCCUCACGCUCGGCCCCCACCUUGACUCCGUGGUCUGUCGACGCAGAGGCUAUCUAUACACUAAAUUAGCCGCCAGCCUCUAGAGGGGCACUCGAGGGGCGCGACUCGUUUGAGUAUAAUAGCAUAUCUAUCAAGCACAAUCAAGCUCCUGCAGGCUAAGUCAUAUGUGAAUGAUCAACCAGAUUAUAAUAAAUAUUAUCAAGGUGCCCACGGCACAAUCAGGUAUAACUCACUGUUUAAAAUUGCUGAAUUAAUCCACAACAACAAUAAAUUGUAAGCUGUCCAUAAUCUGUCAUCUCUCAAAUCCUCGGUGUAUAUCAAACUAACAGGUUAUGCAUAACUGUGGUGCCCAUAGGGAAAGAGAGUAAGAAGAAGGAGACUAAGAAUGAUAGAUAAGCCUCAGGGCGUUGAGUGAGAAAAGAGUAGAUGAGAAACAUCCCUGAACUAUUUAUAAACAAAAUACAAUUGCAGCCCAACCCAUAGAAAAUUAGAAAUAAUGCACCUUAGCUCAAAUACGCACUUUCGGGCACUAGAACUAGCCUUUCGGGCAUCCGAAUCUACGAUAGCUGUGUCCACUCCCUCUUUCAUGUGCUCGGACAGAAGCCUAAACUUGUUGUAGCUGCACGUGGACACUUCGGGUGCCCGAAAUCUUGUGCCUAAAACACCUAUGAGUCACUAUGCACAUGUCGAGGCAACGAUCAGAUCAUCACCAACCUACAUCUGGGUUUCUACAGUACUAUUGGGAGUCCGGAACUAGGAUUUGAAUUCACAUCCAAAGCCUGCUUGCUAGCGCCUUAAACAUCUUUUGGGCGUUUGAAACUCAUAAAACUUCAGUUUUAACAGGAUUUUCAAUCUCGAGUCUGUUUUCGCAUUCAUUUAGCGUCAAAAUGGCUCCAAUCCUGUCCAGCAAUCCACAUACGUGCUAACCAACUAUAUAUCCAUGUUGCAACCAAACCCAGUUGUCGAGGUCCAGAAAACUACAAAAGCAUUUGACUUAAGAAAACAGAGUUUCCAAUUCCUUUGCCAUGAAGAAUGAAAGUCCACAUUACAUGUAAAUAAAGUAUUAUAUAAAUUUGAAGCUUAGCUAGAAAUGUGAAUCAACAAGGAUUCGAACUUGAGACCUCGGGUACCAACCACCAAGCUUAAAGACUCUGUCCAUAGAGCUUCGUGAGCUCUGUGCGCUGAAGAAACGCAAGGAGAAGGUGACUGAGCUUCUGGCGAAGAAGGAGACUGGGAAGAAGGUGGCUGAGCUUCUGGAGAAGGAGACUAGGAAGAAGGUGGCUGGGCUUCUGGAGGAGAAGAAAUCUGGAAAGAAGGUGGUUGAGCUUCAAGAAGAGAAAAAGACUGGGAAGAAGGCGACCGAGUUUCAGGAAUAGAAGAAGACUGGGAAGAAGAUGGUGCUCUCCCCGAACCCACGACGUGAUCCGCAAGCGAUGAUUCUAGGCACGACUGGCGACGGGAAAGCCGCCUUCAAAGAUGCUCCCUGUGAUCUCGCCCCUGCUGGUGCGUAUUCUGUUUCGCAGCAGAGACCCAACGAGAUUUACUUGGAACUAGGCAAGGGAGUUAAAGCAGCCACCCACCUCUGUAAUCAUGGGUACGAGGGCUGCUCCAACUUCAAGAAGGUUACCUGGGCAAACACAUUAACUCGGACAGCCUACUUCAGACAAGAUAACCCCCUUCAAAUCUCUAGAUCAUUUACUGCACCCACCAAAUCUCAAGCUGCUGACAACUUUGGACCAGAGAACAAGCCUCGGCCUGAUAGGCAAGACUGGAAGAAGCGCCCCCCAUCCACGUCUUUUAAGAGGACGUACAGGGACGUGCUCCUCAGCCCUGGUUCUCCCACUCUACCUCCACUCCACCCCGCUCUCGCUCGUCGCCUCCGAGAUCGCAUCUUUCCCCUUCUUCGAACAGUGGUCGAUUUUCCUUCAAAGGCAGAUGUUAUAGGUGCUUGGGAAGGGAUCACUGGGUUGCUCACUGUCACGAUCCUAUUAGGUGCACCAAGAGCUUCAAGUCGGGCCACAGAGCUAAGCACUGCAUGCAACAUCUGCUGAUGGAGAUCUAUAGAGCAAUGCGCGUCGGGCUUGCGUAUCUUUCCGUUUUUGUUCCCUUGUCCGAUGACUUCUGGGCCCGACAAAAUCGCCGCAGAAAUGCUAUCCUGGUAGAUGUCGUCCCCCCGACCAAUCUCGGUCAUUUCCCUCAGGACACUAUCGCAAAUGGCCUUGCGAGUCCCUUCGGAAGGUACACAACCGACUUCCACAUUGCAAGGUACCGCGAAAGAGACUUCGUCGUUUUUCUCUCGGAAUGGGUGCCAUGCGACGACCUCAUCCACAGGGACAUCCUCAGUCUGGGGGAUUUUUGACUGCGCUACUUUCCCUGGAAUCCAUACAGUGCCGCACGGCGGCCGCCACUCACCUACAAAGCCUGGAUUCCUUUUGUUAGUCUUUCGUACGAGUGCUGGUCCUCUCGAACCGUGGCGGCUCUCGUCAGCGGUUUCGGCCGGUUCAUCAGAUCGGAUGACUCCAGCGCCUGCAUCGUCGACCUUUCUGGCUACCGGUGCCUGGUAGACGUCAACCACCUCUUCGAUAUUCCUUAAAACUUGGAGAUCUCCUUUGGGGAUCUAUCGCUUUCGGUGCUAAUCCAGCUGGAAAGGUGGGCUCGCAGCAAAGGAGGAGAGGCGUGCUAACCCCCACAAUGAACGCACGGAUCAGCACGACCCGCCUGCCAGACCUUCUUUUGGAGACAGCCAGCUCUCCGUCAGCUCUGCGCAAGGGAGACACAUGGAGAUCGGCGGUUCAUCUAACUCCGACGCCUCCUGGAAUUCUUCCAAAAUCCGCGAUAGACGACGCGAUGCUUUUCCUCCACAACGCGAUGCCCUCCCACCGCCACACGACGCUCUCCCUGUACCACGCGUCGCUCUCCCUCCACUACGACAAAUGGCUGGGCAGUCGGCGCCUCCUAUCAUCCCUCUGCGACGCAAUGCCCUCCCUCCGCCACGCGAGGCUCUUACUCCGCCGCGGCUUAUGACUGGGCAGCCGGCACCUCCCGCUACUAUUUCUUCGGCGAUCGGCAGAGCGACCGUCCUGAGGAGUGCCUUUCACUUUCACUUUCAAAUUCCCACGCCGUUGGGUUUUCCAUUCUCGUUCAACCUGACACCGGCUCUACCUUUUCCUCCUUCCCCUUAACUGGCUCUUGCCUCUCCAGCACCAUUAAUGCACUCUUACCUAAAUAUGGAAACCCCCUGGCUGACCCUUGGUUCUUGCACCUAGAAGCUUCUGACAAAGCGGGAUUUCAUGGGAUUUUCAACUCUGCGGAUCAUCGCCGGUGCAUUUAUUUUAACUUCCGGCCAUCCUUCUCGGAUGACCCGCGUAUCCUCACUGCAUUAGACCCCGCACCUUGCUCGUCCAGUCCGUGGUGGACCCUCACCUACUUAAUCUCUGAUCCUGGCUGCUUUGGGUUGGGGCUCAACCUCCAUUUAUCUGUCUCUGGCCGUGAUUCGUUUAUCUCUAAUUGUCUUGGGUCCUAGCCCAGCAAUGAUCUGGCGUCGGCCUUCCCAUGGAACGACUUUGGCAGCCUACCUCAAGAUGUGCCGCACCUGUCUGCUACUGAUUGCCUCACCCUAGAUGCGCCCAGAUUGAGUGCUCGCUUGGCCACGCUGAUGAAGGACUCUAUGUUAAGUAGGGCGAUGCGCAGAAAAGCGCACCGCCUCGAGGGGGGACCAACCAUGCCGGCGACUUCAGUGCACAAGAGGUUCAAAAAGAAAAUCAAGGCGCGGAGCCUGCUCUGCGGGGUGUCACUCUCCGAUUUUGACGCUACGGAAUUUAAAAAAUUCCUGUCGAUAGAAGCCUAGAUGUAGUAUGCCUGUCGAGUCUGUGUCAACUACUGCUGUAUGUGUUUUUCGUUUUUUCGAUGUUUAACUUGUUAAGUUGGAAUGUCCCUGGUCUGCAUGAUCCGGCCAAGCGUUACUGUGUCAAGUUCGUGUUGUCUAAUCUCUAUAGUACUGUCGUCUGCCUUCAAGAAACUAAAGUGGAUUCCGUGUCCCGUUCGUUCCUUCGUUCUUGUUGCGGCUCUUGCUACGACCGGUGCCACUUUAUCCCCGUUUUCGGGACCUCUGGCGGUUUACUCACGUGCUGGAAUUCUAAUUUUUUUUAAGUGUAACGAGGUCUUGGUUCGAGAGCAAUCACUCACUCUCAACCUAACCCAUCUUGCUACCGACAAGACCUUCUAUCUCACUAACGUCUACGGGUCCCCCACUUAGGACGGAAAAGAAGAUUUUUGCUCUGAACUGCUUGCACUCAACGGGACCUGUUCCAAUAGGUUAUUUGCGGCGACUUUAAUUUCACCAGAAACCAAGCCGAAAAAAGAGGAAACCCUUGGAGCUCCAAAUCCAUGGCAAUGUUCUCGGAUCUCAUCUGAAACCUAGCGGUCAUUGAUUUACCGCUGUCGAACCAAACCUACACCUGGUCUAACACGUAACAAAAACCCUCCCUGGCCAAACUCGACAGAUUCCUCGUCUCCACCGAGUGGGACCUUUCAUUCCCCCUUAGCAAGGUCAAGGCUUUCCCGCGGAUCACUUCUGACCACACACCGAUCGUUCUCUUCACCGGACUCCUCCCCAUGCCGCGGAGAUUUCGAUUUGAAAGGAUUUGGCUCACCAAGGAUGACUUUCUGUCGAACGUGCCGAAAUGGUGGAAUGAAGUCCCUUGUAAGCAAUCAACCAUCCUCUGUAUAACUCCUAAGCUUAGUCAUUGCAAAACUAGGAUAAAGGAAUGGUGCAAGUCCAACUUCCACAGUAUAUCCCACACAAAGAAGCACAUACAGGAGGAACUUCAAGAAUCGACCACCUAGAGGAACACUCUAACCUGUCUCAAAAACCCUGGAUAAACGGACCAAUCUCAAAGGGCAACUACAGCUUAUCUUAAAGGAGGAAGAAAUCCUCUGGAACACCAGGGCCAAACAACUCUCGCUCAAAGAAGGUGACGAAAAUGCUAAAUUUUUCCACGCCGUGGCUAAUGGCCGGAAACGAAGCAACGCCAUUGAAAUCAUUGAGGAUGAAUUAGAAAAGCAAAUCACCAAUGAAGAGGACAAUAUAUUCUACUUCUUUCACGCUUUUAAACGCCUAUUUGGUCACGCGGAUGAAUGUCUUCCUUCAUACGGAAUUGGAGUAACCUCUAUCACUCUAAUAGAUUGUGCAACCCCGACUCCCUAACGUCCCCAUUCACUCUUGAGGAGGACAAGACAGCUACCUUCCAACCAGGCAGUGACAAGGUCCUCGGGCUAGAUGGCUAUCCCCUUAUUUUCUUCCAAACCUUCUGGGAGACGGCAAAGAAGGACAUUUUCAAUGUAUUCCUUGACCUGCAGGCUGACAGACAUUUUACGGGUCCCAUCGAUUAUUCAUUUGUGUGCCUCAUCCCCAAAAAAGAAGGACCGCGCAAGGCAAAUGACUUCCGACCGAUCAGUCUCAUCAACGGAAUACAAAAAAUCAUCUCUAAAGUCCUCGCCAAUUGACUUGCACUUACACUGCCGUCCAUAAUCUCCCUUUCCCAAUCGACCUUCCUCAAAGACCGGCUACUAAUAGACUCAUUUGCUAUAGCAUGCGAACUAGUCAACUGGUGCUCAAAAUCUGGCACGAAAUGCGUUUGUAUCAAGGCCUAUUUCGAAAAAGCUUUCGACAAUGUCAUAUGGACCUUCUUGCAAAGCAUCCUUAGAUGGCUCGGCUUCAGUGAAAAAUGGUGGUCCUGGAUCGAACAAUGUAUAUGCAAUGCCAAAGUCGCUAUUUUAGUGAAUGACACCUACCCCGACUAGAUGGCUAAAAGCUAAGAAGGGCCUUAGACAGGGAGACCCGCUCUCACCCUAUCUCUUUAUUUUAGUUGCUGAUUGCCUAGCCAGGCUGACCGAAACCGCUAGGGGCAACAAUCUACUACGUAGAAUUGGCCCAACUGAGGACUGCGAAACGGUGCUCCUUCAGUACGCCGACGACACAAUAUUUUUUUGCGAACCCAGAAAACAUUUCAUGAGGAACCUUCAGUUUCUUUGGAAGAUCUUUGAGUGGGCCUCUAGACUUAGGAUUAACCAGAACAAAUCGGAAUUGUACUACUUGGGAUCUCGACCGCGCAAAGCCGACAGAUUGGUCAACAUCCUAGGAUUUAAAGUGGGCAAGCUAUUGUUCGCUAUUUGGGCCUACCACUUUACAAUAAACAAUUACGUAAGGAAGAUUGGGCCUUCGUAAUCAACCGCGUCAACGCAUGAAUCGACGGAUGGAAAGCUAAACUCCUAUCUCAAGGAGGAAGACUUAUUCUCGUCAACUCGGUUCUUACCAACUUACCGCUAUUUCACUUAUCUACUUUCAAAGCACCAUAUUGGGUACUACACAGGAUCGAGGGCCGAAGAAGAGCGUUUUUCUGGAAAGGGACUUCUACUAUCUUUGGAUGAGAAUGUCUCAUCAGCUGGAAAACCAUCUGUAGAAGCAAGAUUGAAGGAGGGCUAGGGAUCAAAAAUAAUGGACGCUAUGAACAUAGCCCUCUUAACCAAAUGGUGGUGGCGCUUUCUCAACGAACCAAAUCUCCCGUGGUGCAAACUAAUAAAUUCUCUUUACUACACCAGACGUAAACCGCUACAUGACGGCAGAGCCUUCGUCCCCUAUUCGUAAUGGUGGAAAAGUGUGGUCCGAUGUUGUGAUGUGUUCAAAUGCAGCGUAUCCUACGAACUAGGCCGUGGUACUAAUAUCAAGUUGUGGUCUGAUAUCUGGAUUGGAGAAACCCCUCUACGCACGCUGUUCCCAUAUAUCUUUUCCUGCUCUAUUAUUUAGUUUUUAAUCCACACUCUUUUUUGUCUUUCGGAGGCCUUAGCUGCUUCCACCCUGGACGCUUAAUUCAUUUGUUUUAAUGAAUGAAGCAGCUACCUCUUUCUCAAAAAAGAAAAAAAUAAUUUGAAGCUUAGAUGAUAUAAUAGUGACAUUUAACCUAGGAUGUAACGUAUGGUGUUAAACAUAGUGAUGCAUAGACAUCUAGGAAAACUUGAGCUAGAGAACAAAAGGACUUACAAAUGAACUGACCCUUGGAAGUCAUGAGAACUUAAUUAGUGUGUAACUAAGAUAUAAGUUACCAAUCGUCCCUAGAGCAACUGGCAAAGGACUUGGUGGUUGGUACCUGAGUGUACCAGUACAGAGCCAGAGAACCCUCAACCCGAGCCUUGGGUUGAGAUUUUCGUGGGGCUUGUACCAGUACAAGGACUCGUGUACCGGUACAAGGAGGCUGAUUUCGUGCAGUUUGAACUGCAGGGGUGUUUUGGCAAUUGUGGACUUCUUAUAUCAACACCCACGCCCUUGAGGCCUCCCCUGAGCUCACCAGCAGCAAGAGGAGAGGUAAGGGAGCCCUCCACACUCUCCCCCUUGAUUUCCUUGGUUUUUAUUUGGAUUUAGAGAGAUUAAAGCCUCUCUUUUUGCUCCUUUUUGGGUGUUGGAGGCUUUUCCACCAUUGGAGCUUGGGAUUGGAGCUUGAGAGGAGGAAGAUCUCCACACUUGGUGAACUUAGAACCUUGAUUGAAACUUCUAAGAGGUUAGUAACCCCUUCUCCUCCUCUAGAUUUGAGUUUUGUUGCUUUUUGAUAGUUGGAACCCUAGAAUGAGGUUUUAGGAUUAAUUUUGGGCAUUUUGAUUCUAGGGCUUUUGGGGCUAAAUUAUUUGGAUUAGAGCACUCCUUUGGGUUGGAUUGGAAGGAUCUUAGCCUUCUUUUGGAGCUUGUGAGAGUUUUUCUCCACCCUAGGUGAGAUCUUAGCCCUUUUGCCUUGUUGGUUAAUAUUUGAUCUUAUAGUUGAUAUUAAUGCCCGUGUAUCUCUUCGCUUAAUAUUUUUAGGGUAUUUGGAGACUCGUGGACAACUCCGUUCGGUGAAUCGAGGGAUUAUGCGACGGUUCGGUGGGUUUGACCUAGCCACACAAUGAGAAAUCUCAUUGUUGAUGAUUUAAGUGUUGUAAAAUGAAAAAGCAUCCAUAUUCUUGUUAUAUGUAUUUAUUGUGAAUUUUAAAAUGCUUAAAAUGCCUAUGUUACAUAUAGUGCAAUUUUGGACUCCUAUAUAGUAGAGAGUUGCAUAUGAAGCCUAUGUUUGAUUGUUUAGCAUUCUUAUAUUGGGCCAUGUUCCUUAUAAUGAAAAUGAGCUUGAAUCAUGCAUUUAAAUCUAAGUUUAUUUGUGACAUGAAAGUUAGCUAAUAUGCCAUAAAGAGGCAUCAAACUAGAAUGUUAUGUGAAUUAGAGAGCUAAUGUCAUCAAGCGGCAUUGAGCUCGGGACAUGGGUGAACCUAGUGGAUAGGGCCAUUGAGGGAUUUGGUGUAUGCUCAACAUUGAAAUGUCGAAGUGUCAUCAAGGGGCACUAGACUUCAUGAACGUUGGAACUUUAAUUGUGACUUAGACCUAGAUCUUCAGGAUGCUAGUAACUAUACCAUGUUAGAAACAUGAGGAUUGGAUACUUGAGACUUGGACUACGCUUGCUUGCCAUUUGUGCUCAUUCGCACAUGCUUGUGAGGGUCGCUCCCUACAAGCCGGCACUCCGGAGUUAGUCUACGCGACUUAUGUUCGCUCGUGCGGUAUUGAGAUGCCUACGGGGUCGAGUGGGAUAGACACAUUCCAAGAGUAGGGAUGUUGGGCUACCACAGGCACUUAGGCGGCACAAGCUGGACUACCUUUGGUAGGUCCUUGAUUGGAAAUGAAAAUCGACACGGUGUUGUGUGUGUUAUAAUCACUACUAGAUAGAGAGUAGUAGUUGGGUUACUUGGACUUGCUUCUAGCAUAGUUUUGGACACUAGAGUAUAUAUACAUACAUGUAGUAUGCUAGGAGAUGUUGUUUAUUGCAUCCAUAUAUAUAUUGUUGCCAUGAUAAAGCAUGAUCUUUAUAACUUCAUAAAGUGGACCGUGACAAUUACCUGUGGCCAUGUUGAGACAUAUUACUUGUGCAUUGAACAUUCUUUAUUAUGAAAGAGUAAAUGUAGAACAUUGACAUCGUAAUGUUUAUGGUAUAGUAAGCUUAGUAAACAUGCAUACUUUCAUACCGCAGUUAUCAUUAUCAUUAUUGUUGUUUACCGUGCUUACUCGUUUCUUCUGGGGCCUAGUGGUGCAUUGAGCUGAGGUCAGUAAUUGCCCACUGGAAACUAUAAAUUAUAGUUCUCACGCCCUCGUUUUCUUGAUGUUUUUCAGAGCCUUCCAUGUCGGGAGAGGCUAGAGACCGCGGGAAGGGAGUUGCUUCGAGCUAGCUUCCUUCGAGGACGAUUUGAUAGGUGGUCUACCUCUCGUUAUUUUAUUUUGUGAGAGGUUGAGAGUUGUACCCGUAUAUAUAUAGAGACCACCCUUCUUUUGAAUUUUUGUAUUUCUUUUGAGGAGUUUGCAUUGUAUCACCUUGUGCUUUACUAUUAUGGAUUAGUAUAUUUCCUUUAUUCUUGUUUUAGAUGAUAGAACUUUACUUACUCUGAUAUCGUUAGAUAUUAUUCAUUCCUAGUCGUUGUAAUUCUUGCUUUUACUUCCGCUUUUAUUUUAGACGCCUUAUAUGUGUGGACAUAUGGCGGGUCUGGGCACGCUACCGGGAGGGCCUCCGCCGGUCCCGGGGCGUGACACUGAGGUUCCGAGUUCGAAUCCUAGUUGAUUCACAUUUCCAGCUAAAUUUAUUUCUAAAUGAAAUAAAUGAAGCAGGUAGCGUGCUACCUAUCUCUCUCUCUCAAAAAAAAAGAAGAUAUAAGUUAUGACUUUUCGAAAGUGUCAUAUUGGGAGAUGUCGACUCUCCUUAGCUCACUACUUCAUAUUGGGAGAUGCCGAUCAUUCUCGACUUUCUCUAUCAUGUUUGGUGAUACCGAUUUCCUUUGACUCCAAAUGCCUACUGAUUGGAAAGAUGCCGGUCGUCUUCGAAUAAUUGUAAAAAUUAGUUUCUAGAAAAUUCAUAUAAUUUAUACCGUAUAUAAUAGAGGUGAUUGUUGAUUUGGAAAACUUAUCACCCAUAACAAUGUGGAAAAGGUUUUGUUUGUUUUUAAAAGUAUCCUUACUUUACUCUAACGGGAAGCAAAAGACAAGUUGCACUACAACAAAAACGGUCUAUAGCGACACUUUUAAAUAUAGGUACAUGUCAAAAAAGUGCUGCUAGCUAAAAUUACCGACACUUUUAAAAAGUGUUGCUAUAUGUGGGGUCGCUAGGUAUAUAGUGACAGUUAAAGAGUGUUGCUAUAACCUAAAAGAGUGCUGCUAAUUUACUAACACUUAUUUAAGCAUUUAGCAACCGCCGAAACUCUAUCUCGUUAGCUGCGGUGGCGGAGGAGGACGACAGAAAAGGCUCUUCGUCUAGAAUUUCAGUGGAUUGAGUGAAGAGAGAAGAAAAGAUGGUAAUUGAUUUUUCUUUUUUUUUCUUUCUAUUUGUAAUUCGGGCCAAAUGGAUGAGUGUGAUGGGUUGAAAUAGAGUAAUUCUUUUAUCGUUUGUUGAUUGCUUUUAUAUUUAACAUUAGUAGAUAUUAUUUAUUAGUUUUAGGAUAAAUGGGACAGCUUACUCAAAAGUGUCUCAAACAUGUGAUGCCCUCAUAACCUAAUUCUGUUUGAGUAGUUGAGAUAUUGAGACUGAGCAUCGAAAUAAAUCUUCUUUGGCAACUAAACAAUAACGGAAAACUGUAUUGCCGUUAGGAAGGCAAAACUUGACGCCAUCUAACAUAUCUCAAAAUACAAAUUGGACACUUCCAUACUGACACUCCUAUUAAAACGCUUCCGCGUGUGUUUUUGAAUAAAGUUAUGUUAAAAAGUACAAUAUGUCUCUCUGUUUUUUAAUCAAAGACUUGCAUUCUCUCUUCUUAAAAUCUUGCAACAAGAGACCUAAACGAUGUUAACUUAUAAAAAAUUAAGCAAAAUCACGUGCUCCGGACGAGUGGACAGCAAAGAGUGCGCUUUGACAAUAUCACAUAUAUAUAUAUAUAAACUAAAUACCUACUAUAUAAUAGUAUAUUAUAUAUACUAAAUAUACUAAUACUAAUAAGUACCACCAAUGAGUUGUUUAUAUUUAAAGUUACUAAGUUAUUGGUGGCCUGUAAAUUUUUUACCAUUUGACUUAAGAGAUAGCGGUUACGAAUGUUGGCCCUUCUAAGGGUUGAGUGGUGGUUGAUUGAAUAGUAUAAUCUUAUGAUUGAAAAUUGAUUCGAAAAGUAGGAUCUACACGGUAAAAACUGACCAACAUUAAUACUGUGGCUUUUACAAGCAUCAUACACUGAUAUAUAUAAAUAUACCUCCAUAUACCUAUAUAUAUACCUAAUAUACUAUACAUACUAUAAUAUAACCAUCAGUAACGUGAUACUUCCUGGAACCCUAACCAAGAACGUAGUUGAACUGAAUUUGUAAAAAAUAAUAUCCAAGCAUCACUCAAGACAAGAUCGUCUCGUACAAUUUCACUUGUUUAAUAGUUGGAAUCUUGAAGCAUAAGAAAUUCUUUAACUUCAGCGUGUUUUAUGCCUACCUGGAGUGUAAAUCAGGCCAAAGGGGGGUGUUUGCGUGAUGUACAAUGGAUGGAAUCAGAUAAAUUGUUCGGUGGAUGCAAAGUGGUUUGCUAUCAUUUGUUAUUCGUCGUAAAAAUUUUUUGGAAAAAUACUUUUACGUAUUUAAGGGAAACUUCUAUUUCGUUUUCCGCGUGUGAGGUGGAUAACGAAAACUCGAGGCAAAUCGCGUCUCGCGGCGGCGGGCUUUGUCACGGUCCAGGAGGCCCAAGCGGCCUCAUGGACUCGCAUGGAGGGAGUCCAACGGUGGACCUCCUCUUAUAUAGAAUAGCUAUCAUAUACUAUAUACUCUACUAUAUAAUUUAUAUCAUAUACUGCGGUUUUGAAUGAUGGCGGGCCCCCUAAGGGUUGAAGUGGGUGGUUGGUUGAAUAGGCAUGAUUACGGGUGACAAUAUCAAAGGUAUGAUCUAACAGCGGAAAACUGGUAGCACCAAGUGCGUCGUGCUAUUAUAACCAAGUCAGUCCGGACUAUAUAUAUAGUAUACUAUAUAUAGUAUUUUAUUUUUAUAUAGAGAUAUUAUUAUAUAAUAUUUUAUUUAUAAAUUUAUAAUUAUUUAUUAAUAUUUAUAAUUAUUAUGUAUUAUGUUUAUUAUAAUUUUAAAUAUAUUUAAUCUAUAUAUAGAAAUUAUAAUAAUAUAUAUAGUAUAUUAAUUAUUAUAUAUUAUAAAUAUAUAUAAUAAAAAUAUAUUAAAUAAUUUUUUAUCUAUAUUUUUUUUUUCUUUCAACCAAACAACCGUUACGGAAAACUAUUUUUCUUUUCUUACAAAUCAAACACUAAACGAUAUAAAACUUUUUUUCCACUGAAAUUUUUUUUUCCACAGUUUUACGUGAAACCAAACACACCCUAAGUUGAACAAAGGCGGCCGGUUCAGCCAGGCUAUGGGUCGUGCUGAUCCACGACAGAUCCACGACUGGGCCUUGCUGUCGUGGAUCAAUGGAUAAGGGCGUCCAACAGGAAAGCUUUACUCUCCCAGUCCAAAGAAGGCACAAUGUGUGGAAGGUAAGCAUAAAACUAGCAAUAAACGUAUACAUCUAAUAUAUGCAAAAAGAGAACAAGUAUUAUUAUGUCUCCGUCAAUACAGAUAAUGAAAUCUUAGUAAUUCAACCCGUAAAUAUGCUUACUAUUAUCAGUACCCAAUUCACAAGGAUCAAAAAUACAAAGUUCGUUCUAUCAUGCAUCAAGCUAGCCAUUGGCGGCGAAAUCAUCACACUCACCUUAGGAUAUAUGUCUAUGGACAGCAAAAACGUCGCACUCUCUUAGGGCCAAUUAAUAGGUGGUGAAUUCAUUAUACUCAUCAUUAUACUCACUUUCAUUGAUGGAAAGGAUGAGAAGUAAAUGACAUCGUUUACUUCCAAAACAUAUUCUAUACUAAAUCUCUCUCUCUCUCUCUCUAUAUAUAUAUAUAUAGAGCUAGUCUCCUAUAUUAUUUAUAGUACCGAGGCUCCGAUACUAUAGUCCUGUUUUCGAUUUUAGGGUGUUCAAAUCAACGAUCCAUACUAUUAAAACUGAUCUAGGGUAUUUAAAGUUUUUAGAAAUAAAAUUUUAUAUUUUUUUGACAUAGUUAUUUUAUGAUCAAAUCAUUUCAAAAUUGUCAAUUUUUAAUGGUUACUAUAGCGAGUUUGGAGGUUAACGAUGUAGAAGAAUCUAAAUUUCUUCAAAUUUGAUAGAAAAUACUUUAAACUAUCAAGAUUAAGGUUAACAUUCUUGAUUUUGAAUUUAAAAGUCUUAUACUCAAAUUUUAAAGAUUAUUCAAUUUCUACUGUCGGGCUACUAAACUCUUAUGAGUAUUGGGUCCUUCGUACUCAUAAGUUGUUUUCGAUGAUGGGGCUUCCGAAUCGACGAUCCAUUCCGUUAAAUAUGAUUUAGAGUAUUUGAAACUUCUAAAAAAUAAAUUUCGUAAUUUUUUGGAAUCAUAAUAAAAUCCAUCAAGCGGGUAUAAAAUUAAUGAACGGUCGAAAUCGAACGACGUCCUAAAAAUGGAUGAUCAGAUCCUUCAAUUUAAGAUCGGAGUUAUUGAUCUUUAUCUAAAUAGCGAAUAGAAUUUUUUAUUAAAAUUCAACCGAUUCCGAUUCUUUUACACCGUUAAACUAGCAAGUAUCCCAUACCGGCCGUUAAAAAUUAUCAAUUUUGUGACCUUUUGAUCGUAAGUUAAUGAUGUCAAAAAAUUAUGAAAUUUGAUUUUUAGAAGUUUUAAAUACUCUAGAUAACAUUUGACGGUAUGAAUCGUCCAUUUGAAAACUCUAUCAUCGAAAACAACUUAUGAGUACGAGGGCGAUCAUACUCAUAAUAGUAUAGUAGAGAGAGAGAGAGAGAGAGAGAGAGAGUAUGUGAGUAAUGCUAUAGACAACACAAGUCCUUUGUUAUGCCCACUCUAUCUUUAGUAAUCGAGCUUUUGAAUCACUGAUCAAUAUUGUUAAAUAUUAUUCAUAGUAUAUGAAUAAUCUAAUGACUAAAUAUUCAAAUUUUUUGAAGCAAAUUAUCUAGUAAUUGAAAAAUUUCAAAAUUAACGAUAUUCAAUAGCUGAUAUGAGGUGUUUAUUAAUUUAACAACGCUUUGAAAGCGUUGAAGUACACUAUGAUAUGGUUUGAAACGAAUUGAAAUUUUUUAAAUUAACAGUGUUUCGAAAGUGUUUUACGUAACAAGGAUUGGAAACAAAUCGAAAUUGUUUGGAAACUUUAUUGUUUUCUAGUACUACAUUAUGGUGGUUGGAACUAUAUAUUGCUUCCAUCAUCAAUGUUCUUAAAAAGAUGAUGUUAACGAGGUUUAUAUAUAUUAGAAUGAUGGCUAAUUUGCAUAAAAAAUCCACUUAUUUUGGGCUUUUGCAAAAUUGGGCCACCUUUUUCGUUUUUGCAGAUUCAGUCCGCUUUUUCAGCAAACUGACCAAAACACCCUUAUUACUUUUUCUCUUUCCUCUUUCUCUCUCUUCUUCAUUUCUGUCGUUCUUUUUUUCUUUUCUCGCCGGCAGAGCGGAGGCGGAGUGGAGGCGGAAACGGUCCGUCUCGCCUCUCACCCUCAUGCUCUCGCCCUCGCCCUUGCCCUCGUCCAUGCACCCCCCAUCUUCCUCGCCUCCGACCCCGCCAAGGCCGCGCUGCGACUUUUUUUUUUUUGCNNNNNNNNNNNNNNNNNNNNNNNNNNNNNNNNNNNNNNNNNNNNNNNNNNNNNNNNNNNNNNNNNNNNNNNNNNNNNNNNNNNNNNNNNNNNNNNNNNNNNNNNNNNNNNNNNNNNNNNNNNNNNNNNNNNNNNNNNNNNNNNNNNNNNNNNNNNNNNNNNNNNNNNNNNNNNNNNNNNNNNNNNNNNNNNNNNNNNNNNNNNNNNNNNNNNNNNNNNNNNNNNNNNNNNNNNNNNNNNNNNNNNNNNNNNNNNNNNNNNNNNNNNNNNNNNNNNNNNNNNNNNNNNNNNNNNNNNNNNNNNNNNNNNNNNNNNNNNNNNNNNNNNNNNNNNNNNNNNNNNNNNNNNNNNNNNNNNNNNNNNNNNNNNNNNNNNNNNNNNNNNNNNNNNNNNNNNNNNNNNNNNNNNNNNNNNNNNNNNNNNNNNNNNNNNNNNNNNNNNNNNNNNNNNNNNNNNNNNNNNNNNNNNNNNNNNNNNNNNNNNNNNNNNNNNNNNNNNNNNNNNNNNNNNNNNNNNNNNNNNNNNNNNNNNNNNNNNNNNNNNNNNNNNNNNNNNNNNNNNNNNNNNNNNNNNNNNNNNNNNNNNNNNNNNNNNNNNNNNNNNNNNNNNNNNNNNNNNNNNNNNNNNNNNNNNNNNNNNNNNNNNNNNNNNNNNNNNNNNNNNNNNNNNNNNNNNNNNNNNNNNNNNNNNNNNNNNNNNNNNNNNNNNNNNNNNNNNNNNNNNNNNNNNNNNNNNNNNNNNNNNNNNNNNNNNNNNNNNNNNNNNNNNNNNNNNNNNNNNNNNNNNNNNNNNNNNNNNNNNNNNNNNNNNNNNNNNNNNNNNNNNNNNNNNNNNNNNNNNNNNNNNNNNNNNNNNNNNNNNNNNNNNNNNNNNNNNNNNNNNNNNNNNNNNNNNNNNNNNNNNNNNNNNNNNNNNNNNNNNNNNNNNNNNNNNNNNNNNNNNNNNNNNNNNNNNNNNNNNNNNNNNNNNNNNNNNNNNNNNNNNNNNNNNNNNNNNNNNNNNNNNNNNNNNNNNNNNNNNNNNNNNNNNNNNNNNNNNNNNNNNNNNNNNNNNNNNNNNNNNNNNNNNNNNNNNNNNNNNNNNNNNNNNNNNNNNNNNNNNNNNNNNNNNNNNNNNNNNNNNNNNNNNNNNNNNNNNNNNNNNNNNNNNNNNNNNNNNNNNNNNNNNNNNNNNNNNNNNNNNNNNNNNNNNNNNNNNNNNNNNNNNNNNNNNNNNNNNNNNNNNNNNNNNNNNNNNNNNNNNUUAACGAUGCAAUUUCAUGUUCAUCCUUCUUUUUAUAUAAUUUUUUAUCUUUAUUUUUUUUUUAUUUUUUCUAUAAUUUUUUUUUGUCACCCUCUUUGCCAAUAGCCAUGGUGCUGGCGACGACGCCGCUAAGGACCCCCGCUCCGAGCCUGUAGCGUCGCAGUGACCUCCACGGUGUCGACGUUGGCGCCGGCGAAGAUGCAUCGUCGUCGGAUGCGGCAGAGAAUGAGGGAGAGGGAGAGAUGAGAAGGGCGGGGAAGGACGAGAGAGGCGUCGUCGUCGGAGACGGUGGAGAAGAGUCGGAGAAGAAAAGAAAAGAAAAAAGCAAAAAAAAAAGGUCGCGGCGCGGCCUUGGCGGGGUCGGAGGCGAGGAAGAUGGGGGGUGCAUGGACGAGGGCAAGGGCGAGGGCGAGAGCAUGAGGGUGAGAGGCGAGACGGACCGUGUCCGCCUCCGCUCUGCUGGCGAGAAAAAAAAAAAGAACGAGAGAAACGAAGAGGAGAGAGAAAGAGGAAAGAGAAAAAGUAAAAAGGGUAUUUUGAUCAGUUUGCUGAAAAAGCGGACCGAAUCUGCAAAAACGAAAAAGGUGGCCCGGUUUUGCAAAAGCCCAAAAUAAGUUGAUUUUUUAUGCAAUUUGGCCUAGAAUGAUAGAUUUGCUAAUCUAAAUUUUAGUUGACGUCUAAUUCUAAUUUUCAUUAGAGUAAACAAAUUAAACCACACGAAGUAGGAUUUGUAAAUUAUAUAUACUCAGCUCUAGCUAGCAUAUAGCUGGCCCAGCAUUAAUUAAUUAGCUCCAUGUGAACACUGCAGUUUUGUGUCCAUCAAAACGUAGAUCCCAGUAAAAACUUCCCCAGCUAAGUUGACUUCUCUUCUUCUCUCGCCUGUAUUUUGUGAGAUCUCACUCUAUGCACUAUCACAAGAGACAAAUAAUUAACAUAAGUUGUUGAAGGUUAAUCAUGCACCAUAACAAUUGUAUGCUAUUAUUCAUCAUACCUAGCGCAGUAAGUUUAGGACUUAUAAUUGGUACGUGAGGGUUUCAAAGUUCAAAAUUAAGUUUUUUUAUAUUUUUAAUUGAGUUUAUUUUUUAAAAAAAUUAAUGAAUUGUACUCCUUACUAUGUACGUACUUCUCUCGCUCAAACAAAAAAAUUGUAUGUUAUCUAUGGAGGCGGGGAAGGUGAAGCCUCUUUUUUAGAUCGAAAUUACUGCCAUGUUACCCAGAAGAUCAAAUGGAGGGGGUUUUAGGACUAGUUCUAUUACUGUUUUAACCAAAAAAUUAAUUUUGUAGGACAUAACUAUUAGAAAAUUGCGUACGGUAAAAACGCAGCAGAAAAAAAAAAUCAAACAAAUUUGAUUUUGAAAACGAUCCAAUCUCAAAAACCACGCAAUUAGGAUCACUCAUAUUCUUUAAGAUUAAGAGAGAAAAGCAAGAUCGAAUCUUUACCCUUUUCACGAAUAAAUCUUCACUUCAACUUGAUAAUCGUGGAAUUGGGUUCUCUUGAAGCCGCACACGCGUUCAGUCUCUAUAGAUAUCCACACGAGAUUCUUGAUUUGAUCGAUAUCCUCACUGGGGUGCUAGCUCCCUUACAAAAGGACGUUUUUCUUGCUAGAAUAUGGAAGAGAGAGGAGAGGAGAGAUGACAGCUAGGAUUUUCUAAAAACUCAUAUUAUUAUAUAGAAGAAUAUAAUCCUCUUAUUAAUAAUAUAAUAACCAUUAAGCAUAAGUACAAAUCUAGAUUUAAAUAUAUCAUUUCCUUAAUUGGUUAAAUCGAUUAAAUCCUAAUUUGAUUCGACUUGAAUUUUAUACUAAUUUGAUCAUAUCAAAUUAAUAAUACAACAUUUGCACAAAAGUCCUCUUAUAAUUUACUAACUAUUAGUAAGUCCUCUUAGUAACAUUUAUACCUUAAUACCACUAAUUUGUAACAAUUACAAAUUAGUCCAAUUAUCAACAUAUUGACAAUUAGGUCCAUCGACGAUUCAAUAAUCACGAUCUAGCUAUCUGAUCAAUCACAACCUCGUAUGUGUGUGACCCCAUAGGUUCUAUUCUAUCUGGUAGUGAGAUAUAUUUUAAUCACUAUCAACAUAUCACUAAAACUCCUUUCAGUGGAUCGGAACAAUUUCAACUCAGCCCAAUGAGAAUUAUCGAUCAUCUAGAUAAUUCUCAUGAGUCUGACAAUCCACCAAUGACGCCUAACAGCAUGUAGUGGCAUUCCAGUAGAAUGGAAUACUGAACCUCUUGGUACAGUUACCGUGUGAUACAAUCUUUCUAUCAUGAGUUUCGAUUAGACGGAGGUUAUAGAAUAACUCGUCAAACCCCAUCAUCUGUCAUAUGUUAAAUUUAUUCGACUCGAGUCUCUAAUAUCGGAAACCCUUUUCCGCUAUUAACUCUGCCCUGGCCAAGGUCUUCUAAACUCGGUCUCAUAAAUCACAUAGGACUAACACCCCUAUCUACCAAGAGAGAUAGAUUCCAUCAAGUGCGCACCAUAUUUCUACAAUUAACCUACUGCAGCCAACAUGCACCGCAAGGACCAGAAUGGCUAGGGACCAAGUGUAUGUACAGUCAAACUACAGUAACCUCAUUGUGAAUAGCCGAGGCACCGUAGGUCAAAAGACCAGUCACAUUACUGCAACAUUGAGUAAGUCAUUGACGAGUGAGUAGACAUCCAAGUGACUUCUCACGUUAGUCACGCUCGGUACCCUUAUUCUUUAACAACCAUCUACAUAUUCGCUUCAGUGUCCCCACACUGUCGACUCGAGACUCGUCUACCCAAAAAGGGAAGCGACCUAUGCACCAAUCUCAUCUGAUCAAUCACCGUCCCCGUAAUGAUUCAUUGAUCGGGAGCAUUUAGGAAUUAACCACCAAUAACACAUGUCUCAAAUUUUCAACUCUUGAGAAUAUAUGUCAUCAUCUUAUUAACUCCUUAGGCGAUUCAUGGACACAUACACAAUAUGAAUAGAAUUAAGGACCCAAAUUUAUUUAUAAUUUUAAAAAUCAAAUAUAAAUUUAUGUCCUAAAAAAAUAUGUGUCGUCCUUAUUGGCUUCUAGGGCAUAUGUCUAACAAUAGCUAGAUUUAAGAUUAACACUUAAACUAGUUGAGAAGUGUUUCAUCAAAAUAGUUUUUUUUUUCUUUGCCAAAAAAAAAAAAAAAUCAAGUGGAGGAGAGUUUCAUAAAAAGAGCUUGUUUUGAAAUAAAAAAAAAAAAGUUUGGCUUGCGCUAGCUGAAUUGAAGUGCAAUAAAUUCAGCUAAUAAAUACAUGCAACAAAUGGGAAGUAAUUUAUUGCAUGUAUUUAUUAGCUGGAAUUGUUGGUCCUAAUAAAUACAUGCAACUACAAUCAGAUAAUGUUCACUCUCGUAGUAUGUAAACUAGUGAAUAGUUUGAUUAGAUCUGAAUAAGGUAACGAGUUUUAAUAAUAAAUGUCAAUGCUAAUGAUCAGGACAUAUGUGGUGAUGUACAUAUCCUAAAGAGAAUCUGCCCAUGCGUGUACUUGAUUAUACGUUGAAGUUAGUGACCAAACAAGGGGAGUGUUUGAUUCCUUUUUUUUUUCUUUGUGAGAAGUUUACGGUCGAUUUAUAUAUAUGAUGUGUACACAACUCCUGGGCUAAUAAUCUCUAGCUAGUCACAUUUGUUGAUUCGGUUACUCAAUCCUACACUCCAAUUAAUGGGGCGCAAACAAUACUGUGGCUCUUCCUCUUCGGAAAGCCCGACUGAAGAGGUGGUAAGAGGAGGAGGAGGAGAAGAGAUUUCCAUUUUUAUUCGAUCUCCCAACGAAGGCACCGACGGAGAAGAAGAAGAAGAAGAAGAAGAAGAAGAAGAAGUAGAUGAGUGGCGAACAAGGGUCGAGAAAAGGUUAGAGGUGGUGAAGAAAUACGCGAUGAAGAUGGCGUGCCCGAAACGAAAGGGGCUGCCGGUGGACAUGUACAACGACGAAGAAAUCCCCGCCAUUUCUGAAAUGCACAUCGAGCAUCGCCCUGUGAAGGCAGUGGCCAUCGGUCCUUACCACCGCGGCGAUAAAGUACUGUUCACCAACGUCGACAAGUGGCGGGUGGUGAGGAUCAUCGCCAAAUGGUACGCCAUCGACCCCAUGGGGUACCUCACAAGAAUGAAGGAGAAGGAAGCGGACGCCCGCAUGUACUAUUCGGCAGAUCUAUCUGAAUUCAACAGCGAAAGUUUUCUAGAGUUGCUGCUCGUCGAUGCCUGCUUCAUUCUAUUCGUGAUAAGUACAUUCGAAGACUACGCCGACGGUAGCUGGUCGAAGGGAGAAGACGGCACGGAGUAUCUGAAUUUGUUGAUGGAUGUAAAAGUAAAUGCGAAGCAGAUCAAGCUCGACUUACUGAUGCUCGAGAACCAGAUUCCUUUCUUCGCCAUCGAGGAGCUGCUUAAAGCUAGCACCAAUCAGGCAAACUUCGAAAAGAACCUGAUCGAAAGCCAGGCGCUUCUUUUCUUCGACGAUAUCUACCCAAGAAGAGACCGAGACAAAGGAAUACGGGACGUUGAUUCCCCGAGGUUCCAUCAUCUUCUCCACCUUUUCCACUGGUCCAGGGUUCCGAGAGGAAAGUACGAAUUCGGCGCGGCGUCACUUUUGUUUCGAAAGACAGAUCUAACACUAGCCAUCCCUAGUGCUACCGAGCUUCGACAGUCGGCGACCAGGUUCAGGAAGGAGGUUUCAGGUAGUUUUCUAGACAUCACAUUCGAGAAUUGCGGAGUGAUGAAAGUCUGCGGGGUCGUGAAGAUCCCCACCUUGCACAUACUCGACUACAGCAGCACCAUCUUUCAUAACCUCGUCGCCUUCGAGAAACAGUACAAGGGGAGCGGGCGCUGCGUCGUAGCGUACUCCGCGUGCAUGGCGCACCUUCUGCAAAGUAAGGAGGACGUGAAGCUGCUCCGAAAGAGCGGCAUAUUGGCGAAUACUAAUGUUAAUGAUAUCGAUGCGGUGAAUUUGUUUGCAAGCUUGAGUGAGGAGAUUGGAGGUUCCCUCAUGCCGGAUGAUCUUCAUGCCCUUUAUUCCCAGGUAACGAAACAUCACAGGCAGUGGAGGAGUAGAUGGUACGGCGAAACCACACUCCAAUAUUGCCCUAAUCUAUGGAUCACUAUUUCAGUCAUCGGGGCAUUGCUCCUCUUUCUUCUCACGGCCGUGCAAACCGUCUACUCAGUUCUAAGCUAUUAUGCUUCCUUGAAGAAUAAGUAGCCCAUGCGGCAAAUUAAUUUGUGCUGGAGUUUCCGAAAAAACGCUGACUCUAUCAAGUUUUUUUUUCUUGAGAGAGAUAGAUAGUAUGCUACACGCUUCGUUUAUUUUAUUUAGAAAUAAACUUAGCUGGAAAUGUGAAUCAAUUAGAAUUCGAACUUGGGAUCUUGGAUACCAACCACCAAGCCCUUUGACGCUUGCUCUAGGGACGGUUGGUGCGAUUCAAUCAAGUUGAGUCGAAAAUUUCGUUGACUUUGGAUAAUUUUUACAAUUGAUGCAAGAAAUCUUUAAACGGCCAUCAUUUUUUGCUCGAAUAUUUGAUUUUUUUUCCUUUUUUUUUAUUUGAUCUCUAGGAUGAUAUCUCCAGCCCGUGAACUUAGCUGAUACUAUGAUAGCACCGAAUUUUUCCAAUUCGGCAGUUCGAUCUAUGAUUUCUCAUUCAUGGACGUUGAUAAGAUCCUUCCAUUUAGCAGCACGUACAACUUCGAUUCAAAAAAACACUUUUCAAGAUCUACAUGUCAAAUAGCAAAACCAUCCGGGCCGAGUUCGAGACCCAAAUUUAAUUAUUCCGGCCUCCAUUUUUGUACUUUUAAGUUAUUUUCUGAAAUUUCUACAUUUUUUCUAUUUUUAAUCCGUUUAUUUAAUUAUGUUUUGAUCUGAUUAGGUUUAGGGAUAUAUUAGAAAUUAUUAUCUUCGUUUAGUACGUGGGAUUCGGGAUGGUGUUCGGGUAUUAUAAUCAGAGUUUUUAGAAUUGAUUAAUAAGACUUUCGUCUUUGUCGAAAAAUUGAUUCUUUAUGUAUCAUCUCUUUCCGUUCUUGUGUUCUUCCCUCUCAACGGCGGUUCAUCAGUAGCUUGUUAAAUACACAAGUAGAAUAACAAAUAAUAAAGACAUAUUAAAUUUACAAUCAAAAAGUGAUUGCAAUUGGAUAAGCGCUUAUAUCUAAGGACCAACUAAGGUCGACAAAACCCUUUUUGUGCUUGUGUACGGAUUGAAAACAGAAAAGAGGAAGUGAUAGAACUAGAUAUAUAGUGGGAAAAAAGUUGGUCCUUGGUAGGGGUGUAAACGAGCCGAAACACGAGCGAGCUGGGUCGGGCGCCGAACACGAGCUGGCUCGUUAAAGUAUCGGAUAUCAAAAUUUAUAAUAGGUUUUCAAAAUUAGAAUUUAUUAUUAUAGUUACUAUUAGAAAAACUGUUAUAUAGUCGUCUAACUCAAAAUUAUUUAUUACUGUAGAAUUAGCAAAUUUGGGGGGGGAUAGAGGCCGAUAAGUAUGUUUUGUCUAGUGUUUGGUAGAGAUAAGAGAAUAUUAAAAUAAUUUUUAGAGUGUAAAAAGUAGAUUCAUGGUUUAGAUGAUUCUGUCCGGGCUUGGCGAAUUUGGAAUAAGUAUAUUGUUUUCUAGGGGUUUUAAGAUUAACAGAAUGGAAAGGUUUGUCAUUACUUUAUUAUUUAGAGUACCGAGAAAGAGGAAUCAUAUUUUUCCGCAAAGAAAUGGGCUCUGUCGACAGACCCCAAUGAAUACGUGAUUUUAAUAUAGUACAGAUAUAUAUAUAGAUAUACUUUGGAGGUGAGGGGGUAUGUAUAUAUAUAUUAUAGAUUAUUACUAUAUAUAGUAUAUUAGUAUUAAUAGAGUAAUAUAUUUCUAGGUCGAGCGGGAGGGGUGGGGCAAAUGCAUCGUAACAAUUAUUUUAAUUUAUUUUAAAUUAAUAAAAUUUGUAAUAUCGAUAUUUUUUUAAAAAUGGAGAAUAAAAUGAUUGUGUAAGUAUAUAUGUUGAUAUUUUUAUUAGUAAAUAUCUAAACGAUAUCCAUAGAGUUUAAAUUUUAGUAUAAAAUAGAUUGAUAGAUUUGAAGUCAAAAAUCCAAAAUUCAAAUUGUAAUUCGCGACCCCUAAACUCGAUGAUUUAGAUUUUAUGUUGGUAAAAUAGAUGGAUAGAGAGUGCUGAUUUGUUGGUGUAAGCGGAUUGAGUAUGGUAUUGGGUAAAAUUUAGAAUAAAGCAGGAAUUCUGUGUUGUAUUUUGAGAGAUAAAAGAAAUAUAAAUAAAUGUUUGUAGAUUAAACAUAAUUCAACAUUAGUAUCUUGUUGACGACUGUUUCUUGUUGGGGCAAAUUUAUGAUGGUGAGUUAUUUCAUUAAAAGAUAAGAGAAAAUUAAGUUUGUUUCAUUACGAUUAUUAUUUUACGUUAAGGAAAAUGAAAAGAGGAAUCAAAUUUUUUUUUCCGCCAAAUAAAUGGUCUGAUCGAAUACAAAAUUUGAAAUACGGUGAUUUUAUAUAUAUUUAUAGACUAUAGAUAGUAUAGUAUAGGAUAUAUAUCCAGACAGAAGAUAAAGAAGAAUUAAAUAAAAAUUCCAGUAGUUAUUCUCGAUUGGCAAAGAUUUGAAUAAGCCAUAAAUUUUUUUUUUGUUGUAGAAAAUAAUGAGUAAAAUAAAAGUUUGUUUAAUUCUGUUUAUUAUUUUACGUAAGAAUGCGAAUGAUUUUUUUUCCCUAUAGUUCAAAAAAUGGGUCUGUCGACAGACGAAAAUUUAAAACGCUUGCUUUUAAGUAUAGUAAGAUAGUAUAUAUAUAGCCGUAUACGUAUACUCUUAUGGAGUAUGAUUCGCCUCGUUACUCAUAAGUUAGUUUCGAUAAUAGAGCUUCCGAAUCGAGCGUCCAUACUAUUAAACGUUAUUAGAGCUUCGACUCUUAAAUAAGAUAAUAGAUCUUCCAUACCAUUAAACGAUAAUAGAGCUUCCGAAUCGGUUAAAUUUUGAUAGAAAUUCUAUUCAAUACCUAGAAUAAAGAUCAAUAACUCGAUCUUAAAUUGAAGGAUCCGAUUAUUCAUUUUUAGGGACGUCGUUCGAUUUCGACCUUCAUUUUAUCCCAGCUUGAUGGACUUUAUUAUGAUUUUUCCGAAAAAAGUAAGAAAGUUUUUUUCUAGUAGUUUAAAUACUCUAAAUCAUAUUAACGGAGUAGAUUGUCGAUUCGGAAGCUCUUAUCAUCGCAAAAUACUUAUUGAGUAUGAAGGUCAUACUAUAGAGUAUUAGUAGCCCUACUAUUACUACUUAUAAUGAUAUAGUAGGGCCUACUGUACUCUUAUGUAGUAGUAGGCUAAGCUUCAUUACUCACAAGUUUUCUCAAUUAUGAGGCUCAAAUCGACGAUUAUUUAUAUACAAUUUCUAAAAAUUUUAAUACUCUAAUAUGUUUACAGUAUGGAUCGUCAUUCGGAGCUUAUCUCUGAAAAUAACUUGAUGAGUACGAGGCCGAUCUGUACUCAUAAUAGUAUAGAGCGGGACUCACAUAGAGUAGGGUCUAUUAGCCCUAACUGAGGUAAUAAGACUUUCGAUAUCAUAAUUUGUUUUCAAUGAUGGGCUAUCCUAUAUCACGAAUCCACGUCCGUUUAAAUAUAUGUAUCUAGAGUAUUUGAAAUUUACUGGAAUAAAAUUUCGUAAUAUUUUCGAAGUCAUAAUAAAUCAUUCAAAACGAGCAUUAAAGAUGAAGGUUCCAAUCGAACGACGUCCUAAAAAAUGGAUAAUUGAUCCUUUAAUUUUAAGAUUGGAGUUAUUCUGAUCUUAGAUACCGGUAGUGAUAGAAUUUUCAUCAAAAAUUCAACCUAUUCUAAUUUCUACCCGGUUAAAUAUUAAGUUAUCCUAUACGGAGAGCGAUGUAAAAACUGUCAAUUUGUGGACCGUUUAAAUGCUUAUGGUAAAUGAUAUCGAAAAUUAUUAAUUUAAUUUCUAGAAGAUUUUAAUGCUAGUAAAUGAUUUAAGACGGUAUGGUCAGUCGAUUCUAGAACUCUAUCAUCGAAAACAACUGUAUGAGGACGCCGAGGGCGAUCGUACUCAUAAGAGUAUAAGUAGUAUCAGGACUAUAUAUAUAUAUAUAGUAUAUAUAUAAAGGAGAGUGUUGGCUUACUAUGUAUUAUGAAAAUAGAGUACCUUUUUACUCAUAAGUGUUUCGGAUCGUUAGAGUGUUCGAAUCGACGAUCCACACCGUUAAACAUGAUCAUAGUAGUAUUUGGAAACUUUUAGAGAAUAUAAUUUCAUAAUUUUCUUCGAAAUCAUUAUAACAGGUCCAUAAAGCGGGUAUAAAAUGGAUCAUAAUCGAACACAUCCUAAAAAUGAGAUGAUCGAUCUUUUCAAUUAAGAUCGGAGUAUUGAUUUAUUUGGAUAUGAAUAGAAUUUUGUCAAAAAAUUCAAUUCCUAUUCCGAUUCUUUUACACCGUUAAGACUGGUAAAUAUUCCAUACCGAGUCUGUUAAAAAUCUAUCAAUUUUGUAGUUUUUAAUCGUAGGGUAGAAUAAUACAAAAGAAAUUAUAAAAAUUUGAAUAUUUUAAAGUUUUAAAUGCUUAUUAGAUAGAUGUUUACGGUAUUAGAUCGUACGAUUCGAAAGUAUCAUCGAAAACAUACUUAUGAGUACGAGUCGAUCGACUCUAAGAGCGUAUCAGUAGCCGGACUCUACUUUAUAGAGCUGCUGGUAUUACUACCGGCUGCACGGAUGGCAUCUGCUAGGCCAAGUUGCUUUCUCAAUGAUGGUUUCAAAUCGACAUCGCUAUCCAAUUGAUUGAUCUAUACUAUUAAAAAGUAUUUGAAUUAAAUUUCAUAAUUUUUUGACAUCAUUUACUAGAACGAGUAGUCUAACAUGAAUGGAUGAAGAUAAAAAAUCUCUAAAAAAGAUUGGAAAAAGACUUAAUUUAAAAUCAGAAGGUUACUGAUCUCACUCAAAAUAGUGAAAAGAAUUUUCUAUAAAAGAAUUCAUCAAUUUUGGUUGUUUUACAUGUAAAUUCAUCAAACGCUCACUGCAACUAAUUAAAAGUUUGUCAAUUAUUGAGACCUAUUUGUCAUAGCCCAAAUGAUGUCGAAAAAUUAUGAAAUUUAGUAUUUCAAGUACUUUAUAGUUGUAAUCAAGUCUAACGGCAGCCGAUCGAUCGAUUUGGAAGCCGCAUCAUUGAAACCAAUUCGGUAGCACCGGAGGCCUCCGUGCUACCGAUAUAUGACGGCUAGCUCCUAUAUAUAUAUUAUAUAUAUAUAUAUAUAUAUAAUAUAUUUUUUUCCAGGCAUCGGUGCUUGUUGAAAGCCCCAAGGCAUUUUGGGCUUUGUAAUUUAUUACCGUUAGAAUCUAGCUAUGAUCAUUUUCAUCCCGUUAGAUGAUACUUAUUCAACCAACCCACUCACUAACCCUAGGGUAUGACCGGUCCACAUCAUCAUAAUCCGCACAAUUCCUUAUCCAAGGGCUAAAAACUUAUCAACACCAAUGAUCUUCGUACUCUUUACAAAUCAUAGGAGCGUCAAAUUAUAUAUAUAUAGUUGAACUAGUAAUACUAUCGAUUAGCCAACGAGCCUCCGUUGCCACCCUAUUUGUUUUUCGAUAUGGAUGCUCAUCGAUUGAUCGGCACCGUUGAAACAUAUCUAUACCAUUGAAUGUUUUAGAAAAUCGAAAUUUCAUACAUUUUUUAUAUAUUGAUUCGUCUUAGUCAUCGAGUUGGACACAAAAUUGGAACAAGUGAAAAUGUAUAUUCUUAAAAAAUCGAUUGAUAGGAGUUGUAAUCAAGAUCAGCAGUUAUAGAUCUUGUUUAAAUGGUUUUAACAAAAUUUUAACAAAAUCAAUUAUUUGAGAGAUUAUCUUUACGCCCCCUUAAACAAGAAAACGCCUAUAUCAACCACAUAAAUUACAAAAUUUAAAACCCUGUCGAUCAUUAGGCAAAUGAUGUCAAAAGAUUUGAAAUUUGAUUUCUAAAAUACAAAAUCAUUUUCAACCCGGUUGCGAAUCGGUCGAUUUGGAAGGCGUCUAUCAUCGAAAAUAAAUUGAUGGCAACGGAGCCCGUUUGCUAUCGAUAGUUAGGUCAUAACUCAACUAUAUACUAUAUAUUAUACUAAUACUAUAAUAAUAUAUAUAUACUAUAUAUUAUAUGUAAAUAUAUAUAUAUAUAUAUUAUAUAGUUAUAUAUAGUUGAUAUUAAGAUAAAGUUCUAGCUAUUGGUGCUUGUUAAAAAUCACCAAGCACUUGGGCUAUAUAGUUUUACGUUAUAUCUAUUCCUCGGAUCAUUUAUCAACAUUAGAUUAUACUAUUUAACAAUCACCACUUCAACCCUAAGGGGGCCACAUCAUCUAACCGCAAAUUUUCUUAAUCCAAUGGCUAAAAAUCUACUCAAGUACUAUAACUGUACCUUUUAAAAGAGUAGGGAGCUCAAUUAUAUUAUGAUAUAUAUAAUAUAUAUAUAUAUUAUAUAAUAUCUAUAUAUAUAUAUAUAUAUACUAUAUCAUAGUAUUAAUAUAUAAUAGUAUAUUGAAAGCAGGGAUACUAUGCUCUCAGGAGCACUGAGCCUCUGUGCUCCUAGAGCGUUCGAUUGAUGGAGUUUCCGAACGCGAUCGGGUUCUGUUUAAACAUAUGAAUCUAGCGUAUUUGGAAGUUUUAGAAAAUAAUUUUUGACUUUCCUUUCCGAAUCACUAUUAGCUAGCAAUUAAAGGGUAUUAAACAUCACUAAUCUUUAAUGGCUCUGAACAAUAAAAAUCCUAUUUAGAACAGUAGAGUGAGUUUAGCACUAAAAUUUCAAUCAAGAAAUAUUAAUCUUGUUGUAAAUAGUUAUUAAAGACUUUUGUAUCAAAAUUCAUCUUAAUUGAAUAGUUCAUACACCGUUAAUUUGAAAACGGCAGAUAUCACCAUUAAAAAUUGAUGGAUUUGAAAUCGUUUCGAUCCAACUAGGUAAAAGGUAAUCAAAAUCGCUCAAAAAUUAUUUAUCUAGAAACUUCAAAUGCGUAGAUCAAGAUCUAACGAGGAUCGUCGACUUUCGAAAAUUCCAUCAUUGAAACGGCAGUGAGCACAAAGGGCCGUGUUCCUGGAGAGCACAACAGCCACUAACUAUAUAUUAUAUAAUAUAUAUAUAUAUAUAUUAUAUAUAUAUAUAAUACAUAUAAUAUAUAUAUAUAUAUCUAUAUAUAUAAUAAGUUAUACUACUUGACAGAGAGUUGACCUAAUUUAACGAAAAAAUAUUCUUUUCUUGAUGGACGCUAACUAGUACGAGAUUUCAUGAAAAUUGGCAAACACCCAAAUGAAGAGUCAAUAUUUCUAAUUUUGAUGUGAACGAUUUUUGCAAGUCGCCAUUAUUUAAGGUGGAUGAUACAUUUAUUUAUUUACUAUAUUGUCAAAAUAGUAAUUGCCCUGAACUUUGUUUUUCUAAUUAUGCGACAAAAUUAAUUAAAAUUCGUGCAUCAUUGUUAGUAGAAUAUUUUAUCAAAUUACGGAUUUUUUCGUCGCUUGACAUUUAGAUGAAUGAGACAGCGACAAUUACUUUAACAUCAUAGCGAAAUAUAUGAGAGUCUUAAUAUUUGAUGUUCUUCGUUCAUUAUUUCUUUUAAUAAAAUUUUUAAAUAUCAAAAUAUAAUGAGCGUAAUACAAUGAUUAUUUACAAUUCUUUUAUAUCCUUUUUUUUUUUUUUUUUGCUUUCAAAUUUUCUUUUUAGGAGAUUAUUAUUUAACAGAUGCAUUAUAGCGGAGUCAACUAUAAAUAAAAAAAGAUAAAAAAAAUUCUCGAACAAUGUAAGAUUAUUAUAGAAUUAAUGCUUUAAAAGAAAAUAAAAUAAAAUUUUUUAAAGUAUUACACUUUUAGAUUAUGUUUCUGCCAUAUUGUCCUUGCUUCAUGUCAUCAGAAAACAUGGGCCAGUGCCGAAAUUGGACAAUGGGACAACGGAAACACCCCGGCCUCUCCUCGCACCCGCCGUUUCGAGUCGCUCGCAAGGUUAGAGGCAGGAUGGCGGGGGACAAAAGGUUGCCAACCUUUACGAUGUCUUACAACAACGAAAAAUCGAACGAAAACGAUCUGCGAAAGUCUAUAAACGAGCCCGACAGCCGGUGGAAGGAAGAUGUACCCACGUAAUACGGAUUGGCAUCCCGGCAAAACCCUACAUCUCAAAAGAGAAAGGAAUAUUUUGAUGCCGUAACGACCGUCGGAGAAUCGUCGCAGACCUACGGGUAGAUUCACGGCUGAGAAUGCAGUCAGGCCCCUCAGAAGGCCACCCAAAGCCUGCCCACUUAAGGCGGCUAACCCGGACAAACAUGCAGCUGAUAAGUAGAGUACUGUACUUCACAUUUGUUUACUUGCUAUGCGUGUCCCUAAAUUUACAUUUUGUUUUACUUCGGCAACUAAUCAUCAAACUUUUGAAUUUUUUUCAAUAGUUAACUCUAACGAGACCUAUUUUAUGGUUAUUUUUCAUUAUUAGAAGUUGAUGUCUGAAAUAAGAUGAUAGGCUGAUUUAGUCGCUUCAUCGCACUAUUUUUAAUAAACCUUAACAUCAUUUCCUUUCGAAGCUUAAUCUAACAUAUUAUCUAUUAUCUUUUAAAGAUACAUUGAUAAUUAAAUUAAGAAGUACUAAAUAGAGAAAGAUUUUCUGUAAAUUAUUACCCUUUUCUUUUCUUGCUUGACUUUUAAAUAUCUUCAAAAAUAUUUUUGAAAAGUAUGGCCGUUAAUAAAAGACAAAUGACCAAAUUAUCCUCACUCAUUUCAAAAAAUAAUUUUUAAUAUUAUUUUUGUCAUUUGAAGAGUUUUUCUCGGUAUAAUUAUAAAGAAAUGAACUGGAACUAGUGAUGGAAUCUGACGAAGCGGGGCUAUAAUGCUAACAAUUAAAAUAUUGAGAACUGGGAACUCAAUGGCAACAAAAAUCAACAGUUUUAUGGUGAUUUCACAUAUACUAGUUUUAUAAUUAAUGGAGAACAUAUAUAAUUUAACAUGAAAAAUUUAAUUAUAUUUACUAUAUACAUUUUUUGGAGGCAACAACACAAAGAGCAUCCGGGGCAAAUUUUUGUUAUGGGCAUGAGAUAAACAACGGCGGGCCGGGCAUGGAUACCACCCAUGCAAUUUCGACAAGCUAAGAAGGAGAGGAGGCCGCGCGGCACAACAAGAUGCCCCAAUUUUCUCCUCAGCCAGAGUCCGAGAACUCUCACAAUCAGCAGUAGUAGUAAUAACGAUCCUAAUAUACUAAGGUACGUUAAUCCAUCCUGUUUCAUUUGCUGUCCGUAUCGAUAUCCUGCUCCUACUGUCAGAUACCGGCACAAGACGCAAAUCUACCUUGCUCAACCCAGUUGAGCGGUUAUUUAUACUCAACCAAUUCAAGAUUCAGCACCCUUUUGGAGGUUUAUAUGCGAUUGAAAAGUUGGAGUUAUGAUGAGGUAUAACAUAAGCCCUUAAUAUCAGAGAAUAAGUAAUGUAAGCAUUAACAACCAAUUUUAGUGUACAGGAUAGUAAUUACUCUGCUAUUCAGUCUGCAUCCUCUCACUCCCGCCUCACCCCAAUCGACUAAUGUCUUCUGCAGUGUGGAUUAUCCGGACUCCGCCCAGGUGCGAACAAGUGCCGGGCUCAGAGUUUGGUCGUGCACUGCCAAGCCCCGCCCAAAAAUAACGUGACAUGGGUCGGCUUCUAUCAAUUUUUUAAAAAAGUAAGGCAGGCCAAGCCUCAAUGCCCAAUCCCACAUCUCAUUGGGUCUUUGUGGAGCCCACUUUAUAGCAUUUGUCAAGAUAUAUACACGUAUAUUUUUAUUGCUUACAAUUAACGAAAAAAUAAACACUUAUUCAUAAUUGAAUAAAAUAAUAUACACUAUUACAUAUGAAUGUAAGUUUAUAUCAGCGUAUAUAAUUAUAUAUGAACAAUACUACUAUAUCAUAUUUAUUAAUACGAUUAUGCAUAAUAUGUAUAUAAUUAAUACGUAUUUAUAAAUUUCUCAUAUGAAAACUAAUAUAGUUUAUAUAGUUAUGUAUAAUAUAUGUCUAUAUAUAUUAAUUAAUAUAAUAUCCUUAAGGUAUACCAAAUCCGGGCUCAUUAUAUGGCCAUUUAGGAGAGCCUUUGUUUAGGCACGGGCCCAAUAUCCACCCCUACUGCCCAUAUAGAGAGUUAACUGUUACUUCAUUAAAGCGUUCUCAGAAUUGAACUUUAAGUGUUGUUUCUAUCAUUUAAGAAACUCUUAGAUCGUAUAGCCCUACGAUUGCGUCAAUAGUAGAAACGCAGAGAAAAACUAAAUGAAAACUCCUAUUUUGCGAGACACAGAAAGCUCAUAAUUUUUACAUUAAUCUUUCUAUAGGCAGGAGCUUCAGACGGUUUUAUUUCAAAAUAUUCGGCUAAAAAUGCUACCAGUGAAAUCCCCUUAAACGUACUAUCAAAUAUGCCAAAGUAUCUGUUUGUUCGUUGUUAAUACUUUAGUUCUCACUGAAGAUGUUAACCAAUACACUAAAUAUGUUAUAAGUCCUAUUCCGAAAUUUCUGUACUUAAAGCAAAAUAAAAAAGAAAAGUUUCAUGUUAUCCAAAAAUUAUAUAUUUGUAUGCCCCUUACUUUUGAUUAUUAUUUUAUAUUUUUCUUUUCAGAGUGUUUCCGCUUGCUAAACCCUGGUCAAAGAACGAUCGAUCUGCCAAAUACAUUUCACUGCUUGAUUGAAUUGUGGCAUUUUUGGAACUUCCUUAUUAUAGAUUUUUUUUGUUUUUGUAAAAUUAUCAAGUUUCAUCUUCUUUUCUUUUUUCUUUAUUUGUAUGCCUUAUCUAUUUAAUUGAGUGGGACUCAAAGUUUUCUCUCUCUUCAAAUUGAUGUAUUGCUUGUAUAGGCUAGCUUAUCAAUUAGUUGACUUUUAUUCUGGCUGUCUAUUUGAACUUAAUUAGUUUGUUUUACGUUUUCUAGUUACCAUGGCUCAACGCGUUCUUCUUUCCUUUAUUAAUUUGUAUUGAUCAAUGUUAUCUGUAGGAAUUGUGAAAUGAGUAUAUAGCUCUGCCCUACAUAUAUAUAUAUAUUAUGGAUAUAUAUAUAUAAUAUAUAUAGUAUAUAUAUAUAAUAAGAGUCGGCUACUAUAUUUUAUUGAGGUAGAUUCGUGCUGUACUCGAUAAUUAUAUUCAGAUAAUAGAGUCUUCAAUACGAUUAAUAUCUGUUAAAUAUUAUCAAGAGAGCAUUUAAAAUUCUAAUAUAAAUUUCAUAUCACCACACCAACACUUCUCUGCAAGAUCUCAUGAUUCUAAGUCUCUUCUCUCUUUCCUUGUCCUUUUCUCUGCUCAUCUUAAACUUUAUAAUUCUUUGACAGUUUGUACUAUCGCCGACAUCCCGCGGUUUUGGGGGUCCUUUGUCCCGGCCGCGCGCCCGCUUAGCCGCAGAAGAGAGAGAGAGAGAAGGAUGAGAUGGACGAGAGACACAGUGAGGAGUAGAGAGAGAGAGAGAGCAGCAAAGAGAAAGGGGAGAGACGAGAGAGAGAGAGUUUCUCUCCUCUCGGCGGAUCAGCCGCGGGGGCUCUUAACGCCGGGUGCGGCCUCUGCCAAUGCCCCCCCGCGCCCCGCCUCCCGGUUUCUCUCAUUACUUCGUCUUCUCUUUAUCCCGUCCCUCGCUUUCCCCCACCGGUCCUGUCCCACGGCUCCCAUUCUCUCUCUCCCCGUCUCUCUCCCCACUUCCUCCGCAGCUCUUCCUCUCUCCCCUCUCUCUCUCCACCUGCUUUCUGAGCUCUCUCUCUCUCCACCUCUCUCUCUCUCUCACCACGUCGCGCGGCGGUACCACCGCGCCCGCCGCCGCUUGCGGCCGCCGAGGGGCGUUCGCCUGCGCCCCCGCGCGUGCUCUUCCCGCGCCCUCUCCUCCUCAUCUUACACUCUCCACUCCCCGCACGCUCUCUCCCUCUCUCUCCCCACCCCGCUUCUCUCCCCCUCUUUUUCCCUCCCGGGAUUUAUUCUUUAUUUCCCCCCCCCUCCUUAUUUUGUUUUUUUUUUUGUCGUAUCUCUCUCUCUUUCUUCUCUCCCCCUCUCCUAGAGGGCCGGGCGGAGCAGGAGGCGAGGAGGUUCGCGGGUGGCAACGGGGCGCGGAGGGGGCGCGGCCGGGCAGCGAAGCGAGAGGUGGCGCGCGGGCACUGGCGAGCAGCGGGGGCAUACCCACCCGCCCCCCGCCCGCCGCCAGCCCCUCGCGCAGACCGGGAGGGCUGGUGGGGUGGGAGAGAAGAGAGGGAAAGAGAGAGCUGGCUGUGUGUGGAGAGAGAGAAAAGAGAGAUAGAGCACGGGAGUCCAGGGUGAGAACAGACAAAGAGAGAGAGGGAAGAAAGAAGCGAGAGAGAAUUUUACAAUUGUUAAAUUUAAUCUGUGUAUAUAAAUUUUAAAUUUAAAUUUUAACUUAUAUUAUAUUAAUUUAUUUAUAAAUAUAUAUUUAUUAUUUAUAUAUAAUUUUAUAUAUUAAUUUUUAGUUUAAAAUUUUAAAUUAGAUUUAAAAUUAAAAAAUUAAAAAAGUUUGUUCAAAAUAUUUUAAAAAUUACCUAAUUUUUCGCCCGAAGUUGCGGGACUUCAUAGUAAAGAAAUGAAAAAAUGACAAAUAGAAGAGAUGAAGAAGUGAGGAACAGACCUUUGGCUAAGACAGCCUUGUAAGAUAUAUUAGUCGACAAUUGCAAAAAGGCCCUCAAAGAUAACAAAAAAGGCACCUCACCUCAAAUGGACAGCGUUCUUGGGAUGCCUGAAACCAUCUUUUGGUGUCCGAAACUUCACAGCUAGACCACUGUUUGGAGUGCCUUCCUCUACAACAGGGCUAUUUAGAAUACUCAUAAUCGGCGACACGACAAGUUUUAAAGCACCCCAAAUCUCCGUAUCAAAAUUUGAGAGUCAGUGCUGAGUCACCCAGCAUGCUAAGUCACAUAGAUCUCACCUACUUUUCUAUGUUGGAUACAGUAGAAUGAGCAUCGACAAUAAUAGGCGAACUCAUUUGAUAUCUACGUACAUUGCACCGCGAGCAUCCGCAACUGCACUCCGAAACCACUUCACUCGCGCCAACAACUUUCGAGGUGUCCGAAAAAUUCCACCAAAAUUAUAGGUUUUAGCUGGAGUUUCAAUUCUUUAUUAGCGUUCUCAGUAGUCUAUUUCACGCCCAAAUUAGUUCCAGCUUAAGUCCUCCAAACACUCUCAAAAGUGUCUAACCAUUAAAUCACAGUGUACAAUUUUGCUAUUAACUGAAGGGUUUUAGUACAUCGCAAUCUAGACCCACUUAAAAAGUUAGUCCAGAGAAUAAUCAAGAUCAUUAGUUUUAAUGCACUUUGUAGAGAAUUGUGGGCGCAUUAACCUACAUGUGCCUAAUGAUGUGAAUAUCUAAUGUAACCUAUUCAACAAAACUCUAAGUCUAAUAGUUGAUUUGUCUAGUUACAUAUAUCAACCGUUGUUAUCUCCUAUUAUUAUAUAAUGUGAGAUUUUAUAUAUAAAGUUUUUAAAAAGAUUAUUUAAAAGUAAAGGAUGAUCCAUUCAAUCACACUAGAAUCAAAUGAGAAGGAAGGAUUGAACCGAGAUCUCUCACAUAUUUAUUUAUUUAUUUAUUUAUUUGUAGCUGUAUUUUACAGAGAGUUUUGAAUACGACUGUACUUAUCAUUUUGGUGAGUACCAGUGAAAUAUGUCCGACAUUGCGGUAGUUAUGAAUAGACUGUGAGUGAGUAUAUAAGUUUAUUAGGCUAAAAUAGCAUUGGCCUUAAGCUAUUUGGGCGGUGGUAUGGGCAACAGGUUUAUUGUUGCUAAGGGCUGGGUCAUAUAUAUUUGAUAUCAGAGCCAGUGACACCGGAGUGUGAAAUGAUCUGAGCUAGCCAGGGCCGCGAAUGACAAGGACUAGCAAAACAAGACGUCUGGACCUAAACAGGAGAGAGUCUGGUGAUACUCCCAUUAGUGCCACAUGUCUAGUUAUGACUAGAUGUUAGGAGUAUAUAAGCUUGAGUGUGUGGGUUAGAGGUAAGUAGUGGACUUAAAGUGGAUUUGGUCAGGUGGGGUUGUUUAGGGGUGGUGUGUGGCAGGCUCCCAACGAGAUACUUAUUGGCUUAGCAAGUCGGAUCGUUACAUUUAUUCUUCAAAUAAUGGAUGAUUUAACCAACGAAUGGAUAGUUGAAAUUGAUAUUUAAGUAUUCAGAUAUCUAUAAGAUUCAAAUUAAGAUCUCUUUUAAUCAUGGCACUUUAUUCCAAUCAAGUGAACCUAAAAUAAUAGUUGAAAAUAAAAAAUAAUAAUAAAAAAUGAUGGUAACAAGGCAUCAAUUUCAAAAUCGGAGAGUAUCUUUCUAAAUAGAAGUUGCUGGAUCGGAGUCCUUUCUCACAGUUAAAAUGACGUUGCCUAGAAGAGAAAAUCUAAUUACUCCUUUGCAUUUUAACUAAUGAGGUAGGGGUGCGGCUAACAUUAAAAAUCGAUUGAAACUAUAAUUCAAUUCACAAUUUGUACUUAACACCCUCUAAUUUUAUCAUAAUAAUUAGAGCGCCACAUUCUAAUUUAGUUGCCCGCUUACAUUUUGUUGGUCUGUCCCGUAAGGUUAGCGGUUUGAAAUGUACUACAGUACGAGCAUCAAUCCGACCAUCUGUACAGCGUCACGUCCGCCGUCGCAGACAUCCCCGUAGUUGGAUCGUUUUGACACGAAUGAACGCGAGAAAACGGAAUCGCACACUUAAAUAAGUAAACUGAAAUAUUUCCAAAUUUUUGGCACCCCAUGUUUGGAACUGGGCACCCAUAUCAGUAGUGUGAGCCAAAAUUGCCCGUUGGGAGCCUCUCUUUGAUAAACGGUCGUUAUUGAACGUAUGGCUAUGGUUAGUAGGUUUUAGGCUGCAUAGAUAGGAGCGGACCUCGGCGAUAGGGUGCCCACUUUCAGUGUGGAGGAAGUUUUCAGUGCUGUUUGCAAGUGACCGGGUUCUUGUUUCAGGCGCCCUAAUCUGGACUUUCUUAGCAAGGGACAUGUAUGAGCUUGGUUUUGAUUUGUGAAGCCUCAAUUUACCCUAUCAAUUCUUCUGUUUAAAUGAACCCCUUUAUCCCGACGUUUGUAACCUGCUUUCAUCUCUAUUACUACUGGAAAAUUCAUUCACCUCUUUUAACCCUUUUCUUCUCAAUCCACCCAUGCAGGCUGAGAAUUAUUGCGGGAAAGCAGGAGAAUUGACCAACGAUAGCUAGCUUGGAUUUUAAGUAAAUAGGAGCAUCUUACUAUUAGAUUGGGUUGUGUUCGUGGAUUUACGAGGUUUGAAGAAGAGUUGGAGGCUGCAUUCCAUCGUUUUAAUUUCAGGGUAGAAUUAGGUUAAAUCUAAAAUUCAGUUUUGAGUUGAAAAUGUGAUAUUUCACUCGAGUUUUUUCUGCGGAUUUUUCUAUUCUGUUAUCUUUCAGCAGGAUUUUAUGGUCCUAAUGUAGUUUUUUCCUAUCGAUCCCCUUCUGGGUUUGAAGUUGGUUGUUAGCUUGUUUAGAGGUUUGUGAAUCAUUUAUAUAUUUAAUUUGAAUUUUGGCACCUGAAAGCAUUUUCGUUAUUUUUUGAUUGGUAAUUUGGCAUUCCCAUCUGGGUCUUGCUGAGAGCUAGGUUUCUUGAUUUUUCCUAGUGUCCGUGCAGAGAAGGUGCUCUGUGUUUGACUUUGCUUUUCGAAGCAGGUGGGUUAACCAAUUUGCGAAAAUCUGGGAAUGGCAAUUUUCAGUUCGAAUGUUGGAUUGUGGCUUUAAUUAGUUUGCAGAUUUUACUGGGUUUGAAGUUUAAAUGGGCGAAGUUUGCUGGAUUCCUGAGCUGAGGAAAGCUUGCCUGUCAUUUUCUUUCAACCAGAUUGCAUUUUGAAGUGGUUUAAUAGCCAUCGAUACAUCGAACUCCUUAUAUAUUAUCUCUAUGUGUAUCUAUUAGCACAAUUAACAUGCAGAAACUGUAUAGGUUGUUUAUGUUUCAUUCAAAGUAGAGAAUUUUGUGCAUAAUACGGGUUGUUCUUGGUGUUUAUUCCCUCACUUCAUAAUUGAUAACUUGCAAUGUUAAUAUGUCUAUACAUUAUCGGAUUGUAUGCGAUGAACAUAGAGUAGUUGACUGUUGUAGCUGUUCAGUGGCUCCUUUUGCUCGGGUUGUUAGCAGGCAUGGAUUAGUGCGACAUGUGUUCUCGGGCGUUUGGGCGGUACGGGAUUAUAGACUCAUUUUAUUACUCUUAGCCUGUGGAAGUAGUACAGCGAUACUAAUUAGGUGAGUUUAUGCAUUCAGAUUUGUUCGAAUCGAAGUAUGCUAGCGGUUAGCGGUGAUCUACUUGAUCUAACUCAUCGAUUUAUAAACCUGCCUUUCUAUAUUAACCUGCGUUACUUUAAUCCUUUGUGAGAUCCACUGCCCUCGAGGUCUGCACUUCGGAGAUCUAGAGCGGCUCGAUUAGCAUUACUAUUUUCACGGUCGGGCAACCCAGCUGCAUUAGUAGAGAUUAGAGUGAGCGUAGCGUAGCAUAACACUUGUCCUUCAAGCUUAGUCGGUCACAUGGAUUUUUCGGCAGAUUACUAGUAGUUGAGUUAUCCGUACAUUGAUGAUAAUUUAUUUGACAUCUAAAUUUGCCGCAUAGUAGUAGCGUUUCUUACUGCAUUUUACUUAUACCUAUUUCUUUUAAGCAAAUCAUAUGAGUUUGUCUCUUCGCUCAGACCUAGGGCAGUUACCCACGAGGCUGCUGAUCUUUAGUUGUACUCACUCCUCUGAUGAUGACAUUUGUCUCAUGCAGAGUCAAUUACUUGUACACGUGUUAUCUGUCCGAGGUAAAAAGGAUUGCUGAUAGAUAGGCUCUUAUUCAUCGACCAGUUUAGAGGAGAACCAGUAUUGCUAGUUUUUUAAUAGAAGACUUUAAUAUAACUAUUGUUAUUUUAAUUAAUAUUUCCUCGUGCCGAUAGAUUUAUAGGCUUUUGGAAGUUCCGACUGCUAUAUGGUACAAUUGCCUUCGUUACAUGUAGUUAUUGCGCUGCUAUGUUACUGUGGUCCUAUUGUUGCUCUUAUUUUUAAUUUGAAUAGAUUUUUGUCGCUUCGUGUGCACGGUUCUCUUUAUGCGGUGAUCUGUUGGGUGAGUCCGGAGAUUUAGAUAAUCAAGGCUUAUUAAUUAGUGGUUAUGUGAUACAUGAAUUUAGUUAUUGUCGUGACAUCAAUGCAUAUACGUUCUCACUGGAUAGUAUCUCUACACAUAGUAUGCGCAUACAUCUUAAUCAAUUGCUCCAAUUUAGUUAUUGUCACUGCAUGCACAUAACUCAUAAAUACUUGUCAACUUCACUUUCAAAAUUAGAUACACAUCAUUCAGUGGUCAUUAACUUAAUUGGACUAUAUAACUUUAUACAAUAAUUCUGAAAAUUUAUUGAUAAACUCUCACCUCUCACAGUGAGGAUCAAAGGUCGCCAGUUAAUUUGGACCAAAAUUACUCAUUUGCCAAUAAAUCAUGAAAGUGAAAACAAUAACUAAUAAAUUAGCAUAUAUAGUUAACUCAAUAAAAAAGAGAUCAAAUGCCCUACUCAGUACUUUAGUAGCGAGCGAGAGCUAAUAUUAGAUUUUCAAAUCCAAAAUGGGUACAUAUAAUACUGAAACCCUAUCCAAGACUAAGGGUGGCACAAGUUCUCACUCUUCGUCCUUCGGUUCGGCCGAGCCAGCUCCAGUGUUUCGGGCUCGAAAUAGCUCACUAGGAUCGGCCUCGCAUAUUUGUUGUAGCAAACGAGCCCGAACACGAGUAAUUUUACUUCAGCUCGCUUUAUUAAUAAACGAGGCCGAACACGUAGCUGAGGGUCAGCAUCGUCUCUGGAGUAUUCGGCCGAAACAGCUCAAUAUAUAUAUUUUAUAGUUGUAUUAUAAAUUUAUUUAAUUUAUACUUGUACUAUAUAAAUAAUAAUUAUAUAUAAUAUAUAUUUUAUUAUUAAUUUUUAGUAAAUAAAAAUAAAUGCGAGCUUAAUUAUAAAAAGACUAUUUAUAUGUAAGUUUUGAAUAUUAGAUCUAAUUAAUAAAAUUUUAUAAAUUGUUAUUUUUAUAAAUUAUCUAAUUUUUUUAAUUCCCUAUUGAUUCGUAUUGUUCACGCGUGGAGCCGAACUCGUUUCGGCUUCCGGUUAAUAAAUGAUCCGAACACGAGCUGUAAUUUUUCGGCUNNNNNNNNNNNNNNNNNNNNNNNNNNNNNNNNNNNNNNNNNNNNNNNNNNNNNNNNNNNNNNNNNNNNNNNNNNNNNNNNNNNNNNNNNNNNNNNNNNNNGGAACCAUGGAGUUGGUUCUCACCCCACGUGGUUUUGGGGUUUUUACAGGUUCGCACGUGAGCGGCGCGGCGGCGCGAGGCGAGGGCGUAGCAUCAUAGUUAGCGCCCUACCACCAAGACCAGAGAUAGCGGUACCCUGAGUCGGCAUUUACUUAGGGAUGUAAGAAAAUGAAAGGAAUAAGAUUGUAAUAAUUUGUAAUAAUCAUGUUAAAUCAGAUUGUAUUUGGAAGAUAAGUGAAAGCUAGUGUAAGAUUCAAAUGAGAAUUGUGAUGUAAAAUGCAUGAACGUGAAUGAAUGUAAUAAUAUAGGAUGUGUUUAUGUUGUUUGAUACCUUCCAUUAUGCAAUCUUGAUUGAAAUGUGUUCCUGGUUGAAACUUCGUACAUUGUAUUGAUUGCUAUGCCUUGAACAUACAGGGGAGACUCUGUCCGCAGUACAGGGGAAACCCUGUCCGUUCGGCGAUCUGUUGGCGGCGCCACGACCCGGCCAAAUAGGCGGGCGGUCGCGGGGCGUGACAGCAAGAGCACGAGCGACGCGAAUUUCAGCGAAGCUACGCGCACAGUGUCUAAACUGCGUUUAAUACGCACACUGAGGCUUCAUUGAUCUAAGUGGAGUUGGGCACGAUGAUCGGCACAGCUCAUGCUCUUCCUUGUUCUCUUGCACAAUAGCAAGCAACACCUUCAACUUGCUCUUCUUCUCCACCAAGAUCUCUCCAAAAGCUCUCUUGCUCAAGCCCUAGAGAGAGAGAAGAAGGGAGGAAAGGAAUUUUAGAGAGAAAGAGGGAAAGGUUUUAGGGUUAGAGUGAGAGAAAUGAGCCCUAACACUAACCCCUCUCACAUGCAUAUACACCCACCUCAUGUCACAUUUACACUUAAGCCCUUCUCAUUUCAUUAUUUCCAAUCAGUCCUCACUAGGUCAUUUUCACAUGCGGGGACCUGUCUCUCCUCGCAGGGACCGGUCCCCGAGAGUGGGUUUUUCAGGAAUUAGCCGCUGGGGUCCAUUUUCGCUUACGGGGACCAGUCUCUCCCUGCAGGGACCGGUCCCCGAGAGCGCAACUCUCGAUUUUUUCUUACAAGAACCGGUCUCUCUCCGCAGGGAUCAGUCCCCGAGAGCACAGCUCUCAGGGCUUAGACGAUAGUUCCGUAGGAGUACACCCUUCUCAAUUGGCGAUGGGGACACUAUGGAUGGCUUGCUUUGCAGGCAACCAGUGGCUCUCAUUUGUGCUACGGGUGAUUUGGUUCUAAUACUACCAAGGCAAAGAAAAAAACAUUGUCGUGGAUCCGAUAAAUGCUUGAUAAAUGGGGGAGGCCUGAGCAAAAUAUAUGUACCUUGCCUGUCAGGUUUUUUUCUUGCCACCGCUCUAUAUCUAUGAAUAGACUAUUUUCAUCUAAAUUCACCUAGGUUAUUUGUAUGAUUUUGGUAGCCUAAUUUAUUUUGGAAUCUACGAUUCUUCUCUUCACUUUUUAAAGGCCUCUGAUCUUCUCUUCUUUGCAAGCAUCGGUUUCUUGGAUUGGUUUUCAUGAUUUGGCUUAUAGUUUUCAGAAUUUGGCGGAGUUUUUUGGUUUGGUUUUCAUGAUUUGGCUCAUAGUUUUUAGAGAUUGGAAGAGAAUACAAAGAUUUCUACUUAUUUGUCAAAAUUCUUUGUUAUAUGGAAUUUACCAUUUGCUGUAUCUGACUGUUAAUACUUUGGUUUUUUUCUGUCUGCAUUGUGUGGAAAUCAAUGUAUUAUAUAGAUUAGUUGAGCUUUUAUUAAGUGCUCCGCAGUUGUGUUUCUUUUUAAAGUUUUCUUUUGGUCUCUUACAUUUACACUCUCUACUACACUAUUUUUCUAUUAUGAUGAUUGACAGUUUUUUUUUUUUCGGUAUUUAUUGAUUUCUGCUUUCUUAAAUGUAAGGUCUUNUUUCGGUAUUUAUUGAUUUCUGCUUUCUUAAAUGUAAGGUGUUGGUAUUACAAAGAAUCCUAUCAUGAGGCUCUUUUCUAAAUUUUCUUUAUAAAUUUUUUCCCUUCUUAUUUAUUCGACUUAAAUUUAUAGUUAAUCAAUAUAAUAGUUUUUUAACAAUCAUUUGAGUUCAUGUUAUCAUUUUUGUUGUCAUUCCAUCUAUUUUUAAUUUUGUUUUCAUUCCAUCUAUUUUAUUAUUCCUUUAACUAAUUAUUCUAUUCACUUAUUUAAAACUUGCUUAUUUUAUUAUCAUUUUAUAAUAUCAACGGAAUGUUACAUUUAUAGCUAAUCAAUAUACUAAUUUUUAUAUUGUCAUUUAAAUUUGUUUAAUCGUGUAUUUUAUUUCUAAGACUACUUUCGUAUUAAUUUAUUAUUAAGCUAAAUUAUUUUUUCCUGACUUACAAUGAUUACAUAAUUUAUUAUCAUUUCAUCUAUUUUGUUUCAUAUUUUGUUAGGUCUUGUGUGUUGGCAAGUUUCGUGAAGUAAGUCGGAGUCUUGAAGAAUCGGUGCGUGUCGUCGACGAUUAAAGAAUUCAAGAUUUCGAAGAUGUUGGAAAAUAACUCACGAUAUAAAUCACGACGUAAAGGUAAAGUUUUAAUUCAUGUUAUGGUGAUUCAUGCUUAAUUAUAGGCAUUAGAAUCAUAUAAUCAAAGUUUAGUUGAUUAGAAAGUGCUUCGGAACUUUGCGGAACCCGGAACGGUGCAAAAUCCGAAAAAUUGCAUUGUGUACCGGUACAGCCAUUAUCCCGUACCGGUACAGCCAUCAACUUUGGCUUCGAAAAUUUGUUCCGUCAUUGUGUAACCGGUGACAGCAUUUCGCGUACCCGUACACAGUGUAAAACCGUGAAAACUUUCUAAUUCGACUCCGAUUGAUUCUAAAGUCUAUAAAUAAGCUAUUGGGGUUCUCUAACAAAGUAAGAGGAGAGAGAGAUAAAUUAUUCGUGAAAGAAUGGAAAAUAAAAAUUAAAAAUAAAAUAAAAAUCGAAAUUUGAACAUUGAAAUUGAAAUUAACUUUUUGUAAAUUUGAAAAUUUAAUUUGGAACUUUUUGAAAUUUGAAAUUUGAAUUAAAGUUAAAACUUUGAAAAUUGUAAAAUUGAAAAUUGAAAAAUUUUGAAAAUUUAAAAUUGAAAUUGAAUUUUGAAUUUUGGAAUUUGCAAAGUUGAAAUUUUGAAAUUUGAAGAUUUGAAGAUUGUAAAUUGAAAUUUGAGAUGAAAUGAAAGUUGAAAGUUGAAAGUUGAAAGUGAAAUUAAUGAAAAUUGAAAUUGAAACUUUACUUUUUUGAAAUAUUGGAAUAUUGAUAUUUGAAAUUUAAAUUUGAAAUUGAAAUUUAAAUUUAAAUUAAGUUUUUUGAAAUGAAAAAUUAUAAAAUUUAAAACAUUAAUUUUUGAAAUUUAAAUUUAAAAUUUAAAUUGAAAAUUUAAAAAUCAAAAUUAAAUUGAUUAAAAUUUAAAUUUAAAUCUAAAAUAUUUAUGUUAAAUUAAAUUUAAAAAUUUAUAACAUCUUGGCAGCCCAAAUGUGGAUUUUUUGUCCUUGGUUAAGCAUUGUAAUUACUCAUUUUUGAGUAUAUAAAAUUACUAUACUCCAAAAAUACGUCAUUUUUUUCUCCAAACCUCAAUAUAUUUUUCCUACCAGCUAGCAAUAACUAAUGCUGACGUUUAGAGUAUUCCAAUACCGGGGCUAACCUUUGCUCUCCUUUUUUUAGAUAACAAGGUGCCUGACAUCUUCUGUCUUAUUCAUUUCCUCUCUCCACUGCCUUUUCUGAACAUAUUUCUAUCUCCUGUCGCUAUUUGUACGUCAUUUUUUUUCGUUGAACUUGUUUUCACUUGUUCAGUUUCUCCCAUCUCUUCUCAUGUUAACUUUAAAGGUCGAGGCGUUUUACAGGAGUAUUGUUAUGGUUCGUUAGAAGAAAGGCAAGUAGAGCUUUGAGUUGUUAAAUAACAUUUGUAACUUUUAGAUACCCUCUUUAUAUGUAGUCGAUCUCCUAUUAUUAAAAUAUAAUGGUAGAUGUGCUGUAGGUUUGCUCUCUUAAUGGGAACGUCAUGUACAUGUGCGGCUCGAUGCUUCUGUGAUCAUCCUUUUGUUCAAUAAAUCUGAUUGAUUUAAUCAAUUUUUAUAGUUAUAUUUGUUUCGUGUGAAACUAAUAAUCAAUAAAUAAGAUUUUUAAUCUCACAGUAGUUGCUAUUAUCUUAAAAGAAAGAAGAAAUCAUAUUACUAUUGAUGGGUUUUGAUUCGGUCCAUUUGAAUCCCAACUUUUCAGGAAUGUAUUCGCUCGUUAAGUUCGCAUUUUAGUUAUGGUAUGGGUUUAAAUAACAUGCUUCUUUUGGCAGCUACUUAAACUCUGUUGAUUCAGCUCAUUACUAUGAUAAAUUUGAUCUAAAUUUAUUAUUUGUAAGCCUAAAAUUUCAAGUUGAUACCAUGUGUGAGAAGGAAAAAAAUAAUAGUGUGAUUGCAUUUUGAGCUCUCCUUAGCAUAUUUGAGAAUUUGAACUAUCAUGAGUUUAGGUGCUUGUUGUUUUAAUUUCGCUUUCCAACAAAAUUAUGUAUUAUUAUUGAAAGCUUUUCGUAUUCACCUUGUAACUCCUAAAUGAUUGUUGCUUCUAAUUUUACUUCUUUCAUUUGCUGAACCUCUAUGUUGCAUAUCUAUUUCUAUUUGUUCACUCUCAUUAUAAAAAUACGAAAUUAGAACUUCUAUAAAAUAUAAUAUAUUAUAUAUAAAAUAUAAUAAUAUAUACAACGCAUACUCGUCACUAAACGAAAAAACAAAUAAUAGAAAAAAACUCUCACGUUUGCAAAUCCUUGACAUAAGGGUAUUUAAAUAAAUGAAAACAAACCUGCCAAGAAUCUAUCUAUAUAGUGCAUAGUCGCCAUCCCAAAAUAAAUAAUUCAAGAAAANNNNNNNNNNNNNNNNNNNNNNNNNNNNNNNNNNNNNNNNNNNNNNNNNNNNNNNNNNNNNNNNNNNNNNNNNNNNNNNNNNNNNNNNNNNNNNNNNNNNNNNNNNNNNNNNNNNNNNNNNNNNNNNNNNNNNNNNNNNNNNNNNNNNNNNNNNNNNNNNNNNNNNNNNNNNNNNNNNNNNNNNNNNNNNNNNNNNNNNNNNNNNNNNNNNNNNNNNNNNNNNNNNNNNNNNNNNNNNNNNNNNNNNNNNNNNNNNNNNNNNNNNNNNNNNNNNNNNNNNNNNNNNNNNNNNNNNNNNNNNNNNNNNNNNNNNNNNNNNNNNNNNNNNNNNNNNNNNNNNNNNNNNNNNNNNNNNNNNNNNNNNNNNNNNNNNNNNNNNNNNNNNNNNNNNNNNNNNNUGAAGACUUAUAAAAUACAAAUGUUGAAGUGAAACCCUAAAGAGGCUCGGAUUUUUAUCUAAAUAUGCCCAUUUACAAUAGAGUAUAUUUGGUUAUACAGAAGAAAGUUAUAUUACGCCAUUUUUUUAGUAUUAACAAUGGAGUUUUCUCCUUUUGUUUUAUGCAACAUAAAGGUAUACUUGGUUUUCUGUACCGACUUCAGAUCGAAGUACCUACCUGUACUAAUAUGGUACAAAUCUUCUAACUGUGAAGGAAAUACCAACCAGACCUACGAACCGAUUGCCGAACAUAAGCAACAUUUUCUAUAAAUUUGCAUUCUAGAUUGUAUAAUGUCCGUUCUAAAUUUUUUAUGCCUACAAUUUUAUCCGAACCCAAAAUCGAAUAAACCCGAUAUAUCUGAUGCUAAAAAGAUAUGUAUUCGAAUAUGAAUAUCAAAUAUAUAAUCCUAACUGAUGCAAAUUCGGAUAUACAUUUUUUAGUGUAUCCACCCCAAACCCAAAUCAGUAGCCAUCGGAUCUCUCCGACCGAAUGAUCGUUGGCGUAAGCAGCGAGGUCACUGUAUCUUUUUCCUUCAAAUGGCUAAAUCUUAUUAGCCAACCCUUAAAUCCCCAAUUCUAACAAAAUUUGAAACUAACACUACAACAAAAACGGUCUAUAGCGACACUUUUAAACGUAGGUACAUGUCAAAAAAGUGCUGCUAGCUAAAAUUACCGACACUUUUAAAAAGUGUUGCUAUAUGUAGGGUCGCUAGGUAUAUAGUGACAGUUAAAGAGUGUCGCUAUAAUCUAAAAGAAUGCUGCUAAUUUACCAAUACUUAUUUAAGCAUGUAGCAACCGCCGAAACUCUAUCUCGUUGGCUGCGGUGGCGGAGGAGGACGACAGGAAAGGCUCUUCGUCUAGAAUUUCAGUUGAUUGAGUGAAGAGAGAAGAAAAGAUGGCAAUUGAUUUUUCUUUUUUUUUUUCUUUUCUAUUUGUAAUCGGGNNNNNNNNNNNNNNNNNNNNNNNNNNNNNNNNNNNNNNNNNNNNNNNNNNNNNNNNNNNNNNNNNNNNNNNNNNNNNNNNNNNNNNNNNNNNNNNNNNNNNNNNNNNNNNNNNNNNNNNNNNNNNNNNNNNNNNNNNNNNNNNNNNNNNNNNNNNNNNNNNNNNNNNNNNNNNNNNNNNNNNNNNNNNNNNNNNNNNNNNNNNNNNNNNNNNNNNNNNNNNNNNNNNNNNNNNNNNNNNNNNNNNNNNNNNNNNNNNNNNNNNNNNNNNNNNNNNNNNNNNNNNNNNNNNNNNNNNNNNNNNNNNNNNNNNNNNNNNNNNNNNNNNNNNNNNNNNNNNNNNNNNNNNNNNNNNNNNNNNNNNNNNNNNNNNNNNNNNNNNNNNNNNNNNNNNNNNNNNNNNNNNNNNNNNNNNNNNNNNNNNNNNNNNNNNNNNNNNNNNNNNNNNNNNNNNNNNNNNNNNNNNNNNNNNNNNNNNNNNNNNNNNNNNNNNNNNNNNNNNNNNNNNNNNNNNNNNNNNNNNNNNNNNNNNNNNNNNNNNNNNNNNNNNNNNNNNNNNNNNNNNNNNNNNNNNNNNNNNNNNNNNNNNNNNNNNNNNNNNNNNNNNNNNNNNNNNNNNNNNNNNNNNNNNNNNNNNNNNNNNNNNNNNNNNNNNNNNNNNNNNNNNNNNNNNNNNNNNNNNNNNNNNNNNNNNNNNNNNNNNNNNNNNNNNNNNNNNNNNNNNNNNNNNNNNNNNNNNNNNNNNNNNNNNNNNNNNNNNNNNNNNNNNNNNNNNNNNNNNNNNNNNNNNNNNNNNNNNNNNNNNNNNNNNNNNNNNNNNNNNNNNNNNNNNNNNNNNNNNNNNNNNNNNNNNNNNNNNNNNNNNNNNNNNNNNNNNNNNNNNNNNNNNNNNNNNNNNNNNNNNNNNNNNNNNNNNNNNNNNNNNNNNNNNNNNNNNNNNNNNNNNNNNNNNNNNNNNNNNNNNNNNNNNNNNNNNNNNNNNNNNNNNNNNNNNNNNNNNNNNNNNNNNNNNNNNNNNNNNNNNNNNNNNNNNNNNNNNNNNNNNNNNNNNNNNNNNNNNNNNNNNNNNNNNNNNNNNNNNNNNNNNNNNNNNNNNNNNNNNNNNNNNNNNNNNNNNNNNNNNNNNNNNNNNNNNNNNNNNNNNNNNNNNNNNNNNNNNNNNNNNNNNNNNNNNNNNNNNNNNNNNNNNNNNNNNNNNNNNNNNNNNNNNNNNNNNNNNNNNNNNNNNNNNNNNNNNNNNNNNNNNNNNNNNNNNNNNNNNNNNNNNNNNNNNNNNNNNNNNNNNNNNNNNNNNNNNNNNNNNNNNNNNNNNNNNNNNNNNNNNNNNNNNNNNNNNNNNNNNNNNNNNNNNNNNNNNNNNNNNNNNNNNNNNNNNNNNNNNNNNNNNNNNNNNNNNNNNNNNNNNNNNNNNNNNNNNNNNNNNNNNNNNNNNNNNNNNNNNNNNNNNNNNNNNNNNNNNNNNNNNNNNNNNNNNNNNNNNNNNNNNNNNNNNNNNNNNNNNNNNNNNNNNNNNNNNNNNNNNNNNNNNNNNNNNNNNNNNNNNNNNNNNNNNNNNNNNNNNNNNNNNNNNNNNNNNNNNNNNNNNNNNNNNNNNNNNNNNNNNNNNNNNNNNNNNNNNNNNNNNNNNNNNNNNNNNNNNNNNNNNNNNNNNNNNNNNNNNNNNNNNNNNNNNNNNNNNNNNNNNNNNNNNNNNNNNNNNNNNNNNNNNNNNNNNNNNNNNNNNNNNNNNNNNNNNNNNNNNNNNNNNNNNNNNNNNNNNNNNNNNNNNNNNNNNNNNNNNNNNNNNNNNNNNNNNNNNNNNNNNNNNNNNNNNNNNNNNNNNNNNNNNNNNNNNNNNNNNNNNNNNNNNNNNNNNNNNNNNNNNNNNNNNNNNNNNNNNNNNNNNNNNNNNNNNNNNNNNNNNNNNNNNNNNNNNNNNNNNNNNNNNNNNNNNNNNNNNNNNNNNNNNNNNNNNNNNNNNNNNNNNNNNNNNNNNNNNNNNNNNNNNNNNNNNNNNNNNNNNNNNNNNNNNNNNNNNNNNNNNNNNNNNNNNNNNNNNNNNNNNNNNNNNNNNNNNNNNNNNNNNNNNNNNNNNNNNNNNNNNNNNNNNNNNNNNNNNNNNNNNNNNNNNNNNNNNNNNNNNNNNNNNNNNNNNNNNNNNNNNNNNNNNNNNNNNNNNNNNNNNNNNNNNNNNUGUUAGAACUAAAACCGAGAAGAUCUAGUUCGUCGGAUGCGAAAAUACCAAAAGAGAUCCGAGAAAGAGAGAAGAAAAAUAAAGCACACAAUAUUUACGUGGUUCGGCCAACGGCCUACGUCCACGGGCGAAGACGAAGCGGAGAUCUUCAUUAUAAUCAAAGUGGCGUACAAAAUAUGCUUCUCUCACAAAACCCUAAUCCCAAAAAAUACACCCAUAUUCCCUCUCUCAUCUUCCGCACUAAAUCAAUAGCAGAAAGGGUAUAUUUAUAAUAGUGGCUAAAUCCUAAUACGAUUAGGAAUACAAACCCACUAAGAUUAGGAAUAUCUCAAUAAAAUUAGGCAUAAUCUAAACUUAACUUAAUGAGAUAAUCAAAAUAGAAUAGGGAUAGAAAACCUUGCGGUACUAGAAUUCGAGACAUAUCUAACAAUUUGACAGUUUUUUGAGGCAUACAUGGCAAUUCCUUAGCUUCUUGGCUCCUUUCCAAGGGUGGUCCAACAGCUUGGACCAGCUCCUUUUUUAAGAAAAUUCUCUCUUUUUUCAAGAUAUUUUUGGAAUUUUUCAAGACUGCUCUCUCCUUCCCAAGAAAAGCCUUUCCAGCUGGCUCCCUCUUUCUCUCUCUCUCUCUUCUCCUCUUCCCUACUCUCUCUCUCUUUCCUUCUCCUCUCUAUCUUAGCCCCUCUCUCUCUCUCUCCUUAUCAUUCAUUAAAAACAAAAAAAAAAGAGGAAAAGAAAACCCAAGAAGAAAAACUCACCGGCGACGUACGUGGUAGCGGGGGUCUCGAACCCGGCGCGGCACGUAUCGCAGAAGACACGGCCCCAGACCACGAACCCUCGCUUGAGGUCACGCCUACCGCGCACGUGCGAGGGGAGCACGCAAAGCAGCAGCGCCGCCACCACCACGGUGGCGGCAGCGGCGGAGAUCGUCGGGAUCUGAUGCUUCGCCAUGGCCGCGCGUGCAUGCGAGAGAGAGAGAGAGAGAUAGAGAGAGAGAGAAGAGGCGGUGACGGGAAUCGAGUGGAAAAGUUGGAGAAUAGAAGAAAGGGGCAUGCAUGCUCCCUUUCUUUUUCUUUUUUCUUUUUUUCUUUUGUUACUCUUCUCCCUCUUCUCUGUUUCCUGCUUAUCUGUACUCUUAUUCUUUCUAUUUUUUAUUUUUUAUUUUUUUCUUAUUUCCUUCUUCUUUUUUCCUAGGUGUGUUGGUGUAGGUGCAAAAUUGGGAGAAUUGGAAUAGGUGAUGAGGACGGCGAUGGCCGCUUCGCCAGCAACAGCGGCAGACAGCAGGGCGGCGGAGGUGGGUUCGAUGGCGUCAAUGCCAAUCGCCUCGCCUAACCUCGAUCUCACCUCACUAUUAAGGGAUUUUAGCAUUUGCUUAGUUCUUAUUACUAUGAACAUCUUAUAUACCCACAACAGAGGAAAAAAAUAAAUUUUAAAAAAAACUAAAAAAAAGAGAUGACUUCUAUAGAUGGCAGUAAGAUAGUUCUUUAUCCAGAUCUAUACAUUUUUUAUUUUUUUUAAGAUGAAAAUAUAACAAAAUGAUGAACAUAUUAUGUGUCAUGUUAAUUUUUUUAUAUAUUUUAAGAUGAAAAGAAAUGAUGAGAUUGUGUAUUAAACAUAUGAUCCAGCAUAUUGCAUGGGAGGAGGAGAGAAUGCUGAUGUACUAGUUGAAGCAUUCCAAAGAUCUCAUUUACCCUAAAAAAAAAAAAAAAAAAAAAAAAAAAAAAGGAGAANNNNNNNNNNNNNNNNNNNNNNNNNNNNNNNNNNNNNNNNNNNNNNNNNNNNNNNNNNNNNNNNNNNNNNNNNNNNNNNNNNNNNNNNNNNNNNNNNNNNNNNNNNNNNNNNNNNNNNNNNNNNNNNNNNNNNNNNNNNNNNNNNNNNNNNNNNNNNNNNNNNNNNNNNNNNNNNNNNNNNNNNNNNNNNNNNNNNNNNNNNNNNNNNNNNNNNNNNNNNNNNNNNNNNNNNNNNNNNNNNNNNNNNNNNNNNNNNNNNNNNNNNNNNNNNNNNNNNNNNNNNNNNNNNNNNNNNNNNNNNNNNNNNNNNNNNNNNNNNNNNNNNNNNNNNNNNNNNNNNNNNNNNNNNNNNNNNNNNNNNNNNNNNNNNNNNNNNNNNNNNNNNNNNNNNNNNNNNNNNNNNNNNNNNNNNNNNNNNNNNNNNNNNNNNNNNNNNNNNNNNNNNNNNNNNNNNNNNNNNNNNNNNNNNNNNNNNNNNNNNNNNNNNNNNNNNNNNNNNNNNNNNNNNNNNNNNNNNNNNNNNNNNNNNNNNNNNNNNNNNNNNNNNNNNNNNNNNNNNNNNNNNNNNNNNNNNNNNNNNNNNNNNNNNNNNNNNNNNNNNNNNNNNNNNNNNNNNNNNNNNNNNNNNNNNNNGUUUUGUUGAAUCCUAAUUUUUCUAAAUUCUAAAGAUUUAUAUGCAUCGAAUAACUCGCUUUACAUUUUAAAUAAUAAAAACUUUUAAAUUUUAAAUAUUUAACUUUAAAUUUAGAUAGAGAGAGAUAGAGAAUGAGUGAGAGAGAGGAGAAGGGUAUAAAAUUUAAAAUCUAAUAUUUGAAAUCUAAAAUUUUAAAUUUUUUAAUUGUAAAAUUAUAAAAUUUAGGGAAGCUCCUAUCCCCCAUUGAAUAUAUGUAUAGAUAAUCUAAAUUAUUUUUUAAAAAUUAUGUAGUAAAUAUUAUAUAUUUUAAAAUUGUUAUAAUAAGAGAAAAUAAUUAGAUUUGAUUAUAAAGAGAAAAAGAAAAAUUAGGAUAAAAAAAAAAUGCUGGCCGGAACCAACCUCCGCCCCGCUCCUCUGCCCGCAGAUCGCCGGCACCCGGCCGUGUCGCGGCUGCGGCGACUCCCCGCGCCCCGAUUAUCCCACGCCACCCCUCCCCCGCCGGAUUCCUCCUCUCCUGCGCAGUCGAGUAUGCCACCUCCGCCGCCACGACGGAGCCGACCCUGCCGAAGGCCGCCACAGCCGGAGUCGGGCCCAGCUUAAAAUUAAUUAUAAAAUUAAAUUUAAAUUUUUAUUUUUUUUCGUACAUGUACCAGAGCAAAAAAAAAAAAAGCUAUAGAAAGAAAGAGGGAAAAAGAGUAGAGACAGACCAAGAGACAUGGUCCCCCUCGCUAUGUCGGUGCGCGUUUUUUAUCCUUGUCAAAUGUCUUACUGCUACUUACUGAUAUUUUUUAAGCGCUCAUCAAAAAAAAAAGAAGCGAGUAUACCCUUGAAGGCUUUGUAGCUGAAGCUGAUCUAACUCCUAAAGUGCUUUUUGCAGAAGCUGAAGAUGGUUGGUGUUCAACUCCAUUGCAUGAGGAAAAGAGAGGAGUCCCAGGGGUGUAAGUAGCUUGUUUGAUGUAAAAAAAAUUGGAAGUGAAAUUGAGUAAUUUUUUUACAUAAUUUUUUUUUGUAAAAAAAAAAUAGAGAAAAAAUUAAUUAAGAACUUUACCCCUCUUUGGUUCAUCCAUUUCAUUCUAUACGGAACAGAGCACAACUUGGUUCAAAAUUGAUUUGAUAUUGAAAUAUAACCAAAACUGAUGUUAAUCUAAAAUCUUCACAGUGUAGCUAAUUUUUAAACCAAAAAACAAAGAGAGAAAAUGUAACAUUAAGAAUAAAAAAGGGAAAAAAAGGAAAUUAAAGUGGUUUAUUGAUUACCAGUCGUAGUAACUCUUUCAAACGUCUACAUAGAACAGAUCAUCAUACUCCACUUCACUGCUUCUUCCCAACACUCACUCAUCUAUAAAAUUAAAAAAAUAAAAAUAAAAAUAAAAAUCCCUAAAAACAAAAAAAAAAAAGAAAUCAAUGGGGAGGGGGAAAUUUAUUUUCGAUUACCGGCGACGGCGGGGGAGGAGAUCGUCGGCGAUUCGCUCCGCCGGAUCGCGGAGAAGAGAUUAAGGCUCUCGUCCUUGGGCUUGCCCUGCCGGAGCAGCAGCUUGUCACGCCCCGGGGUCCCUAUUUAGUUUAAAGCAUAGCGGAAAAGCGUCUGAAAAUUUUUUUUUUUGAAAACCUGACCCGAGGGUAUGCCAGAUCCGCCACAAAUACAGNNNNNNNNNNNNNNNNNNNNNNNNNNNNNNNNNNNNNNNNNNNNNNNNNNNNNNNNNNNNNNNNNNNNNNNNNNNNNNNNNNNNNNNNNNNNNNNNNNNNNNNNNNNNNNNNNNNNNNNNNNNNNNNNNNNNNNNNNNNNNNNNNNNNNNNNNNNNNNNNNNNNNNNNNNNNNNNNNNNNNNNNNNNNNNNNNNNNNNNNNNNNNNNNNNNNNNNNNNNNNNNNNNNNNNNNNNNNNNNNNNNNNNNNNNNNNNNNNNNNNNNNNNNNNNNNNNNNNNNNNNNNNNNNNNNNNNNNNNNNNNNNNNNNNNNNNNNNNNNNNNNNNNNNNNNNNNNNNNNNNNNNNNNNNNNNNNNNNNNNNNNNNNNNNNNNNNNNNNNNNNNNNNNNNNNNNNNNNNNNNNNNNNNNNNNNNNNNNNNNNNNNNNNNNNNNNNNNNNNNNNNNNNNNNNNNNNNNNNNNNNNNNNNNNNNNNNNNNNNNNNNNNNNNNNNNNNNNNNNNNNNNNNNNNNNNNNNNNNNNNNNNNNNNNNNNNNNNNNNNNNNNNNNNNNNNNNNNNNNNNNNNNNNNNNNNNNNNNNNNNNNNNNNNNNNNNNNNNNNNNNNNNNNNNNNNNNNNNNNNNNNNNNNNNNNNNNNNNNNNNNNNNNNNNNNNNNNNNNNNNNNNNNNNNNNNNNNNNNNNNNNNNNNNNNNNNNNNNNNNNNNNNNNNNNNNNNNNNNNNNNNNNNNNNNNNNNNNNNNNNNNNNNNNNNNNNNNNNNNNNNNNNNNNNNNNNNNNNNNNNNNNNNNNNNNNNNNNNNNNNNNNNNNNNNNNNNNNNNNNNNNNNNNNNNNNNNNNNNNNNNNNNNNNNNNNNNNNNNNNNNNNNNNNNNNNNNNNNNNNNNNNNNNNNNNNNNNNNNNNNNNNNNNNNNNNNNNNNNNNNNNNNNNNNNNNNNNNNNNNNNNNNNNNNNNNNNNNNNNNNNNNNNNNNNNNNNNNNNNNNNNNNNNNNNNNNNNNNNNNNNNNNNNNNNNNNNNNNNNNNNNNNNNNNNNNNNNNNNNNNNNNNNNNNNNNNNNNNNNNNNNNNNNNNNNNNNNNNNNNNNNNNNNNNNNNNNNNNNNNNNNNNNNNNNNNNNNNNNNNNNNNNNNNNNNNNNNNNNNNNNNNNNNNNNNNNNNNNNNNNNNNNNNNNNNNNNNNNNNNNNNNNNNNNNNNNNNNNNNNNNNNNNNNNNNNNNNNNNNNNNNNNNNNNNNNNNNNNNNNNNNNNNNNNNNNNNNNNNNNNNNNNNNNNNNNNNNNNNNNNNNNNNNNNNNNNNNNNNNNNNNNNNNNNNNNNNNNNNNNNNNNNNNNNNNNNNNNNNNNNNNNNNNNNNNNNNNNNNNNNNNNNNNNNNNNNNNNNNNNNNNNNNNNNNNNNNNNNNNNNNNNNNNNNNNNNNNNNNNNNNNNNNNNNNNNNNNNNNNNNNNNNNNNNNNNNNNNNNNNNNNNNNNNNNNNNNNNNNNNNNNNNNNNNNNNNNNNNNNNNNNNNNNNNNNNNNNNNNNNNNNNNNNNNNNNNNNNNNNNNNNNNNNNNNNNNNNNNNNNNNNNNNNNNNNNNNNNNNNNNNNNNNNNNNNNNNNNNNNNNNNNNNNNNNNNNNNNNNNNNNNNNNNNNNNNNNNNNNNNNNNNNNNNNNNNNNNNNNNNNNNNNNNNNNNNNNNNNNNNNNNNNNNNNNNNNNNNNNNNNNNNNNNNNNNNNNNNNNNNNNNNNNNNNNNNNNNNNNNNNNNNNNNNNNNNNNNNNNNNNNNNNNNNNNNNNNNNNNNNNNNNNNNNNNNNNNNNNNNNNNNNNNNNNNNNNNNNNNNNNNNNNNNNNNNNNNNNNNNNNNNNNNNNNNNNNNNNNNNNNNNNNNNNNNNNNNNNNNNNNNNNNNNNNNNNNNNNNNNNNNNNNNNNNNNNNNNNNNNNNNNNNNNNNNNNNNNNNNNNNNNNNNNNNNNNNNNNNNNNNNNNNNNNNNNNNNNNNNNNNNNNNNNNNNNNNNNNNNNNNNNNNNNNNNNNNNNNNNNNNNNNNNAUAAUAAUGAUAACUGCGGUAUGAAAGUAUGCAUGUUUACUAAGCUUACUAUACCAUAAACAUUACGAUGUCAAUGUUUUACAUUUACUCUUUCAUAAUGAAGAAUGUUCAAUGCAUAAGUAAUAUGUCCCAACAUGGCCACAGGUAAAUGUCACGGUCUAGUUUAUGAAGUUAUAAAGAUCAUGCUUUAAUAUGGCAACAAUGUAUAUAUGGAUGCAAUAAGCAACAUCUCCUAGCAUACUACAUGUAUGUAUGCAUACUCAAGUGUCCAAAACUAUGCUAGAAGCAAGUCCAAGUAAUCCAACUACUACUCUCCAUCUAGUAGUGAUUAUAACACACACAACACCAUGUCGAUUUUCAUUUCCAAUUAAGGACCUACCCAAGGUAGUGCAGCUUGUGCCGCCUAAGUGCCUGUGGUAGUCCGACAUUCCUACUCUUGGAAUGUGUCUGUCCCACUCGACCUCGUAGGCAUCUCAAUACCACACGAGCGAACAUAAGUCGCGUAGGCUAACUCCGGAGUGCCGGCUUAUAGGGAGCGACCCUCACAAGCAUGUGCGAAUGAGCACAAAUGGCAAGCAAGCGUAGUCAAAUGCUCAAGUGUCCAACUCUCAUGUCUCAAACAUGGCAAUAGCUACUAGUAACCCAACAGUCUAGCUCUAUGUCACAAUGUGAUAUCUCAACACUCACUUGCUUAGUGCCUCUUUAUGACACUUAAGCAUCACAUCUAAUCAAGCUCAAUUCAUGUUCUAUGUUCCAAAUAUGACGUUAAUACCAAUAUUCAUUAUAGCCCGGGGCCCAAUGCCUCUUUAUGACAUUGGCCCAAAAUCUCAAAUAGCCUAAGUCACCAAGCCUCUCUAGGCUUCCAAAGUCCCUAAUGUCACAAUUAGGCAUAAAGGUUAAAUGCAAGAAAGCAAUGUUCAUUUUCAUAAUAGAAAUCAUGGUUCUAAGUUUCCACUAGAAUGCUACAUCCCACAUGCAUGCACCCUACCACAUAGAGGUCCAAAAAUUUACUAUACAUAACGUAUGCAUGUUAAGCAUUCUAAAAUUCAUAAUAAAUAUAUCUAACAUGAAUAUGCAUGCUUUUUCAAUUAACGAUACUCAAAUCUUCACAAAUGAGAUUUUCUCAUUGUGUGGCUAGGUCAAACCGAACGAACCGUCGCGUACUCCUUCGAUUCGCCGAACGGAGUUGUCCACGAGUCUCAAAAUACCCUAAAAGUAUUGAGCGAAGAGAUAUAUGGGCAUUACGAUCAACCAUUAGAUCAAACAUUAACAAACAAGGCAAAAAGGCUAAAACUCACCUAAAGUGUAGAAAAUCUCCGUCAAACUCCUAAAGAGAGCUAGAAUCCUUCCAAUCCAACCCAAAGAAAGAUUCUAAUCCAACUAAUUUAGCUCCAAAAGCCCUAAAUUCAAAAUGCCCAAAAUAAGCCCUAAAUCUCCAUUCUAGGGUUUCAUCUCAAAUCCGACAAUAAAACUCGAAUCUACAGGGAGAGGACAAGUUGCUUACCUCUUAGAAGCUUCAAUCUAGGCUCUAAAUCCUCCAAGUCCAAAGAUCUCUUCUCAACAAAGCUCCAAAUCCAAGCUCCAAGCUUCAACAAUGGAGGAAUUGCAUCAAAGAGCAAAAAGUGAAGUUUAAUCUCUUAAAAUCCCACCAAAAACCAAGGAAAUCAAAAGAAAAAUCAAGAAGGGCUCCCCUACCUCUAUUCCUGCUGUGGCAAGCUCAGGAGGAAGCCCUAGGGGCGUGGGGUGGUAUAUAGAAAUCCAUAAUUGCGAAAAACCCCCUGCAGUUCAAACUGCUCAAAAACUGUCUCUGCGUACCGGUACACGGGCCCACGUACCGGUACACAUCCCACGAAAUAGCCAAACCCGAGCCUCGGGUUGGCUGAGAAGCUGCUAAAGUUGAUGGCUGUACCGGUACAGCCAUCACCCCGUACCGGUACACAGCUCUCUGAAGGCUACCCGAGAGCUAACCGAAAAUCCGAUUUUUCGGGUUUUGGUGCAAGGCUUUAAACCACAAUUCUCGGGAUUCGAACCAUAGGUCGGAACACUGUCUACGACCCACCAGAAAGUCUGGAAAAGCUCAGGACACAGUCCAAACACUCGAACCUCGCAAUUUGCAAAGGUCCAGUGUGUUAUAUUAUGUUCUCUAACAUUAGGAUUAAUGCCUUUCUCAUUAACCUAUGUUCAUUAACACUAGGUUCAUUAUCACUCUUGUUCAACCUAUGUCCUCGACGCUAGGUCCAUUGUCAUUCUUGUUCAACCUAUAUUUAUUAACACUAGGUUCGAUGCCACUCAAUCUUUCUUAGGUUCAUGAUACUAGGUUCAAUGCCACUCGAUCUAUGUGUAUAUAUAUAUGUCCACAUGCACAUGUCAUAUACUAACAUCUUUACAUUAAGAUCUCCACAAUAUGCUUGUCAUAUAUUUCCUUUAGCAUUCUUAUUUCAUAUCUACAUGCAUUCUUACAUUAGCAUUUCUACACAGGCAACAUGACUAACAUAUGUCAUUUAUUUUAUGCUUUCCACUUAACACUAUUCGCACUAUGUCAUUACGCAUUACUUAGCAUUCUUACAUUAUGACCAUAUGCAUUAUUUGGUAGCCCACAUAGUACUCUUUUCAUGCAUUUAUACAUUCUAUCAUUAGCUAUCAUUGCAUGCAUCAAUAAUAAUACUCAUUCUUAGACAUACAGGCGACCUAGUCGCUUCGGUAAACACAACCCACCUGUAUCGCGUUCCGAUUGCUUGUCGACACUUGCAAUCGGCCUAUCGCGGCACCUGUAUCCGGCACGGCCCAAUAUUGCAACUGCGCCACAACCGUGCUCCACUUCGCAGCCCCGAAAUUAUAGCUCUGCGGUUAUGUGUCACGGUGCCACCAGUCCAUUUUCAUGACCUUACGACGUCGCUUCGGCCCUCCAGGCGAAAACGAAGCUAAAUCGUCAGUUUCUUCAAUAUCUUUUUAACGGCUUGACGAAUUGCCAAACCGACUUCGCCAGCGCGUUCGUAGACCUAGCAAUUAGGUUUACAGAGGGUCAAAUGAGAUCAAACCCUCAUAUAUACCAAAACCCUAUUUUAGAGCCCUAGGUGAUAUUAUAGCCAAAUCCACCAAAUCGAUCUAUGAAAUGGGGGAAAACUAUCUAAAUGGCAUGCUAGGGUUCCUCUAAAUCCAAUUUUAGGGAUUAAAAACCCAUCUACAAGGAUCUACCAUUAGAGAGCACGAUGCUUACCUCUCUAAACUUGCUCCAAUGGCUCAAGAAAGGAGAUGAAGAUGAAGCUCCAUCUUCUUGGCCUCUUCUCCUUCAUCUUCUUCCUCCCUUUCCUUCUCUUCUUCUUCUUCUUUUCUUUCGUCUAGAGAGAGAGAGUGUGUGUGUGUUUAGCGCUUUAGAGUGUGAGGGAGUGAGAGAAAUGAGGGAAAGAGAGAAAGGAUCCUCUCUAUACACUCUCAUAAGGGCCAUUUUGCACUUAAGCUCCUCAACAAUGCUUCUCUCACAACAGCCCAAACUGGGCAUUUUCGGGCUUCGGGGACCGGUCUCUCCCAGCCUGGGACCGGUCCUUGGUCCCAGAGGGACCUCUAGCCCAGACUUAGCCAAAUUUCAGCUUCGUCCGUUUUCGCUCGUUUGACCUCCGAUUCUUUUCAAAUCGAACCGAGACUCUCCAAACAUGUUUUCGAACAUAUUUUCAUCAUCUUUUCAUCCACGCUAAUGCUGGAUUUAGCUCAUGGUCCAAUAUAGCCUUUCGGGUCCAGUUUUCGCACCUAUGCGCACCGAAAUGCCCAAUUGCUCCAGAACUUCACCGAAUUUCACUGGGACCAUUCAAAUGGCUUUCCAACCAAAUGUACACCGUAACUUCAAAGUUGUAGAAGUUCGGUAUGUUACAGGGAGAGAGAGAAAGAGUAUUGUCGCUGCUACACACAAAAAAAAGGAAGCUGAGGAGUGAAAAAUGGAGAUCUAAGGAGGUUUAGAGAGAGAGAAAUAGAGAGAUGGGGAGAGAGAGAAAGAAAGAAAGAACCGGUGGGGGGCGCGCGCGACCCGUGCCCCCCGCGCACGCGCGCUAGAGAGAGAGAGAGACAGAGAGAGAAAGAGAUAGAUGGAGAGAGAGAGAAAGAGAAAGAGAAAGGGAGAGAGAGGGAGAUAGAGAAAGAGAGAACCGGGGGGGUGCCCACGACGCGCGCCCCCCGCACGCGCUAGAAAGAGAGAGAGAGAGAGAGAGCCGCAGGGGCCCUGCCAUGUGCAUGGCGUGACCCGCACCCGACUCCCGCGCCCGCCGGUUCCCCUCCGGAUCGAAGAGAACUGAGAAGGAGAGGGGCGCUGAGAGGCCGACGCGUGGCCACAGUAAAGUCACCCUUUUAUUAUAUAUAUUGAUACCUCUGUUGGCACCAAUAAAAUCGUGCCACAUGGUGAACCGGUGCACAACAUAACCAGGAGUUGCAAAAGCCAAGAAUAUCGGGUAUCUAGUGCACCGGGAACAAGGAGGAAUCAUAGCAAACCGCAGAUGGUUUCAUGCGGUUGGGAUCGGCCUGUGGCCCACGAAACUAGGGAAGUGGCCGAUCAUGUAGAUAACUGAAUAACAAUAGGCAGAAUAUAAAUAAACAAGUAACGCUUAGAAGAGGGGUCUUUUUCUCCUGCGAACAAAAAGACCAUUUUCAAUUCCACGCAUUUUUUUUUGCUUUCUAGAAGUAGUGUACAUGCUGAACAAAAUCUUCUUAAUGUAAAACCUGCUCGAUUUAGAUCGGGAAAAUUGUACGGAUUUUAUGAAACCAUGUGCUAUGGCUUGAAUCCGUAGUCAAUCCUAUUUCCGAUAGGAGCAGUUGACACUUGAAUCCUAUUUUUCCCAUUAUUUUACUAUCCAUAAUAGUGCGAAAAGAAGGCCCGGCUCCAAGUUGUUUAGGAAUAGUGGCAUUGAGCUUGUCGACCCUUUGCCUUAGGAUUUGAUCUUUUCAUUCUCCCGCAUCUACUAUCUUUUCUAGGAGUAGUAGGGAGAGUAGAUUUUUCUUUUGUCCAGUCUUGUAAACGUCUUUUUGAAUAUCAGCAAUAUAAGCCACAUUCAGCUCUUCAGCCGAACCAGAAAUCCUUGUGCAGUCCGCACACUCGGCUGAUUCAGCCGAAUUGGAUUUAUUGUAUUGAAAUGAACCCGGUUAGUCUGAUCCCUCAUCAACCGAAUCUCUCGAUUUGACGAAGGGCACAAACUUCAAGAGUCAUUAUUCGUAGCCGUUCCAUCUCCUUGCACGCUAUACGAAGGAGGAUCUUUGAUCGGGUUUGCAGUUGAAGGAUUCGGCUGGUCGAUGAGAUCAAGAAGCCGAUCAAAUUGUUCUAUAUUUCGAGCCAAACUAGGAAGACCACUGCUAUACAGUCUUAAACAUUCAUCCAAUUUCUACUAGGUCUCAGUCAAAGUGUUGGUAGAGGGGUCUUCUUCGUCAUUGGAUUUUAAGCUUAAAGCGGCUAAAUCUUGAAAAGAAAUGGCCAAUAGAUCUGCUAGUUCAGAUAUCGGCAAAGAAGCUGACGCAGAAGCCUCGACUUGAAUAUCAGCAGGACAGUCUAUGUUCGCCUCUCCCCCUUGAUCCCUUUCUUGCUCUUCUUUCUCUUUUUCAACCUUUUGUUUUUCUUCCUUUCUUUGUCUUCCUCCCUUCUCUUCCUCCUUUCUUCUUCCUGAUAUCUUUUUCCUCCUCCCUCUUCUUGGCUACCCUUUUUUUUCUUCUCUUCAGCUUCUUUUUUAUGUUCCCCUUCAACUCUUUUCUCUGCCUCCACCCACUUCUUCUCUGCUUCUUGCUUUUUAUCUACGCGGGCUUCUCGGCGAGCUUGCCACCCUAUAGCAGACAUCACUUGCCCUAAGGAUGAAGAAAAGCGAGUACGAGAAGUUUUUCUUGACGGAGGUUGUUUGAUCGAAGGGGACAACGGUGGUGAUCCGGCUGAAGAGUGAGAAAAAGAAAAUUCAAUCGAAAUAGGCUGAGGGGUUACCGCGGUAGAGAGUGGGUUGACAGGGGUCGAUUGAACAGGGUUCACCCCCUCGGUUGUAGUAUCAAUCGAUGAAAUUUUUGUCGGAAACUCUUCGGUUGGCAUAGAAGGAGGAAUGGGACGGAUCUUAAUAGCAACGGUCUUAUGCCGCUUCUAUUGCGGCGGUUGAGGCGAUUGAUCAGAAUAUAUCGCCCGCUUGUCAGAACGUAGGGCCGAUUAGGCAGAAGUAAGGGCCGGUUGGAAAAAGAUAUUUUACCCAAAGAAAUUCCUCAAGAAAAGAAACUAUACCGGGAGAUGAGAUUUAACGUUGGCGGAUGAGACGAAUUCUCAAGGUCUUCAUCUAAAUUUUCUCCCGACACAUCUUCUGGGGGAAUGGGUAAAGGACCCUUACCUGAAGAACCAAAUCAAGUUGGAAUGAAUUAAGGAAAGAAGGAGAUGAGGAUAAAAUCGUAUUAUUUGAAAGACAGCAUACCAUCUGUAUGAAAGAUUUUGCUAAAGAUAGGGAUCAUAAGGGGAAGAAAAUGUUGUUGACAAAAGGCUUCCCAGGCUCUGGUGAAGCGAAAGUCCAACACCCUUGCGUGGUUUGGCCGAAAGCUCAAAAGUUUAAAAAACUGUCGAAGACAAUUUUCCAAAGCUGAAAUAUGAUCGGCCUCGGCUGCACUCUUUGUAGGAGGACGACAACAGGCAGUAUUGGCCGUAAAGAAUUUGGCUGGAGCUGGAAGGGCCUGGACGAAUCCAAACUGACGUGCUAUAUAGUGAGGGGAAUACACCUCUAUACUUGGCGUUAAUUUGGAACGAUUCUUCAAGCCGAUAUGCAAAUCUCUGGCAACCAAAAAAGAGAACCAUACGUCGGGUUACUCGCUGGCGCGAGAGGAGGCUAGCUGAUCUUGAAUGGCUUCGAAUCGAGUGAGAAGCCAGGACGGACCAGUGACGUGUUCUCUAAUGAAGACCAGUUAAUGUGGAGACGGUGGCUCCUUCAUAAUACACCCUAAAAUAGUAGGAAAAAUUAAGUGGUUGACCUAGGGUCAAGGCUCGGGACAAUCGAGAGCCAGACCAUAAGUGUCAAAAUUAGGAGCCGAAUCCAAAUCUAAAAGAGUUCGGCACAAAUAAGAAAAAUAGAUCUGCAAACACAUUUGUAGAAAUCAUAAGACACCGCACCCAGAACUAAUAACCACAUCACCCGAUGGUAAUGGUUUGAUGGAUUCAAAAAUCUCUCUAUAAACAAAGGAGAGGAAAUAGGUACCUAAUGCUAAUUUCUCGCCAUUGGCCAAGGCAAUGGCGAUCGGAACGAAAUCUCGAUUGAUCUUCUGCUAACGAGUACGGAAGAGGUUGUAACAUAACUAGUAAAAGAGGAAAGCUGUGUGUUCCUUCCUUGUAACCGGAGCAGGAGACUGGCCUGCAAAACGGCGGAUGAAUUUGGUAUAGGCCAAGUUGGCUUUCAGAUCAAGAUGGGCCUCAAAAUCGUUUACGCCAUCAGGAUUAUAGGCCAUCGAAAGAGUAAUGCCGUGAGGGCGUAGACCAACGAUCGCCGCCACAUCAAGGGAGUGGAAGUGAAAGGUCUCCCUCAAAAAAGGAAGGUGUUGGAAACAGGGAAGCAAAAACAGAGAGCAGCAACCAGAAGAAGGUUGUCGGCUAUAGGAGGUGCUUUGGAUAAUGGAAUGGCUUAAUAAAUCCUGACCUCGCGCAAGAAAUCGACAUAGGAUGCCUCGACACAAUCUAACCAGGCAAGAUUGGCGUCCGAAGCAGUCGGCCAAGUCCGAAGACUCUUUCCAGACAAUUUUGAAGUCGUCGAAACAUACCAAGAAAAUAGAUAGAUGGCAUCAGCCAUCAGGGAAGGCCCUCGGUCGAAAAAGAAAAAUCUUCAAAAAUAGGAUCAUCUAUGAAUGAAGGUCCUAAUAUAAAUAAAAAAGGAUCUGUUUCGACGAAUUGGCAAAGAAGAGUAUAAUCAAAGGAAGAAGAUGAAAGAAAAGGAGUAAGCGAAGCCAUUAGCUAAACUAAAAAAAGAAAGAGAAGAAGAUGGAGAGAAGAAGUAGUGAAAUAAAAUCCCAGACGAGGAUAAAGAAGAAAUGAAGCGUAAGGAAGAAGAAAACAAUGAAGCAUGAAAGGCAAAAGAAAGAGGGAAGAAAAGGAGAGCCGUCGGAUGGAAUUUCGAAAAAAUGGCCGUAAUGGUGAAAAGACGGCGGCAAUAAAUGACCUAAUUAAUGCCUCAGAAGAGACAAAAAGAAUGUGGAGAUCGUGACCGUCAAAAGUGAAAGGAUGGUUGAGAAAAGAGACGGUACAAGGCAAUUCGAAAUGAUGAUUUCGAAAUUCGUGCCUUUAGGGAGGAUUACGCCAGUUACUGAACCGCCUGUUUGAGAGCUGCCGAGGGAACAAUUGUUGGCGCGAAGAAAAUCACGCCACGUGGUGAAUCGGUGCACAACACAACCAGGAGCUGCAAAAGCUAAGGAUAUCAGGUAUCUAGUGCACCAGGAACAAAGGACGAAUCACAGCAAACCGCAGAUAGUUUCAUGCGGUUGGAUCGGCCUGUAGUGGCCCACGAAAGCAGAGAAGUGGCUGAUCAUGUAGAUAACUAAAUAACAAUAGACGAAAUAUAAAUAAACAAAUAACGCCUAGAAGAGAGGUCUUUUUCCCCUGUGAACAAGAAGACCACUUUCAAUUCCACAUAUUUUCUUACUUUCUAGGAGUAGUGUACUUAUAAUCUUUUCAUUCUCCUGCAUCUACUGUUUUUUCUAGGAGUAGUGGGUAGAGUAGAUUUUUUAUUUUGUUCAGUCUUGUAAACCUUUUUCCGAAUAUCAGCAAUAUAAGCCUCAUUCGGCUCUUCAAUCGAACCAAAUAUCCUUGUGCAAUUGGUACACUCGACUGAUUCAGCUAAACUGGAUUUAUUGUAUUGAAACGAAUCCGAUUGGUCCAAUCUCUCAUCAUCCGAAUCGCUUGAUCUGACGAAGGGCGCAAACUUCGAGGGUCAUUAUUUGUAGCCGUUCCAUCUCCUCGCACGCUCUAUAAAGGAAGAUCUUUGUCCGGAUCAGCGGUUGAUGGAUUCGGCUCGCAACAACCUCUAAAAGGCUAGGGCUUAGGGAUGAGGGAUAGAAAAAAGGAUUCUCUAUUUUUUCUUGCAAGAGAAAGAUGAGAGAAAGAUAGAGUAGAAGAAGCUAUUCAAGGCCACCAUUGUGGGCUUGCUAGAGAAGCUUUUGAACCCGUCUUCAUGGGUAAAUCGAAGAAGCCUGAUUAUCUCGCCAGAAGGUUUUCUUAGGAGGUGGUUUGCAAGGGAUAUUGGUGGUGAAAUCUUUCGAAUAUUUCUCUUUAUUUGAAGUUAUAAUGAUUCUUGUAAUUCAUGUCUCUAAUAGUGAUCAUAGAGAAACUAGUGAGAGAGAAAUUAUGCUCUUCUUAUUUCAUAAAAUAGCGUUGUUUGGAGGUGGUCUCGUAGUUUAUUCCUUUCUAUGUUUUUUCAUGUAAAGUUUGGUGUUUGAUUUUUUGUUUGGUUUAUAUUUGCUUUAGUGUUGCUUUCUUUGUGGUAUAGUAUUACUACCAUUAAUAUUAUAAGCUUUUUUCAUUUGAUCUUGUAUAGUGGAAGAAUUUAUAUAUAUUCUUUUGUCAUCACAAUUUAGGUUUGAUUAGGGAGGUAACUUACUAAAUUUUUAAAUUUUUUCUAAAUUUUUGUCGUACAUAACUAGGGGUGAAAACGAGCUCGAACUAGGGGUGAAAACGAGCCGAGCUCGAGCGAGCUUACCUCAGCUCAAGCUUGGCUUGAAAUUAAUUUCGAGCCUAACUACAACAAUAUAGGUGUACACCAGUAGCCAAAACUGUUGGAAAAGAUUACAAAAACCGCUGGUAAUAUUUGCUCCAGCGGUUCUAAAAGUGCUGGUAAAAGUGUAAGUGACCAUUACUAUAUCCUUACUGGUAUUACCCUUUCCCAGCACUUUUAUUAACCAUUGGAGAAGAUAAUCUCUAGCAACAUUUUUUAAACCGUCGGUACUUCAACAAAAAAACCACUGGCAUAAAGCAGAUGUGCCGACAGUUUUAAACCGUUGGUAAUCUAAAACUAAUAAGAAAAAAAAAAAAAGCUAAUAUCAACAAAUUACAAUAGAGCUUUUCUAUUUGAUAUUUGCUGUAAAACUAACAAUUUGUAUUAUCCAAAAAAAAGAGUCAUAUUACUAAAUUGCAAUAGAGAAGUCUAUAACAAAAUAGUUAAAAUGUUUGUAACAAAACUACAAGAUGGCACAAUCAUGAUCUAUAGCAAUAACAAAAUGCAACGAAAUAAUUUUUUAUACUUUAAUAGAAAUCAAUGCAAAAGAAAAUUUAUCUGAACUCAAAAUGUUAGAAAACUAAGAAAAUAGAGAGUGAAAAGCUCCCGUUGAACUUUCUUGAAAUGCUGAACAUCAAGUAGGAAAGUUAAGAAAUGGAGAUUGAAAAGCUCCAGCGGAGCAUUCUUGAAAUGUAGAACAGCAAAUCCUACUUGUGGCUUCAAUCUGAAACAAAAAGAAAUUCAAACAUAUAAGUUGUAGAAGCUCAUUCUAACAGGAAAUCCAUCAUAAAUUAUAUAUAGCAAAAAAUCGAAGCUUAUCCCAACUAGGAGAUUGCCUAGAGAUAUUAAUGUCAUCUUCUAAGGAAAAGAAGCUUAAAUAUCUAACAGAGAAUAUAUAUAUAUAUAAUGCUCGCUUUUGGCAAAUAUUGCUUACUCAAAAAUGAUGUACCAUAAUCCGCAACAUAAACAGCAUGGCAAAAUUCAUUAGUGCUAACAGCCAGUAACAGUCAAAACAAAUACAUCAAAACUUCAUACAUUUCUAUCCAAAGAAAACUAUACUCAAAUACUAAACGACAACAGUGAGAAGAAGGCGAUACAGCAUCCAUAUGCUUUCCCCCACGCAUAAUAUAAAGACCAAUUUCACCUUCUAAUAUAUGCAGAAACCUUUUUUUGAUCGGUGGCAAAAUUUGGUCAAGAUAAGCAUUACUAAGACAAGAAAUGCUUUUGCAAUACUAUCAAAGAAAACAACGACAUAUAACAUAUAAUUCUAGCUUUUUAUAUGGAUUUCAACAUCCUAAAACAAUUUCUAGGGCUUUAGGAAUCUCCACAAUCGAGAUAAAGAAUUAGGAUUUGUGAUUGUAGCCGCUGCCAAAAGAAUUCCAAACUAUAAUUCCAAAAGGCAACAACAAAAAAAUAAGUUUACCAGGAUGUAGACAGUAUGCUUACCAUUGGAUCGACUACAUCUACAGUGUCACCACCAAUCACAUUAGGAAGAGCGACAUCUAAGUAAAAUCACCAUUUCUUUUACAUAAUAGAUGAUCGACUACAUAUAUAAGAUACAGAUAUUUAAAACUACUCAAUGUAUUCAUAUCCAACAAUUCUAGGAACCAAAUAAAUCGCUCUUUAUCAAUUUUCUUUUCCAAGCCAACAUUUUUCACACCUUCCCCUACUUAGAGGAACAUUACUAAAAAAUUGCUUCUACCAUCAUUGUCAAUGAAAGUGUGCAAAAUUACUGAUGAAAGCAUACCUCCCACCUUUCCCGAAAAAGUUUGUUUCUUCAAGUUUUUGUGCUCCUAUUGUCAUUGUUCUGGAAUAUAUAGUUCAUAGCAUAUAUAGUUUCAGGUUUGAAUAAGAAUCAAAUCCUAAAUGCAACCAGAACCAAAACAGGACAAAGAAUUGUACAUACAUAGGCACCACAAAUAGCAAAAUAAAGGAAAUGAUAAUUGAGUGGGUUUGAGGGAGCAACAUCAAACAAAACUUGCACGAACUAGUACUACUAUACCUGCCUAUAAUCUCAGCGGCCUAUAGUUUAGGAAUUUAAUUUGUUGGUCCCCACACAACACUUCAGGCAAUGGAUUAUGGCAAGCAGUGUCCUAUAGUGGACAGUAGAGUGCAAUAAUAUGGAGCCGCAAUAAUUAAAUGAAACAUGUAAUAGUUUACGAGCCCUCUAAUGUAUCUGAAGGGUUCCUUUCUAAAAAAUUUCCUUUUCAUAUUGGGUUAGAAUUUUCAUGCUAAGAUUCCUAAAAAUGCAUCCCUAGCAGAGCUUCUUAUAAGUGUCUUAUGCUGUAGUAUAGUGAGAGUUGAAGAGCGAUAGGUAAAAUUCACAACAAAAGAAGUAACAGUUAGUAAGUAACUUUGAUUUAUUAGUUUGCCUUAACCAACUACUAAUUAAUGUUCUUUCCCUAAAAAAGAAAAAACAAAGAACUUCCACUCAUCUAUUAUGACUUCACCUUCACCAAUAUCCCCCUAUGCCUAUGCUAAUAAUAUUACAAUUAUUGAGGCCAAUAGAAAGGGGAAAAAAAAUGAAGCCGGUGGGGAGACCUUCCAGAAUCUUAAUGCGUAGAACCAACAAUCUACGAACUCUAAAUUAAUCCUUGUUGAGUCGCUACUUGUUCAUUAGCCAACCUAUAUGCAUUAAUAGCAUUUGUAAUUCCUUAAUUGGACAUCAUAUAUGCAACCACCAUGCAUGUCUCACCAAGAAAUCCUCUAUAUUAUCUUUUCUCAACAAAUUAGAUUAUUUCAUUAAGCAUGUAGUGUACUUUUUAGUUGAAUUAUAUGCCUCAAAUAAGUUCCUUCAUGCAAAGUUAACUAAUUAAGCUAAAUAAGUAGGUCUGUUCUUGGUAUGACUUCAACUCUUUUUUUUUAGCCAGAAGAGUUCAGAACUUGAAAUUCUAAUAUGAUUCAAUGCAUUCAUGGAUGUUUAAUUUUCCUUCUUAUUGUUUAAUUAGUUUAUACUGUGCCCUAGCCAAAUGCUAAACAGGAACUUCAAACAACAAAAAAGAAAAAAAGAAGAAAAAGAAAAAGAAGCUAAAUUCCUUAACUUUGCUGCCAAAAAGAGAACUGUAGGUGUUUAGAUUGUAUACUAUCAACAAAUAGCAUGUGUAUUCAAUCGCCUAAAGUUUAAGUUUCUUGAAAAAUGACAAUAUAACUAAAUGAAACGAAGCCUUAAUAAGUAGCAGCUUUGUUUUCUUUCCACAGCAGGACAAAAUAAAAAAUGAAACAAUUGAAAAGAAAAGCCUGAGAUCUAAACCAUGAGAUCUGGCUUCAAGGAAGGAAGGCAGGGCAACCCUUCCAACCUUCCGACCUUUCCUAACAAGAGCCACAAAAUUUUCCAACUCAAAAGUUUUGUUCGACCAUUGAUAAAAGGACCUCAAAAAAAAACCCAAGAACCUCGAAAAAGAGGAUUAAACAACAAUAGAAUGAUGCUAUUGGUAACUCAGGAGAAGAAAAUGUUCACUGCAUUCAUGAUUUCACACAGGAUUGGUAACAAUUUAAUCAAACAUUUCAAAGCCGAUGUGUUGAUUGCAAAAAUCCUCAAGAAACAGCAAUAGAAUGUCGGAAAAAAAAAAGAGAAUGAGAAAACCCUUCGUAUUGUCUGAACAGCAAAUCAAAUAACUAAAUACUUCAAAAAAGCUGACAACAGGUGAAAGUAGAAUUACAAAGUUUGAUCAAAUAGUCAAACUUACCACCAAUAGUACUCCCAUUACCGCCAGCAAAUGAUGUAAUGCAUGUUUUGCAAAAUGUCCAAAAUUAAGAUAAAGUGAAAAGGCGUAUGCACUAGAAGAAAAUAAAAAAUCCAUCUCCAAAUUCAGCAAUAAAAGCCAAGCUUACAGUUUAGUUGUUACAUUAUUAUGAUCACCGGUAAGAAAAUAAACUUAACAAAUGAAAAUAGAAAAAUUUCAAGAUAUAAAUGGUCAAAUAACGCAGCUCACUUAUAUCUAGUCAGGUUAACAACCAUACCAAAUAAGCUGCAAUUCACAUUGAAAGAACUAGCCAAAAACAGUUGUCACGACCCGCGACCACCCGCCAAUUUGGCCGGGUCGCGGCGCCGCCGGCAGACCGCCGAAUGGACAGAGUUUUCCCUUUACGUUCUAGGCGUCGCAAUCAAUACAAUACGAGAGUUCCAACCAGGAACAGUAUUCAUUCACAGAUUGCAUAAGGAAGUAUCGAAAACAUAAACUACUAAGUUAUUACAGCAUUUAACUUAGAUGCAUUUUACAACAUAAUUUUUGUUUUACAAUUAACCUCCAAAUACAACCAUAACUAUUACAGAUUCUUCUACAACUUAAACAAAAGUUUGUUCUUGUCUUUAAACCUCCCAAGCUAGACCACCAACUCGGGUACUGCUAUCUCAGUCUCUGGGUAGGACGCUAUCUGCAGAACUACGUCCUCGCCUUGCGCCGCCGCGCCGCACACGUGUGUACCUGUACCCCCAAAACAGCANUUCUUCUUCUUCUUUUCCUUUCUCCCUUCUCUUCUCUUUCUUCUUUUCUCCUUUUCCCUUGCACGGUUAGAGAGAGAGAGGGAUGUAAGAGAGGGAGAGAGAGGCAGUGAAAUGGGAGGGGAAAUGGCUUAGAGGGGUGUGUUAACCCUCUAAUGUAACAAAAUCCCGAAAGCCCCCUCCAUUUUCUAUUUUUCCAAAGCAGACCUGCUGCUUCGGGCUCCUUGUACCGGUACACGGUUUCUUGUACCGGUACAAGGCCUGGCAGACAGCACGAACCCGAGAGCUCGUUUUCUCGGUUUCGCAGAUCUUGUACCGGUACAAGGUCCUUUGUACCGGUACAAGGCCUGGCAGCUCCAAGCCUUGAACUUCGCUGGUUGUACCGGUACAACCAUUGGUCUUGUACCGGUACAAGACAUCCAGAAAGUCAUUUUUGACUUCGUUUCCGCCCUAUUUCGCGUCGUUCAAUGCCAAAACCCUUCCAACUAAUUUAAGGCUUAUUUUUAACCCUUCCAACAGUGUUGGAAUGAUAAUUGGGACUUGUCCAUCCAUCUACUUCGCAUACUUUAGUCGAUUUGGCUAAAGCUCGAUAUUUCUUCCGGAACCUCGGGGGUUACAACAGUUGCAAGAUACAAUAGAAAAUAGUGAACAGUGAUUGCCAACAACAACCAAAAAGAAAAAAGUUACAAUAAAAUAACAGCAUAUGAUAAAUUUUUUAAAUAGAUAAGAAGGCACCUGAAGUAACAGCACAAAGAGAACUUUAAGUUAACUUUAGAUACAUGGCAUAAUUCGAGAACCUUGACUAAUUUAAAGCAUUCAUGUCUAGGAACUUGGAACUAUAAUUGUAAAACUCGAGAACUAAAUAAUUAAAGUGUAAAACUGAUUCUCAUUGAAUUCCUACAAGGCUAAAGUAAGGCAUUAGGGUUUCCAGAACUAGUGGCAACAAAAUACCCUGAACUAAUAUAUAAAACAUUAGGGAUUCCAAGCACUACCUGCAAAAAACAGGGGAAAAUAGAUUAGGAAAUUAGGGCAUGGAGAGGGAGGGAGGGUUAUGUGGUGGAGGAGUUGGGAUUGGUCGGAUCUGGAGAUGAAAUUGGAGAUGUAGAUGAGCUGUCACCUACGGCUCGACGAGGCGACGCGCAGGUAAGGUGCGAGCGGCGGAGGCGCGUGCCUUGCUCCCGAUGAAAACCACAGGUCGAGGCGCGGGGCUUGCUGGAGCCGCAGGUGGCGGAGGAGAUAUCGUGGCGACAAAUAUCGCCACUAAUACUCCAUUUUUCGGUGGCGACUCUUAUAUGUCGCCGUCAAAACAUCCCGUAUCGGUGGCGACUUUUAUAUGUCGCCACCAAAGCAUCCCGUAUCAGUGGCGACACUUAUAUGUCGCAGCCAAAUCAUCCGUAUUGGUGGCGACUCUUGUAUGUCGCCGCUAUUUCCUAUAAAUCGGCGGCGACAAAUAAAUGUCGCCACCAUAUUAAAUACAUUGGUGGCGACAGUGCCUGUCACCACCAAAAAGUCGCCACUAAAACACAUUUUUGUUGUAGUGCUACCACAAUUUGGAUUUGUACUAGGAUUAAAGGCACAGUGUACUGAUUCCAAACAACGGGAUGAUCCGUUCUCUUGGUAAUCUACAGAAUCGUCUCUGUUAAUAUUUCCAAAACUACUUGACCCACUCAUAGGCGCAUUAUUCGACUCCUCGAUGCUGAAGGAAAUAGACACCUCAUGGUUACAAACCGUUCUUUACCUUUGAAACAUGGUUGCAAAACUUGCAAUAGAGAAAAUAAGAAGUGUGCUCUUACAGUAAUAAGAGAUUCUGAAACUUUCCGAGUUCCUUUGGAAUAGGCCCAAAUAAAGCAUUAAUUCCUACAAACCAAUGGAUUGUUGUACGCAUAAAUUAUUAUCACCAAAAGACUAAAACAUAUGCAAUAACUGAUGUUGAAGUUGCAAUCAUAAAUCUUACAGGAACUGCAUUGUAGAAAAAUUUUCGAUGAAUGCCGGUAAAGGGCGUGUCAAGUAGUUUUGGUCCAACUUCCUGUGAAGAAUUAGACCACCAGUUUACUUGAGAUUUUAAUUUCCUUAUGGUACUUCAGCUUACAUAAAACUGAUCAGUUUUCUUCUUUCAUUUUCAUAGCGUGCAAUUUUUCCUAUUCGAUCAAUGUUUUGAGUAAGAUUAUGCUGAUUCAUUGAUAUGAAUUUUGAUCUGAUGCUAUUUUUUUUAUCAGGAUGAGAGAAUCUUCCAUCACUAAAUUAUAAUCUUUACAACUACUUAAUUUCUUACCGUUUUCGCUCCUGGACACAAGAUUCAUACUCUGAACCAGUCAUAAUUCUUAAACUCUUGUCUCAUUGGAUAAGCAUCUGCCAAAUUUAGACACACCAGCGGCAGCGCAAGUGCGAAAUUUGCGCGAUUCUUGCCUUCUUCUUUGGGAUUUUAAAAUGGUCCUUGGAAUUAAUAAUAAAUAUGUUCAUGAAUCUGAAUUUUACAGCAGCCGUGCUUUUGGGACACAUUUGUAAUCAAGAUUUUAAUUGUUGCAUAAAGAGUAGUCUGAUAAUUAAGCAAUGGAUAUUUAGAAAAAGAAAAAAAAAAAACUCAAAACAAUAAACCUAAAACAGAAUCAAACUAUACAAUUACAAUAUGCAAUUAAACAACAAAAUGCCUUAAUAAAAAUCAAAUCACAAGGAAUCAACUCCAAAUAAUUGAAAAAAAGUGAAAUACUGUGAUUGGGAAACUCACGCUAUAAAAUCCCAAAGAAGAUGAUGUGCUUCUUCAGGCUCCGCUUCAGCAGCAUGGGUUGGGCGGUGACGACGCGCGCCAGCGACUCGCCGAAGAGCGUCGAGCUUCCGCCGGAGGGUGCUGUGGGGGUCGCUGGAAAGCACGGCCGGGAACCUGGAGAUGAGCUUGGAGAUGUGGGUCACGCCGAAGCCGUAGUCGCGGAGGAGGCGGAGAACGGCAUUAGGGUUCUCGGUGCUCUUGAAGCGGAGCUUCUGGGAUGCGGAAAUGGCGGAUUCGGGGGACAAGCCGCAGGAGUCGAUGAGGUAGGUUAGGGCUAGGGGAUUGGGGGUGGUGGCGGAGGAGGAUAGGGAGAGGGAUUUGCAGGGAGAAGGGUUCGUGCGGGGGAGGAGGAGGAAGAAGACGACGCCAUGUGGAGGCGAUGGCGAAUGGAGUAGAGCAUCGGACUAGACUUUUUUUUUUUUCAAUCUUUCAGGGUUGGGGAAGGGUUUUGUGUAAUUGUGUUCGUGUGUAGACGUGUAGUUCGUCCAAACCUGAUUUUUGUUUUUUUUUUCUUUAUUUUAUUUUAUUUUUUGAGCUUGCCUAUAACUAAGUUCCGCUCACAGCCAAUUGUUGGCCCAGUUGAUAAAAUAAGCUAAUAAAAUAGGCCCAAUAUUAUUUAUAUAAUUAAAAAUUAUUAUCACUAUACCGGCGGUUUACUAAAUGUUACAGAAAAUAUAAAAAAUGUUGGUAUAAUAUAGUUUUAGCAGCAGUUAGUUUAAUUGCUGGCUAAAAAACUGCUGGAACAAAUCUUAUUUGUUGUAGUUAUAUAUAUCGAUAGUAUCCCAGCCAGACAAUUAAUAUCAACUCUGGUGGUAACAUGAACCAACGGAAGAAUAUAUAUCUUUAUUUCUGAUCUCACACUCACCCCCAAGAUGCCUAAUUCCAAAACAAGAUUACAGUAAAAUAACAUUUGAAGUGUUACAAGUGUUUCAUACAUUCUUAUUUCUCCCGUGCGUACAAUUGCUAAUAGCCAAAUAAGCAACAGAAAUGCAGAGUCUAUAAACAAACUAGACAUAAAUAUAAUACCUAUCAAACCUCAUGAUCUACAAUAUAAAAAAAAAAAAAAAAAUUUAAAUAGGAAACUCGGCAAAGGAAAUUAAGAUUAUGCAGGUCUUCGACUACAUCAAACUCAAGAUAUACAAUAAAACAAAGGAGCAUAUAUAUAUAUUAUAUAUAUAUAUAUAGAGAGAGAGAGAGAGAGAGAGAGAAAGAGAGAGAGAGAGAGUACCUAUUAAACCUAAUGAUCUACAAUAAAAGAAGAGAAAACAAAACAAAAACAGAAGAAAAAAAGAAACAUAAAUAAAUAUAAUACCAAGAAGCUGAGGAAAGAUUACAAGUCUUUAAGUUCAUCAAACUCGAGCAUCAAAGAACAAGCAGUAAUGAACAAUCCAGCUACACCGAAACAGUUUGCUUCUCCAGUUCCAUGUGGCGGUUCUUAUAGAAAUUUUCUAUGAAAUUGGCGGCCUUCUGGUCGACGUCGUGCUCUCCGACGUACCCCCCUCGGUCCUCGUCGCUCGGUCGCACUUUAUUCGAAGUAUACCUUGGCUCCCUCUCGGCAUCGGCGUGGUAAUUGUUCGAUCCGGAGGAGAAGCAAUUCCCCAUAUAAUAUGGUUAUAAAUCUUCCUAAUUUGCCUCUCUACUAGCUAGCUUCAAUUCCCUCUCUCACACACACUUAACAAGCUUGUUAGGAAUGCGCGAGUUGUCGAGUUUCGAAGUGCAAAAUCCCCUCCUAUUUAAAUAUAGCAGAGGACACCCUCGAGGUCCCCUCCUAUAUAGUAGCUUCUCUCUCUCUCUCUCUCUCUCUCUCUCUCUCUCUCUCUCUCUCUCAUUCUCUCUUACUUUCUUUUCCUCUUUUCUUUCGUUCCCUGUUCUCUGCUCUUUCUCUUUCUCUCGGUAUUACUUUCUCAUCCUGACAUACCGGUCCUUCUCUCUCUUUCUUUUCAAAGUGAAGCUAUAACUUAUCGUGCAUAUGUGGAGAGGGAAACUUUAUGUUAAGCACUUUCAAAGAAAUUCAUCGGGUAUAUCGAACGGUGGAGAUUUGUUAAAUUGAUGUGUGAUAAAAAAAAAAAAGAAAAAAAAAAGGGGUGGUUUAGAGAUUUAGGAUGGUGAAAACCAUCCAAAAUGCAUUCCAAAUAUUCCUAGUCUUCUUCUUUUUGAAUUUGACUUGAAUAAUUCAGGUCCCUAUAUAUUUAUAGUUCACAACUUUAUGCAACUUUCUAUGAAAUUACCAUGAAUGAAAUAAAAGUUCAUUGGUCUAGUCUCUAGUCAAUCAUUUUAACUUUUGCAUGCAUGGGCACUAAAUUUUGGUCUCCAUUCAAUUGAUUGAAACAUUAAUUUUGGCAUUUUUUGGAACCACCUCAAAGCUUUUGCAUUUGCAUAUAUGUGAAGGUAAAUUUAGUAUGUUAGAUAAUUAAAAUCAUAAGAUUUUACGGCGUGCUAGCUUAUGACACCUAAGGAAUGACAAAUGUGCUCAACCUAAACUAAUUAAUUAAGAAAAGAAGAUAUAAAAUUUUAAUUUGUAGACCUUUGUCGGAACUACAAUGCAUUUUGAAAUAGAUAUCUGAAAUUUUAAAAAAGAAAAUUGCAGUUUUACUAUCUAACUUCAUAUCUUAAAUUUCAUGAAACAGACAUGAAUUUUUCGAAAGUCUGGAUCCUAUAUUAUCUAACAUUAGAAUAUAUAUAUUAUUAUACAUACUAUUUUUUUUACAAAAUAUUUACCAGCAUAUACUUUUGGAAGCACGAAGCGCUCCAUUCUUCCAAGUUGUUUCGAUGUUUGGACUUUCGAAUCGAUGAUCGGCUCCAUUAGACUUGAUCUAGAGUAUUUGAAGUAUCUAGAAAAUAAAUUUUGCGAUUUUUUGAUAUCAUUUGCCUGGUGAUCGAAGUAGCUCAAAAUCAAUAGCUGAAAAAAAAAAUCUUACAAAAUAUGAUAAUAUGACAUUAAAAUUUUAAAUCAAAAAUAUUGAUCUUGUUUUAUAUAGUAUAAAGAAAUUUUUAGCAAAAUUUCACGUGAUUUGGAUAUUUCUACACCAUUAAACUUGCAAACGGCUCGUCACGACCAUUAAAAUUAUUGAUUUUGAGCCCCUUCGAUCACUAGGCAAAUGAUAUCGAAAAAUCACAAAUUUAAUUUUUAGGUACUUCAAAUACUCUAGAUCAAGUUUAACGGAGUCGAUCGUCGAUUCAAAAGUUCCAACAUCGAAAACAUCUUGGAAGCUCGAAAGGCUCCGUGCUUCCAAAAGCAUACCAGCUCACUCUCUCUCUCUCUCUCUCUCUCUCUCUCUCUCUCUCUCUCUCUCUCUUUAUAUAUAUAGCUGACUAUAUGCUUAUAAAAGUACCAAGCACUUGGUGCUUGUAAAUUUUUUACCGUUAGAUCUACCAUUUAAUCAUUUUCACCCGUUAGAUCAUACUAUUCAACCAACCAACCACGUAACCCUAGGGGUCCCACAUCAUCUUAACCACACAUCUCUUAAUCCAAUAGUCAAAAAUCUACAAGUACCAAUAAUUUGGUACUUUUAAAAGCAUAUGAGCUCAAUUCUAUAUAUAUAUAUAUAUAGAGAGAGAGAGAGAGAGAGAGAGAGAGAGAGAGAGUAACUUGGUACUUUUAAAAGCAUAUUAGCUCAAUUCUAUAUAUGAGAAAGAGAAAGAGAGAGAGAAAGAGAGAUGAGCUAGAAUGCUAUCGGUAGCAAACGGGCUCUGUUGCCACCCAUUUAUUUUCGAUGAUGGAGCCUUCAAAUCAACGAUCGGCACCGUUGAACAUGAUCUAUACCACUUGAAGUAUCUAGAAAUCAAAUUUCAUGCUUUUUCGAUAUUGUUCUCUUGUUCAUCAAGUGAGCGUAAAAAUGAACUGCUGAAAAUAAAUAUCCUCUAAAAAGUGAUGAUAGAAUUUUGUAAUCAAGAUCGAGAGUAUAGAUCUUGUUCUAAAUAGUUUAAAGAUUUUUCUAACAAAAAUUCAAUUGAUUUGAAUAGCUUUAUACCGUUAAAUGAGAAAACGUCUCAUAUCGAUCAUUAAAUUACAAAUUUUGAAACCCUUUGAUCAUUAGGUCAAUGAUGUCGAAAAGAUUUGAAAUUUGAUUUCUAAAUACUUCAAGUGAUAUAGAUCAUGUUCAACGGUACCAAUCGUCGAUUUCAGGGCUCCAUCAUCGAAAACAAAUGGGUGGCAACGGAGCAUGUUUGCUACCGUAGCAUUUCAGCUCAAUUUAUAUAUAUAUUAAUAUAUAUAUUAUAUAUAUAAUAUUAUAAUUAAUAUAUAUAUUAUAUAUUUUUAUAUAUACUAUAUAAGUUUACUAGUUGAAAUGAAUACGUGCAAAUGCACGUAACAAUUAAUUAUUAUAAAUAUAUUCAAAUCAAAUAUAAAUGUGUACACUUAUAUAAAUUCAAAAUUUUAUAAUAAAACUAAUUUUAUAAAUUAAUAUAUUAAUUUUAUUAGAAAAUAUUUACAUAUCUAUGUGUUCUUUUUUUUAUAUAGUCGAACAUUUUUAUAUACUUUUUGAUUUUUAAUGAAUUAAAUUUAAAUAUGUGUUUUAAACUAAAAGCAUAAAAUUUAAUUUAUUUUAUUUUCAAAUUUUAAAAUUUAGAUUGAUCCACUGUUAUAAAAAAAUUAAUUGUUAAUUUAAUUUGAUAUCAAAAAUUAAAUUUAUAAUUUAUGAAUUUAAACUCAAAUUUAAUGUAAAUAGUAGUAGGAAUGCUUUUUUUUUAUAACAGUUUGUUUUUAUUUGAGGUAAUUUUUUAACAAAUUGAUUAUAAUCGUUCGUAGGAUUGAAUUUAUAGAUGAAUAGGAAUGCUAUUUUUUAAUAAAUUGAUCAUAACUGUUCUUAUUUGAGAUUUUUUUUUAGCAAAUUGAUUAUAAGCAUUUGUCGAGAAUAGAUUUUUAUAUAGUAGAGAUUUAAUAGAUUGAUCAUAACCGUUCUUAUUGAUUUGAGAUAUUUUUAACAAAUUAAUCAUAACCAUUCGUAGGGAAUAUUAUUUUUUUUUACAGAUUAAUCAUAACCAUUCGUAGGUAAUAUUAUUUUAUUCCUUUUUAGAUUCCGUCUGUCAUUGUCGGAAUUCCUAUACGCUUUUAUAUAUACUAGCUUAGUGCAAAUGCACGUAAAAUUAUUUUAAUUUAUUUUAAAUCAAUAUAAAUUUGCACAUUAUAUUUAUUUAAAAAUUUAUAAUUUAUAAAUUCAUAUGUUAUAUUUAUUAGAAAAUAUUUGUAAUAUUUUAUAUUUUUUUACAUAUAUUAAAUAUUUAUAUAUAUAUAUUUUAUUUCUGAUGAUCUAAAAUUUAAAUAUGUGUUUUAAACAAAAGGCAUCAAAAUUUAAUUCAUAUUUAUUUCAAAAUUUAAAAUUUAAUUUUUAUCCACUAUAAUUAAAAUUUUUGGAUAAGAAUGCUAUUUUUUAACAGAUUAAUCAUAACCGUUCGUUCUUAUUUAAGAUUAUUUUAAUUAAGUGAACCGUUCAUUUUUAAUUGACACAACCGUUCGUAAGAUUGGAUUUAUAGAUGGAUAAGAAUGCUAUUUUUAACAGAUUAAUCAUAACCGUUCAUUCUUAUUUGAGAUUUUUUUAAUUAAGUGAUCAUACAUGGUCCUAAAAAAUAUAGGGAAUAUUCUUUUAUUUCUUUUUGGAUUCUUUUAUAGAUGGAUAAUAAUGCUACUUUUUAACAGAUUAAUUAUAAUCAUUCACUCUUAUUUGAAAUUUUUUUAAUUAAGUGAUCAUAUCCAUUUGUAUCCGUUCCUAAAAAAUAUAGGAAUAUUUUUUUAUUCCUUUUUGGAUUCCGUCUGUCAUUGUCGGAAUUUCUAUACACUUUUAUAUAUAGCACGAAGCACUUGGUGCUACCAAGUUUUCCGCCGUUAGAUCCUACCCUUUUGAUCAUUUUCACCCGUUAGAUCAUACUAUUCAACCAACCAUCCACUCAACCCUAGGGGAUCCACAUCAUCCUAACUGCACAUCUCUUAAUCCAAUGGCCAAAAACUUAGUAGCACCAAUGACUUCGUGCUAUUAAUAGCAUAGUAGCCUAGUUCUAUAUAUAUAUAUAUAGAGAGAGAGAGAGAGAGAGAGAGAGAGAGAGAGAGUAGGUCUUGUGUGCUAUUAGGAGCACGGAGGCUUCCGUGCUCCUAAGCCAUUUUGGAUGAUAGAGCUUCCGAAUCGACGAUCGGCUCAUUAGACUUGAUCUAGCAUAUUUGAAGUAUCUAGAAAAUAAAUUUUGUGACUUUUCGAUAUCAUUUAUCUAACGAUCGAAAUGGUUCAAAAUCAACGGCUGAAAAUAAAAAUCUCAUAAAAAGAGGUGAUAUAGCAUUAAAAUUUUCGAUCAAACAUAUUGAUCUUGUUGUAAAUAGUAUAAAGAAUUUUCUAUCAAAAUUUUAUCUGAUUUGAAUACUUCUACACCGUUAAACUUACAGCCGGUAUACAUCAACCAUUAAAAAUUGUUGAUUUUGAACCCUUUCGAUCGCUAGGAAAAUGAUACCGAAAAAUCAAAAUUAUUUUCUAGAUAGCUCAAAUACGUUAGAAUAACUCUAAUAGAGCCGAUCGUCGAUUCGCAAGCUCUAUCAUCGAACAAGACCUACUCUAUACCGUGUUCUAGCUAGCUUCAUGAGGAACAUGCAAAUAUAUGUUUGAACAGUUAAGCUUUUCCAACAUUAAUUAGCUUUGCCAAUCUUAGGCAACAAGAUCAAUCAAUAUUAAAAGAUUAAAACUUGAGUGGGUAGGUAGGACCAGUCAAAAAGGACAGUUCAAAUUGGUGCUUUUAAAAAGUGACUUGUGUUAUAAUUAAAGGAGAGGUAAAAAAAAAGAAAAAAAGGAAAAAAGAAAAAAGAAUGAAAAAAAUAAAGAAUGGUUAGCAUUAGGGCUUUUCCCAAAUGCAACGCUACGAUCGAUCUCCUUUGGGCACAAUUAAUAAUAUAUCUCUGCUUUGAGUAUAUCUCUUGGCACAAAUAAUUUGGAACACCCAAUUAGAAGAAGCAAAUCACGAGGACAAAUUAAUAUACUAUAUAUAUAUAUAUAUAUAUAUAUUUAAUAGUAACUGUUUAAUGCGUGAUUGCUGGAAUCACAUUGCAUGUGUUUAAAAUACUAUAAUAUGUUUAGGUAGAAUCUUAAUCAUGAAAGGCCCAAUAUUUUGUGUCGUGAGAUUCUUGAUUCCUUAAUUAAUUUGUUACGUACAUUAGCAUCAUUUGGUUUAUGUGGCGUGUCUAGUUGCCAUUAAUUGGAGAGGAUUGCCCACAUUAAUUAAUGAAUCCUAUUAAAAUGCAAGAGCAUAAAAAUUAAGUUCAAGAAGAUUAACUUUUACUAAACUAAUUAAUUAAUAUUCCACGUGAUCGAAAACGGUACAAAUUAAGGAGUGUUUAAUGAAUUACAUUAAGGGUGCGUUUGGUUCGUGUUAUCUUUCUAAGAUUCCUAGUAAUCCAAUAGGAAUAAAAAAAAUAUGACGGUGUUUGGCUAAACGUACUAAGUAAUCUAGUUGGUAAUAUUAGAUUUACUUGGGAAUGAGAUGCAUCCCAAAGUACUAAUCUCAUUCUUUUGAGGGAGGAUGGGUAUCCUUAUAUUAAUGGAUUGGGGUAAUUAUAAUAUGUCUAAUCUCUUUUUUUCUUCCUACCCGCCGGCUAGUUGGUAUUAUUUUUCUUUACACUCUAACCUCAUAUCUCUCUCUAAACUUAUCUUUUUCUCUCUAAACUUCAACUCUUUUUCUCUCUCUAAAUUAAACUAUUUCUCCCUCUCUUUUUCUAAAAUUUCAACCCUCUCAUUCUCUCUAAUCUCGACUCUAUUUCUCUUUCUAUUUCUUUAAUUAUGCUCUCUCUCUUUCUAAUCUAUAUUCUCUCUCUCUUUUUUCUAAAAAGAUGUUGAAAUUUUUUUAUAGUAUUAUUUAAAAUUAAUUAAAAAAAUUAAUUAAUUAAUUAUAUAUUUUUCGUAAUCUUAAAUAAUAUUGACUAAAUAAUAUGACCGUACGAACCAAACACCGAAAUACUAUAUUCCUAGUAAUAGGAUGAAUAGAAAUAAGAUUUUCGGAUAUCAUUUUACUCCAAGUAAUCUUUCAUAGUGCGAUCCAAACGCGCCCUAAACUCGUACUAGCUAGUAUCCUUUUGGUGCUGUUUUUGCACCACAUGCAUGGGUAUAUAUAUAACUAAUCAGAAGGCUCCGGGCAAAUGGCUAGGAAUAUUAGUGGGAGAAGAAUUAAUCCUUCUCAAGGUUAACUUAUGCAACUAAUUAAUUAAGAACUGUAGCUUUAGGAACGAAAUUAAUUAUAUUUCGAAUCUUAUCUGCAUGCAUGCAUAAAAGUGUGGAGGAAAUGCAUAGAAAAAUUAAGGAGGAGGAACACUACUGGAGUUAGGCACAACCUAAUCUUUUGUUACUUUUAUGCAUAUAUAUAUAUAUAUAUAUAUAUUGGCUUCAAAUCUUCCAAACACCCAUAAAUCCGUACAUUUGAUUUUGGGGGGUCCUAUUUUGGUAUCCAUUUGUAACUUGUACUUUAGUGCCUGUUUUACGGACCUUUAGUUUUUUUUUAAAAAAAAUUAAUUAUUUUUUAAAAUCAGAAUCGCAGUAUUAUUGGACCCUAGAUGCCCCCCUAAAGAUUUUAUUUGGUGGUAGAAAAUAAAAACUUAAUACUAAACCCUUUCUUUUGGAAAGAAUAAGAAGGUUUUUAACUAUUUGAUUGAAUUGCAUUACGAGUUAGUCGACCAUGGUGAGAGUAGGAAUUAUAUCCGUUCUAGGAAUUUAUGAAUUGUUGCCAUAUGGUUUGUCCAUAUUGGCGGGUUAUGAUUAUCCAACAUGAAUAAAAAUAAUAAAUAAAUAAAUAAAUAAAAAGCCACUAACAAUAUCAAACGAGGCCUAAGAGUUAAAUGCUUAAUUAGGCCUCACCAACUCUGGUCGCUUCAUGUUCUUGCACUUGCUCCGCGCGUAUCUUCGUUGAUAUAUAUCAACCAACACUGUUACGUUAAUAUUCUUUCCCCUUUAAAAAACUAGCUAGCUAGUUGAACAUGAAGAUCAUCUUUGCAUGCCUAGACUAAAAUUGCGGCCAUAUAUAUAUAUAAUGCUUUUUGUUGAACCUUUUACUAUAUAUAUAUAUAUAUAUAUAUAUAUCCUGUGCAUUGACCCAAUUGGUUUGCUCCUAUAGCUAUAAUUACUUAAUAUCCAUAAACAAAUUAAUUAUUUGGAAGAAAUUAAGGGGAUAGAUAAAAAUGUUUUAACGAACAACUUAAAUCAUGUACUGAGUUUGCUCAACGAGUUCGCAUCAGAUCCAACUUAAGAUCCACAAAAGAUCAAGGUCGUACCGCUCAUUUCCAAGUUGGUUUUUGCACUUCCAGGGGAUCAUGCAGAUGCAACUUUAAUAAAUUCUCAUUUGCAGAAGUACAACAACUUUGAAUUCUCUAGCUAGCAAGCAUGAAAUUCACAUAAUGCAUUUAAUUAGAUUGGUUGCAAUAUUAAUUCUGAAUUGAGGGGUGAUUGGUGUUAGCCAAAAAGAUUGAUUAGAUAGCAAACGCCCUGAGAUUUAAUUAACAUCCUCUCUCACCUGUAUGGCAAAAAUUGGCGGGUUAGCUAUGCCAGGUGCAUUAACAAGAAAGACAGGGUAAGAGAAAACAAAUAAAUAGGCAUGUCAGAAUUGACCCUAGAACCUCUUGGAACCGAGCGGAUCGAUAUUAUCAAAAAUAUCAAUUUGAUAGGAAACAACCCAAGAGCGGUACAAACAAUUUAUAGGAAAGCACCAACCGUCACUAGCGGCCCACAAAAAGACAGACUUGAUGGUUGGUACCCUAUGUCUGAAGUUCGAAAUCUAUUUACUUUAUCUUUCUAACUAAAUUUAUUUCUCUCUCAAAAAAAAAAAAAAAAGAACGAAGCCGUAGCAUAUAUUAUACCUUUCUCUCUCUCCUCAAAAAAAAAAUGUAUAUAUAUAUAAUAUAUAUAUAUAUAUAUAUAUAUAACCAGAAUUGAGUUGAAUACUUUUACAAGUAUCACCCUAUAGUGCUAUUAGGUUUUAGCCAUUGGAUCUACUCCUUGAUUACUAUAGCCCCUUGGAUCAAACACUAUUUCAGUCAGUGAUUACUAACAAGAUUAAUUAAAUUAAUUUAUUGCUAAAAUCAAACUUGGUUUAAUUUGUUAACAACAUUGUUUGCAUGGGAUUUUAAUUAACAACAUCAUCCCCAAUCGAGUCAUGCACAAUNNNNNNNNNNNNNNNNNNNNNNNNNNNNNNNNNNNNNNNNNNNNNNNNNNNNNNNNNNNNNNNNNNNNNNNNNNNNNNNNNNNNNNNNNNNNNNNNNNNNNNNNNNNNNNNNNNNNNNNNNNNNNNNNNNNNNNNNNNNNNNNNNNNNNNNNNNNNNNNNNNNNNNNNNNNNNNNNNNNNNNNNNNNNNNNNNNNNNNNNNNNNNNNNNNNNNNNNNNNNNNNNNNNNNNNNNNNNNNNNNNNNNNNNNNNNNNNNNNNNNNNNNNNNNNNNNNNNNNNNNNNNNNNNNNNNNNNNNNNNNNNNNNNNNNNNNNNNNNNNNNNNNNNNNNNNNNNNNNNNNNNNNNNNNNNNNNNNNNNNNNNNNNNNNNNNNNNNNNNNNNNNNNNNNNNNNNNNNNNNNNNNNNNNNNNNNNNNNNNNNNNNNNNNNNNNNNNNNNNNNNNNNNNNNNNNNNNNNNNNNNNNNNNNNNNNNNNNNNNNNNNNNNNNNNNNNNNNNNNNNNNNNNNNNNNNNNNNNNNNNNNNNNNNNNNNNNNNNNNNNNNNNNNNNNNNNNNNNNNNNNNNNNNNNNNNNNNNNNNNNNNNNNNNNNNNNNNNNNNNNNNNNNNNNNNNNNNNNNNNNNNNNNNNNNNNNNNNNNNNNNNNNNNNNNNNNNNNNNNNNNNNNNNNNNNNNNNNNNNNNNNNNNNNNNNNNNNNNNNNNNNNNNNNNNNNNNNNNNNNNNNNNNNNNNNNNNNNNNNNNNNNNNNNNNNNNNNNNNNNNNNNNNNNNNNNNNNNNNNNNNNNNNNNNNNNNNNNNNNNNNNNNNNNNNNNNNNNNNNNNNNNNNNNNNNNNNNNNNNNNNNNNNNNNNNNNNNNNNNNNNNNNNNNNNNNNNNNNNNNNNNNNNNNNNNNNNNNNNNNNNNNNNNNNNNNNNNNNNNNNNNNNNNNNNNNNNNNNNNNNNNNNNNNNNNNNNNNNNNNNNNNNNNNNNNNNNNNNNNNNNNNNNNNNNNNNNNNNNNNNNNNNNNNNNNNNNNNNNNNNNNNNNNNNNNNNNNNNNNNNNNNNNNNNNNNNNNNNNNNNNNNNNNNNNNNNNNNNNNNNNNNNNNNNNNNNNNNNNNNNNNNNNNNNNNNNNNNNNNNNNNNNNNNNNNNNNNNNNNNNNNNNNNNNNNNNNNNNNNNNNNNNNNNNNNNNNNNNNNNNNNNNNNNNNNNNNNNNNNNNNNNNNNNNNNNNNNNNNNNNNNNNNNNNNNNNNNNNNNNNUGUAUAAUAAUUAUUAUAAUAUUAUAUGAAGAGCUCGAAGAAGAGAAAUUCGCUAUAUUACCGCGAGUACUCCAUGUAUGUAACCCGACUCGAGAGUGGUUUUCAUUCUUAUCGACCAAUGUAUUCAGGAAUUAAAGAAAAUACUUCGUGAAUAAGGCAAGAAGUACAGCAAAUUAAUUCGACACCUUAGACGAAUGAAGUUAUAGCUGGAAGUUUACCCAGCGCAUGUGGGCGGACAUGAUACUAUCGGAAGAGCAGAAUUCCGAUUCUUACAUCCUUCAUUCUAGUGAAAAAAAAAAAGUAUAAGAAAACAUUUUAUUUUACUUAUGUUGUUCUUUUAAAAGCCAAUCGAGAGGUGGAAGUUAGGAAGAUAAGCAUUGGAUAAGAUGAAAACUUUAUAUAACACAUUAAUUGAGAGGUAGCGGGUUCGAAGAAAAUGAAGCAUUGGUGGCAGAUGGGAAUCAUGUAAACACAUUAAUUGGAGAUUUGAGGAGUUAGAAAGAUGAAGUCAUUGAGAUGAGACGUAUAUAAAUAUAUUAAUUGGAGGUGGAGGUUAAAAGAUAAAAUAUUGGUGGGAGAUUGGAGUGGAAAGAGGGAAGCCAUCGGUGAAGGAGGAUUUGAACACGUGACAAAUUUAGGAAAAGAAUGUAUAAGGGUAUAGAAGAGCAGAUCUAUAUAAAUACAUUAUUGAGAAGGUGGAGGUUUACAAAGAAUAAAAUAUUGGGUGGAGGAUGGUAGUUGGAAAGAGGAAAGCCAACAGCUAAAGGAGGAUUUGCCACGUGGUAAAAAUUAUGGGAAAUAAUGUAUACUAGAGUGUUUAGUAACCUCGCGCUUUGCGGGCGGGGUAGACUACGUUAAAAUAAAUUUAAUAUCUAACUAAUGUAUCAAAAAUUUGCUAUUAUUUAAAAAAUCAAAAUAGUCCAAACAUAUUGGCUUCUUGUAAAAGUAUAUUAAUUUGCUGAAGCCGAUUAGUAACAAAAUGCUCAUAGAAAAAUAAUAAGUAUGUCAACUUAUUAAGCCGAAAAGCGACAUACUAUUUGGGAGAAUUUAGAUAAAAAAUUCAAUAAAAAUUAAUAUUUUAUAAAUCAAAUCAAAACAAUCCAAAGGUUAAAAUUUUUUGUAUAAGUUAUAUAUUUAUCCCUUCAUUUUUUAUAUAAGCUAUGAUACUCAUCCAUUCAAGAAAAUGAAGACCUUUUUAAAUCAUAUAUUAAUCUAAUUUUGAAAAUAUUUUUAUAUUAGUUAAUAAAAAGUGUCAUGAAAGCAGAAAAAAAUAAGCAUAUGAAAAGUUAUAUAAUAAAUAUUUAAGAGAUAAAACGAUAUAUAACCUAACGUAACCUAAUACAGCAAAUAUAAUAUAGAAUUUUACUUAAAAAAAAAAAUAAAGAACAAAGAAUAGAAAAAAAAGAAGUAAUAAACCUUCAACACAACAAACACAUCAGUUUGAAUACCACGCAAAUAAAAAGAAAUUUAAAAAACUGAAUAAAACUACCUAAGAAAUUUCAACGCUACAACAUAAAGAAUAUAUAAAUCUUUUAAAAUAACUUCUAAAAUUUGAAGGAAACCUCGAUUUGAUGAAGAUAGCAGCGCCAAGCUCGGCGAUACAGUAUGCAAACUCAUAUUCCGUCCACAGAACGUGCUCGAUUUUGGCCUCGGAGCUCAUGGAGAAGGAAGAGAAAAUAGAGAAGAGGGGCUUUUCGUGGGUUUCUACUAUUUAUUGUUUAGAUUAGGGUUAAGAUGGAUGGACCAUUAAUUAGACGUUAUGUGCGGAGAGAAGGCGAAGGAUUGGGUUAAGGUGGGUGGAUCAUUAAUUAGACGUUAUGGGUGGAGGAAAGGCAAAGGGUUGGAUUAAGGUGGGUGAACCGUUAUGGGUGGAGGGAAGGUGAAAGGUUGGUUUCGCAAUGUGAAGCCUAGAAAUAAAGGAAACACAGCCACGUGGCAUGUUCUUUUGAGGAUUAAUGUAUAGGUAUAGAUAAAUAAGGUAUAGAAGGUAUAGAUAUAGGUAUAGAUAUAGAUGUUACUCCAAUCAAGUGAUUAUAUAUAGCUUAUAAAUUAAUUAACUCUGGCAGAACACACGUUUCGGUCAUUACACGAGGAACAUAUAUAUAUGCAUGCCAAUAAAUUAUUAUGUAUAUAUAUAUACAAUUGCAUGCAUAAAAUUAAAGUCAUUUAAGAAGUCUUUAUUAAGCUAGCUACAGGAUCAAUCAAACGAGAGAUUAAGGUUUGAGUGGGGAGGUAGGUAGGAAACUGUCGACAGAAAGGACAACUCGAUCAAAUGGGUGCUUAAUUUUGAAUCUAAUUUGUUUGUUACAUGGUCAGGGUUAGGGGUUUUCCCACGUAGGACUUUUUUUUUUUUUUUUAAUAAUCCUAUAAAAAGUAUUUAAUUUGCCAAAUAAUUUUUUAAAAUUUUACUUUGUCAACUAAUUAAUCCUCCUUUUGCCAACAAAAAUGAGAAAUAUAGCGAAUCGUUCACCGCCUUUAGAAAGUGGUAAAUCAUUCACCGUUUUCAGAUUUUUUAUCCUUUUUGGUACAAGUUGUGAGGAUUUUUGUGAAUUUGGUAGGAUUGUAUAUAUGAAUUAUUAUAUAGAUUUUUGUUUAGUUGUUAGACUUAUAUAAUUAAGCAUAUUAUUAGGAUUUUUUAUAUUGUUGGAAUUAUAUUUGAUUUGUUGAAUAUUUAAUAUGGCUAUUUAGUUAUUGCGUGACUUGCUAAGUUGGACAAAAUAGAGUUGUUUGACCAAUAAAAUUUUUAUAGGGUUAUUUGACAAAUUGUAAAAUUUAAAACACAUAAUUUGGGUAUACAUCUUACACCUACUCCAUUCGAAGAUCAUUAUUUUUCUAGGCUUCUCACAGUAUUUUUUAUUUUACUAAAAAAUUAUUUAAAAUUUUUUGUGAAGCCUAGGAUGGAAGGUGCCCAGAACCUAAUACGUACCUUUUUUUGGGGUGUAAAAGUAGAAAUUUCUCUUUUUGAAUGUUAUACUACUUAGUAUAUUUUAGUACCCAAAUAACAAAAUAAAUCACACCAUAAUACCUACCUCAAAAAUUUUCCAAUUAAUAAAUGUUUAAAUGCGUGCUUGUUUAGUAUCGCAUUCUAUUAUUAGUACAUUAUACAACAAAUAAUAGAUCUUUAAUUAAUCAUGAAAGUGCAUUGAAGUUAGCGAGGGCAAUACUGCGGCGCUUUGCAGCAUUCUUCCUAUUGCUACAGUAUUAUGUAUUUAAUUUUAUGAUAAAAAAUACGUCCAAUUUAUCUGAAUUAAGCGACCAUUUUGAAUUGACCCUACUUACAUUUCAAAAAUUUUAAUUUGACUAGUCAACAGUACGUAAUUUUAUUCAUAAUUUAACUAACUACUUUUUUAAUUUAAUUAUACUUGCAAAAUAUCGUAUGAAGUAUAAUAAUAAACUUGUAAAAAUAGACCAACACGUUCAAUUUUGAAGUAAAAUAUCAUGAGCGACACAAAUCAAAUGAGAUUGAAAGGUAAAAUCAAAUUUUGAAAAAAUUGAUAAGCCAAAUUCCAAACAGUUUUAUAAGUUUUUACCCCUUUAAUUAUUUGGCUAAAUACAAGACAAACCUCCCUGUAAUAACCCUUCUUCUUUCACCUUUCGCCACCCUUGUCAUUUAAAACCUAUACUUUGGCCCUUGUAAAAUAAAAAAAAUAUUCAUAGGGGGUAUGGUGUGUAAAUGACCAUUUUGCCCCUCCGCAAAUAUCAUUUCUUCACCUCAUCUCUCAGUUGCUGUUGAAUGGCCGCGAUUCCCACCCUCAAUCCGGCCGCGAUUUCUCUCCAUUUUCUUCUCCCACCUGACUCACGCCUUCUCCUCCGUGCACCCUCGCCGCCCCCUUGAUUUCGGGCAGUAGGGAGAAAAUGAGGUGGGUGUUGAUGGAGAGGUAGCGCAAGGGCCAAUACGAGGGCGAAGGCGAGGCGCGAUGGAGGAGAAGGUGAAGGGAAUGUCGGUGCCGAGGGCGAGACACGUCGGAAGCGAGGGCGCGCGGUGAAGCGCGAUGAGCGGCCCGAGCCGAAAGGCGAAGCCACAGGAAAGAGGGUGUACGGGGAUAUUUUUGCGUAUAAAAAAUAUUUUAAUAAUGGGAAUCUAACGGGAGGGUGGAAAUGCACCACUUUCAUUUUCAAUGGGCAAGAUGUAAGUUUUUAAAUGACGGGGGCGGGGCGGGGGGGGGGGGGGGAAGAUGAAAAGCGGGUUUUGACAGGAGGCGUUUUCUGUAAAUUUUUUCAGCCAAUUUAUUAUGUGUCAGACUGCCAAUGAGAAUUCUAUUAGAAAGCAACAAAAUAUGAAGGAAUAACAAAAACUUAUUAGAUAAGGACCAUGUUUGAUUUCGGCGAAGUGAAGUAACCGAAAAUGAACUUUUUAAAAAAAACGAUGUUUUAUAGAAUUUUUGGUUCAUUGAAAGUUAAUAUAAAAGUCAUUUUAAAAUAACGAUUAUAACUAAAUCUCACAAUUUCAAUUUUGACUCAAAAUUUCAAACUCACCCAAAAAAUGAAAAAAUUAGUUAGAAAGUUAGAUAUUGAUUUUAACUUUAUAUUUAAUAUUUAUAUUAAAGUUGAAUAUCACAUUAAAUUAAUUAAAAUUAUUAAUUUAAUUUCACAUUACUGAAUUUUAAUCUUGUUAUUCAAAUUUCACAUAAAUUUUUUUAAUUCAAAUUUUUGAAUUUAUAUAUUAAUUCAAUUUAUUAAAUUUUUAUUUUUAGUUUAAAAUUGAAUUCUAGUAUAUAAAUUGCUACAUUUAAAUUUAAUUUUAAAUUUCAAUUUAUAUACUUUAUAAUUUAAAUUUUAAUUUUAAUCAAAAUUAUUUUAGGGCUAAAACUUCAUCAUGAACUUUGAAUUCAAAUUGUGUCCAAAGCUAAAAAUUCAAUUAUUGAUAUGAUCUGAAUGUAAAAUUUAAUAUUUUAAUUUGAAAUUCAAAUAAUCAAAUUGAAGUUGGCUAUUUGCAAUUUAAUUUCGAAUAAUGCAUAGUUCAAUUUGAAUUUUAAAAUUCAAAUUAUGAAUUGCAAAUCGUUCAAGUUUGAAUCUAUGAUUAUUUAAACUCAAAAUUUAAUUUUAACUAAAUUUUUACAUUUAAAUUGUGAAUUCUUUGAAUUUAGAAUUUAAGAUCAAAGAGUAAAUUGAAAAUAUGAUUCAACAAUUACAAAUUCAAAAUUACGAAUUCAAAUUUUGAAUUAAUGUUCUGAAUUUUUAUGCUGAAUUUUAUUUUAGAAUUAUUUUCAGUUAUGAAUUCAUAUUAAGCUUUAAAAUUCAAAUUGUAAAUUACUUUUAUAUAUCUGAAAUGUUUUUAAUAUAAAUUCCAACUCAAAUUUAAGUUUGAACUUUAGAAUUUAAUUUAAUUCUGAAUUUUAAUAUUAAAUUUAGAAUAUAAAUUGCGAGUAUAAGUUCAUUUUGUUCAUAUUUUCAUUUUAUAUAUACACGUUUAACGAUUCAAAUUAUAAACCCAGUAAUUUUUUCGUGUUUCACUUAACCAGCCAAAGAAUCGACCUAAAAGGUCACUUUUGUAAAAAUCACUUUUGUAGAAGUCACUUUUGUAAAAAUGACUUUUUUCAUUUCAACUACUUUUGAGCAACCAAACAUGUCCUAAACAAAACUACCAUGCGAUCAACUUGGUAGAAAAGAUAUUCAUUAACAUUAAUGGUAUGUUUGGCUCAUGAUUGCGACGAGAAUGAAAAAUAUAAUUAGAUUGUGUUGGAAUAGAAAAUGAAAUAAUGAAUCAUCCAAAAAUAUUUGGUUCAUUAUCGGAAUGAUAAUCGGAAUAGACACAAUAAUGAAAUUCGGAACAGAUAUUUAGGAUUUUUGAGGGAGAGUUUUGGUUCAGAGGGAGGAGAGUGAGGAAGGGAGAUGAGAAGGAGAAGUUUGUGAGAGAGAGUUUUGAAUGGUUUACUUUGAAAUUGACCAAUACGAAAUUCAAAGUCAGAUUAAGUCAUAAUGGGAUUGUGCUAGUCCCAUUUCAAAUUAAUUAGUAGAAUGAAAAUCGAAAUUUUAUUUACUUUAAAAUCAAAAUUCAAUUUCAUAGCAGAAUAACGGGAAAGGAAUUCUAUACUGAUCACCUUAGAAGUUACAAAUUGUAAUAUUCAAUAAAGAAGAAAAAUAAUUCUAAUUCUAACAUUUUUGUAAUGUAGAAAGGUGUGGAAGAGAAGAUGGGUACCGCCUAACCUUACGUUACAUAUGUCUCACCUUCAAAGCUACCGAAAUCUCAAUUAAUUUAUACUAGUGAAGCAGCCGCAUUGCACUGCGAGUAGUCAUGAAAAAAUAAAUAAAUUUUUAUAUUCGAAUAUAAAAUCAUAAUAUUUAUUCUAAUAUAUAUGUAAUACUUUUAGUCAAAUAAUUAAGCAGAAAUAAUGAUAAUUAAGAAUGUGAAAAAGAAUAACUAAUUCUUAAAAAAUAACACCUAAGGCGGUGUUUAAUUGGAAGUAAAACCAUCAAAAAAAUAAAAGUUUUUGAAGAAUAACUAAUUAUUAAAAGCAUAACACCUAAGGGGUGUGUUUAAUUGGAAGGAAAACCAUCAAAAACUAUUAUUUUUUGGAAAAAAAAAAGUGAAAAAAAUAAAAGUUUUCAUCAAUAUGGAAAACAGAAUAUUUUAUAGUCAACAAUAGUGUUAGAUUUGUGUAAAAAAAACAUAUCAAUAUUUGUUUGGUUGAAAAAAAUAAAAUUAUAUUUAUUCGUAUUGGUGGGAACAAAAAUGAAAAAGAGAUUAUAAGAAUUUAAAUAAGAGUUUUAGAAAAGGCACACAUCCUAACCAAAAACUUAUAAGAAGGAAAUAAAAUCAGAAGAAAGAGAUGAAGAAAAACUAUAAGAAUUUUAUAGUUCUAAUAAGUAGAAAAAAUUAAUAAAAGUUUUGAAAAGAUUUUGUAAUAUCUUAUAGAAUAUGAUAUCAUAGAAAUAUGUAGGAAUAAAGAAAGAGUUGUAAGAAUGAGAGUUAUGAUUCAUAGACAUAAUAAAUGUUUAGAAGAGAGAGUUAUUUGGAAAGAUUUUAUAGAUUAUACAUGAUAGAGAGAUAGAGAGAUAAAAGGGAGAGAAAGAGAAAAUGGAAAAAGAGAGAAAAAGGAGAGAGAUUUUAUAGAAUAUUAUGAGAUGUUACAAAAUAUAAUAGAAAAAAGUAAGGGAGAUUUUAUAUAUUAUCAUGGGAUAUUACAAGAUAUGAUAGAGAGAGAAGGAGAGAGAGAUCUAUAUCUCGAUAUGAUAGUGAGAGACUGAGGGGGGAGGGGAAAGAGAGAAACAUAUUUUAUUUUAACAUAAGAAAAAAAAUCAAAAAAUGAAAAAACUCUUAUAUUAAAAAAAUAUAUUGGAAAAUAAAAGAGAGAAGAAAAUUUUUUCUUCCGAAAGAAUAUUAAAAAGUAAAAGAGAGAAGAAAAUUUUUAUCACCAAAUAAUAUGUUUCUUUUGAAUUUGGUAAAAUUUUUAAACUAUUUUAUCAAAUUUUAUUGAAACUUUUCGAUUUUGUAUUACAAAAUUUAUAAAAUAUUUUAUUGAAUACCAAAAUAUUACUCGAUAGAUUAAAAUGUUUUGUAACAAAAAAUAAGAAAAUAAAAUUCUGAUUAAAAACUCUUUAAAUCGAAUAUAUUCAAACUAAUUCUAUUCACAAAAUUAAAAUUUUUAUAGCUUUCAGAUACUUGCUUUGCAUUGCAAGAUAGCUUAGGUAUUCACCUAAAAAAAUUAUGUAGAAAUCAUAAAAUGUAGUGAAACAAUUAUGUAAAAAAGAAAUUUUAUACCGAAAAAUUGAGAUAGAAAUUGUGAAAAGAUAUAUAUAAAAAAUUGUUAAAUUUUAAUAGGCACCCAAAUCAAACAUUACUUUGCUAAUUAUUUUUCUAAAAUUAAAAUUUUUAAAAAUCAUGCAAAUUCACAGAAAAAAAAAGAGAAAAGCUUAAGAGAAAAAAAAAAAUAAUUUCAAUGACGAAAAUUUAUUUAAAAGAUUCACUAAAAAAUAAAAAAAAAAUCCAAAAAUUACUGAGUAAAAUAUCAAAGGGUGAUUUAGCUUUUAGUUUGUAUAAAAUAAUAUUUAAAUAAAAUUUAUGAGUUGUCUAGAAAAAUUUUAGGAGCGGCGCCUAUGGACCUCGCUUUAAAAAAAAAAUCAAAAAAUAAAGACACAUCUAUUUAUAGACCCUUUGAAUGAAAAUUAUGUAUUACGAAUAUUUUAUUUUUAAAAUAUUAACCACCAGCUAUGAUGGAGUCAAGAAUUAAAUAAUUGUUUAACAACACAUUAUUGCCAACUUUUGAGCUUAUACUUUAGUUUUUGUUAAAUUUAAAAUUAUUAUAGAAAUGAGUAGCUCCCAAUUGCUACUACAUGGGACCAUUGUCAGAGUACAUAUUGUCUUUUACGACUAUAAUGUAGAGAAAGCCACAUAAAAAUGGCAAGUCCUUCACCGUAUAUCUCCAAAUAUUUGAAGUCUGAACUAAGAAUGUAGGAACGCAUGCAUCGACUAUGUACACAUGGUAGGUAAAAGCACAAUACUCUAAGGGUGUGUUUGGUUCGAAGUCGGAAUCGAAAUCGGAAAUGGAAUAGAAAUAAGCUGGAAUCGGAAUCGGAAUUACUCAUUACCUCAUUCUGUUUGGUUCGUCACCUUAAUCGGAAUCAAAAUAAAUCAUUUUCAUUGUCGGUGUUCGGUUCAGUUAGUUAUCAGAAACGAAAUCAAAUUAAUAUGCCAUUUUUAUCCUUUAUAAUAUAUUUUAAUUACUUUUAACUAUUUUGAAUACUCUAUUUAAAAUAUAAAUGAGUAACUGACAAAAUAAUGAAUAAAAAAUAAAAUAAAUUUAUAUUUUAUUAUUAUUUAAUAUGAAAAUAAACUAUUUAUUAUUAUUUUUAUUGUAUUAAUUACAUAAUAAUAUAUAAAUUAUAAAAUUUCAUAUGACUUUAAUAAAUAGAAGAGUUAACAAGGACAAAAAAAAAAAAAAGCAUGUGACUUUUGAUAAUUAUUAGUGUUCAAAUGAUUUUUUUCUUCUUAUUAUUAUUUUUUUCUUUUUCUGAGAAAGUCCAAAUCCAUGUGACUUUUGAGAAUAAAUAAAAAAAAAAAAGAUAAGAAAAAGAUUAGAGAGAAAAGUGGCGAGGAAUUCUUAUGGGAUGGAAGCUUAUAGGAAGAUACGAGCAGCUUAUAGGGUUUUUUUUUUUUUUUAAGUCGUACGGAUGAAGGUUAUUUUAGUAUAAGAUCAUUAAGUCGGGAUUCAAUUUUCAAUCCGGGGUACGAGGCCGGAUUCGUUUCUACCCGAAUUAGCCCAUUCCCAUUCCGGAAUGAAAACGGAAUCGGAAUGAGAUUACGGCAUACCAAUCAUCUAGAAUCGGAAUGGAUCAUUCUGAUUCUGAUUUCGGGGUUAAUAUUUAGCGAACCAAACACGCCCUAACAGUUUGGUCCCACAUCGUCCACUCCGAUUGUGCAAAGAGGUUGUUGCGUUGCAUUGGUUUGAAACCUAAAAACUUCAAUCUACUCAAUAUCUGAUCAAAAAUUUUUGUUCUUGUGAGUUUGAAGAAGAACUUGAAGUUUUAAAUACAAAAGCUACCCAACAUAAAUUUAAUCAAGCCAAUGAAAACCUUUUAAUAAAUUUUGGCCAAGUAAUUAGUGCAUAUCUGCCUAUUUCUUACGCACGCGACAUUUAAAAUUACGAAUAUAAAGCAAUCUUAGAAAAAGUUAUAAACACCCUCCCCAGUCGUGCGUUCCCACCUUCCACAUUAAAUAUUGCUACUCGAAAGGAGAAAAAAAAAUGGAAGAAAUUUCCUUACCUAGUAGCCUUAGCUUUCUUCUUCCCCACUCUCUAUCUCUGACCAUACUCCCUCCUCUGCAUUUCCCUCUUCUUCAUAUCCAAAAAUUUUCCAAAAUUCCUAAUUAAUUAGUUCCCUGACUCCUCUUUUAGUCCUCGCAAACUCCACUAUAGCCCUUCUCCCCCGUGACUGCCACCUAAGCUGUGACCGCCAUUGUCGCCGCCUCCACUACAGCCGCCGUCACCGUGACCACCCAAACCGUCAUCAUGGCCAUGAUUGCUGAUGUCGCUGCCGCCACCGAAGCCCAAUUCCCUUGCAAAUAAGGGAUUUUGAGGAGAGAGAGGGAACAGGGAGGGGGCAUAAUAAAGAGAGAGUAGGGAGGGGAGCAAUCUGGAGAAGGAAUGAGAGAGCGGGGGGAGGGGAGAGAAGGGUAAAGAUAGAGUAGGGACCACCUAAAGGGGAAGAGAGAGAGGACCAGGUAUAGCCCUAGGAGAGAUCGAGAGAGAAAAGGAAAGGAGCGAUGAGAGAGAUAGAGAGAGGAAGGUCAAAUAGAGAGAGAAAGAAAAGAGAGAAUCGGAUGAGGGGGAAGAGAAAGAGAGAGGGCCAACUGUAGGAAGGGAUGAGAGAGUAGAGGGGAAAGAAGAAAAUAGGAAAAAUGGCCCACCUCGUAGAUGGUAGGUAGAGGGGGUAAGUGAGUAAGAGAUGCAGCCAAAACAGUGAAGAGAGAGAGAAGGAAAAUUUAAGAGAUAAGCUUAAGAUUUUAAAAUUAGUGAGAAAGAGAGCGGGGAAAAGGUCCGAAAAGAGAGGAAUUGAUGCAAGAGAGGAGGGAGAACAGUUGAGAGAGGAGUUAGUGAGAGAAAGAGUGAGAGAAGAGAAGAGUUGAAAGAGAGGAGCAGUUUUAGAAUGUGCGAGAGAGAGUAAGGAGAAAGGGGGGAGGAAUAGGGCCCACCUGCAAGAGGAGGAAGAAAGGGGAGAGAGAGGGCCCCACCUGCCAUGACACCCACAACUGGACACGUAGAAUGGGCUAAUGUGCUCAUGACACGUGUCCUAAAGUACUGUUAAACUAAAUAGUGUAAGAUACUGUAGAAUAGGAGGUGAUAUUAAAAAUAAAUUUUAUAUGAUAUGAUGAUUCAAUCUAUUGAAUCUUGUCAAAUUCAGUCAGGAAAUAAAAAUCAAAUACAAUAAUUUAGGGCUUUUCUUGCAUUUAGGCCCUUGACAAACUUAUUUCUUCACAAAUAGCUUCAUAAGAUUUACAUUUGCAAAUUUGCCCUAUCAAUGCCACGUGAGCGCCAUGUCGGUAGGGGGAUUUAAGUUGAACACGGUAAAUGAUUCACCGUGUUCAAAUAUUCACUGUGUUUGAACACGGUAAAUAGUUCAUCGUAUUCAAUUUAAACAUCACGUCCAAUAUGAUGCUUACAUAAUGCUCACGUGGCAGAAAUAUGACCAAUUUUGUAAAUAUAAAUUUUAUUGGACUAUUUGCUAAAAAAGAAAAUAAUAAUAAUAUGUUAAGAGGCUAAAUGCAAAAAAAAAUCCCAAUAUAAUUUAGAAUUUUUUUAUAAAUAAUCUUACUGAAAAUUUUUUUUAUAAAAAUAGGCCUCCUUUAAAGUUUAUUGCAAAAGUAGGCCUCAAAUAGGCUAGGUCAGCUGAGGAUGCGUAUGAAGUUUGUAUGUCACGCCCCUAGCUCCGCCAAUUUGGUCAGAUUCGGACACGCCAACAGACCGCCGAAUGGACAGAGCCUUCCCUGUACGUCCUAGGCGUCACAAUCUAUACAAUGUAAUACACGAGGUUCUAAUCAGGAACAGUAUUCAACAUAGAUUGCAUAAGUAUCAAAAACAUAAAAUGCUAAGCUAUGCUAUUACAAGCAUUCAUCUCACAGCUUUUACAUAUUACAAUAUUACAUUUUUGAAGUACCGCUAGGUUAUACAAUUUAAAUUAAAUUUGUUUCUUUCAUUCUAUACCCUUAGCUAGACCACUUCAGGUACCGCUAUCUCUGGUCUCGGUGGUAGGGUGCUAUCUAUAAAGUUACGCCCUUUCCUCGCGCCGCUCACGUGUAAACCUGAAAUCCCCAAAAACAACGUGGGGUGAGAACUAUAUAAAUAUAGUUCCCAGUGGAUACGGCCACCUAAGGAAAGAGCUCCACCCACCAGGUCUAAAGGAGGCACUGUAACAUGUUAGUCCACAGAUAUCGAUAAAUAAUUUAAGCAAAUACUAAAUACAUGAGAAUGCCUCAAGAUAUGCAAUAUGCAAUGCACGCAACAAUGUAUAAGUAGAUCUACUGAUUCUACUUUCUAUCUUACUGUCCAUAGCUCAUAUCCAACUAGCUUCUGAGGUGUCCUCUACCUUAAUUCAAGCUGACCACCCGACUCGGCCUCGAGUCAAUCAUCCACAGAAUACCGCGUCAAGUCAGGCUCGAGGUGAAGGAUGUCUCACAAACACCUCAGCCUUAAGUCCACGCGACUAUAGGUUUACCCCAGGGAGAGGAGAACCGUCGAUCCCCGAGACCAUAAGUCGCUCAAGCUCAACGGGCGAGGAGAACCGUUAAACCCAUUCGAGCUCAUACCGGGCGAGGAGAACUGUCAAACCCGUUGAAUCACUACCGGGCGAGGAGAACCGUCAAACCCGUUGAAUCACUGCCAGGAGAGGAGAACCGUCAAUCCCGUAGUUAUGAUUCUAUUUUUGCCAAUCCACUGGUCACAACCACUGCACUUGCAGCCCCCAUUUCUAGGGAUUCCGGAAUCCACUUUCAAACUUGAGGGUUUAAUACUUACCCUAUGUUGUCGACCUUCCUAGGUCUAAGCUAUUCAUGUCCUAGUGGUUCUUUUACCACUAUAACCCAUAACUUAGUUUCAAGUAUACUAAGUGUCACUAUAUAUAUCAUAACCUAGGUUCAUGUCCAACCUAUGUUUAAUAACAUUAGGUUCAUGCCACUCAAUCUAUGUCUUAUCCUAGUUGUCCAUACUUAGGAUUAUAGUUUACACAAUCUCAUUUUGUAACUGUAGAGUUUUCUAAUCAAUCUAAAGUUAUCGACUUAUAGUCUACUCAUAUGAUUCUAACAUGUUCACAUUAGGUUAACAUUUAUAUAUUAUCUAGUAUUAUCCGCAAGAUAUUGACAUGCAUACUCCAAUGGUAGUUAACAAUACUAACACAAUAUGAUUUAUGCUUUCAUAUUAUUCAUCACAAUCUACCACUAUAAAUGUAUGCAUCAAUAAUAACUAUACUUUACUUUGGCAUGGAAGCGACCUAAUCGCUUCGGUGAAGCACAACCCACCUUUACUUGAUACAGGAAUACGAGAACUCCACUUCCUGCACUUUUUCAAGGACCGCAAUCCGUGCUCGCGACAACUUAAGCUCAAAGGAGGUUUCCUUCGCUAGCUCGCCGUAGGCUCGUCGGAACGUCGAUUCGACCUUUCCAACGCGUUCGCUUUACCCUCAAUUAGGUUUGUACGCGAUCAACUCUAAGCUAGGCUCUCGAACCUACAAGUUAGCAUUAUUGGGUUUAGGUUCAGCAUAAUCUGCCACUAUACAGAUUUCACAAUAAUAUACACCUAUAUGUGGAGCUUCGAAUCUUAACAGCCCACACCCUACCAUUAGGGAAUUGAAGCAAUUCGCAUUACUCCCUACCAUGAAUUAACUAAACAUCUUACUUUAACCCUCAACUAUCCAAAACCACAUAUAAUCUACCGAUAGCUUUUAUAGGAUUUUAGGUCAAAUUUAGCUCUAGAAUCCAAAAAUACUCAAGCUAAAUGUGAUGAAGUGAAUUCUCAAAAUCCGAGAGUUAGACUUCAUUUAAAAUCGACUUGUUGUCGAGUUGGUAUGGUUCGGAAAGUCCGAAUGCGAUGAAAAUACAUAAAGUACAUUGAGGAGGACCCGCGAGAGCAAGUUGUGCAAAAUCUGCACAAAUUGUAGAUUUUGUGCUCUCGGGGACCGGUCCCUCCGGGAGGGGACCGGUUCCCGUAGGUAUGUGGGGGUUGAGCUGAUGCUCAACCUGCCAAAAUUGCUCUCAGGGACCGGUCUUCCCUAAGAGGGACCGUGUCACGCCCCAAUCCCCGCCAAUUUGGUCGGGUUCGGGUCACGUCAACAGACGCCGAACGGACAGAGCCUCCCCUGUCCGCCCAAGGCUCUAACAAUACAUAUAAUUAGGCAAUUAACAAGAGAAUUGCAAAUUUAAUACAAGGCUUGCACGAGGGCAAGCAACAACGGAAGCGAAAGCUCUAAGCUAAAUAUAAGAUUUCACAUGAUAUUUGAUUUCAUUCAAACCAAAUUCAAGUAAACAAAGCUAGUGUGAAACUAUUACAUUCCAUUCAACCAUCAUAUCUUUUUACAUUUAGUCAUCCACCAAAUACAUGAUUGUUUUCACUUUACAUACCUAAAUCAACAAAAUAAAGUUGAUACAUGUAUAACAAAAGGGAAUGACUACAANCAUGGCUCAAAAGAGCUUCUAAUACCUCUAAGGAGCACAAAGCUCCAAUUCCUUAAGUUAAAACCCAAACCCUAGAGGGAAACCUCACAAAACUUACCUCUAGUCCAAGCUCCACCAAGGUUCUUCUUGUUGGAGAGCCCCUAGAACCUCCAAAGCCUCCAAAUCCACCUUCUUCUCCAAGCUCUUCUUCUUCUUCUCCAAGUUCUAGAGGAGUUCUAGAGAGAGAAAGAGAGAAAAUGAGAGAGGAGGAGAGAAAUGGCUGUGGAAGAGAGGGGAUGGGCCACAUAUAGUGUUGUAACAAUUGCACAUAAGCCCCUCCACUUGUUUCCCAUCAAUCUGCCCAGACUGGGCAAUUUUCGCCUUCGGGGACCGGUCUCCCCGACCAAGGACCGGUUCCCGAACGGGGGUUUUCCAGGACUUAGCCAAAUUUUCGAGUUUUUCGGCUGUUGCGCAGCGAGGGACCGGUCUGCCCGUCAGGGACCGGUCUCCCGAGGACCGGUCUCACCACCAGGGACCGGAUGCCUCAGGAUUUCCUGGCAGGCUACGCGUACGGGGACCGGUCUCUCCUUCAGGGACCGGUCCCCGAGAGCUCAAAAUCUGGGACUUAGCCAGAUUUCCAGAUUUGCUCUCCGGGUCCCUUUUUGCUCCAUUUAUGAACUCCAAUGUACUUAGGGUCCACUGUAACUCAUUCAAUUCCGCGUUCCGCUCGUUUUGACGGAACUCGGCACGACUUACGAGGGAUGUGGUAUGUUACAGACCGGUCCUCGUACGCGUGCAUGGGUUGAGCUGAAGCUCAACCUGGCAGAAUUGCUCUCGGGGACCGGUCCUCCCUUAGCGGGACCGGUCCCUGUAGCCCGAAAUGCCCAAUGAUGGGCUGUCUCAUGGUUGUAAAGUUGAGGAGGUUUUAUGCUUUUGUUACAUGAGUGGAGGCUAUAUGAGAGCUUUUACUCUCUCUCUCUUCUCAUUUUUUUUCCAAAGCUAAACCUAAUUCCCUCUCUCUUUCUAAAGCUCUUUGCUCUCUCUCUCUUCAAGGUGGAAAGGAGGAGGAGUUGGUGGAGCUUGAGACAAAGAAGGAAGGGUCUUCUUCUUCGUCUUCUUCCUCAAGUUGGAGAAGCUUUUGGAGCUCCAAACCCUAUUAAUGGUGGAUUUCUAGGGUGGGGUUUAAAUACUCUAGAAUUGGUUUUGGUUAAACCCUAUGAUGCUAGUGGUAUCCUAAUGGCAUGUGUUUAGGGUUUGAGUGGACUAGUUUGCACUAGUUACAACCUAGGGCUCCGAAAAGGGGUUUUAGGAAAUCUAGGGUUUGAUCUAAAUUAGUUGGUUGUAAACCUAAUUGCUAGGUAUCUAAACGCGUUGGCAGCGAUGGUUCGACUAUUCGUCGAGUUGGUGCAGAGAUAUCGCCAAGCGAAUAACGUUUCGGCUUCGUUUUGUUAAGUCUUGUGUAUUGGCAAGUUUCGUGAAGAGAGUCGGAGUCUUGAAGAAUCGGUGCGUAUCGUUGAAGAUCGAAGAAUUCAAGAUUUCGAAGAAAUUGGAAAAAUAACUCACGACAUGAAUCACAAUGCCCAGGUAAAGUUUUAAUUCAUGUUAUGGUGAUUCAUACUUAGUUGUAGGCAUUAGAAUCAUAAUAUCGAAGUUUACUGGAUUAGAAAAUGCAUUGGAACUUUGCAAAAUCCGAAACGGUGAAAAUUUGCAAAGUGUACCGGUACAGCAUCAGAAGUGUACCGGUACAAAAUGUGUACCGGUACAACUAACAACUUGUAAUCGGUUUCAAUGUUUCGUUAGUUUUUCGUUCCGUCAUCGUGUAACCGGUAACAGCUUAAAGUGUACCGCCGAUACAUAAUGUAAUUUUCGGAAAAACUUUCUAAUCCGACUCCAAUUGAUUCUAAAGUCUAUAAAUAAGCUAUUGGGGUUCUCUAACAUAUCAAGCAUCACAAGAAUUCAUGUUUGAGAAACCUAGAGGCUAGGAUUUCGUGCUAAACCUAUUUUCUACAAAAUAGCCUCUUUUAGGUCAAAUCGAGAGAUUGUUAUUUGAUAUCAAUAUGUCAAUUUGAUCUUCACUUCCCUUGGAGUUCUCUUUCCUUGUUCUCUUCGAUACUCUAAGCGAAGGAUCACCAUACACAUGAUGUUCUUCAUGACGGCAUCGUGGAUUCGGCGUGAUUGACGGCUGUUCGUGGAUUCGGAUCGUGAGCUUCGUGGAUUCGGAGUGGAGGCGUUUCGUGGAUUCGGAACGUGGCGUUCGUGGAUUCGAACGUGAGGGCGUGGACAACCCGGAGGAUUGCGCGAGAUUCGUAAGAGGUUAAGAGAGGUCGAGUCCGUAGAGUCGGUAAUCACCUUGUAAUCUUUUCUCUUAGUGAAUUAUUUUUUCGCGUGUUGGUCUCGUGGGUUUUUCUCCAAGUUGGAGUUUUCCCAUGUAAAUCUCGGUGUGAUUUUUAUUUUUCGCAUUUAUUUUUUAUCGCAUUGAGAUUUGUGAUUUUUGGCUAUUACACCUAUUCACCCCCCUUCUAGGUGUUAGACACAAUCUAGAUAGAUCCUUGGGCUCCUCAAAAUUUUUCAAUUGGUAUCAGAGUGGGAUCUAGAUAUAUUGAUAUCUAAUGGCCGAAGGCGGUAACAUUAAUCGACCACCACUCUUUGACGGCACAAAUUAUGCCUAUUGGAAAGUUCGCAUGAGAGCUUUUCUAAUUGCAAUCGAUGAGCGUGUAUAGAAAGCUAUUGAAUUUGGUUGGAAGCAUCCUACCGAAGUCGUCGAUAAUGCUACCGUUCCUAAACCACGGAACAAGUGGACGAAAGAUGAAAACGAGUCAUCUUCGUUUAACGGUAAAGAAAUUAAUGCUUUAUUCAAUGCUUUAUCGCAAACGGAAUUUACUCGUGUUUCGGCGUGUGAAACCGCCAAGGAGAUUUGGGAUACUCUACAAGUUACGCAUGAAGGAACUAGCUUAGUAAAGGUUCAAAAAUUGCAAAUUCUAACAAGCAAAUUUGACUCAAUUUUCAUGGAAGAAAACGAGACCUUUACCGCGACUUCAAGACAUUGUUAAUACAUGCGCUAACUUGGGAGGGAAAAUCUCGGAUUCUAAGGUUGUUCGAAAAAUUCUUCGGACUCUUCCAGAAUGCUUUCGGGCAAAAGUUGCCGCGAUCGAAACCGUUAAGCAUCCGGACGAGAUGAAAGUUGAAGAGUUAGAAGGUGCUUUACAAAUGUAUGAGAUGACUUUUCCUACUAACCCAUCUUCUUCCAAGUCUUUUUCUAAAAGUACAGGGAUUGCACUCAAAUCGACAAAGAAAGAAGACGACGACCCGGAUUCCGACGGAGAUAUUUCGCUCGCCGAUUUCGAAUAUCAAUUCGCGCUCCUCACGAAGAAGUUUUGCCGGAAUUUCCGAAAGAGCAAAUCAGACAAACCUUCAUCUUCGAAGCUUAAAUCCUCUUCUAAGCAUUAUUCUAAUUUAAAAUCUAAGGAUAAAAAAUUUGCAAAGUCUUCGAAUGAAAAAGAUGAGUUUGAAGGGGAAAUCCAAUGCUACAAAUGUAAAGGCUACGGUCACAUUGUAACGGAUUGUCCUUCUAAGAAGACUUAUAGACAAAAAGCUUUGCAAGCAAAAACUUGGGAUGAUUCUACUUCGAGUGAAUCAUCUUCAAGUGACGAAGAAAAGAAUGAUCAUAUUGCUUUACUUGCUAAUAAUUCUUUGCCUUCGUCUAAUGUUAUGUGCUUAUCCUUAAUUGUUUCUAAUUUUAGUAUUUCUCCAUCCGUGCAAGGUACUUCGAGCGAUAUCGGUGAAAGCGAGGAGGAAUCAAACGACGAGGAUAUAGCGGAAGCAUACAACCAACUUCUUAUUGAUUCGAAAAAGAUGACCAAGCUCAAUAAGAAGUUAAGGCGUAGGUUAUUGGAUAUUGAAGAGAAGAACAAAAAUUUGAAGACAAUGAAUAAAGCUCUUGAGGAGGAAAAGGAAUUGAUUUUGAAGAAUAACUUAAUCCUCCAAGAGAAACUUGAUGAAGCGGAUUUAACGAUCAAAUCAUCUAAAGACAGGAUUGGAUUUUUAGAGCAACAAUUCGAGGAAUCGCACACAUCCAACAAGUCAUUGACCAAUCAAGUUUGUCAACUUCAAUCCGACAUACAAAAAUUCUCUUCUGGAUCAAAGAAAUUAAAUCAUAUGCUCGGAUUAGGUCAAACGAACAAGUUGGACCUCGGGUAUGAAAGAACGUACGUUGAGAAGGAUUUAACGACAACUACUAAAAUCUCAACAAAUUCAGACAAAAAGGUAUGUCAUCAAUGUGGCAUCAAAGGACACAUCAAAAAGAAUUGCCCAAAUAAGGAAAAGAAGAAUCAAUCGGCAAUGUCUACACAUCGAUCGGCAACUACGAAUCAUCGAUCGGCAACUACGAAUUAUCAAGCGGCAUCAUCAACUACUCAACAUCCCCCACGGAAUCAAAAGAAAAAUCAAUCGAGUCGAGUACCUCGAGGGAACCGGACUUUUAAGCCGCAACGUCAAGUUCGACCGUUCCCACAAGCAAACCGGAAUUCAAAGUUUAAUCAACAAUUCCAACCGAAGCCUCAAGCAACGAAACGACCAACGGUUGAUAAAAAAUCAAAGCAAAUUGUGCUUAACGUCGACAAGACAAGACAACACAAAAUCCGACAAGUUUGGAUUCGGAAAGGUGAUAUCUUUCCUUGCUCUUCGUCUUAGUUUGUUUUGAUUGUUUAUGUAAUGCUUUGUUUGAUGCUUGUUGCAUAUUUUUAUUCAUUGCAUUACAUGAUGGUUUCCGUGUGUAAAAUUUGCUUUUAAAAAUUGAUUUGAGGAAAGGUGUUUGGGAAUUUAAAUUUUUUUUGAGAAAGGAGAUGAUUGAAAAUCAUUAUUUUUGGGAGAUUAAAUUUUUUUCAAAGUGCUUUAAACGGUAUUUAACUGAAAUUCAUCUUGAAUUAAAUUCAUAUUAAUUAUCGGUUUUACUCCACUGUUUAUAAUUUUGACGAUAAUUGAUUAUAUGAAUUCUUAAUACAUAUAUUCAUCAAAAUUUUAAAAUAAAUUUUGAUCUCUUGGUGAUUAAUCUAUCUUGGUUUUGUGUGUUGGAUAUGAUAGAUGGAUAUUCACUAAUAGACUAAAAUUUGUUAAAAUUAUUUUCAAUUGUGAGAUUGUCUAAUUUAGGGGGGUUUGAAAUUAUUUAAAAAAAAAAAGAGGAGAAACUCCUAUGUUUAAAAGAUGUGGAAAGAGUUACAUUCAAAAGGAGUGUGAAAAUUACCACCACAUGUAGGAAAGAGCUACCACCCCGGUCGUCCGGCAAGUGUGUGAAGCUACUACAUGAAGAUUGAAUUGAAUAACCGAAAAGGUUGGAAAAAAUUGAAUAUUUUAGAAUUUUCGGAGUUAUAAGGUGUUAGGAUGAAAAAGAUGCUCAAAGAACCACCUCUGGUAUCAUAUUAGUUAAAUCUCUAUUUUGAACGGAUUGCGACAAAUUGGUGUCAAUUUUGCCAAAUUUCUAAAAAUCAUUUUUCGUGAAUCAUUACAUCUUGAUGAUUUUGAAACACGAGAUUAUUUUUGAUAAUAAAAUUUUGAUGUUUCGAUGUAUUUUGAAAUCUUAUAAUAUUUUACCUUCAUUAUAAUGAUUUUUAGAGUAAAGUCCUUAAUUUGUAUAAAAUUAAUUUAAAGUUUAAAGGUUUUUAAAUUCAAAUUUUCAAAAUCUGGGAAAGUGUACCGGUACAAAAUCCCCUAUACCGGUACAAAUCAUUGUAGUCGCGGUAAUAAAACCGAUUACAGGGCUUUAUUUCUCCUCCAAACCUUUACCAAAUUUCGUUCUCUUUCUCUCUAAAAUUCCCAGGAGACUUCCUCUUCCAGAUCUACUCGGUUUUCCCAAAAAUCUGUGAGUAUUUAGCUUGGAUUUAAUCAUUUCAUCGCGUUCUUGCUUAUUUUUCGAAAAUAUUCCGAGUUGAAGCUAGAUCUCUGUUUUGAUUCAUUUUUGAUGCAAUUUUUUGCUUCGUUUCAGUUUAUAUAUGCAUGUAUUCUUGCUUCUAGAACAUUUAGAUCAUGUCAUAAUGCAUUAUUUUUCGCUGAUCAAUGAUCUUUACCUCAUUAAACAUGGAAUUUCGAGAUUUUUGUUGGAAUGUCAUUUUUUGAUGAAAUUUUUUGCAUGGAUGAGUUUGAAAUAGCAUUAGUAUGCAUUCUAAGAAUAUUAGAUAUUUUUUCACUAUUUUUACAGAUUUUUUCAAAAUUUUGUUCAUGUAUGGCUCAUUUUUAAUGUAGGAAAAAUAGCGUUCUCACUUGUGAUACUGCUUUUGGUGCUUAUGGCCGCUGGUCGUGGUCGUGGUGGUGGUCGAGGACGUCGCGGGACAUCCAAGAGAACUCGUACUGCCAACGAGUCAUCAGGAUCUGAUCCGGAUUAUCAAGCAAGCUCACCUGAAACUACUGAAGAAGCUGUUACUAGGGCUGCUAAAGGAAAAGGCAUAGCUGGAGAAUCCUCGCGCGGAGGUGGUUCUCGUGCGCGUGAGAGUCACUCCAAACGUGCUGCAGAGGUUUCAUCAGAGCGACGGAGGAUAUAUUUGAGCCGAUCAGUUCUAGCUGAGCGCUAUGCCAACUUUACUGAUCUGAUCAAGGUGGUUCCAGAUUUUUGUCGAUUGCUGCAGAGAGUCCCUAUUGAGCCCGUUUGACGGGUUCCAGCUCGUGCUCCAUUCUGUGUGGAACUCAUUCGGGAGUUCUACAUGAGCAGGAUGGUGCUUGCAGAGAAUGAGGAAACUGGGACUUAUGUGUUUGAGACAUAUGUGCAGCAACAGAAGAUUCAAGUAACUCCUUACACGAUUGGAGAGCACUUAGGGAUGCAUAUUGAUACUACCAGUCUUCACUAUACGACAGGGCUUUAUCAGUCUUCGACCCACUGGGAGACUGUUAUUCGAGCGAUCUGCAAGGAAGGCGUGAGGACGAAUCAUUCAUACGUGGAAUCCAAGGAUUUGCGACCCGAGUAUCAUUUACUCUCCUUGGUCAUGUGCUACAAUGUUCAACUUACAAUUGGAACAAAAAGGAUUCGUUGGGAUCGUCUGGUGCUUCUAUAUCUUCUUGGACAUCUUGAGCAAGCGGACGUGUUAAAUAUCAAUCUUCUUGGACAUCUUGAGCAAGCGGACGGGUUAAAUAUCAAUAUUCCCUUUCUGAUGUGGCAAAGAAUGGCACAUGUUAUACAGUCUCCAGUUCGACGUGAUCUACUUCGUUUCUGUUGUUGAUCACGAGGAUUCUGCAAGACCACGGAGUUGACGUGUCGUGUGAGAAGUACGACACUAGACUUGGACUGAUCAAUGCAGUAACUUGGGCCAAGUCGGUGAGCACACUAAAGACAUUUCAGCAAACUAAGGGAUCAUCCAAAGGAGCUUCUAGUUCAGCACCUCUACCUCGAGCAGAGCGUGGGGGAUCUUCCAGUUCAGGGGGAGUGAUUACUGUAGAAUCACUUCACCAUGAGGUGCGCUCUUUAAAGAAGAAAGUGGCUGAUCUUACUAAGAAAGUGGAGGUGGGAAUAAAGCGGAUUUUGGAGAAGCUAGGCUGUAGGCAUGACGACGUGUUUCCUACUCAGCCUACCUACACCACUUACACGAGGUCUACGUCACUACAUCCACUCAUUUCACCAUCCAGUGGUGCUCCUGAGGCUGGGGGAUCUGGAGCUGGAGCAAGAGACGAUGAUGAUGAUGAUGAUGACGAGGACACUGAGUGACUCCUUCCUCGAGCUCGGUUUUUUUUUUCUUUGUUUUUUAGGACGUUGUUUAGUUUAGUUGUGCUUGUUGCUUUACUUUGCUUUUGCAUUUAUUUGCUUUUAGGCCUGUAACUAUGACAUGACUACUCAUGCUUUCUAGUAUGCUUUCUCUAUUUAUAUACUUUAUCUUUGGCAAUUUUUGACAAAAAGGGGGAGAGCAAUAAUGAACAGGUAUUGGUCGUAGCAAAGGAGAAGAAGGAAUAAAGAACAAAGUGGGAGAAGGAGUGAAAUUCGAGGAGAAGAAGGAAGAGAAGAAGGAAUAAAGAACAAAGGGGGAGAAGGAGUGAAAUUCGAGGAGAAGAAGGAAUGAAAUUUUGAGGACAAUGAUGAAGAAAAAAUGACUUCAAUGUGAGAAUGUCGAAUGUUUGUCGUUUUCUAUAUUAUUUUGGAUAAUCUGUUUUGCAGAAAAUCAAGACUUCAAGACUCCUAGUUGCGUCUAAGUCAUAGAGUCUGUUUUAGGAGUUUUUGAUGUACUUUAGAGUUUCAAAUUGUAUUUGGACUACAUGCGAGGGGUUUGAUGUUUUGGUGAUGACAUUGAACUUCGUUUUGCUUUAAGAUGUAAUUUUUGAGUUGUUAUGAGUUUUGUCACGAAAUUGCCAAAUGGGGAGAUUGUUAAGUCUUAUGUGUUGGCAAGUUUCGUGAAGAGAGUCAGAGUCUUGAAGAAUCGGUGCGUAUCGUUGAAGAUCGAAGAAUUCAAGAUUUCGAAGAAAUUGGAAAAAUAACUCACGACAUGAAUCACGAUGCCCAGGUAAAGUUUUAAUUCAUAUUAUGGUGAUUCAUACUUAGUUGUAGGUAUUAGAAUCAUAAUAUCAAAGUUUACUGGAUUAGAAAGUGCAUCGGAACUUUGCAAAACCCGAAACGGUGAAAUUUUGCAAAGUGUACCAGUACAGCAUCAGAAGUGUACCGGUACAAAAUGUGUUCCGGUACAACCAUCAACUUGUGAUCGGUUUCAAUGUUUCGUCAGUUUUUCGUUCCGUCAUCGUGUAACCGGUAACAGCUUAAAGUGUACCGGUACACAAUGUAAUUUUCAGAAAAACUUUCUAAUCCGACUCCAAUUGAUUCUAAAGUCUAUAAAUAAGCUACUGGGGUUCUCUAACAUAUCAAGCAUCAUGAGAAUUCAUGUUUGAGAAACCCUAGAGGCUAGGAUUUCGUGCUAAACCUAUUUUCUACAAAAUAGCCUCUUUUAGGUCAAAUCGAGAGAUUGUUAUUUGAUAUCAAUAUGUCGAUUUGAUCUUCGCUUCGCUUGGAGUUCUCUUUUCUUGUUCUCUUUGAUACUCUAAGCGAAGGAUCACCAUACAUAUGAUGUUCUUCAUGACGGCGUCGUGGAUUCGGCGUGAUUGACGGCGAUUCGUGGAUUCGGAUUGUGAGCUUCGUGGAUUCGGAGUGGAGGCAUUUCGUGGAUUCGGAAUGUGGCAUUCGUCGAUUCGAACGUGAGGGCGUGGACAACCCGGAGGAUUGCGCGAGAUUCGUAAGAGGUUAAGAGAGGUCGAGUCCGUGGAGUCGGUAAUCACCUUGUAAUCUUUUCUCUUAGUGAAUUAUUUUUUCGCGUGUUGGUCACGUGGAUUUUUCUCCAAGUUGGAGUUUUCCCACGUAAAUCUCGGUGCGAUUUUUAUUUUUCGCAUUUAUUUUUUAUCGCAUUAAGAUUUGUGGUUUUUGACUAUUACACCUAUUCACCCCCCUCUAGGUGUUUGAUAUAAUCUAGAUAGACCCUUAGGCUCCUCAAAAUUUUCACGUUUCCGCUCGAGAGGUCGAAGCGGGGACGAGUGAUCGUGAAAUUUGAUUCCCUACUACGUAGCAUUGCCAAAAGGUGGGUAGUGACCAUCCCGAAGCAGUUGAACUGCUCCCUAUGUCUAAGUUAUUGUUGACUAUAUUUGCAUAUUGAGCAUGAUACAUAUAGGGUGUUUAGAUGCUUGUAUCUAUUCUUGCAUGCUAGUAGUAGUGUAGCUUUAUUGGUUUCGCACUUGAACCUAGUAUGCAUGAGGUUAGCGUGAUAUGGCUUAGAACCCUAUAUGAGAUGAUAUAUGAUGGAUUGGAACCUAGGUAAAUGACAACCUAGUGAUUGUGCCUAUGUGGAUGAAAACCUAGUAAAGUGUAAACUAGUGUCUUGGGAAUAUGUAACAAGAACGAGUGGCAUCUAGUUAAUGUUGAACACAUGAAUGAGUGGCAUAUGAGAAACAUAGUGUAGUUAAAACACUAGGAUGUCGAGUACAGGAACACAUUGAUUCCAUGAUGAUGAUAACCCUAGCUGGUAGGGUAUCCUUAGUUGACGAGGAUUGGAUCGAACUCACAUAGCCUGUCUGCACUUGUAGUGGUCGCUCCACACAAGCUGUGCACUCCGGAGUUUUGGUCACUAGAGGGGCAGUCGUGAGCUGCCCGGACAGUAGCUAGCUGUCCGCAGGCAGUCCAAGGGAGAAGCUCUCGGGGACCGGUCCCAGGUCGGGGAGACCGGUCCCUCACUGCAAAAAAUGCCCAGUUUGGACAGUGCAUAGGGAAUAAAGUGGAGGGGUCUUGUUGUAAUUGUUACAACACAUUAUAUACCCAACCCCCUCUCCUUUUAUAGCCAUUCACACCUCUCCCUCUCACUUUCUCUUUUUUCUCUCUCUAGAAUCCUAGCACUAGAGCUUGGAGAAGAAGAAGGAGGAGCUUGAGGAGGGAUUUUUGGUGGCUUUGGUGGUCCUAGAAGCACUCCAACAAGAAGGCUUUGGUGGAGCUUGGGCAAAGGUGAGUCCUUAAGCAAAAAUGAGUCUAGGGUUUGGGUUUAGACCUUAGAUUUUUGGGUUUUGAUCUCUCUACAAGUGAGGAAACCCUCUAGAGACCUUGAAACUAUGAAAUCCAUGAUUGUCUUGGACUCCUCUCAUGGUGAACUUCUAGGGUUCAUCUUGGAUGCCCUAGAAAGGGCUUAGUUGACCUUAAAUGAGCACCUAGAAGCUUGACAAGCUCUCUUUUGCUUGUUUUAGUGAUCAAAACCUAGGGUUUAGCAAUGGGUUUGGUUAAGGUACCAAAUUUGGGACUUUUGCCCCCGAGUGUUUCUAAGGCAAAUUGACCUAAUUGGGGGUGUCCUCGACACGUUGAACGACUCCGUUCGACGUUACGAAAAUGUUUAAGUGUGGUUCAUGUACAAAAAGGGCCUAAAGUGGCACUAUUUUGGUUGUAGGUCGCGGUAUCGGCUUUCGUAAAGUUCGGGAGUCGUCAUAUUCUACACCCACACGACCACUCGAGGUGGGUGGUGCAUUUCAAGGACCUCGGAAAUUCCUUUAUGUCUAAAGUGUCAUGUUUGAACAUAUAUGUAUCUAUUGAGCAUAUUCCAUAGUAUGGUUAAUUGUGAGCCUUUAUUGCAUGAUUGUGAGUUUAAUUUCAUAUGAAAUACUUGUAAGAGUGUGAGAAUUAUAACCCUAUGUAUGCAUGACAAGUGACAAGAACCUAGAAGGGUUAGUGAACAAAAGUGACACAUGGAUAUAGAUCUAGUGAGUGACAUUAAUGAGUCUAGAACACUUAGAAAACAAGUGUGGCAUUUGGCAUGAGAACAAGAACAUAGCACUUAGAAAACAAGUGUGGCAUGAGUACAAGAACUUAGUAAUGCAUAUGACACUAGCGAUAGUAAAGAAUGCAAAGAAAAGAAUGAUUGAGACUUUAUGAUAUUUCAACCUUAGAGUUAAGGGUCAUUGAGCAUAGUCUUCCUUAAAGUUAAGGAAUGGAUUGAACUUAGAAUCCUCAAUGUAGGAUUGAUCGUACUCACCUUUAGUUCUUGCUCGAGGGUGGUAGCUCCCCCUCGGGCGAUGCGCUCCGGAGUCGACAUCACUGGGUUGUAGCAGGUAUCUCCCCAGAGGACAGUCCUAUCGGAUUGUAGCGUGUAUCUCCCCGGUUAAUAGGAUUUUAGGUUGGUGAGUUUGUUGAGGGCGAAACCUACGGGUUAGCCAAGAGAUUGGGUAAAGAAAUUAUGAUUCUGCAUUCAGCAUGAGCAUUAUAUCGAGCAUUGCAUUUUAUAUUGUUCAGGCAUAUUAGUUGCAUUUGUUAGUUGAUUACUUUCUUUCUUCUAUUCUAUUAUGCCUGAUUAGACCUAGUGGGAUAGUCGGCGUGGUUGGUUGCCAAACCCACUGGAAACUUUGUCGUAGUUCUCACACCCCUAUUUCCACAGAGCCGGGACCGAGCGAGCCGACAGAUGACCGCGGUAAAGGUAUCGCGCCCUAGGUAGAGACCGCUUUAGAUGUUUAUUUCUUAGUUGCAUACCCUUCGAUAUAUCAUCUUUUGUAUUUUGAUGAUUAUAGUUAUUAAAAGAAAGGAUAAGAAUGAUGUAAAAUAGUUUAUUUAAUAUUAAUGUUAUAUUUUGAAGGAAUGAGAUGUAAAAAGAAAUGAUGAAAAAUUGUAAUUGAUUUCCUAAGUGUAGUUAUUUACUUUCACUAUUGGCUAUUGCUUGCCCUCGUGCAAGCCAUUGUGUAUGCUUCCGCUUAUGCAACCUUUAUACUCUAUUUAUACUUGUUGUUAAGCCUUGGGCAGACAGGGGAGACUCUGUCCGUUCGGCGUCUGUUUGAUGCUCCCGAACCGGCCAAAAGGAUCAGGCUCGAGGUGUGACACGUGAGAUGGUGGCGAACCUUCGGGCUAGCCGAGUGAUUGGGUGAUUUAAUGAAUUACUUCAUUAUUGAGCAUGAUAGCUUGGUAGUUAGCCUUUACUUAUGUUGCAUGCAUGAUUGUGGAUUGAGGCAUAGUAGAAUACUUGCAUUUUCUUUACUAUCUUAUCGCUUUCAAGUUAUCUAUCUAUAUCUGCCUAUGACUGCUUAGACCUAGUGGGGAGAUCGGCGGAGUCGGCAGCCGAACCCACUGGGAACUAUGGACAAUAGUUCUCACCCCACUUUGUUGCAGGGCCGAGCUCGAGUACACCCAGCGAGGAUCGCGGUAAGGGCUUAGCGCCCUAGAAGUUGUAGAUGCUUCCCAUUGCAUUAGUAGUUACCUUGUAUAUACAUGAGAGUAGAUGAUGUAUAGGUGUGAGAUAUUUUGGAAGGUUGUAAAUCUUAUGUUUAUAUUUAGAAGUUUAAAUGUAAUCAGAUCUAUUAAAGUUGAAUGUUUGUAAUAGAUAAGUAUCUCUCUUUCAUUCACUUGUAUAUACUUUACUUGUGAUGCUUGCUCUUGGUUGUUUAGCACUAUUUGUGCUCUCGUUGCUGUUGUAGGAUCGUGUAUGUAUUCAAGUGAUUUCCUGGGAACUUAUUGUACAUGAUCUCGUGUUUAGCCUUGGGCGGACAGGGGAGGUCCUGUCCGUUCGGCGUCUGUUCGACGCGCAUGAACUGGACCAAAUUGGUAGCGGGUCUCAGGGCGUGACAGAUAAAGUGGUAUCAGAGAGAGUUAAGAGCAAGCAAAGAGAGAGUCUAGGGCCGACCUAGGAGACUUUAGGACGGUGAACCUUAAGGAUAUAGGUGCAUAAGUGCAACGUGAACUUAUAGCGGCGGCGGAAGUUGAUUGAUUGGGUCGAAGUUGGUGUUAAGUCUCUAGAAGUUGCUAGAGAUGGAUCCAAGUAGUACUGGUUCUUGGCUUGAGGUGGUUGUGUCGGCGGCCGACGACACGACGCUAAGAGUCCGGGAUGAGUACGCUUGUGUGUUUCCGCCCGAUUCUAAUAUUGAGUCAUGUUAUUUCGUAAUUGCGGCGAUGUUAGUGGGUUAAGUAAUUAACCAAAUGUUUGCGUUUCAGGAGCUAAUGGCACCGAAGAGACGCUAUGUUCGUAGGUUUGUUCCGGCACCCCCUCCCGAGGUGCCAGAGCAAGCGACGCCUCCUGUGGCGCCAGAGCCAGCUGGGCCUAGCGAGGUGCAGGAGUUACGAGCGCAAAUGACUGCAUUAACUAGUCGGUUUGAUCGGGUCCAGGAGCUAUUGGAGCGACAAGUGGCGGCGGCGGUCGCGACGGCAACGGAAGGCCAUGAUCCGCCCGCACCCUCAGCUCGCGCCCCUAAUGCGGCUGAGGGUGAGGGCAUCGCAGUGGUACCGGUGGCGGCACGUCCCCCGCCGGCGAGUGUUCCUCCUGCGGCAUCGGGUUUUGUUUCGCUCGAUGCGGCGACUGAGGAGGCGGAGCGGGAGCGUGGUUACACGGCUCUCACGAGGUUUAUGAAGUUUCACCCUCCCACGUUCGACGGUGAAGUGAUUGAUCCCUGAACAGUAGAGACAUGGUUGGCCGCAAUGGAAACUCUGUUCAAGGACAUCUACACUCGGGAACAAGAUAAGGUGCAGUUGGCAGCGCAUUGCUUCGAUAAGCGGGCCAGAGUGUGGUGGAGGAGGGUGAAGCAAGACCGAUCUUCGGAUCUUCCCCCGAUCGAUUGGGAGGAGUUCUGAGGACUGAUGUUUGCGGAGUACUUUCCCGAUAGUGAAAAGAGAAAGAUGCGGGAAGACUUUAGGAAGCUUAAGCAGGGUAAUCGCACAGUUCGGGAAUAUGAGCGGGAGUUCACUCAUCUCCUAAAUUGUGUCCUGGACGUAGCGAGGACUGAGCAAGACCGGGCGGAGUGCUUCGUGAGGGGACUUCGACCCGAAGUAUUCCGAUUGGUGCACGUUUCAAGUUUCGCACCUUUGCGGAAGUAUUGGACCGUGCCUUAUGGGUUGAGCACGGGAAUGCUUGCGAGCGAGAGGAGCGAGAUGCGUUCGAUAAGGAAAAAGAAAAGAAACGACCGGACGGUGGUUCGGGGGGACAGUCGAGUUCUAGGAGGCCCCCGAAGCAUUCGCGGACGCAGUCGUGGGGUCGCGGGCCGCAACGGUGCAUCUUUUGUGGCGAAAACCAUCGCGCUGGGGUGUGCGAGCAGCGUCGUGGGAGGUGCUUCAAUUGUGGGCAAGCGGGGCACCUCAUAUGCGAAUGUCCCGCUGGAGGGGCUUUACCUGCCCCGUCUAUUGCAUCGGCCCCUGCGAUUCCUACCCGUUAUGGAUCUCCACCUGCUACGACAUCUGCUGGACGCGCCAUGGCGCCGAAUCAGCCAGGAGCAACACGAUCGGCUCCGAGCGGACGGGUGUUCGCCGCUCAAGUCGAGGAACCUGCUGGAGUGGAGGAGCAUGAGACCGUGGCAGGUAUGGUUUAAUUAACGGAGUUCGCUCCAGGGCUAUGUUGGAUACAGGUGCCACAUAUUCAUUCAUCAGUAGAUCAUUUGUACGAAUGCAUGACAUAAAGAUUCGGGCAAGUGAUGGCAUGUAGCGAGUAGAGGGCCCUGGGUCGGCGCUUCAUAUUUAGACGGAGUGCUCGGCGUGUCCCAUUCAGAUUGGCGACUGGAUAAUGCCGAUCCGAUUAUUGGUGCUUAAGAAGAUGAAGGACUUCGAUGUUAUAUUGGGCAUGGACUGGUUCUCGAAGUAUUAUGUGUCCAUCGACUGCAAGAGCAAAGUGAUCACAUUUCGGGAGCCGAGACAGAAGGAAUUUACUUAUCGAGCUUGCAAGAGCUCGUGCUUCGCCGCGACAGUGUCGGCGAUAAGGGCGAGGAAGUUGGUCAACAGCGGUUGCGCGGCUUAUUUGGCAACCGUUGUGGAAGUUGAUCGGGUGGCUCCGACUCUUGAGGAGUUGUCGGUGGUGCGGGAGUUUCCGGAUGUAUUUCCCGCGGAGUUACCGGGGAUGCCGCCGGACCGGGACAUCGAGUUCGUGAUAGACUUGGAUCCCGGGACCGCGCCGAUCUCGAAGGCUCCGUACCGCAUGGCGCCGGCUGAGUUGAGGGAGUUGAGAGAUCAGCUACAGGAUCUUCAUGACAAAGAGCUCUCCAACAAGAAGGGGCUUGCUAGAACUUGGGCUAAGGUGAGUUUCUAGCAUGGGGAACUCUAGGGUUUGGAUUUUAACUCAAAGUUUUGGGAUUUUGAGUUGUUUCUAAGCUUGAAAACCUUGUAAAGCUAAGAAACCAUGAAAUCCAUGGUUUUCUUAUAAAGCUCUCAUGGUGCAUUUCUCGGGCUCAAAGUAGAUGCCCUAUGGUUGGUUCAAGAGGCUUGGAAACUUUAUUAGAAUGCUUCUUAGAUGAUUCUAAGCUAUCUUUUGCUUAGGGAUGAUGUCACGCCCCGCCCCGAAACCACUACCAAUUUGGCACGAUUCGGCCGCGGCGACGGACCGCCGAACGGAUAGCACCUCCCCUGCCCGCCCAAGGCUCAACAACAGGAAUGUGUACCAGAAUUUACCCAGGACUUUAAAUUCUAAACAUACACAUUCAACAAGGGCACAAACAGUGCUAAUAAUAAGNGAAACCACUACCAAUUUGGCACGAUUCGGCUGCGGCGACGGACCGCCGAACGGAUAGCACCUCCCCUGCCCGCCCAAGGCUCAACAACAGGAAUGUGUACCAGAAUUUACCCAGGACUUUAAAUUCUAAACAUACACAUUCAACAAGGGCACAAACAGUGCUAAUAAUAAGAAGAGCGAGUAAUCUACAAGAUAUACGAGUGAAAUAAAGAGAGUACUUUACUAACUAUUACAAUAGUUGCAUUCUUUACAUCAUUUUUCAUCCAAAAUACAUAGCUCUCCAAAUCCUCACCUACAAUAAAUCUCUCUCUAUACAUAGGUGACUAAUGCAAAAAGAAAAGCUACUAUACUACUACGGUCUCACUGGUCGGGCGCGACGCCCUUGCCGCGGUCCUCUCUCUGCAGCCCUGAACCUACCAUUGGAAAUAGAGUGGGGUGAGAACUAUCUUCCAUAGUUCCCAGUGGGCUCGGCCGCCGACUCUGCCGAUCUCCCCACUAGGUCCAAGUGGGCACAAGUAACAACAGAUAGAUAGAUAGAUAGAUGUGUAUCUGAAAGCUGUAAAUGCAACAGUAGGAAAACUAUGCUACUAUGCCCAUAAUCAUAAGUAUGAAUGCAUGCAUCAUAUAAUAAAGGUUUGCUAUCAUGCUAACAAAUUCGAUCCAUGUUCGAAUAGCAAUGUUCAAUGACAUUAAUAACCUUUCCAUUUACCCAAUCUGUGGCGAGGCCCUAGGGUUCGCCCAUGACUCACCUUUCGAUCCCAAAGUGGGGAGGGAGCUCCAAGUGCACCCAAGUCCGGGACCGUCUGCGGACCUCCAUGUGGUCCGGACCUCCAAGUGGUCCUAGUCGCGCGACACUCCGAAGUACUCGACGACAAUCCCCUCCAUGUGGGGAUUGGAUGGCUAUGCCACCCUAAACGCAGACUGUGAGCUAGAUCUAUCCUCUCCAUGUGAGGAUACACUGUAACUAGGGUCAAUACCCAAUCCAAUCCUCUCCAAGUGAGGAGGCUCUACAACCAGAGUCAAUAACCCAAUCAAAUCCUCUCCAAGUGAGCACGCCCUAUACUAGGGUCAACGACUAUCGCGGAAUCAUCGGUUCCCGACAUUCAUGCAAUGCUAUUUAGUUUUCUAAAUUCAUUGUUCACAAGGCAUUUUCUAAGGGAUCCACCUAUCCCUAUGUCCGUCGACCUCUAGUGUUAUUUACACUACAUUAAUGCCACCAGUCAUUAUUUAUCGUUCGGAUGCCACUCGUGUUCUUUAACACUAUCCACUACUUCCUAUGUCAUCAAUACCCCCAUCGGGUUCAUCUCUUUUCUUUCGCACCAUAGGAUUCACGUCUCGACCCAAUCCUCACCUAUCUAAAUUACCAAGCGUUCCAAGUACACUAGGUUAUCAAUUAGAAAGCAUAAGGAGUGGAGCUAUUAUGCAAUCCUACAAUGCAACAUGAAGAGAUGAGAUUAAAUGCAAUCUAAGACAUAGAAAGGAGCUUGAAAGUUUCGGAUGACACCCCCCACUUUUAAUCGAUGUAGAGGUUUGGAAAAAUCCUUCUCGGCGAGCUCUACGAAAAGGCUUUAGCCUUCCUCGCCCGAAUCAACAUUAGCCCGGCACGAUUUUGCCGAGAACUUCACGUCGGUUCGCCGAAUGCCGAAAUCAACUUCGGCCCCGCGUUUUGUGACCUAUCAAUAGGGUUUCCAAGGCUUCAAAUGAGAUCAAUAUCAUACUUUUACAAAAACCCCAUUUUGGAGCCCUAGGUUUGCACCUAUAGCAAACCACCCAAUAAAUCCCUAGAUUCUUGGGAUUGAUCUAUUUAGAAGCUUGCUUAGGGUCCAUUUGACCCAUCCCAAAGCAUAAAAACCCAAAACCCUAAAUUUUACAAGCUAGGGUUUGUAGCUUACCUCUUGAGCUACACCAAUGGAGAAGAGAGAAAGAGAGGAAGAUGCUCCAAGCCUCUCUAUCUUGUUCUCCUCCUUCUUCUUCUUCUUCUCCUCCUUCUUCUUCUUCUCUUUCUUCUUCUCCUUCUCUUUUGUUCUUUCUUUUCUAGAGAGAGAGAGAGGGAGCAAGAGAGAGUGUGANNNNNNNNNNNNNNNNNNNNNNNNNNNNNNNNNNNNNNNNNNNNNNNNNNNNNNNNNNNNNNNNNNNNNNNNNNNNNNNNNNNNNNNNNNNNNNNNNNNNAUCCGGACCUGAGCUUCAGGAUCCGGACCCCGUAGGUCCUAUCUGCAUGAUACGCAGAGAGGAUCCGGACCUGAGCAUCAGGAUUCGGAUCCCGUAGGUCCUCUCUGCAUGAUACGCAGAGAGGGUCCGAACCUGAGCAUCAGGAUCCGGACCCCGUAGGUCCUCUCUGCAUGAUACUCACGGAGGGUCCGGACCUGGGCUUCACAAUCCGGAAUCCGUACCAUAUAUUUCCUGAUACGCAGAGAGGGUCCGGACCUGAGCUUCAGUGUAACUACCAGAUUUUGGUAUAAAAAUAAAAAUAAAUAAAAAUAGUGUGAGAAACUAUUUUUAUUGGAUUUGUAGGAGUAAAACAUAAGUCAGAAGUGACUUGUGCUGAAAUCGGAAUGAAAACAGAAGAUCUAGAAUUUUCUGUUGGAAACGGGACAGAUAAAUUAGCAGAAAAUGCACAGUCUCAGAAAAUUAUGAAAAUUGGAGGAUAAGUCAGAAAUAUUUUUAUGAGGCUAGAUUUAAAGUUUCAUAUUUUUCUGACACCCGUAGAGUGAGAAAUAAAAUCUGAGAGUUAUCUGAUAAAGAUUACAGUUCGGCACAGUUUUCAGUGACCAAACGGGGUCGAAACUGAACCAGUGAUCAUCAGCUUGUUAAGUUAAGUAAAACCGAACAUGACUGUCAAGUUUGAGCUCAAACGGACAUUCAGGGAGCUCCGGCGAAAGUUAUCAGAUUUCAAGCUGCCCGGGAGUGAAUAGUGUCUUGGGGGUAUUAUUAAGAAGCUGUUGCAUCUUCUUCUCCUUUGGCCGCACACCACACACGCACACGACGCACACACACACGCAAGGGAAGGGAGAGAGAGAAACGUCCAUUUUCUCUCUCUAAAUCUCUCCCAAAAAGAGAGGGUUUUGGUGGAGAUUGAAGCUCAAGGAUGGAUUUUCAUCCUCUCUAUCUUCUUCCUCUCCAUUAGAGCAAGCUUUGAAGGUAAGCUUCAAACCCUUUAAUGGCAUUUCUCUAUUGCUUGGGUUUUAAGCUCUAGAAACGAAUUAGUAGCUUUUCUAGAUGCUAAGUAGAUGAUUUAUGCUUAGAUCCUAAGUUCUAAUUGUGGGUUUUUACCUAUUGAAACCUAGAGCUCCAAAAUGAGGGCUUUAAUGGUAGAUCUCUAAAGAUAGGUCUAAAUGCUUUGGAAAUGGUUUUAGUGGAACCCAUUGAUGCCUAAUAGAUGAUUAAUGCUUGAAUCAUAGAGCACUUUAAUGAUUUCUUGCAUAGUUGUAAACCUAGGGCUCAAAAUGCUAACUUUCAAAAUAUGAGGGUUUGAUCUCAUUUGACCCUUCGUAAUCUAAUUGCUAGGUAAUGAAAUGCGUUGGCGAAGACGGUUCGGCAAUCCGACGAGCUGUUACAGAGAUAUUAAAGAAACGGACGUUAGGCUUCGUUUCUGCCUGGAGGGCCGAAGCGACAUCGUAAACCCAUGAAAACGGAUUUGAAGCAUCGUGGCACAUAACCGAAAACCUUUAAUUUUCGGAUCAUAGAUUGGAGGCCGUUCAGGUGGUCGCGCAAGAGAUCGGGCCAAACCGAGUGCCGGGUGCCACGGGCGGCCGAUUGCAAGUGUCGACAAGCAAUCAGAAUGCGAAAUGAGGUUGGUUGUGUUUACCGAAGCGACUAGGUCGCCCUUUAUGUCUAAGAAAUGAGAUCUCAUAUUGAUGCAUAUUGACAUAAUGUAAAAAUGUGAAAGGAAUGCAUGUUAACAUACUAUAGAAAUGCUAGAUAAAUGCAUAUGAUUAAUGUUUUGAAUUCAUAAUAUAAAGGGCGAAUUAAGUGCUAAAAGAAUGCAUGAGAUGCUAAGUGCUAAAAGAAUGCAUGAGAUGCUAAGCAUGGACUAUUUUGGAUAAUGGCUAUAUGUAUGUUGACAUGUCAUGUGAUGCUAGUGGUAUAUGUGUAUGAUGAUAUAUUAUGAAUUUUGUCACGCCCCAGACCGCACCACCCGAAAACGGUACCAAUUUGGUCCGGUUCGAGGGCGGUGGCGCGACCGCCGAACGGACGGAGUUUCCCCUGUCCGCCCAAGGCUAAGCAACUGAUUGUGUACAACAAGUCCCCAGGAAUGCAACUUGAAUACAUACACAAUCAAACAACGAUAAACGAGAGCACAAACAGUGCUACAACCAACUAGAGCAAGCGAUACAAGUAAAGCCAUACAAGUAUACAAAAGAGAGAAACUUAACUAUUUGAGACAUCAUUGAAACAUUAAGCCUCUUUCAACAUCAUUUAAACUUCAAUCAUUUAAUACAACUUGCAUUCUUUUUCAAAAUGUAAAGUACAUCAUAAACUCUCCAAAACCUCACCCUAUAUAAUAUCUACUCUCAAAAUGUAUAAACCAAAAGUAUAGGGUAGAGCUAAUGCAAGUAGGGAAGGUAAAGCUAUCAACCAACUGCUAGGGCGCUAUGCCCUUGCCGCGAUCCAUCGACGAAGGCCCGCUGUCCUGUAUACCUGUAUCCCCAAAGCCACACGGGGGUGAGAACUACGAAUAGUUCCCAGUGGGUUCGGCCGCCGACUCCGCCGAUCUACCCACUAGGUCUCAGGCAUGCAUAGAGAGAUAUAUAUAUGCAAUAUAUAUAAAACUAAGCUGAACGGAAGCAGGUAUGUAAACAACUAUAUCAAGCUAUGCCUCAAUCUGGAAUCAUGAAUGCAUGAACAAUAAUAAAGCUGGGUAAGUAAGCAACUACCAACAUCUACAACAGCUAAUAUAGUAAGCUAUAAAACAUGCUACUAGGAAAGCAAAUAAGCUGAUAUGAACAAUGAAUAGCUACUAUGAACAUCAAUCCUGGGUAAGACUCAAUGGGUAACCCAAUCUCCAAGCGAACACAAGGUUCACAAGCAAAACUCACAUAUCAAUCUCCGAGGGAUGCCUAGCUGGUCGAUCCCCGAGUAUGCCUGCGGAUAACAAGCAGCUAUCCGAGCAGCGAGCAGGGUUGCCUCUCUAGUGACCAAACUCCGGAGCGCACAACUUGAGGGGAGCGACCUCACCAAGCGCAGACAGGCAAUGUGAGCAAGAUCAUCUCACGAGCAACAACAACAACCCCUUUGAGGGUGAUAUCAUCAUAAAAGCAAGGUAUACAUGUACCCAAUCUCAUAGUGUCUCAACUGCACCAAUGUUCUAGUAUCAAGAUCAUCAUCAAUCAUAUGUCACUCGUCAUAGUUUUCUAACUAGAUGCCACUCGUCAUUUAGACUCAUUUUCACACUAGUUACAUCAUACUAGUUCUUUAGCAACAUAAGCAUUAAUCAUCUCAUAUAGGGUUAAAUCUCAUCAUCAAACUCUAUCAUUUAAUCUCAUGCAUACUAGUUUAUAAAUCAUUCAAUCAACCAUAUUUAUAGCUACUAGCAUGCAAAUUAAGCAACAUAAUAAAUCUUUAACCCUAUAAGAACAUGCACAAUAUGCAAAGAGAUCAUAUUUAGACUUAGACAUAAAAGGUAGCCCGAUGACUUCGGGAUGGCACUCCCCCACCUUGGGUGAUGCCGCAGACACUCCGAGACGCGUUCUCGUGCUAGUCUUGUCGCCGCUUAAUUUUCGUUGGGUUAACUUUAACCCUUUAGCACAUCAAUUGGCGAUAUCUUCGCGCUCACUCGUCGGAUCGACGAACCGUCUUCGCCUACGCGUUUAUAAGCAUAGAAAUUAGGUUUCUAACCCCUCAAAAGAGAUCAAACCCUAAUAUUUGUAAAAUCCCCAAAAUCAAGCCCUAGGUUUAGCAACCAUGGGAAGCAAUGAUUUCUAGCUUCAUUGUGAGCUAAAUCCAUCAUCUCUAAACCCAAAAGGUUCCAUUUGAACCAUUAAAACCAACCAAAAACCCUCAAGCCCUAGAAAUCUCAAAAUAGGGUCAAGGCUUACCUCUAGGGUUUGCUCCAAAGCAAGCCCUAGCUUGAAAACGUGGAGGAAGAGAGCUUCUUCUCAUUCUCCUUGAUCUUCUCCUUCCUUUUCUUCCUCUCUUCUUCUUCUUCUUCUCCUUCUUUUUCCUUUUCUCCUUCUUCUUCUCUAUUCGGUUAGAGAGAGAGAGAGAGCUAGAGAGAGAGAGGGGCUGUGAGAGUGAGAGGGGAGAGAGCUGAGAGUGAGGGGGUUAAGUCCCCUAUUGUAACAAAAUGCUAAAGAGCCCUCAUUUAAUCAGAUUUUGCAAUUUAACCCACAGCUGUCGCGCCCUUGUACCGGUACACGGGGCCUUGUACCGGUACAGGCCCUUAAACCGACCGCAAACCGAGCCUCGGGUUUAUCUGUUUUGCAAAGCUUGUACCGGUACAAGCCAGCCUUGUACCGGUACAGCGCCUGAAGCCUUCGAACCCGAGAGCUGCGCAGCCUGGCUGCGAUGGUUGUACCGGUACAACCAUCACCCUUGUACCGGUACAGCAGCUCCAGAAUGCUUUUUUAACUUCGUUUCGGCUCCGCUUCGCACCGAUCGAUGUCCACACCAUUCCAACACCUUUAGAACUCACUUUUGCGCUUUCAAAUUUGUUGGAAUACCGAAUAGAGCUUAUCCAUAUCGUUUAAUCGCCUACUUUGGCCCAUUUGGCCAAAGUUAGCCAAUAUCGUCGAAUUUCGAUAUCUUACAUUCUCCACCCCUUAAAAGGAGUUUCGUCCUCGAAACAACUUAACUCAUGAACUUGAAUUUAACUCAUACCUCAAUCCUCGAAUAGGUGAGGAUGAUUCGCCUUCAUCUGGUCCUCGAGUUCCCAAGUGGCUUCGCGAUCGUCGUGAUUGCUCCACCGGACUUUAACAUAGGGAAUUUCUCGAUUCCUUAGUUUACGCACCUCUCGAGCCAAGAUCUCCACCGGAAACUCUUCAUAGCUCAAAUCAUCUUGAAGUUCCGGCGGCUCAUAUAGCAUCGCAUGCUCGGGAUCGUAAAUAUACUUGCGAAGGUUGGAGACGUGGAACACAUUGUGCACACCCGCGAGCUUCGGGGGCAAUGCAAGUCGAUACGCCACCGUCCCAAUUCGCUCCAAAAUCUCAUAUGGGCCAAUGUAACGAGGACUCAGCUUUCCUCGCACCCCAAAUCGCUUCACGCCUCGCAUCGGCGAAACCUUGAAGAAUACGCGGUCACCCACCGCGAACUCCAAAUCUCGUCGGCGCCUAUCCGCAUAGCUUUGCUGUCUCGACUGCGCCGUGAGCAAUCUUUUGCGAGCAAGGCGGACUUUCUCUUCCGCUUCCCGCAACACAUCAGGCCCGAACUCCGCACGCUCACCUACAUCGCUCCAGUGUAUAGGGGAUCGACACGCCCGCCCGUAGAGGGCCUCAAACGGUGCCAUCUCCACACUAGCAUGAUAACUAUUAUUGUAGGCGAACUCGGCCAUCGGUAGGUGAUCACACCAACUUCCUUUAUAGUCAAUGACACACGCUCGCAGCAUAUCCUCCAGAGUCUGAAUAGUUCUCUCGGUUUGUCCAUCGGACUGAGGAUGAAACCCGGUGCUAAAGUCGAGCCGUGUGCCAAGGGCUUCCUGCAGGCUCUUCCAGAAAUGUGAAGUGAAUCGGGGGUCACGAUCCGACACGAUCGAUUUCGGCACCCCAUGCAGUCUCACUAUCUCGUCAAGAUACACCUGCGCUAACUUGUCGCCCGACCACGAAGUAUGAAUCGGCAAGAAGUGAGCCGACUUCGUCAAUCGGUCCACAAUUACCCAAAUUGCAUCGUGGCCGCCUUUAGAGCGGGGUAAGCCGACCACGAAGUCCAUCGAUACGUCCUCCCAUUUCCAAACGGGGAUUGGUAAACUUUGAAGCUUUCCCGCUGGAAAUCGAUGCUCGGCCUUCACCUGUUGGCAUGCUAGGCACUUUGCCACAAAGCGUCCAAUGUCGGCUUUCAUUCCUGGCCACCAAUAGUGUGCUUUUAGGCCUUGGUACAUCUUGGUGCCGCCCGGGUGACCAGCAUACGGGGACCAAUGCGACUCCUGGAGUAUAAGCUUGCGAAGCUCCUCAUCCGCGGGUACACACCUCCGGUUCCGAAACUGAAGCGUGCCAUCGGCAUCUAUAUUGAACUCGCCGCCAUGACCUUCCUCGAUGUUUCGCCGCACCUUUUGGAGUUCUGGAUCCGCAGGUUGCAGAUCUUUAAUCCUCUCAAACAAGGUCGGUUGGACAACGAGUGCCAUCAACUGAGUCGGAACUUCAGGAGCAACUACUUCAAGGUCCAUUCGCUCUAUAUCGAACCCUAGGGGUUUCUGCUGGGUAACAUCGAAAGCGAGGUUCUUCGUUGUCUUCCUACUCAAUGCAUCCGCGACCACAUUAGCCUUCCCGGGGUGGUAAAGGAUAUCAACAUCGUAAUCCUUCAAUAGCUCCAACCACCGCCGCUGACGCAUGUUAAGCUCUUUCUGUGUGAACAGAUACUUCAAGCUCUUAUGGUCGGUGUAGAUCUCGCAAUGAGCACCAUAUAGAUAAUGUCUCCAAAGCUUCAGGGCAAAGAUCACCGCCGCCAGUUCUAAAUCGUGAAUGGGGUAGUUCUUUUCAUAGCUCUUUAGCUGACGGGAUGCAUAUGCAAUAACUUUCCCGUUCUACAUCAACACACACCCCAAGCCCAAAUAAGAAGCAUCACUAUAGACGACGUAGUCCUGCCCUUGCACCGGUAAGGCGAGUACUGGAGUCGAAGUUAGCCUCUGCUUCAACUCUUUAAAGCUCCGGUCACACUCGUCGCUCCAAACAAACUUGGUGCCUUUUUGCGUCAAACGGGUAAGUGGAGUCACAAUCUUAGAGAACCCCUCCACAAACCGUCGAUAAUAACCGGCUAGGCCCACAAAACUACGGACCUCGGUAACAUUCGUCGGGCGCGGCCAAUUCUCAAUAGCCUCUACUUUCCUCGGGUCAACAGAAACUCCACCCUCGGAAAUAACAUGCCCGAGAAAUGCGACCUCUCGAAGCCAAAAGUCGCAUUUCUUCAGCUUUGCGUACAACUUCUUCUCCCGAAGAAUUUGAAGUACCGUGCGCAAAUGCUCCGCGUGCUCCUCGUCACUACGCGAAUAUACCAAAAUGUCGUCUAUGAAGACUACGACAAAUCUGUCCAAGCACUCCUGGAACACUCGGUUCAUCAAGCUCAUGAACGCUGCCGGGGCAUUCGUAAGCCCAAACGGCAUCACCGUGAACUCGUAGUGUCCAUAACGCGUGCGAAACGCCGUCUUCUGAACAUCUUCCGGUUUGAUCUUUAACUGAUGGUAACCGGACUGAAGGUCAAUUUUAGAAUACACUCGCGACCCCUGCAACUGAUCAAACAAAUCAUCAAUACGGGGUAGCGGGUACUUGUUCUUCACCGUGACCUUGUUCAACUCGCGGUAAUCCACGCAUAGUCGAAAAGAUCAAUCUUUCUUGCGCACAAAUAAUACCGGGGCAGCCCACGGCGAAACGCUCGGCCUAAUGAAUUCCUUGUCGAGAAGAUCCUGCAAUUGAUCUCUCAACUCCCUUAGCUCGGCCGGCGCCAUGCGAUACGGGGCCUUAGAAAUCGGCGCGGUGCCGUGUACCAAGUCCAUCAUGAACUCGAUCUCCCGAUCCGGCGGCAAACCCGGUAACUCAGCGGGAAACACAUCAGGGAACUCCCGCACAACCGCCAACUCUUCGAGGAUCGGAACGGCUCGAUCAAUCUCCACAACGGUCGCCAAAUAAGCCAUGCAACCGCUGUUCACCAGCUUCCUCGCUCUAGUCGCUGAUACCAUCGCGGCGAAACACGAGCUCUGGCAAGCUCGAUAGGUGAACUCUUCCUGUCCCGGCUCCCGAAAUGUGAUAACUCGAGUCGGGCAAUCGAUCGAUACAUAGUACCUCGAGAGCCAAUCCAUGCCCAAUAUAACAUCGAAUUCCUUCAACUUCUUGAGCACCAACAAAUCAAUCGGCAUAACCCAGUUGUUCACUUGCACUGGACAUGCCAAGCAUCGCUUUCUAACCAUAAUCGAUCGCCCGGGGCCCUAAACGUGCCAAAUGUGCUCCCCAAGACGAUACUCAAUAUCAUGCGCUCGUGCAAAUGACCGACUAAUAAAUGAGUGCGAUGCGCCAGUAUCAAAUAAAGCUCUAGCUCGAACAUUUUUAACCAAAAUUAUACCUGCCACAACGUUGCGCUCAUCGGCCGCUGAAGGCUCCUCUAUAUGAACAGGAGCGGCAUACAUCCUCCCGCUCGGCGCAGAUCGUGCAGGCUCUAGCUGGCGUGGCGCCGCUGCUCGCCCGGUAGAUGCUGCAGGAGGGGGCAGAGCAUAGCGAGCUGGAACCGCCGGGGCCGAUGCAGUCGACAUAGCGGGCGAAGCUCCUCCUUGAGGACAGUUGCGGAUCUGAUGUCCCGCUUGCCCACACUUGAAGCACCUCCCUCGGCGCUGCUCACAAACACCCGGCGGUGGUCUCCGCCACAGAAGAUACAUCGCUCAGCACCACGACCCUUGGCCUGAGAGCGUGGAUACUUCGGGGGCCUCCUGGAGCUAGACUGACCACCCGAUCCACCGCCCUGCCUUUUCUUGCCUUUAUCCUUGUCGAGCGCUUCGCGGUCCUCAUGCUCGCAGGCGUUUCCGUGCUCGACCCAUAGUGCGCAAUCCAAUGCUCCCGCCAAAGUGUGGAACUUGAAGGCAUGCACCAACUUGAACACUCCGGGCCGAAGCCCUCGAACGAAGCAAUCCGCCCGGUCCUGCUCUGUCGUCGCUACAUCCGGGACGCAGCUCAGGAGAUGGGUGAACUCCCGCACAUACUCCCGAACUGUACGGUUGCCUUGCUUGAGCUUGCGGAAAUCUUCCCGCAUCCUCCUCUUGUCACUGUCGGGGAAGUACUCGGCGAACAUCAGCUUGCGGAACUCCGCCCAAUCGAUCGAGGGAAGCUCCGGGGAUCAGUCCUGCUUGACCCUCCGCCACCAAGUCCUGGCCCGCUUCUCGAAGCAAUGCGCGGCCAAGUUCACCUUGUCCCUCUCCAAGGUGAAGAUGUCCUCGAAUAGAGUCUCCAUAGCUGUCAGCCAAGACUCCACCGCAGCUGGAUCCACCACCUCUCCGUUGAAAGUAGGCGGACGAAACUUCGUGAACCUCGUGAGCGCCACAUAGCCACGCUCACGCUUCGCCUCCUCAGCCACUAUCGCGGGCGUAGGAGAACUUGAACUAGCCGGAGGAAAAUCCACCGGUGGGGGUUGCGCCGCCACCGGAACCGAAACGCCUCCCGCACCCUCGGCGGCAUCAGGGGCGCGAACUGAAGGCGCAGGCGGACCGCGGCUUGGACCCGCUGCCGCAGCCGCCGCCACAGCCUGCUGCUCCAGCAGCUCCUAGAUCCUAUCGAACCGUCCAGUAAGCGCCGCAACUUGCGCUCGCAACUCCUGCACCUCAGUAGGCCCAGCUGACACUGACGCCACUGGAGGCACAGCUGUCUCGGGCACCUCUCGGGGUAGUGCCGGAGCGGUCCUACGCACGUAGCGUCUCUUUGGUGCCAUAGCUCCUGAAACGCAAACCGUUGGUUAAUUACUUAACUCAACAACGUCGUCGCAAUUGCGAAACAUAACGAUUAAACAGCAUAAAUCAGGCGGUAAGCUUGCAAGUGUCUUAAUUCUCGACCUUCGGCAUCGUGUUGUCGGCCGCCAACACAAUCACCUCAAGCCAAAAAUUAAUACCGCUUGAAUCAUCUCUAGCCAUAACUAGAGUACAACACCAACUUCAAACCCAAUCAAUUAGUUUCCGCCGCGUCAUAGGUUCACGUCGCAUUCACGCACCUACAACCUUAGGGUUAACCAACCUAGAGUCUCCUAGGUCAUCCUAGACUCUCUCUUUUGUUUGCUCUUAACUCGCUCUGAUACCACCAACUGUCACGCCCCAGACCGCACCACCCGAAAACGGUACCAAUUUGGUCCGGUUCGAGGGCGGUGGCGCGACUGCCGAACGGACGGAGUUUCCCCUGUCCGCCGAAGGCUAAGCAACUGAUUGUGUACAACAAGUCCCCAGGAAUGCAACUUGAAUGCAUACACAAUCAAACAACGAUAAACGAGAGCACAAACAGUGCUACAACCAACUAGAGCAAGCGAUACAAGUAAAGCCAUACAGUAACAAAAGAGAAAAACUUAACUAUUUUUUCUGAGACAUCAUUGAAACAUUAAGCCUCUCUUCAACAUCAUUUAAACUUCAACCAUUUAUACAACUUGCCAUUCUUUUUUCAAAAUGUAAAGGACAUCAUAACUCUCAAAAACCUCACCUAUUACAAAUAUUACCUCUCAAAUGGUAUAAACCAAAAGUACAGGGGUAGAGCUGAUCGCAAGUAGGGAAGUAAAGCUUAUCAACCAACUGCGUUAGGGCUAUGACCCUUGCGCGAUUCCAUCGACGAAGCGCUGUCCUGUAUACUAGUACCCCAAAGGCACCGGAGUGAGAACUACGAAUAGUUCCCAGUGCGGUCGGUCGCCCACUCCGCCGAUCUUCCCACUAAGUCUCAAGCAGGCCAUAGAGAGAGGUAUAUAUAUGCAAUAUAUAUAAAACUAAGCUGAACGGAAGCAGUAUAUGUAAUACAACUAUAAUCAAGUAUGCCUCAAUCUGGAAUCAUGAAGCAUGAACAAUAUAAAGUGGGUAAGUAAACAACUACCAGAGCAUCACAGCCAGCUACAUGUAAGCUUAUAAAACAUGCUACUAGGAAAGCAAUAAGCUGAUUAUGAACAAUAAAUCAGCCUACUUAUGAACAUCAAUCCUGUGGUAAGGACUCAAUGAGGUAACCCAAUCUCACAUGCGAAACACAAGGUUCACAAGCAAAAUCAAUAUCAAAUCUCCGGGAUGCUAGGCAUGAGUCGAUCCCGAGUAUGCCUGCGGAUAACAGCGGCUAUCCGAGCAGCGAGCAGGGCAAUGCUCUCUAGUGACCAAACUCCGAUGCUCACAACCUUGAGCUGGGAGCGACCCCACCAAGCGCCAGACAGGCCAAUGGAGCAAAGAUCAUAUCACGAGCCGACAACAACAAUCCCCUUUGAGGGUGAUAUUCAUCAUAAAAGAAGGUAUACAGUGUACCCAAAUUCAUGUGUCUCACUACACCUAAUGUCUAGUAAUCAAGAUCAUCAUUCAAGUCAUAUGUCACUCCAUAGUUUUUUAACUAGAUGCACUCGUCCAUUUAGACUCAUUUUCACACUAGCUUACAUGCAUUACUAGUUCUUUAGCAACUAAGCAUUAAUAAUCUAAUAUAGGGUUUAAUUCUCAUCAUCAAACUUCUAUCAAUUUAAUUCAUGACAUACUAGUUUAUAAAUCAUUCAAUCAACCAUAUUUAUAGCUACUAGCUGCCAAAUAAGAACAUAAUAAAUCUUUAACCCUAUUAAGAACAUGCAGCAAUUAUGCAAAGAGAUCUAUUAGACUUAGACAUAGGAAGGCAGCCAGAUGACUUCGGUGAUGCACUCCCCACUUGAGGUGAUUGCGCAGACACUCCGAGAGCGUUUCGUGCUAGUCUUGUUCGCGCCUCAUUUUCGUAUGGUUAAGCUUUAACCUUAUACCAAUCAAUGGCGAUAUCUUCGCCGCCUCACUCGUCGGCAUUCGACGACCGUGCUUCGCCUACGCAUUUAUAAGCAUAGCAAAUUAGGUUUUAACUCCUCAAAGAGAUCAAGACCCUAAUAUGUGUAAUCAAUUCCCAAAAUCAAGCCUGGUUAGCAACCAUGGGAAGCACUGGUUUCUAGCUUCAUUGGGAGUCUAAAUCCAUCAUAUCUAAACAAAAGUUCCAUAUUAAACCAUUAAAACCAAACCAAAAGCCCGCAAGCCCUGAAUAUCUCAAAAUAGGGUCAAGGCUUACUCUAUGGGUUAUGCUCCAAAGCCAAGCCCUAGCCUUGAAAACGUGGAGCGAAGAAGAGCUUUCUUCUCCUUCUCAUUGAUCUUCUCUUCUUUUCUUCCUCUCUUCUUCUUCUUCUUUCUCCUUCUUUUUCUUUUCUCUUUUUCUUCUCUAUUCGGUUUAGAGAGAGAGGAGCUAGAAGAGAGAGAGGGGCUGUGGAUGAGAGGGGAGAGAGCUGAGAGUGAGGGUGUUAAGUCCCUAUUGUAACAAAAUGCUAAAGAGCCUCCUUUAAUCAUAUUUUGCAACCUUAACCCACCAGCUGUCUGCGCCCUUGUACUGGUACAGCGGGCCUUGUACGGUACAGCCUUAAACCGACGCAAACGACGGCCUCGGGUUUAUCUGUUUCGCAGAGCUUGUUACCGGUAAAGCAGCCUUUGUACCGGUACAGCCGCCUGAAGCGCUUCGAACCCGAGAGCUGCGCAGCCUGGUGCGAUGGUUGUUACCGGUACAACAUCACCUUGUACUGGUACAGCAGCUCAAAUUUUCUGUUUUAACUUCGUUUCGGCUCCGCUUCGCGCGAUCGAUGUCCACACCAUUCCAACACCUUUAGAACUCAUUUUUGUGCUUUCAAAUUUGUUGGAAUACCGAAAUGGAGUCUAUCCAUAUGUUUAAUCGCUACUUUGGCCCAUUUGGCCAAAGUUAGCCAAUAUCGAUCGAAUUUCGAUAUCUACAAAUUUACAUAUUUGGAUUAUGUUAAAUAGAAAACUACUUGAUGACAUAUUGCCAGGUGUGGAACAUAUGUGGACAAUCUACAUAUUAUUAGAUCGAAGUGGAUUAAACUAGUAUCUUGAACCUAGCAAACACUUGUGGGAUUGAGACAUGUUUAUUUGGUGUCAUUCAUGUAUGUUAGGACCCUAUUAUUGUGUGAAUGUGAGAGUCGGACUUGGACAAUAGUAAACAAGGUGCAAUGAAAAUAGAGACAUGAUUGGCAUCAAGAAAGUGGUUGUUAAACAUAGGUUAACCAUAUUGACAUUGGUCCAAGUUGACAAUAGAGAGUGGCAUGAUUAAAUAGGUAGAAAACCUAUAUGACAUUUGCAUUGUGACUAGUGGCUAUGAAUCCUCAAGUUGGAGGAUUGGAUCGAUACUCACGUUACGUCUUGGCUUGAGGAGGUAGCUCCCCUCGGGCGGUGCGCUCCGGAGUUGGUCACCACUGGGCGUGGUAAAGUCCACCAGUUGACGGUCCCUAGGGAGGUGUCGAGUCCCCGUUAUUAGGGAUUUUGGUAGUGAGUUAUUGGGGUUAACAUGGUUAACCGGUAAGAUUGGGUCAUAGCCAAAUGAUGUACAACAAGUAUGCAUUAUGAGUUAUGAUUUGGUUAUCCAGUUCAGAGAGGAUUUAGGGCUGAGGUGUAUGUGAGACGUCCAUCGCCUCGAGCCUAGUUCUAGUGCGGUACUCCGCAGACGAUUGACUCAAGACCGAGUCGGGUGGUAGCCUUGUUAAGGUAGAUGAGACUUUAUGAUUAAAACGAUGAUUGACAAGAAUCUAAGAUAGAGGAAACCUUAGAUAUCAAGUGGAUGGGUUAUGGUUAGCAGAAUUGAAAGUAGUAUUGAAUGAACUACUAGUUGGAUGCAUAGUUGCAUUAUUGCAUGAUUUGCAUAUAGCAUUGCAUUAUUAUGUUUGUAGGCAAUGCAUGGUUUUAUUCAUUGCAUAAUCAAGAUAUAUAUAUCUAUCUGUUUAUUGAACUAACUUGCAGUUGCCUCCCUUGGACCUAUUGGUCGAGCUUUUCCCUUGAGUGGCCGUACCCACUGGGAACCAUGGAGUUGGUUCUCACCCCACGUGGUUUUGGGGUGUUUACAGGUUCGCACGUGAGCGGCGCGGCGGCGCAAGGAAAGGGCGUACCUCCGUAGAUAGCGCCCUACCCCAGAGACCAGAGCUAGCAGUACCCCAUCGACAUAGCUUAGGGGUUAAAGAAAUGAAAAGAACACAAUAUAACAUGAUGUAUUAAAGAUAUAAAUGUUGUAAUAAUUUAGAUUGCAUUUAGAUGAAAAAGGAAUGGUAGUUGGGAUGUAAAAUGCAUGAACAUGAAUGAAUGUAAUAAUAUAGGAUGUGUUUAUGCUGUUUGAUACCUUCCAUUAUGCAAUCUUGAUUGAAAUGUGUUCCUGGUUGGAACUUCGUAUAUUGUAUUGAUUGCGAAGCCUUGAAUGUACAGGGGAGACUCUGUCCGCGGUAAAGGAAAAACCCUGUCCGUUCGGCGGUCUGUCGGCGGCGCCACGACCCGGCCAAAUAGGCGGGUGGUCGCGGGGCGUGACAUUCAGGAUCCGGACCCCAUAGGUACUCUCUUAUAAUACUUAUUUAGCACUGUCAGAUAUUUGGGUGUUCCACCCAAGGUUUAAAGUAUACCGAAUAGUGAUAUAAGUGUUCCAUGUAUGGCUAUAAUGUGAAUUAUGAGGUCUCCAAUAUAAAAGUGGUCAUAUGACUAUUAGAUAUAUGGGUGUGACCUACACUACUAUAGAUGCACCUUGGUAAAAUUCUAGUUAAAACAUUUUCUUAUGACAUUUACUUAGCACUGGCAGAUAUAUGGGUGUUCCAACUAAGCCUUAGAGUGUACCGACUAGCUUUAUAAGUAUUCCGUUUCUGGCUAUAAUGUCACGCCCCGGGACCGAUACCAAUUUGGGCCGGCCCGAGCACGUCAACAGACGCCGAACGGACAGAGUUUUCCCUAUCCGCCCAAGGCUCAUCACAUGUACAAAUUCAAACAAGAAAUGCACUAGCGGAAACAUACACAAACGGCUUACACGAGGGUAAGCAAUAGCCAUUAGUGAAAGAAAAAGGAAACUAAACAUUCACUUAUACUAUGAUUCAUUUUUGAUCAUAUACAUUGCAUUCAUCUUGUUCAUUUUCGAAUUCCUUACAUUUCAUUUCAUCAUUUCUUUCUUACAUCACAUUUACCUCAAAAUACACAUUACAUUCUUUUCUUUACAUCAUUUACCAUCAUGUACAAAAGAUGAUCAUAGGGUACUUUACUACAAAAUGAAACCCAACUUUGGUGGCCUCUGACUAAGGCGCGAUACCUUUACCUCGGUCGCUCGCCGGCUCGCUCGGUCCCGGCUCUGUGGAAAUAGUGGGGUGAGAACUACAACAAAGUUCCCAGUGGGUUCGGCCUCAACAUCACCGACUUUCCCACUAGGACUAACUCAGGCAUAAUAGAAAGAAUAAGCUGCAUAUAGUAACCAAUCUAUACAUGAUGCUAAUAUGCCUGAACAAUAAAGCAGAAAUAUGCUCAGCAUUAAAUAAAUGCAGAUUAUGCAAAUUCAUUGUUCUUUUCACGUUACUCUUUGUUCUUUGUUCUUUACUCUUUGUUCUUUAUUCUUUAAUCUCAAGGCUAACCCGGGGGUUUCGCCAUAUUAACUUGCUUCACAUUAAGUCCAUCAUCGCAGGAACUCACCCGCUAGGACCGUCCUUCGGGUUUACUCCAACCCGUGAUGCAUAACUCUGGAGCGCAUUGCCCGAGGGGGAGCGACCGCCCUCGAGCUCGGAACUCAUAGCAAGUAUGAUCGUAUCCUUAACUCAAAGGAUUUAUAAGUUCAAUCUUGACUUUACACUAGCUCUAGUGUCCUUUACAUCACUUUAUGUUGCAAACUCAUGCAAUCGUUGUUCUUUAUUUUUCUUUUUCUUUUGCUAUCUUUAGCAUUCUUGUUCUUUACAUUCCUUACUUUUGGCUACCUCUAGCACUUCAUGUUCUUUACUCCCCACGUUACUUUAAUUUUAAGCAUUGUCAUUUUCAUCAUUCUUUACAUUACAUUGGUUCUUUACCUCACACUAUCUCUAGUGUCAUUUUACAUUAACUUUAUCAAAUGCCACUCGAUCUAUGUCAUAGUGUCACUCUGUUCUUUUGCUCACUUUGGGUGCUCACUUUCUCUCAUGCAUACACAUAGGGUUUUCGACAUCACAUGGUUCUCAUUCAUCAUAUUAUGCAAGUUGUACUCACAAUCAUGCAUCAUUACGUUUUCAUCAUUAUUUUACCCUAAAAUGCAUGCAACAAUAUAUACAUACAUGCUCAAAUGAAUGACACAUUAGGCAUAGAGAGAAGUUCAAUGGGUUUGAGAAGCACCACCCACCUCGUAGGUCUAUCUAGGUGCUCCGACGAUUUUCUUAGGAUUUUUAGACCCUUCGUUCUUUACCUGCGGCAUAACGGAGCCAAAUUAGGCUUAUUGGGCCAUAACCUUACAUACACUUUUCGAAACGUUAUUCCGAGCGCACCAACGCGUCGGAAAUACCACCAAUUGGGUUUCUAGGGGGUCAAUUGCACUUAGAAACCCCUAUGAGCAAAAGCCCCAAUUUGGGUGCCCUAGCUCCAUUGCAUCAUCAAACCUAGGGUUUGAUCUCAAAGAGAAGCAAAAGUAGCUUCAAUAUACUCUAAAUAGUCCAUUAGAACCAUUUCUAGUUCACUCCAAACCCUAGUUUGGAUUUCACCAUUAGAGGUGGCCAAAGCUCACCUCAAGCUAAACCAUGGCUUUGAUCUCUAAAGAAGCAAAAAGAAAGCUUCAAAGACUCUAAACAAUCCAUUAAAACCAUUUCUAGGUUUAUUCAAAGCCCAUUUUAGGGUUUUACUACAAUAGGGUUCAAAUCUUACAUUGUAAGCUCUCCUUUCUUGCACUAGAGAGGAUGAAGAUGAAGCCUCUUUGCUCCUCGAUCUUCUCCUUCACUUUCUUCUCCUUCUUCUCCUUCUUUUCUUCCUUUCUUCUUCUUCUCCUUUGUCUUCUAGAGAGAGAGGGGGAGAGAAAAGAGUGUUUGAGAGGAAGAGAAUGAGAGAAAAGGCUCUCUCAGCCCUCUACAUAACCCAUGGGUUGCAAAAUUGAUAAUAAGUCCCUCAACUUUCAUCUCAUUACACUGCCCGAACUGGGCAGUUCGCGCAGCCGGGGACCGGUCUCUCCUUCAGGGACCGGUUCCCGAAGGCUCUCCCCGCGCAGCCAGAGCUGCUGCGCGCAGGGCAACCGGUCUCUCCUUGGGGGACCGGUCUCUCGGACAGGGACCGGUUCCCGAGAGCUACUUUCUCAGGACUUAGCCGAUUUUUCGGCUGUCUCAUUUCAUACGCGUUCGGGGACCGGUCUCUCCCACCAGGGACCGGUCCCCGAGAGCUCAAAGUCUGCAGUUUGCAGAUUUUGAUUCUAUAGCUCUCGAAAACCUCCCGUAACUUACUUUUAAUCAUUUUAACACCUUUGGACUUUCCGAAGUGUACCGUCCUCGCACUUUGGUAAAUUUGACUAAAGUUCGACAUUUAUUUUCCGAAUUUUCGGUAUAUUACAUAUAAUAUCAAAUAUCAGGUCUCCAUUAUAAAGUGAUCAUAUCACUAUUAGAUGACGACGGUGUGCCAUACACCACUCUAGAUACACCUCAGUUAAUCUAUAGCUGGAGCUUAUUUUUUCUAAAAUGGAGUUAUCGGUCUCUGGUAUAUGGGUAUGCCCUUUAACACGACAGAUGUACCGGGCCCCUCAAAAAUUAUUCCAUUCUAAGGCAUACGUGCAAAAGUAAGCCAUAAUUGUAAAAGUGUAUAGAAGUGUCAUGUAAGUGUUUUGUUGCUAGCUAUAAAGCUUCACAUGUAUCGAACCGUCCUUUAAGUGUUCCGUUGCUGGCUAUCACUGGUAGGUACCUGGAUUCGCCCGUUCAAUACUUUGCAUGUAUUUUCACAUACCUAAAUCUGUCAUUCCUUUUUAUAACAUAGAAGUAGCUAUUGAGUAAUGUAGAUCUCUCAACAACACGUAUAAUGGUCAAUCAGUCACCUGCUAACUUUCAUAUAUAAAUUUUUUAUACUUGAUUAUAGUUAACUUUGCAUAUAGUAGAACAUUGGACUACGAAAUCUUACCCCUUUGUCAGCACUUGUGCAUUACAUCAAGUCGAAGAAGGUACAGAUUUGGAAGACUUGACAUGUCACCAUUUUAUUUAAAUAGCCGCAAUAGUUUGCAAGUUUAUUUGGCCCCAGAAUAAAUACCUGCUAUGUAUACUAAAGGAAUACCUACAUAUGCUUACUUGCAUAGGUAUACAGUUAGAUAGAAUAAUCAAAUUUCACUAAAACAGAGUCACUCAUAUUGGUAUAAGCUAAUAGUAGGUCUGAUUAUGGAGGUUAACACUUACUAUACUUAGACACCUCAAGAAUGGAGAGCAACACCUUUACAUCACAAGACGAAAUACAUACAAGCAGUAUCAAAUGCAUAGCAUUUUAAAUAUAUAUAAAUAUACAUUGAGUAUAAUAAUGCAACACAAAUUCACCAAUGUAUACAAACAUGACUCAUAUAGUAAACAGAAAGCAAGAAUAUUGAAUAUUGCUAGAUAUGAGGAAUAUAAGCACGUCAUUACAUUGUUGUCAAUCUUAUAUCCAGUGCUACAACAGAAACAAGAAAAAUACGAAAUAUUGUUAAUUCACUGUUUAUAAAUCGACACGUACGAACAAGGAGGUACAACACAGAUCAAUUCUAAAUCUGUAACUGUAGAUUUAAUACAAUGCCUGCUGCUUUCAUGUGCGCGAUGCUCUUCCACCGUGCUGAAAUUCAUGUUCCUACGGGAUCUCAUUUUCCUGUAACUGUUUAAAAGGUUAAUACGAUCAAUUUAAAACCGCCAAUAUAUAUAGAUUGUAUCGAGACUUUGUUAAUACCUCUUGCAAAUGAGUUGGGUGUGGCAUGUGCGUCUGAGGGGUCAGAUUCUGAUUUGUAGAUUGAGGAGGCAUAUCCACUCUAUGAGGAUACAUGAUAGGAUUUGAUGAUACGGAUAUAUUUUUAGGGCCCCACGUUGUCUGAUAUAAAAAGAAAGCAAACGUAAACCAUAUUAUUACUAUAUAGAUAAAAUUGUAUUAAAGAACCGUCCAUAAGAAAUAUAAUUUCUGUUACUGUAACGAUGAUGCCUCGGCUGCUUUGUACACCCAUCCCAUAAGGUAAGACACUUGCUGACGAAUUGUUAAUCGUAGGACUUUGUAGAUGAACCUGUUUUAAUAAACCAUUUUGUUUUGUAGAAUAUGAGAUCCAGAUGUUUAAAAAUAAUUAGUGAAGUUCCAUUUAUAUGUCUAUAUUAGAAAAUAAAAUAUAGAAAUAAUAAUGCGUAAAAUAUGUACGCUCUUUUGGGACGAGGCCGACUGUGAUGAUGAGACACAAUUAUAAAUGGAACAUUCACCGUUAUAUAACCUGUCCCAACAAUGUUGCCCAACCUGUUAAAUAGAGCAUGAAUAAUUAUCACUCAUUGUCGUCUAUCGUAUAUUACAAUCCAAAAAAACAUUGAUUGAGAUAGGUUAAGAUAUACCUGUUCUUUAUUGCCUGUCAUCUUCAACCGUCGUACAACUUUAUUGGUCGUCGACUCUUUUCUUUUGCUUGGCGGGCGGCCUUUACUGCGAACAAGUAGUGGGCUCAAAACUCUCUGGUCGUUACUUCUACCAUUAGACGCAUCAUUCGAAGGUGUUGCCGCAAUCGGCGAAUAUUCAAUAUCAUUGCUCCCCUUCGAUGAUGAAGUAUUUUCUAAUUUUGUCUUCAAAUCUCGUAAUGUACGUAAUGCUAGUUCACAUUUCUCAUCAGACUCAGCAGCUAUGUCUGCAAUAUCAUACAUAUUCCUACAUACUUCUUCAUAUCGAUAAAUUUCCGCGGUGCUCCCUAAGUUCUUUUGCCAUGUCUUCACGCGGGUAUACCUCCGUCUGACAUCCUUCCUCCAUCGUGUUAAUAUGUACGAAUUUGGGACAAUCAUCAACUUCCUAUGAACUAGGACGGCAAUUGAAUGUCAACAUAAAAUACCUUUAUACUCAAAUAGACGGCAAAUACAACUUACUAGAGAGGUACCUUCAUCAAAAUAUACUGUGAAGGGUACAUCUUUACCUCCGUCGCCAUACUCAUUUACUUGAUAAGAAUACACACUGCCUGUCGAAGACAGUAAGGAGGUCUCACAAUGCAAUAAUUCCUUCAACUCUGCCUGAAAGUCUCUAAAUUUCGCAAUCGUGUAUACAUCUUGAAAUUGCUUCUCAAAUGCAUAACGGCUGAUAUACGGGAUGAUUGAGCUGAAUGAUUUGUAGUCUAAUUCUGCUUCUUUUUCAGCUUUAUUUUUUAUUGCGCUUUCAUAUUGCUCAACGAAUUGUUUUAAUUGAGUUUUCGAGUUCACAUACCCAUCAAAAAAUGCAUUCAUACUUUCACUACGCUGUGUUGUGGACAUUCCAGCCCAAAUUGUAUCCUUCACAUAAGCUGGUAUCCACUUAUGUCUUUCCUCGUACAGGCCUGACAACCACUGAUUAUUUUCAAGUGCAUAAAAAGCUAUCAUUCUCUUCCAUUUUUCCUCAAAUUCAAUUUCUAUCAGUGAUUCAUAAAUAGCAUCCAUCAUCACGCUCUUCAUCGAAUGAUAUUCGCCAUAGCUUCUUAGCUUUUCCAGUAUCUUUUUUGUUAUGUGCCAUAAGCACUAUCGAUGCCGAGUAUUAGGAAAGACACGUGCGAUAGCAUUUUGCAUCGCUUUAUCUUGAUCUGUGAUUAUUGCUUUCGGGGCACGGUCGGACAUGCAUGACAACCAAUUUAGAAAGAGCCAUACAAACGAUUCUGUAUCUUCAGUGGGGAGUAGGCCGCACCCCAACAAGAUCGACUGUCCAUGAUGGUUAACACCAACAAAGGGAGCAAAUGGCAUAUCGUACUUAUUUGUUAGAUAUGUCGAGUUGAAAGUAAUUACAUCUCCAAAACAUUCAUAUGCCGCUCUACUCCGAGCAUCUGCCCAAAACACAUUGUGAAGCCGAGAAUCAUUGUCUAGAUCUAUGGCAUAAAAAAAGUUUCCAUUUCUCUCUUGCAUUUCUCUAAAAUAAUUACAAAUUGCUUCGCCGUCACCUUCACCAAGUCGUAACCGACGGGCUUUUUCAAUAUAAUUACGAGCGUCCUUCUCUCCAAAUGUUAAGUUUUCAUAUCCACCAGCCUCAACAACAAUAGAAUUAAAACUUUUAUUCAAUCUUAUUCCAGCACGAUCAUUAAGAUCAAGCCGCCUCUUGACGCUUGUAUCUAUAACUCGAUUGCAGGGAAAAAAUCGAGACUUAUAAGGACUUAGAGUGUGAUUAUGCUCAAGUGUAAUUUUGCUUAUUACACAAGAUGAAUCCGCAUUUAUUACCACAUUUAUUCUGGCAGGACAGUUUGUCUUUGCUACCGAUGGACGAGGACGAAUAUUCGUUACGGUCCGAUACAUUUUUUCAUGACGAGAGCAUGCGAUUAUUACAUAUGUAGCCUUGCCAUCGGUCAUUUUUGUUGACCUCUUUACAACUGCAAAUCCUAUUUCUUGUGCAUAAUGCUUAUAGAAAUUCAAAACGGCAUCAAAAUUGAUAAAAGUCAUUUUAAUUUCUGGUGCCGAUAUAUUUACAUCCCUGACCUCACUGUUUCUUUCUUCAUCCAUCUCAAAAAUAUUAAAUCAAAAUAAUCACUCAACGAAACAAAUUUAAGUAAAUUGCUCACCUGUAAGACAUUAUAUAGAGUUGGAAUACUAAAUUAGAAUAAUAGUGAGUAGGGAAACUAUUUGUCAAAAUUUAGACAUCUAAAGAUUCUACUACGCCCUAAAAAUAUAUUAUCUAUUAACAUAUAGAUCAUACAUCAAAUCAGUGAUGAAAUUAAUCAAAUAAUUCAUCACAAUUAAAAAAUUUUAAUUUACUAAAAAAAUUAAACAUCUCAUACCUGGUUAUAUAUGUGGCAGUGUAUGAAUCGUUGUGCUCGGGGUAAACCAUGUCGUUCAAUUUUGCCGCAUGCUCGAUUGUCGCCUCCGUACUUGCCGCGUCCAAUUUGAUCGCAGAAUCCACCUUCGCGCUUCUUUCUCUUCCUCUCGUUCUCCCUGUUUCUAGCAGAGCACAACUCCUCUCGCUCCCUCUCGCGCCAUGCCCUCGCUCUCUCUCGCGCCCUGCUCCCGCUCCCGCUCGAGCUCUCCUCUCUCUCUCGGUCGCUCGCUCGCUCACCUCUCUCUCUUUAGCUCGCUGCCUCGCUCGCUCGCCUCUUUCUCUCACGCUACCGCGCUCGCCUCUCUCUCUCUUUAGCACGCUGGCGCCAAAAUUUAGGGCAAAAGAGGGAAAACGUGAGGGGAUAAAAUGUGGGAGUGAGGCUAACACUGGUUUUUUUUUUUUUCAAACCAAGUUUAUAUCAGCCGUUAGAUCAAGAAGUUGUAGGAUCUACAACUCUAAAUGGGGUGCAUGGGUAGCACGACUCUUAUUUACUUCUGGCACCAUUUUCCGUCCAUAAACCCCCUCUCCCAUCGCCCACUCUCACUCUCUCUCUCUCUCUCUCUCUCUCUCUCCCUGUAGAGUUCGCCCUAGCCCUAGCCCUAGCCCUAGCCCUAGCACUCGCCCUCGACCUCGCUCUCGCUCUCGCCUGUCUCCCCGAUCCAAAUAGGUACGAUUAAUCCUUUUCCCCCCUCAUCAACCAAUUUGUGUUUAUUUUAGGUUGGAUUCAAAAGCUCUCUCCGUGGUCGCCGAACUCCGUGAACAGCGAAGAAACCCUAAUCUUGGACUCCGAUUCCCCUUCGAUCGGUAUUGUUUUUCCCCUUUUUUUUGAUGUUUUAUCUCACGAUUUAGCGUGAAGGUUUCGAUCACAAAAUUUGGGGAUUUUUCAGAUCAUAAUACUCGAUUUAGAUAGCCCUUCUGUGCAUAAUGCUUAAAAUGAAAAUGCAAAUGAUGAUGAUUACGAUUGAUUAUGAACCCUCCUAGUAAUAAACAGUUAAAGAAGAAUUCAUAUACAAGCGGAUUCGAUAUAGGAAUUAGAGUAGAGGGGCCGAUUCUACUAACGGCGAAAUGGGUACUAAACGGAAAGAAAGAACUGAUGAGACUCCUGAUCCGAUUUCGCUUUCGUACCCCGAUCCGGAAUUCUUCGACUUUGACGAAUGCAGGGAUCGGAGUUUAUUCGAAGUCGACCAGAUUUGGGCGCUAUAUGAUGAUCUCGACGGAAUGCCUAGGUUUUAUGCUCGAAUUAGGCACAUCUAUGAAAAUCAAGAUUUCAAGGUGGGCUUCACUUGGUUAGAGCACGAUCCUUCAAAUGCAGCUGAGAUGGCGUGGUCUCGUCAGCAAUUGCCUGUUGCUUGCGGGAGCUUCAGGCGAGGGAAAGCAGAAGUAAGUCAAGACCCUCUCAUGUUCUCCCACAUUAUUUCUUGGGAAAAAGGUAAAAAGAAGAACGGUUAUGAUAUUUAUCCGAAAGAGGGUGAAGUUUGGGCUGUUUACAAGGGCUGGGAUAUCGCGUGGAGCUCAGAUCCGGACGACGACAGGACAUUCGAGUAUGAAAUUGUUGAAGUCCUUUCGGAUUUUGUGGCGGGAAGCGGUAUCAAUGUCAUUCCUCUAGUUAAGGUAGAAGGUUUCGUGAGUCUGUUUGUGCGCGCAAAAGACAAAGCACCGUAUCGUAUACUAUCCAGUGAAAUACUUAGGUUUUCACACAGAGUCCCCUUUCACAGGAUGACCGGAGCUGAACGUGACGGUGUCCCACAAGGUUCUUUUGAACUAGAUACUGCAUCUCUUCCUAUUAACAUGGAAGAUGCUUUUCCAUCUGUUCCUCUUGAAUGCGGUACGACCAAAACCGGAAUAUCUCCUAAAAGUUCAACUAAUGAUGCAGGAGUUGGGCCUGCUGCCGUUAAGGAGAUUGAGAGGGUGAGGAGGAAGGAAUUUGACCAUUCUCAAUUAGCAACCACGUUCCAUUGCUCGGAUGAAUAUCCUGCCCCUGAGUUCUGCAACGUUGAUGACGGGAAAUUGAUCAAUAGGAUCCAGCCGGGGCAGAUUUGGGCGCNUUUUUUUUAACUGUAGUAGAUAUUUAACUCAUGUUUAACCCAAGUUAACUUAACAGGAGAUAAUUAUGAGGGUAUUUUGCAAUAACGGUGGAACAUAUGAGGGGUAUUUUAGAAAGAAAAAAAAAGUAGAAGUAAAUCGGAUAUUUUCAAACGUAUGAAAGGUAUAUAGGCAAUUAUUCCUAAUAUAAAACAACUACUAUUUAUUUCAUAAGUAAAAAAAAUAAAUUCACGAUUAAAGAAAAAUAAAUAAAGAUCCAUACACAUACCUUACAUUUUGCAUCCUAAUUAAAAACUUUAGAAGAAAAAAAAAUUACUAGCACCUAAGAAAGAUUGGAUUUGGCUUUUGAAAUGCUAAUCAAUAUAUUAAUUAGAUUCAAUAUGAUCGGAAAAGGGUAGAAAGGAAGAUUAUUUGGGAUAAUGGAGACUAGGAUUUUAUUUUUAUUAGAAUUUUUUAACUUUUUAUUAUUGCUAAGAAGAAAAAGAGAUUUAGCAGGCCAUCAAGCCUGCUACGAGCCAAACUCUAAAUUUUGUUGGACCCUACUUGGGGGUCAAUUUGGACUCUACAGUGGGGUCAACUAUAUAAUAAAAGCCAGUUUAAAAGGCUUAGAAUGCAUGUGGGCUCAACUAAAUGUGCUUGUUUGCACCAUUCUCAAUGGCGUCAAUGGACCCCACUGAGAAUGAAUUGGNAAUUUGUAAAUAUUUUGAUAAUUUCAUCAAAUUUAAUAGUUCUAAGUAUUAUUUAGCAAAUUAAUUUAAAUUAAUUAAUUGGCAAUAGCUAAUUAGGAUAUUAAUUUUAAUAAUGUAUUUAACAAACUAUAAUAAUUAAUAAAAUCAGAAAAAAUAUAUAAAAGUUCAACCUCUUGAGGAUUUCAUUUCCAAAUUGCCUGCAGUUGAGGGGGUCUCCAUAGAAUUUCACAAAAAUAAUAUAAAAGUCGACCAUUGUAGCUAGUUAGGUUAAUAACACUAUCCNGAACACAUGGGUAGGAUGUCAAUGGGUAUGGAUAUUCAAAAUUUUAUCCGAACCCGAACCCAAAUGAAGCGGAUAUAUCCGAUGCUAAAUGGAUAUGGAUUCGGAUAUGGAUAUAAAAAAUAGAAAUCCGACGGAUAUGAAUUCAGAUAUGGAUUUUGAUUGUACCCGACCCGAACCCGAGCCCGACCCGAAACCGAAUUUAUUUUGUAUUAUAUAUAUAUAUAUAUAUAUAUAUAUAUAUAUAUAUAUAUAUAUAUAUAUAUAUAUAUAUAUAUAUAUAUAUAUAGAUAAAUUUGAUACUAUAUUUGAUUUUUUGUAUUUUAAAAAUUUAGAUUUAAUAUAAUAUAUUUUGAAAUAUUGAAGAAAGAAAUAAUUGUUUCGGGUUUAAAUUUUCGGGUUCGGGUUCGGGUUUUGGAUUUUUUGUCGGGUUCGGGUUUGGAUAUGGAUUUUUAAAAUCCGUCGGGUUCGUAUUCGGUUUCGGGUCUCGGAUUUGAAGUCGGGUUCGGGUUCGGGUUUUUGAAAAUCCGCACCGAAUCCGACCCGUUGACAUCUUUACACAUGGGUCCUUCACUAUUAUUAUAUAGGGUAGACUUCAAAUACCACCCCUAUAGUUUCGCACUUUCUCAUUUUAGUACCUUAUGGUUUAAAGUGUAUCAAGCUAGUGUCCUGUGGUUUUAUUUUUAUUUUUUCGUCAACUUUUAGUUAAUAUUUUCUUUAAAUUAUAUACAAAAAACUUCAGAUACCUUACGUAGGUUUAUUGAAUAUUUACUUUAGUACUCAUUAGUUUUAACUUUCUCACUGAUUUAACAAAAAAAAAAUAAUAGAAUCAAUAAUAAAAUGAUAAAAAUGAAACCAGAGGGCACUAAAUUGAUACACUUUAAAUCACCGAGUACCAAAGUGAGAAAGUUUGAAACCACACGGAUGAUAUUUAAAGUUUUUCCUAUUAUAUAAUAUAAAUUGUUGGAUGUAGUGCCGUUGAUAAUUGAUAGCAAAGGGGAAGAAAAACGUUAAUUAAUUGAAUGAGGAGAAUAAGUAGUGAAUCCUCAUAAUUUGUCUGUGUGUUCCCACUUCUUUUUCCAGGAAAAAAAAAAAAAAAAAAAAAGCAACGAAGAUUCUGCUGUAGUAGAAAGCAAAUUAAAAUUAGAUUUUGAGCCUCAAAUGUAAAGCUUGUAACACGGUGAUUCUGAUUCCAGUGCAAAAAUAACCUGUCGGGAUGUUUUAAUGUAGAAAUUCUAACAGCACUAUUUGAGUUGUGUGUCAAAUAACAUUGCAAGCACUCGAAGGCUGUGCCACCCUCAAGAUUUGGAUUAGUUCUAUAUAUAAGGUAUCGUAGGACAAAAUUUUUUUAAUCCAAAUAUAAUAGUUUGGACGGUGGUUAUAUAUGUUUAAGAGAUUAAGAGGAUUAAGCAUGCUAGGAUUAGAGUAAUUUUAGAAUGGUGACCCCCAUAGGAAGCAGGGCUGAUAUCAGAAUCAAUCACCAACCAGAAGUGUGAGAUGAGUAUCGACUGAGUUAGGAUCAUACAGCAGAAAGAGCGCAGCUCCUCGGCUAACAAUCAUUGUGGGUAGAGUGCGACUCGCACAAAGUCGACUAAGACUAGCGAGGCGAAUCUCAUAUCACCUGAUGCUUAUGAGUAUUCUUGAGUCUGAUGAGGACGUCAAACUUAAAAAGGAGAGGAAUGCAACACCCUCAAGAUUUGAAUUAGUCCUAUAUAUAGGCUAUAAUAUGACAAAAACCUCUUAAUCCAAUAAUAGCAUUUUAGACGAUAGCUAAGCAUAUUAGGACCAUAGUUAGUUAAUUCGGAUUCGGCAAAAAUUCGGUACGGAUAUAAUACGCAUAAAAUUCGUUUUCUAAUUUUUAAAUUCGUUGAAAAAUUCGGCUUAAAAAACAGUUUCGGUAUAAAAUAUAAAAUAUAAGAUAUAAAAUAUAAGAUAAUUUAUAUUUAAAAAUAAAAAUUAUAAGUUUUUUAUUCAUAUUUUUUUAAUAAUUCACGAAUAAUAUGCGAAUAAUUCUACUGGCCCAAAAAUUCGCGAAUAAUUCUCUUUCUUUGGGAAAAAUUUGUAAACGAACCGUUUAAUUCGGAUUUUCAAUAAUUCGCGAAUAAUUCGCGAAUUAACUAACUAGGAUUAGGACUCGAGUAAUUCUGGGAUGAGUGACUCCUCCGGGAAGCAAGGCCUCGAAAGGCCCUAUUUGAUACACGUAUAUUUCUUUUGAUUUAAUUACUAAAACUUGUAACAUUCGGGUAGACGAAAAGUAUAAUCAAAUGUCGAAAAAAACAUAUGUACUAUGCAUGUUCUCAUAAAUAAAUUAUUUUUUCAAAUUAUGAAUGCUUUGACUAUGCAAGGAGUUAAUUUUAAAUCCGUAACUUGCAAUCACACAACAAAAUCCUCUUGACUUAUAACUUAUCAUUUGUAUAACUUGUUCCCGCAUCAAAAUGUACAGGUAGGCAGAUUAACUCGACAUUAUGAUAGCCAUCGAUUGCCCGAGGCAACGGUGGGUAAAUAAAAGCUACUACCUCGGAGGUUUAGCUGCUAGCCAUGGCAACUUUUACUAGAUAUGGUGAACUUCAUAGAUCUUUAGUUUAAAGUAUGAAAAAGCUAUAACAAAUGAACAGGUAGUUCACCCGCAUUUUUACUUACCGACUUUUACUUAUAGGAGAUUUUUCACUACUAUCUUUAAAACAUUAGUACUAGCUCUCAUAUCUAGAACAAGAUUUAUCAAAUUUCUUAAAAGAUUGGUUUUAAGUUAACUAAACUUAUCAAAAUGUGGCAAUUUGCUCUUUUGGGGAGUAUAGUUGGUAAUUUUAAUGAUUAAAACUUUGGGAAUUAAACUAGUAAUCCAUUUACUACAGCUUUUCUAAACUUUAAAUUAAAGAUUUAUAAAGUUCACUAUAUCUAGUACAAGUUGCCACGGCACGGCUAGCAGCUAAACUUUCGAGGUAGUAGCUUUUGUUUACCCACCGUUGUCUCGGAUAAACGAUGACUAUAUAUCGUAAGGUCGAAUUGAGAUAUAUAUAUAUAUACUUUGAUAAACGCACGCUAUUACGUUAUGUUUACCUAUAAUUAGUCUCAGGAUGUACACCCCGUUAAACUUGAUGAUAAUGAUAGAUUUCUUUUUAUUAUAGGAAUAAGGAAAGAACACCUACAAUAAACAGAGUAAUCAAUCUACAAAAAAGGAAAAUAAAUAAAUAAAUAAAUAAAUAAAGGUUGUAAGGGUCCGGGGCAUGCGGUGUUUUGUUUGUGGUGAUUUCAUAGUUAGUUAGUUAGAAUAAGUCUAGUAAUUAGUAGUUAUUUUAACCUCUUAAAGUUCGUUAAAGCAUUUCGACACGGUAGUGGGUACGUUGCUUAGGAAAUUUGUUUAAAUUUUAAAACUAAUAUAUUAAUAAAUCCACAAAGAAAAAGAUUUCUUUAUUUUUUACGGAUGUUCUAAUUCUAACAGAUUUCACAUCCACUGUUUUUAUUCCUUAACUCGAUCUUAUGUAGAUUUUCGUGGUUGAUAUGAAGAUCCAAAGAUUGGGAAUCAAGAUGGGAAACUGAUAAUUAAUUAUCAGAAACCUAUUUUUUGAUAAGGUACGCGGAUCGAUGGUGGUAGUAGGAUAGAGAUGUAGUGUGAUAGGUUACCGAUGUUUGAGUUUUCGUGGUUGGGAAACCACGAAAACUCUCAUAAGAUCGAGUUGAGGUUUUUAUUCAUCCGGAGAGCUAGCACUAUUUGUACACUUGAAUUAAUUAAGGUAACGUGAUCGAAAAUAUACAUACCGAAAGCAAACCCUAACGUCUCUCUAACAUAAUGCACGCCACAAACAAAGAAAUGCAUUAUAACGUAAGUUGUACAGCGCUAUUCAGCCAAUGUUAUAUAAAUUAAAGAUGCUAAGGUGGUCUCUUGCAUCUUCAUAUGCUAAAAUAGGGAUGAUAUAAAAUAGAUUUUCGCAGUCUAUACGGAGUUAUGGUUUGAUUCGGAAUUAUAUUUGGUCAUUAUAAUAAUGUAUAAUAUAUAUAUAACAAAUUAAUUAACGUUGGUUUCAAAAGCUAGUAUCAACUCUGUGGUUGAAAAACGCUCCAGGAGUCCGUGGAAAUAAGGGAGAACUGAACAUCACGUGAGAAGUUAGAUACUAAGAGGACUCAGUACUGUAACCAUCCACGGGUCAGGUGUGCGCGCGAAGAUUGGUUAGUUAGUUUUAUGUACGUAUAAAUUAAACUACAAUUUUAUCUAUACGUUAUUAUUAAAUAUAUCACAUUUAUAAAAAAACAUACUAACAUGUAUAUUAAAACAUCUUAUAUAUCAUAUAAAAUGGAUACUUUGAUUAAAAAAAACAGGGCUUUUUUAGUGAAAAGGUUCCGGUUUAUAUGUACUGCACAAAAAACUCUCCAAACUAGUAUUGUUAUAUUUGAAAAACUUAUUUGCUUUCACUAUAAUAUAGCUUAUUCUUUGAGGGACAUAUGUUUAUUUCGGGCUCNNNNNNNNNNNNNNNNNNNNNNNNNNNNNNNNNNNNNNNNNNNNNNNNNNNNNNNNNNNNNNNNNNNNNNNNNNNNNNNNNNNNNNNNNNNNNNNNNNNNNNNNNNNNNNNNNNNNNNNNNNNNNNNNNNNNNNNNNNNNNNNNNNNNNNNNNNNNNNNNNNNNNNNNNNNNNNNNNNNNNNNNNNNNNNNNNNNNNNNNNNNNNNNNNNNNNNNNNNNNNNNNNNNNNNNNNNNNNNNNNNNNNNNUACCGGAUGCUCCGGUAUUAUAGUCUUGUUUUCGAUCUCAGGAUGUUUAAAUUAACGAUCCACACAGUUAAAUAUGAUUUAGGAUAUAUGAAGUUCCUACGAAUAAAAUUUUAGUUUUUUUCGACAUCGUUUACUUAGUAAAUAAAUUAUGUCAAAAUGGACGGUAGAAAUUGAAUAAUUUUUAAAAUUUGAGUAUAGGACUUUUAAAUUCAAGAUAAAGAAUGUUAACCUUAAUCUAGAUAGUUUAAAGUAUUUUCUAUCAAAAUUUGAAAAAAUUUAGAUUUUUCUACACCGUUAAACUCCAAACUCGCUAUAGUAGCCAUUGAAAAUUGACAAUUUUAAAAUGGUUUGAUCAUAAAAUAAACUAUGUCGAAAAAAUAUAAAAUUUUAUUUGUAAAAACUUUAAUACCCUAUAUCAGUUUUAACGGUGUGAAUCGUUGAUUUGAACACCCUAAGAUCGAAAAUGAGACUAUAGUACCGGAGUCCCGGUACUAUAGAUAGUAUAGGAGACUAGCUCUAUGUAUAUAUACAUAUAUAGAACUAGACUACUAUGCUAUUAAUAGCACCAAAUUAUUGGUGCUACCAAGUUUUUCGCCAUUGGAUUAAGAGAUGUGUGGUUAGGAUGAUGUGGGCCCCCUAGGGUUGAGUGGGUGGUUGGUUGAAUAGUAUGAUCUAACGGAUGAAAAUGAUCAAAAGGGUAGAUCUAACGGUGGAAAACUUGGUAGCACCAAGUGCUUCAUGCUAUUAAUAGCAUAGUAGCCGGACUCUAUAGAAUAUAUAUAUAUNNNNNNNNNNNNNNNNNNNNNNNNNNNNNNNNNNNNNNNNNNNNNNNNNNNNNNNNNNNNNNNNNNNNNNNNNNNNNNNNNNNNNNNNNNNNNNNNNNNNNNNNNNNNNNNNNNNNNNNNNNNNNNNNNNNNNNNNNNNNNNNNNNNNNNNNNNNNNNNNNNNNNNNNNNNNNNNNNNNNNNNNNNNNNNNNNNNNNNNNNNNNNNNNNNNNNNNNNNNNNNNNNNNNNNNNNNNNNNNNNNNNNNNNNNNNNNNNNNNNNNNNNNNNNNNNNNNNNNNNNNNNNNNNNNNNNNNNNNNNNNNNNNNNNNNNNNNNNNNNNNNNNNNNNNNNNNNNNNNNNNNNNNNNNNNNNNNNNNNNNNNNNNNNNNNNNNNNNNNNNNNNNNNNNNNNNNNNNNNNNNNNNNNNNNNNNNNNNNNNNNNNNNNNNNNNNNNNNNNNNNNNNNNNNNNNNNNNNNNNNNNNNNNNNNNNNNNNNNNNNNNNNNNNNNNNNNNNNNNNNNNNNNNNNNNNNNNNNNNNNNNNNNNNNNNNNNNNNNNNNNNNNNNNNNNNNNNNNNNNNNNNNNNNNNNNNNNNNNNNNNNNNNNNNNNNNNNNNNNNNNNNNNNNNNNNNNNNNNNNNNNNNNNNNNNNNNNNNNNNNNNNNNNNNNNNNNNNNNNNNNNNNNNNNNNNNNNNNNNNNNNNNNNNNNNNNNNNNNNNNNNNNNNNNNNNNNNNNNNNNNNNNNNNNNNNNNNNNNNNNNNNNNNNNNNNNNNNNNNNNNNNNNNNNNNNNNNNNNNNNNNNNNNNNNNNNNNNNNNNNNNNNNNNNNNNNNNNNNNNNNNNNNNNNNNNNNNNNNNNNNNNNNNNNNNNNNNNNNNNNNNNNNNNNNNNNNNNNNNNNNNNNNNNNNNNNNNNNNNNNNNNNNNNNNNNNNNNNNNNNNNNNNNNNNNNNNNNNNNNNNNNNNNNNNNNNNNNNNNNNNNNNNNNNNNNNNNNNNNNNNNNNNNNNNNNNNNNNNNNNNNNNNNNNNNNNNNNNNNNNNNNNNNNNNNNNNNNNNNNNNNNNNNNNNNNNNNNNNNNNNNNNNNNNNNNNNNNNNNNNNNNNNNNNNNNNNNNNNNNNNNNNNNNNNNNNNNNNNNNNNNNNNNNNNNNNNNNNNNNNNNNNNNNNNNNNNNNNNNNNNNNNNNNNNNNNNNNNNNNNNNNNNNNNNNNNNNNNNNNNNNNNNNNNNNNNNNNNNNNNNNNNNNNNNNNNNNNNNNNNGGGGGGAGUCUGUGACACCCCAAUAGUCCCACAUCGGAUGGGAAUGGGGUUGUCAUUGGGUUUAUAAGAGACUUAGACACUAGUAAUAAUAACUAGGCUUAAGUAUUUUGGGCCGGUGAUUGGGCCCAACGAGUUAUUGUUGCUAGUGGGCUGGGUCGUUACAUUAACUCUUAAGAUGAAUUUGAUAAUGAUUUUUAAAUAUUACAAAAUUUGGUUUCUAAACAUUUCUAAUUCUGUAGAUCAAUUUCAACGAUGCCGAUUAUCAAUUUAAAGUUCCGACCAUUCAAAACGACUUGAUAGGACAAGUGCUCCUAUCCUAUUAAUAGGAUAGUAGCCGGACUCAUAUAUAUAUAUAUAUAUUACACCCGUUAGAUUAUACUAUUAAACCAAUAACUCACUCAACCCUAGGGGCCCACAUCAUCCUAACUGUACGUUUUUUAAUUCAAGGGCCGAAAACCUGAUAGCACCAAAUGCUUGGUGCUAUUGAUAGUAUUCCAGCCUAGGUUUAUAUAUAUAUAUAUAUAGAGAGAGAGAGAGAGAAAGAGAGAGAGAGAGAGUAAAACUACUAUGCUAUUGGAAGCAUAAAGUAGUUGGUACUUUCGAUUUUUUAGCUCUUAGAUCAACCCCAUUGAUCAUUUGUAACCAUUGAAUUAAUAUUAUAAAUCAAUGGGGACCACUCAAUCCUAACGGAAUUGCUAUCAUCCCAAUCGUAGAAUUUUUGAUCCAAAGGCUAAAAAAUCGAAAGCACUAACUACUUUAUGCUUCCAAUAGCAUAGUAGCUCUACACUAUAUAUAUAUAUAUAUAUAUAUAUAUAUAUAUAUAUGAGUCCGGCUACUAUACUUUUAUAAGUAUUGGCUUCCUUAUAUUCAUAAGUUUUUGGCCCUUAGAUUUUUUCCAUUGAUCAUUUCCACCCGUUAGAUCAUACUAUUCAACCAACUACCUACUCAACCCUAGAUGACCACUAUCAUUCUAAGCGGGGACCACCAUCAUCCUAACCACACAUUCCAUCAAUUAACGGUUAAAAAUUUAUGAAUACAAGGGGAUCUAUACUCAUAAGAGUAUAGUAGCCCCAGCCUAUAUAUAUAUAUAUAUAUAGAGAGAGAGAGAGAGAGAGAGAGAGAGAGAGAAUUGAGCUCCUAUGCUUUUAAAAGUAUCAAGUCAUUUGUGCUUGUAAGUUUUUAGCCCUUAGAUUAAUAAAUGUGUGGUUAGGAUGAUGUGGACCCCCUUAGGUUGAGUGGGUGGUUGGUUGAAUAGUAUAAUCUAACGGAUGAAAAUGAUCAAAGGCAUAGAUCUAACGGUAAAAAAUUUACAAGCACCAAAUACUUGGUACUUUUACAAUCACCAUAGCCGGACUCUAUAUAUAUAUAUAUAUAUAUAUAUAUAUAUAUAUAUAUAGUUUAGNAUAAAAUUAAUUUGCAGUUUUUCGAUAUCAUUUACCUAGCAAUUAAAAGAUGUUUAAAAUCAAUAAUUUUUAAUGAUUGAUGUAUAUCAUUUACAAAUUUAAUGGUGUAGAAAUAAUUAAAUCAGAUGAAAUUUUGAUAAAAAAUUUUUUGUACUAUUUACUGCAAGAUCAAUAUUUCUAAUCGAAAAUUUUAAUACUAUAUCACUACUUUUUGUGAAAUUUUUAUUUUCAAUCGUUGAUUUUGAACAGUUUCGAUCGCUAUGUAAAUGAUAUCAAAAAUCACAAAAUUUAAUUCCUAGAUACUUCAAAUACACUAGAUCAAGUUUAACGGAGCCAAUCGUCGAUUUGGAAGGUCCAUCAUUGAAAACGGUUUAAAGUACGAAAGCCUCUGUACUCCUAAUAGCACACAAGAUCUACUAUAUAUAUAUAUAUAUAUGAGUGAGGCUACUAUGCUUCUGGAAGUAUGGAGCCUUCCGUGCUUCCAGGUCAUUUUUGAUGUUGUGACUUUCGAAUCAUCGAUCGGCUCCGUUAAACUUGAUCUAGAGUAUUCGAAGUACGUAGAAAAUAAAUUUUGCAAUUUUUCGAAAUCAUUUGCCUAGUGACUAAGGGGCUCAAAAUCAACGGCUGAAAAUAAAUAAAUAAAAAAAUAUAUAAAUAUAUAUAUAUAUAUAUAGAGAGAGAGAGAGAGAGAGAGAGAGAGAGAGAGAGAGAGAGAGAGAGGCUACUAUCGGAAGCACGGAGCCUUCCGUGCUUCCAGCUCGUUUUCGAUGUUGCGGCUUUCAAAUCAUCGAUUGGCUCCGUUAAACUUGAUCUAGAGUAUUUGGAGUACCUAGAAAUAAAUUUUAUUAUUUUUCGAUAUCAUUUGCCNNNNNNNNNNNNNNNNNNNNNNNNNNNNNNNNNNNNNNNNNNNNNNNNNNNNNNNNNNNNNNNNNNNNNNNNNNNNNNNNNNNNNNNNNNNNNNNNNNNNNNNNNNNNNNNNNNNNNNNNNNNNNNNNNNNNNNNNNNNNNNNNNNNNNNNNNNNNNNNNNNNNNNNNNNNNNNNNNNNNNNNNNNNNNNNNNNNNNNNNNNNNNNNNNNNNNNNNNNNNNNNNNNNNNNNNNNNNNNNNNNNNNNNNNNNNNNNNNNNNNNNNNNNNNNNNNNNNNNNNNNNNNNNNNNNNNNNNNNNNNNNNNNNNNNNNNNNNNNNNNNNNNNNNNNNNNNNNNNNNNNNNNNNNNNNNNNNNNNNNNNNNNNNNNNNNNNNNNNNNNNNNNNNNNNNNNNNNNNNNNNNNNNNNNNNNNNNNNNNNNNNNNNNNNNNNNNNNNNNNNNNNNNNNNNNNNNNNNNNNNNNNNNNNNNNNNNNNNNNNNNNNNNNNNNNNNNNNNNNNNNNNNNNNNNNNNNNNNNNNNNNNNNNNNNNNNNNNNNNNNNNNNNNNNNNNNNNNNNNNNNNNNNNNNNNNNNNNNNNNNNNNNNNNNNNNNNNNNNNNUGUGGGUUUUUUUUUUUUUUUUUUUUUUUUUUUUUUUUUUUUUUGCAAUAAGUUUUCAGUUUCUCUGUUAUUAUGCAGGUGUGUUGGAAUAUAUUAACUAAACCUAUAAAGAUAAACAGCGUAUUCAAAUUUUAAAAUCAAAUUGAAAAAUUGAAUAUUAAAAUUAAAAUUUUGAAAAAUUGAAUAGUCAAAUCGAGAAUGGUCCAUAGCUCAGUUAAGUUCUAUAUAUUUUUAUUUUAUUUUAUUUUUUUUGUGUAACUUUUGCCGAGAAUAUUCAAGAGGAUCUAUGCCCCAAAGGUGAGGGGCCAACAUGAUUGAGCUAUAUCUAGGGAUGUCAAUGGGUACGGAUACCCGAAACAUUAUCCGAAUCACAAUCUGAACGGGAUAAAUUUAUCCGAUAGUAAACGAAUAUAGUUUUGGAUAUAGGUAUAAAAAAUAAAAACCCGAUGGAUCUGGACUAGGGUAUGGAUCUUGUCUAUACCCAACCCAAAUCCGAAUUAAUUUUACAUAUAUAUAUAUAUAUAUAUAUAUAUAUAUAUUAAGAUAGAAAAGUAUAAUUGUUUGCGUAAUAACCACAUGAUUUAUAUCGAUUCAACAAAAUUAUUAAUAUUAUAAAUUGGAUUUGUGGGCAUUGUGCAGUGUGCUGUGUGAUGCACACACUUAUACCUUCCAGCUUUGGCAAAUAGUUUAUAAAAUCUGGAAAGUUUCAUAUCAAAAGAAUUUGGGAUAAAUGUAUAAACGUCGACACCUAUGUUGGAAAAAUCUCUCUAAUUUUUUAGUAAAAUUUAAUCUCCUUUCAAAAGUAUUUUGAUUCGAAGAGUUGAAACCACAGUUUAAAAAUGCAUGCAAGAAAGGAUGUAAAGAACAAAUGAGGCCUGUGAGUUUGAGGCAUGCUAGGCACUGUCUUAGAAGCAAGAUUGUCCAUCUACUUGUAAGGCUCUCGCAAUCACUCCUAACGAUACAAUGACCACUGUUCAGUCCAUCGGCAGAUUUUCAGGAUAGUGCAACUCAAACCCAACGAACUUUUAGAGAUCCAGCAAGUGUUGAAGAAAAUGGCUUUCAAACUCGGAGUAGAAGAAGCAAAAUAGCUGCAGAAAGAGGUGGCCUUUUUCCAAGUAAGGACAUAACACCACUGCACCCCAUCCACUUCUAUAUACAGGUAGGAGCCAAAGGUAGGGUCCAACAAUUCUGUCUCAAGUAAGCCAUUAGAGCUUACCGAGGUGCAAAUCACCAACCUCGUAUGUGUUUUGUAAAAAGCAUUACUCUUAUUAUCUCCCGAGCAACUAGCUUGAGGAUGAUGGAGUAAAUAAGAUGAAACCAUUAAUCUUUUGUUUCUAAUGCGGGAUUAAACUUAUUUGUAGAAGCUCAAACAUGGGUUUUGAGACAAGGCUCAUAGGAUGUUGGGCUGCCCUGAAAGCUGAUGGACUAAAAUGAAGUGUCACACCCCAAGGUUUUUUUUGAAAAUCCUUCUUAAGAAAACUAGUGAAAAACAUGUAAAUUUUUUUUGAAAAAAAACACCUUUGAGAUCACCCCGCGGACGCGCAUAGACCCGCUCGGACAAAGGAUCCCCUGUACAAACGGGCAGAGUCUCUCCUGUACAUGCACGGCGUAGCACCGGAUACAGAGUCAACCACACAUACAACCACACAACACAACCAAUCUAAUAAUCACAUAAUUGUUAGAAAAUUGCGUACGGUAAAAUUACAGCGAAAAAAGAAAUCAAACAAAUUUGAUUUUUAAAACUCGAGAUCUGAUCUCAAAACCACGCAAUUACGAUCUCUCAUAUUCUUUAAGAUUAAAGGAGAAAAGGAAAAUCCAAUCUUCACCUUUGCGCGGGUAGAUGUUUACUACAAUUUGAUGAUCAUGAAAUUAGGUUAUUUUGAAGCUACACACGCGUCCCAGCUCUAUAGGUAUCCAUACGAGAUUGGUGAUUUGAUCGAUAUUCUCAUCGGGGUACUAGCUACCUUGCAAAGAACGUCUUUCUUGCUAUAAAAAAAGAGAGAAGGAAAGAGAGAGGAAAAGAGAUGACGGCUAGGAUUUUCUAAAAAAACUCACAUAUCUUAUAUAUAGAAGGAUAUAAUCCUCUUUUAAUAAUAUAAUAACUAUUAAGAAUAAGAAUAAAUUUAGGUUUAAAUUUAUCCUUUUCUUAAUUGGUUAGAUCAAUCAAAUUCUAAUUUGAUUAGAUUUGAACUUUAUCCUAAUUUGAUCAUAUCAAAUUAAUAAUACAAUAUUUACACAUAAAUCCUCUCAUAAUUUAUUAACUGUUAGCUAGUAAGUCCUCUCUUAAAAUAUUUACACUUUAAUACCACUAAUUUGUAAUAAUUACAAAUUAGUCCAAUUAUCAACAUAUUGACAAUUAAGUCCUCCGGCGAUUCAAAAAUCACUAUCUAGCUAUCCGAUCAGUCACAAUCUCUUAUAUGUGUGACCCAAUAUGUUCUAUUCUAUCUGGUAGUGAGAUAUAUUCUAAUCACUAUUAACAAUAUCAUUGAACUCCUUUCAAUGGAUCGGAAUAAUUCCAACUCAGCCCAAUGAUAAUUAUUGAUUAUCUAAAUAAUUCUCAUGAGUUUCACAAUCCACCAAUGACGCUUAGCAACAUAGAGCGGCAUUCCAAUAGAAUGGAAUACUAAACCUCUUCGUGCAGUUACCGUAUGAUACAAUCCUUCUAUCAAGAGUCCCGACUAGAUGGAGGUCAUAGAAUAGCUCAUCAAACCCCAUUGUCUGUCAUAUAUCAAAAUUAUUCGACUCGAGUCUCUAAUAUUGAAAAUCCUUUUUCGCUAUUAACUCUGCCCUGGCUAAGCUCUUCUAAACUCGGUCUCAUAAAUCACAUAGCACUAACGCUCCUAUCUACCGAGGGAGAUAGAUUCCAUAUAAGUGCACACCCUAUUUUUACAAUGAACCUACUGCAACCAAUAUGCACCGCAAGAACCCGAAUAGCUAGGGACGAAGUGUAUGUACAGUCAAACUACAGUAACCUCAUUGUGAAUAGCCGAGGCACUACAGGUCAAAGGACAAGUCACACUACUGCAAUAUUAAGUAAGUCACUGACGAGUGAGUAGACAUCCGAGUAACUUCUCACAUUGGUCAUGUUCGGUGCUCUUGUUCUCUAACAACUAUCUGCAUAUUCGCUCCAAUGUCCUCACACUGUUGACUCGAGGCUCGUCUACCCAAAACGGAAAACGACCGAUGCACCAAUCUUACUGGAUCAAUCACCGUUUCCAUGAUGAUCCAGCGAUCGGGAGUAUUUAGGAAUUAACCAUCAAUAACACAUGUCUCAAAUUCUCAACUCUUGAGAAUACAUGUCAUCAUCUUAUUAAUUUUUUGGACGAUUCAUGGACACAUACACAACAUGAAUGAAAUAAAAAUACAAAUUUAUUCAUAAUAUUUUUAAAUCAAAUACAAAUUUAUAUCCUAAAAAGAAUACAUGUGUCGGUCUAGUUGGCUUCUAGGGCAUACAUUUAACAAUAAUAACCAUAAUCCACAUACACCCACUAAUAUUUAAAAAUUAGUAGGUAAUAAACUAAACUAAUCCAACAGAAAGAUAAUACAUAUCAACAAUGGAUAGAUCUAGAGCAUAACUAUUUAAUACCGUCCUCACGCACCAUUCCAAUCCUCACCGCCGAUGUCACCUGAAAAGUAGUGGGGGAUGAGAAUAUGUAAACACGUCUCCCCUCCCAAUGGGUACUGCAAGUCGACGAAGGCGAGUUGUACUCACUGGCAGAUGGAAGAGAUAAUCAACAAUAGUAAGCAAGUGAAUUAGGUACAGUAGUUGUCACGCCCCGCUACCGGACCUAUUUAGUCGGUUCGGGCAUGUCGAACAGACGCCGAACGGACAGCACCUUCCCUGUCCGCUCAAGGCUCAACACAAGUACAAAUCAAGUAGAUAUAUUGCACAUGCGGAAACAUACAUAUAUGGCUUGCACGAGGGCAAGCAGUAGUGAAAGUGAAAGUACUAAACUAAACAAUAUACAAGUACAAUGAUUAACUUUUAACCAUAUACAUGCAUUCAACUUAUACAUUUACAUUCCUUUUUUUAACAUCAUUUCUUCUCUUAUACAUCACAUAAUAUCUCAAAAUAUAACUUUUUGCAUGUAACAUAAUCUCUUUUACAUCAUUCAUAUUCUCCAAAAUAGGCCUUUACAUUCUUUUAUUUAAACAUCUAUAAUCAUCAAGUAUAAAAGAUGAAAUAUUAAAAAGGGUAUGCAAUUAUACAAAAUGAAACCAACUAGAGUGGUUCAUGUUUAUGGCGCGAUACCUUUACCGCGAUCGUCGGUCGGCUCACUCGAUCCCGGCUUUGUGGAAAUAGUGGGGUGAGAACUACAACAAAGUUUUCAGUGGGUUCGGCCACCGACCUCGCCGACUUUCCCACUAUGUCUAAAUCAUAAUAGAAUAAUAGAUAGAUAGUAACCAAUUAAACAAAUGCAGCUAAUAUGCCUGAACAAGAUAUAAUCAAUGCUAUGCUCAAAUAGAAUGCUCAUGAUGAAUGCAAGUUAACUUUCCAUUACUUAAUCUCGUGGCUAACCCGUAGGUUUCGCCCUCAAGUCCCUAAAAUCGGGCCCUUAGCUUCCUCCCGACGGCACCAGACUCACCAACUCAUAUCCCUAAUAUCGGGCCCUCAGCUUCCUCCCGACGGGACCGUCCUCUGGGCAACACUAACCCGGUGAUGACAACUCCGGAGCUCAUCGUUCGAGGGGGUGCGACCACCCUCAAGCCAAGACUUAUAGGUAAGUAUAAUCAAUCAUUAACUUUGAGGAUUCCAAUGCUCAUAUGACCCUUAACUAUAAGGUGGUUGUGUCAUAAUUUCAACUAUGUCAUCUACUUGCAUUCUUUAAUUCUCUUUAGUGUCAUAUAUACUACAUGUUCUUUAUACCCAUUGUCAUGCCACACUAGUACACUAGCAUUCAAAACCUAUUAAUGCCACAUCCCUUGAUGUUCAACCCUAGCAUUCAAGACUCCUUAAUGCCACUCUUUACAUUUAUGUCAUAAUAUUAUUUGUUCUCAAUGUCACUAAGUCCUUUGCAUUUUCUAGGUUCUUGUCAUCAUUCAUGCAUACAUAGGAUUUUAUAAGUUCUCACUAGUUUAUAAUUAUCUCACAUGCAUUUGUACUCAUAACAUGCAAUAACACAUAGCCACAUGCUCUAAUUUCACCCUACAAUGCAUAAUGAUCAUAUAUAACCUAUGCUCAAAAAAUGACACAUUAGACAUAAGAAGAAAUUCAUCGAUUCCGGAAAGCACCACUCACCUCGUAUGGUUGUAAAGGUACUACGGUUCAAUUCUUGUGAUUUUUGGGCUCCUAUUCUCUCGCCUGCGGCAAAACGAAGCCAAAUUAGGCUUUUUUUCCAAUAUCUUUACGUAGACUCGUCGGAUCGACGAACCGAAUACACCAACGAGUUAGAAAUAUCCCCAAUUUGAUUUUUACAAGGUCAAUUUGCCUUUAAACCCAUCUAUGGCAAAAGCUCCAAUUUUUGGUGCCCUAACAAUGUCAUUUGCCUAAUAAACCAUUUUGAUCCCUAAGACAAGCCAAAGCAAGCUUAUUCAACCUCUAGGAACUCAUAUAGAACCAUUUAAACCAUUCUUAGAGCGUUUGAAACAAACCUUAGAAAUCCACCAUUAGAGCACUAUGAAGAAACAUGAAUUUUCAUGUGUUCCAUCGCCUCUACAAAGUUUCCCAUCUAUGUAAGAAGGUCAAAAUCAAAUAUUUAGGGCAUAAAACCAAGCCCUAACAUCAAUCUUACAAGAAACCUUAGCUUAGCCUAGAAGUUCACCAAGCUACACCUUGUAGGAGAGCUUUUGAUCCUCCAAAAGCUCCAAAUCCACCUUCAAAUCUCCAAGUUUCCUUCCAAAUCCACCUCUUGGAGAGAUCUCUAGAGAGAGAAAGGGAGAGAAAUGAGAGAGUAGGGAUGGUUCACUACUGUGAAUGGAAGAGGAGCAGGUGGGACCUUUUUAUAAGCUGCUACAAUAGCGAAAAGACCCUCCAUUUCCUUUUAUUUGCAGCAGACUCAACCUGCUGUGAGGGGCACUGCGUACCGGUACGCGGGUGGGUGUCACCGGUUUAACGAUUACGCAGCAGCCAAACCCGAGAGCUGCCUUCUCGGGUAGCUGACCUGGUACCGAUACGCACCAGGGGUGUCACCGGUUUAACAGCCUUAAAUUCUCAAACCCGAGAGCAACUAUUCUCGGGUGCCAGCUUGGUACCGGUACCACUCCAAUGCAUUACCGGUUAACAAUGCUCCAGGCAACAAUUUGCAUUGUUUCGACUCCAAUUCGCGUCGAGCAAUGCCAAAAUCUUUCUAACUCUCUUGGAACUCAACUUUAACCCUUUCAACAUUGUUGGAAUGUUAAAUGGACUUUGUCCAACUACUUCUCUCGCAUACUUUAGUCAAUUGACUAAAGUUCGAUAUUCUCUACCGAGUUUCGGUAUAUUAUAGUAGCAAUAGAAUAACAACUGGUAAUAAACGCAGCAGAAACCGCUAUUGUAAGAUAGAGUAGAAAUCAACAAUUAGUCAUAAUCAACAUGUGCACUAGAGCAAUAGUAAUAAUAAUUAAAAGAACUACAACUGUCAAUCUAUACAUAGCUAUCUGCUACUAUAACGAACAACAAGAUACUCCAAUGCAUCAAAUGGUGAAUAGCACUACCAACCAAAUCAACUACCCUAUGGGACAAAGGACCUCAGGCUGAAUCACAUCUUACGCAUCCACCUGGCAUAUAACCCUAACAGGCACCUCGUAGGGCUCACGGGUUAGAAGGAUGACCACCUUUUCAGAAAAGAAUACCCUCUUGCGGUAGGUCAGACCGCUGGCGUACAUGAAAUGCUCAUGAGCUAUGGCGAUCGAUUGAAUAUGUCACGCCCCGCGACCACCCGCCUAUUUGGUCGAGUCGCUGCGCCGCCGACAGACCGCCGAAUGGACAGAGUUUUUUCUAUACCGCGGACAGAGUCUCCCCUGUACAUUCAAGGCGUCGCAAUCAAUACAAUGUACGAAGUUCCAACUAGGAACACAUUUCAACCAAAGAUUGCAUAAGGAAGUAUCAAAACAUAAAUCUACUUGCUAUUAUAAGCAUUCAUCUCACAUAUUACACUUUUACAUUCUUAGAUUACAUCACAUUUAAUUCCUUAAUUCUUACUUCCAAAUACAUUCUAGUUUCAACAUAGCUAUUACAACAUUGUUCUUACAAUUAUCACACUCUUGGUUCUUUGCAUUUUUUAUCCCUAAGAAGCCAACUCAGGGUGCUGCUAUCUGGUCUCAAUGGUAGGGCGCUAACUACGGAGCUACGCCCUUUCUUCGCGCUGCCGCGCCUCUCGCGUGUGAACCUGUAACACCCCGAAACAACGUGGGGUGAGAACUAAUUCCAUAGUUCCCAGUGGGUACAGCCACCCAAGGGAAGAGCUCGACCAUCAGAUCCAAAGGAGGCAAACAACAUGUUAGUCCAAUAGAUAGUAUGAAAUCAUAAAUCAUGCAACUAACAUUACCAUGCUUUUGCCUUACAACAUGCAAUAUGCAAAUUAUGCAACUCAUAUAGUAGAUUAAUUACUUCUACACUUUAUUCUUAUCCAUUCUUUACUUUUACUAAUUCUUUACUUUACUAUCUAUUUUUUAGCAUUAGCCUUUCUUUAUUUUUUAUUACUUGUCAUUCUUUAGCAUUAGCCUUUCCUUAUUCUUUAUUCUUUAUUCUUUACGCUUUACUAAGGGUACUCACACCUUAGUAAUAUUAUACACAUUAGCCUUUCUUUCCAAAUGUUACUUUACCUUAGCUAACUAUGCCAUCCGACUCGGUUUUGAGUCAUCGCCCAACGGGUCGCCCCGAGCUGCGUACACCCGUGGUCGGGGAUCCCCCGUUGGGAGAGGAACAUGCCGCAUACACCCGUAGCCGAGAUCCCCGAUAGGGAGAGGAACAUGCCACAUGCACCCUAGCGCUCAUAAUCCUUGCUCAAUCACAAGUCUCGAAGUUCUUCCGGUCGGAGAGGAACGUGCCACAUGCACCCGCGGCCAAGAACUAUUGAGCUUGUAUGCUGCACUAGCAGCCGCUGCACUAGCAGCAGGGAUUCCGGAAUCCACUUUACAUUACUCAAGGGUUGGUCUCACCCUAUGUUAUCGACCUAUCUAGGUCCAAGCCUUUACUCAACCUAUGUUUAUACAUUAGGUUCAAUGUCAUUAUUUUCAUAGCCUAGGUUCAUUAACACUAGGUCCACAUUCUUUAUCACCUAGGUUCAUUCGACUUUAGGUUCAAUGUCAUUAUCUUCUUGUUUUCCUAGUUGUCCACACCUAGGAAUCAUACUUGACAUGCCACUCGUAAAUAACCUAUGUUCAAUGACACUAGGUUCAAUGCCACUCGUCAUCCUAGUUAUUUAUACUUAGGAUUCUUUACAUAUGACACUUGUCGAGUUCUUUACUUUACUUAGUGUUCAUUGACUCAAGUUCAACCUUCAUAUCAUUCUAACAUAUUCUUACAUUAUGAAAUCAUGCAUUUAUACAUCAUCUAGCUCAUAUGUUUAUUUAACAUACAUCUCAUACAUGCCUUUAACAUUUAACUCAUGCUUCAUCUAGCAUUUCUAUAAUAUGUCAACAUGCAUUCUUUAGCAUACAUCUCAUAUGAUUCGUUACUUGGCACAUAUUACAUGCAUUACUUAACAUCUAUCACAUGCAUUCAUUUCUUAGCAUCUUUAUCAUGCAUUCUUACUUAGCAAUUCUUAUCAUGCAUUCUUACUUAGCAUUCUUAUCAUGCAUCAUUACCUAGCAUUCUUAUCAUGCAUUCUUACAUAGCAUUCUUAUUAUGCAUUCUUACAUAGCAUUCUUAUCACCACCAUGCAUCAAUAGUGAAAUACAUUAUACUUUGGCAUGAAGGCGACCUAGUCGCUUCGGUAAGCACAACCCACCUCAAGUUGCUUUUCGAUUGCUUGUCGGCACUUGCAAUCGGCCUCUCGCGGCACCCGGCACCCGGUUUGGCCCGAUCCCUCAUGCGACCACCCGAACGGCCUCCAAUCCACGAUCCGAAAAUUAAAGGUCUUCGGUUAUGUGCCACGGUGCUUCAAAUCUAUUUUCAUGAGUUUACGAUGUCGCCUCGGCCCUCCAGGCGGAAACGAAGCUUAAAUGUCUGUUUCUUUAAUAACUUCGCAACGGCUCGACGAAUCGCCAAACCGAUUCCGCCAACGCGUUCAUUUACCUAGCAAUUAGGUUUACAGAGGUCAAAUGAGAUCAAACCCUCAUAUUUACAAAACUAGUAUUUUUGAGCCCUAAAUUAUAACUAGGUAAAAAUCCAUUAUUUAGCUUCAUGAAUCAUGCAUUAACUAUCUAUUUAGCAUCCUAGGAUUUCUCUAAAUCCAUUCUUAGAGCAUAUAAUUAAGGCUCUAAAGAUCUACCAUGAGAGGGUUCAAGAAGCUCAUUUCAAGCCCUAGGUUUAUAACUAGGCAAGAAAUCACUAAAUUGAUUCAUGAUUUGAGCAACAAUCAUCUAUUUAGCAUACUAGAAUAGCUCUAAAUUCAUUCUUGAAGCUUAAAACCCAAACUAGAGAGAGAUGCCAUUAAAGCUCUUAAAGCUUACCUUCAAAGCUUGCUCUCCAAUGGCUAAAGAGGAAGAUGAAGAUGAUGACUUUUCUCCUAGCUUCAAUCUCCACCAAUUCCUUUAAUUUUGGGAGAGAUUUAGAGAGAGAAGGGGAGGGUUUUCCCUUUCCCUUUCUAUGCAUGCGUGUGUGUGUGUGGCGCAUGUGUGUGGUGUGCUCGGGUUGAGGGAGAAGAAGCAAAUGCUUCUUAUACACUUAUAGCCCCCGAACACUAUUCACUCCAAGCAGUUUAGCAGUUCGGAACAGUCGGAGCCCUUCUAAAUGUCCGUUUGGGCUCAAAUUUGAGAGACAGGCUCGGUUUAACGUACUAAGUAAGAAUAUAUCUUCAGUUUUCAGUUUCGACCCCGUUUGGUCACUGAAAACUGUACCGAACUGUAAUCUUUAUCAGAUAGCUAUCGGAUUUUAUUUUCUACCUUCCGGGUGUCAGAAUGACAUGAAACUUUAAAUCUAGCCUCAUAAAAAUAAUUCUGACUUACCCUCCAGUUUUCAUAAUUUUCUGACACUGUGCAUUUUCUGCUAAUUUAUCUGUCCCGUUUCCAAAAGAAAAUUCUAAAUUUUCUGUUUUCAUCCCGAUUUCAGCACAAGUCACUUCUGACUUAUGUUUUACUCCUCUAAAUUCAAUAAAAAUAGUAUUUCACACUAUUUUUAUUUAUUUUUAUAUUUAUACCAAAAUCUGGUAUGUUACAGAAUAUGCUCAAUAGCCGACAUUAGCAAGUAGCCGAAAGAAUAAUCCACAAAUCAAGUCAAUCUCUAUCUAAGAGUGUCACCAACCAUCAGGUAAACUAAUGUCAAGUCAUACGAUAUACCACUAGAAGUGUCACCAACCACAAGGUCAACAAAUGUCAUAACAUGCAAUAUAUAUCUAGGGUGUCACCCACAACGAGUAUCAACUAAUGUCAUAUCAUGCAAUAUACAUCUAAGAGUGUCACCGACAGCGAGUGUCAACUAAUAUCAUAUCAUGAAAUACACAUCUAGAAGUGUCACCGGCAAUGAGUGUCAAUUAAUGUCAUAUUAUGAUAUAGAUAACUAAGAAUAUCACCGACCAUAAGGUCACUAAUAUCAAGGUCAUCUACUAUAAUCAUACAAUAGAUAACUCAAUCACCAAGGAACACUGCUAUACCACUAAAUCACAAUAUUAUGAGAUAAGAGCAGGUGUAGAGCAAUUAGCUACGAAGUCAAGUGAUGUUCGAAAGCUCAACCAGUAUCAAGUAAAUGAAAGGAGAUAAUAGGGAUAGAAAUUACCGAACAGGCACCACUUUACCGACUUCAGAUCGAAGUACUCGACUCUACCGUCGAAUAAAGUAGAGUUGUCGACACCGUGUCAAUGCCUCCCGCCACAGUCUGGACCUAUACAAAGUCCCAUAUAAAAUCAUAAUUAGCUCAAACUCGCUAAUUACGAAGCUAUGAUUCCAUACGAAUCCAAACAGGCGAACAAUUGGGUUUUCGGAUCUCGUUCCACGGUCACCGAAAGAUCGCCCGAUUGUCACACUGACUCGUCGGAACAUCACGGCAACCGACGAGGUGUCCCGAAACAAGCGAAAAACAUAACCCACUUUGUCCGCUAUUCCUAAACGCCACUCUUUUGCCGUUGGGACAGCCGCACGAAAAGUGCACUAAAACAGAAAACCGAGAUCUCGAAAAUCACCGAUUUGGCUCCCGGGAUGACCAUUUCGGCACUGGGACCACCCGUAGCCCUUUUUGCUGUGACCAUAUGUGUCAAACCUCAUUUAACAAUUAGCCAAUAAAGCUACAACACUGCUGCAAAUAGCAGCAACCUGCGCGACACGAAACCGCCCGAUCUUCGUAUUUAGGUGUUCCAUUAAGUCCCUAAGCGUUUUGAAACACUCCGAAAAUCAUUUGACUUUCCUCGCAAUCCCAAAACACUCAUUUUGAGUUUUGGGACAGCCUCACGCUAAGUGAUACAAUUCGAGUGCGAAAUCCCAAAAUCCACCAUUCCUGGUUCCCAGAAAUUGUCGAUUUUGGCUCCGAAACCCUCUACCGUAACUUUUCAUCUCUGAAUUUUAGAGAUAGCAGCAGCAACCCGCCAACAAGGCUUGGUGGGGUUCCUAAGGUAUCCACAAUGCUAGAAUACGAAAACCACAACUUGCACGGAGUCUUAUCGGCGAAUUUCUACCAAACGACGCCUUGGGACCUCAUUUUGACUCCGCAACGGCUCCCGAACCUUUGACGAUCAGUCAAGUGGUGGCUAACAAUGAUCACAUGCUAUCCGGUGUAGUGCACAGGGCCCUCAUUGCAUAAAACAUGCAAACUAUCCAACUAUUGCAUCAACUACUAUUCAAAUAACACAUAGAAAACAAGUUUUCUACUCAUUAACCCGAUCUGUGUUGUAACGAAUCAAACCAUCCUAUAGAUUUGGUUCAUCUUGAUGCAAAAAUACUCAUGCUCGUUGUUCAGAGCACAGACGAUGACCGGGGAGCUUUGAAAUAGCAAAAAAACCCUCCAACAAAGAUGUCUCUAGAAUGACCAAGUCCGCCACGCACUCCGAGGCCUCGCUGAUCGCAACGAAGGUGAGCACCAAAGUCCUCCAAGUCCCAAGGAUGUCCUGCUCAUACUUUGGAGAUUCGACAAAAUCCCUGGUAGCCGAAACACACAGCACAAUCCCAGACCACCCUUGGGUUGAACCAGGGUAGAGCUAGGGCAUCCCCUAGGCGGCAGUCAGCGGCGCUCUGAGACAAGCUAUGGUCAGAGGAGGGUCGCCGCACCCAGGUGUCACGCCCCGAGCCCCACGCCUAUUUGGCCGGGUUCGAGCACGCCGACAGACCGCCGAACGGACAGAGUCUCCCCUGCACGUCCUAGGCGUUGCAAUCAAAACAAUACAAGAGGUUCCAAUCAGGAACAGUAUUCAACAACAGAUUGCAUAAGGAAGUAUCAAAAACAUAAAUAACUAAGUUAUUACAUGCAUUCAACUCACUUGCAUUAUUACAUUACAUUUUCAUUACAUUUACUUCCAAAUAUAAUUAAUGAUCGCAAGAUUAUUGCAAGUUUGUUCUUUUUCUUUUUCCUCUACCCCUAGGCUAUGCCGACUCAUGGUACCACUAUCUCUGGUUUCUGGGGUAGGGCGCUAUCUAUAGAGCUACGCCCUUGCCUCGCGCCGCCGCGCAGCUCACGUACGAACCUGUAACACCCCAAAAAAACGUAGGGUGAGAACCAACUCCAUUGUUCCCAGUGGGUACUGCCACUCAAGGGAAAAGCUCGACCAAUAGGUCCAAGGAGGCUCUGCAAUCAUGUUAGUCCAAAAAUAUCUACAGAUAUAUAUAUAUAUAUAUAUAUAUAUAUAUAUAUAUAUAUAUAUAUAUCAUCAUGUAAUUAUGCAAUUAACAGAUAACAUGCCUUGCAAUAUGCAAUAUGAAAUUCAUGCAGUUUAUGCAACCAUGCAACCAACUAGUAGUUUAAUCGAUACUACUUUCAAUCCUUUUAUCCAUGGCUCAUCCAAUUGACUUCUAAGUUUUCCUCUAUGUUAGAUUCAUGUCAAUUACAGUUCUGCUCAUAAGGUUUAACCUGCCUUUACAAGCUAUCCACCCGACUCGGUCUUGAGUCAAUCAUCUGCGGAAUACCGCGCAAAGCUAAGCUCAAGGUGAAGGACGUCUCACUUGCACCUCAGCCUUAAAUCCACUCAACUGGGAUGCAACUACAAUUCAUAUGUUUGUCACCCAAUCCAUUGGCUAACUAGAAGGUUUGCCCUUGACUCACUUCGCCAUCCCGUCUGGUAAGGAGACUCACCUCGCUCUCAAAUCUGGGACCGUCUGUGGGACAUCAACUCUACCCCUCUCGUACCAAACUCCGGAGUGCACGACGACCUGUGAGGUGCGACCACUACAGGUAUAAACAGACCGUGAGUAUGAUCCAUCUUCUCAACUCGAGGAUACCCUAUCCGCUAGGGCUAGUAGUCACUCGGGAAUCCACCUAUCCCACUGUCUAUAUGCAAGUAUUUUGCUACACAAUGUUCUUGUUCAACGAGUCAUCACUAGGGAGUCCAUCUAUCCCUAAGUUCAUAUGCCACUAGUGUCAUUAUACACUACAUUAUAUGCCACUCGUUCUGUUCAUUGUCAAUCACAUGCCACUCGUCAUGUCACUAGGUAACCAUUGAGUCCAUCCCUUUUCCUAGGCACUAUAGGAUUCAAUGUCAAGACCCAAUCCUCGUCUAUCCAAGAGUUAUCGACUCAAGUUCAACAUGCAUAUGUUAUUUAACAUAUUCACAAUAUACCAACAUGCAUAUAUAUCAACUAACAUCUCGUGGUACGUCAUCAUCAUCUAGUAUAUGCAAUGUGUCGUCAUGCAUUCUCCUAGCAUCAUAUAAUCAUGCAUUCAUCUCAAUGCCAACAUGCAUUCAUUAUUAGUUAUUAUGUUAUUAUGCUCCUCCUAGCAUCAUGUAAUCAUGCAUUCAUCUAGCAUCUCUAUAACAUGCUCAUCAUGCAUUCUAUGGUAGUUUCCUCAAUGCAUUAACGUACAUAUCUCAUUGGUAGGAAUUAAACAUCAAGCAUAAUAAGAUUCAUGCAUCUAUGUCAUCUCAUGCAACCUACCACUACACAUGUAUGUAUGCAUCAAUAGUAAACAUUACUCUUAGACAUAUAGGCGACCUAGUCGCUUCGGUGAGCACAACCCACCUCGAUUCGCUCUCCGAUUUCUUGUGGACACUUGCAAUCGGCCUCCCGCGGCACCCGAAUCUGGCACGGCCCAAUCUUGCAAUCGCACUCCAACCGUGCGCCGAAUCGCAGCCCCGGAAAUUAUAGGUCUACAGUUAGUCGCCACGGUGCUACAAAUCCAUUUUCAUGAUUUUUGGAUGUCGCCUCGGCCCUCCAAGCGGAAAUGAAGCUAAAUCGUUUGUUUCUUCAAUAUCUUUACAAUGGCUCAACGAAUCACAGAACCGACUUCGCCAACGCGUCGGAAUACCUAGCAAUUAGGUUUACGGAGGGUCAAUUGAGAUCAAACAGAACUAUAUAGCAAAACCCCAUUUUUGGAGCCCUAGGUGCUACUAUUACAAAAUCCAUCAUUUAACUUCAUGAAUCAUGCAUUAAUCACCUAAUUAGCAUCCUAGGAUUCAUCUAAAACCAUUCUUAGAGCAUUUAAACCAAGCCCUAAGAGAUCACCAUUACUGCUAUCAAAGCUUACCUCUCAAGCUCCUCCAAUGAUGAAGAAGGAUAUGAAGAAGAUGAUAGCCCAUCUUCUUUGCUUCUUCUCCACCAAUCACUCCUCCAAGAUCCACCUUUUUAGACAGAGAGAAAGAGGGUUUAGAGAGAGAGAGAGUGUGUGUGAGGGUGAUAGAAAUGAGAAGGGAGAGCUCCAACCCCAUUCUAUACACUCUCAUAAUGCCACAAAUGCAAAUAACCCCCUCAACUUCCAUUUUAGUGCACUGCCCCCGCGGGGCCAUUUUUUGUAUAAGGGACUGGUCCUCUAUACAAAUGGGGACCGGUCCCCGUAAGUCCAGAAUUUCAGCAUUUUUAGGACUUAGCCAAAUUUCAGCCUUUUUCAUUUCUUCUCCGUUUUCGCUCGUUUUUGCUCGUUUGGCCUCCGAUUCAUUUCAAAUCGAACCGAGACUCUUCAAACAUAUUUUCAAGCGCGUUUUCAUCAUCUUUCCAUCCACACUAAUGUCGGAUUUAGUCCAUAGUCCAACAUAGCCUUUCGAGUCCCUUUUUUGCAACUACGCGCACCGAAAACACCCGAAUGCUUCCGAACUUCACCGGAACCAUUCCAAUGGCUCUCCGAACCAAUAUAAACCAUAACUUCAUAAUUUUAGAAGUCCGGUACCUUACACCCAGGUUAGGCCAUCGGCACCCACUGCUAGCGGCGGCGCUAGCAGUGCUACGACUCAAAAGAGGUUGCCGCUAGAGUAUCGCCAAGCACCACUGCGGCUGCUUGGGGAUGCGCAGGGGUGGCGCCGGUGGGUCCCUCGAGACCAGCGGUCGGGUGGUUCCCCGCGGCCGCAUAAGCUCCCAGAGCUCCGCCUCUAGCUGUAGCUACUCCUGGUGCACGGCGGCACCUGGGGCAACUUAGGAAGGGUCGCCGGGGUCCGAGAGGGAUGACGGCAGCUGUCCUGAUCGGUGGCGGCACAGGUGCAAGGGGCUCGGGUCACUUCCCCCCACCGAGCUCUAUUAGGGAGAGAGAGAUAGAGAGAGAAAGAAGAAGAAUAGGACUCUUCUUCUUCUCCGGCUGGCAGCCAGCGUGGCGACAGGGACGCCAGGGCCUCUCAAGUGUACCAGAGGGGAGGAUGACUAGGGUUAGGGUUAGGGAUGCGCCAUCUCUACCUACACACACACACACAUGUAGAUUUUGAUCAGGAAAAGUGCACCAAAGUCCCUCAAGUUGUGGUAUUUUCUUCUUAGUCCCUCACUAGCCUGCAGCAUUUGCAUCAAGCACCAUCUUAGGAAAUUUUGUGCAAAUCAAUCCUUAAAAUGUUGCAUCUAUUACGACAAAUCCCCAAAUUCGAAAAUACUCCUGACUUCAUCUCAGUGCCAAUUUGCACAGAAAAACCAAAUUCUGCAAAAUUUGAGACGCAAGAUCCUCUCUAAGUCUCCUUUAAUGUUGAUCCCUCCACUCGCCAAAACUGUAAAAUUUCUCACAUAAAAUAAUAGCCCUUUGGCAAAGUGCUCCAAACUUACACUUUGCAAAAUCUGCAAUUUAACCCUCCAUCCACUGAGUUUCUUGUUGAAAACUCACCAGUGCAUGUAUCUCGCCCAGCGGCAUCUUUCCAUGGGUUUUCACGCAAAACAGAGCAUCGAAAAGUUCAAACACACAGAAACAUCAAGUAAUAUAAAGCUAAUAUGCGUUAAAAGCAGAUUUUCUCGAAAACCGUGAAUCAAAAAUAAAAUCGGACAGUGCCAUCACCUCUGGCAUAACCGAACUAUCGAAAAUGACCUAUUGGGUCAUCUGAAACGGGGUCCGAUUGACAUCCGAAGCCAUCGUCAAGCCAAAGCGUCGAAAUAAUUCACGGGUUAAUUACUAAUCAUUUAAUAUAUAGUGAAUAGUAAUAGCCACCAUACACCUUAAAUACAAACUCGAUUUUCACCGAAAAUAAACUAGAAAUUUUAAAAAUAAAAUACCUAUAAAAACACCACUGAACAGCACAAAUUACACUAUAAAAAUCUCAGUCCUCACAUGAUGUUUUAAAUUACUAAACUCAAAUUAAUACUAACAACUUUUACUUUCCAGGUUUGGCUACUAGUUCAGUACUCUUAAUUUUCGCAAUUAGAUCCAUUAAAUUUUUACUAUACAGUUCAACAAGCCUUUUUUCUCAAGCUAAUAAAUUAUCAAUCCUGACAAAUGACUUGCACGUAAUAUAUAUGAAACAUUAAAUCACAGUACAACAUGUUUAAUUACCCGAAUAUCAGUUCUUGGGAUCCAUCAAAAGCCAUUCCUUUGGAAUGGUCUGAUGACCAUGUGUGGACAACUGAGCUGGUAAGUUUAAGAGAUCCCAUACUCUCUACUGCUUAACAUUAUUAGUUCAAUUACUUUUUAAGUAUCUGAUCUAGUACUUUCAUACAGGAUUUACCAAUCAAAGUGAUAGGCUGAUAUUAUUACUGUGAGAUUCUUCAAUACUCAGUAUGAUUCUUUUUUGCUUGUCUUCAAAGUACAUGAAGUUUGGAAUAUUGAUUUUAAAAAAUAAGGACUAAAUGAUUUCAUUAAGUAUUUAAAUGAUGAUUUUAAGCUUAAUCAUGUUGUGAACAUACAAUAUGCAGUAAGACAUACAAACGAUGUUUUGGAUCAUUGUAAAGCUAGUAGCACAUUAAGCUUAAUUCUGUAGCACUUCUCUACUCUUAAUUGGAUACCGGUUGGUUGCAAUAAUUGUGAUACAUCAUGGUAUUGUUAUAGAUGCUUCUUUUGAAUAUAGGAUUUAUAUAUGAUGUAAAUUUUUUGAGGUUGGGGAACCUGUCGGCGAACUCUAAUGACAGAAAUGACGUGAUGCUUAUUUCUAAUAUGGUAGAUUAGUGGGGGGACUUCGUUAUUAGGUGGGAUAAACUAUACGGGUCAGUAUCUGCAUCUAAACUUUUAUUUUCUGCCAGGGAAUUUUCUCUCUUCAUAGCAGCGGGAAAACUUCACUGCAAGAUCGACAAAGUCGCCGACAUUCUAGAAACUAACUGACCUGACGCCAGAAAUGCUUUCUACCGGGCAACUAUCAAGCAAGGCGAUUUCUUGCUCAACCGCAUCCAGAAGCUAUCACGAGUGAUCAAUUUGUAAACAAUCUUUUGUCCCUUAAACUUAAUAUGGUGCUGAAAUUUCCUUUCACUUAAUAUAGUGCUGAAAUUUUCUUUCACUUAAUAUAGUGCUGAAAUUUUCUUUCAUCUUUUCAUACAUCUCUUUAUGAAGCUCCUUAUCCGCAAAUUCAGUUGACAUUUGUUUGGACAGAAAUUUCUGGGUCGAUGCGUAUCGAUUUGAAUUCUUAUAUUCCUAUUUGUCAUUUUGGCUAAAAUUAGCACACAAGAUCUGAUUUCUUGCGGCAGCUUAUCUAUAUUGUUUUUUCAUGUUGGUAGUGCAGUUCAUUCGGUAGUACUUUUUACUUGAAAUUGAAUUUAUUGGCAGAUGUUUAGUGCUGGCUCGAUUAAACUAACUGAUAUUUCUGCACGUACUGACCUAAUCUAAGGCAAGGUGAGUAUUUAUUCGCAAAAUAUGUCUUAUAUUUCUUGAAAUUAAGAUGUCUUUCGCUCCUUUCAGCUCUAACUUAAUUGGUUUCAUGUUUUCUAUCUAUCUUUUAACUGAAUUGAUAUUUGAGGGUAAUCUCUUUUGUCCUUUUGAACCAUAAAAUGUAGGAUAUUUCAGGACAAUCUCUUUUGUUCUUUCGAAUCAUAAAACUUGUCCCAAAAAAGAGUUCACCAAUCUUAGAAUGUUAUCCUGGUUUCAAAGUUUUGGUGGUCAAAGUUCCUAAGUUCAUAUAUGGCGGGGGACCACAACUUCUGUUGUUUCUGAUAAAGUGAUACAAUAUUAAAUGAUACAAUGUGUCAUAGUUUUUUGGCUCUUUUGUUGUUCUCUUUUUAUUGGUGCCAUAUGCUUCAUGAGUUGUGGUAAAUUAUUAAGUGCAAUAGAUUGGGGAGCCACCAUCUUAAUUACUACUUGUAUACGAAAUGGAGAUGCAUGUAUUAAAUUGCAUUUCGAGUCUGAUAAUCUGUCACCUUUAAAAUGUCUUGCUCAUUGUUGGAUAAUGUCUUUUUUUAAGAUGAAAUGAUUAUCUAAUACUAGAAAAUUUAUUCGUUUAGGUUUCAGACGCAUCCAGCGCUCGUAAUAUGCAUCAAUAAUCUCGUUGCCCUUCAGGUAAAAAUUAAACUUAUCUUAAUUGGUUUUCAUGUUAAAAGAUUGUUGACUAAUCUUUUAUUAAUUUCAGUAUUGUUGAAUUUGUAGGUUCAACAUCUUAAUUGCCGAGCUCACUAAGACUGGAUCUGAUAUGAUAUUAUUAGUUUUUGUUUUUAUUUCUCUUUCUCUAGGGUUAAAAAGCUAGAAAUUGUUGGUACUGUGAUUUAGUGACUAAAUACUCAUUUAAAGAUAUAUGGAUAGUACUGUGAGACAUUUUGGUAUAUAUGACUACAAAACUUCUUUUAUAUGCUUUCUUUGUUAAUGCAAAUCAAGGUGAAUAAAAUUAAAGAUAUGCUUGAUGAUAAUUAUUGUGGAGUGAUAUUACAUUUUAAAAACUGUAAUGCAUCAAGAAAAAAUAGGAUAUUUUUUUAAAAAUGGGACAGUUAUAAAGUGUCGCUGAAAUUAAAAAAAAAAAAGUAUUGCUAGAAUAUUAUUUUGCAUCACUUUUAUAUGCUGCUAAAAGCUUAAAUAAGUGUCGGUAUAUUAAUAGCACUCUUUUUAGGUUAUACCGACACUCUUAAAAAGUGUCACUAUAUACCUAGCGACGCCACAUAUAGCAAAACUUUUUAAAAGUGACGGUAAUUUAGCUAGCAGCACUUUUUCUGACCUGUACCGACACUUAAAAGUGUUGCUAUAUAUUAUUUUUGUUGUAGUGUCCAUCCUAUUCUUCAGCUUUGACUCUUUAUUUUCAUCCAUAAGAAGUAGGCUUGUUUGCAUUUUAAAGCUUUGUAAGAUUAUCUGUAAGAUAUGUCAUCAGCACGUAUGACUGCUCAAUUAGUAACUUUACUUAUAAGAAGAAUGACCAAUUGAUCAGCUAUUUGAUAAAAUUUAGAUUCUCUUUGCUAAAUUUGAAACCUCAGUGAGCCAUUUGACGAGUUUCGAGUUUCUACAAAGUUCUAAAUAUUAUGAGAGAGCAUAUUUUUUUUCACAAAUAUGCUCUUCGGUCCUUUAAGAAGGAUUGAUCAGGAUAUUUUUACGAGCAAUACUAUAUAUACACCCAAAAACAAAUGUACAUUUUACGUCCCAUUUAUCUAAUAGGUAGGACCACUCAUUAGUGAUUUGACUAGCAAAAAUACCCGCCCAUUGAAUAGGUCAGGUAUAACAUACACACUCCAAUUGGGUGUAUAAGUAGCAUUUACACAUUUUGAGGUGUAAAUUACACUUUUAGUCCUCAAACUAUGAGGCAGAUGAUACUAGCCCCCAAAUUUAAUAUCUUACAAUUUCUGACUCAAAGUUUCUAAAUUAUUACAAUCAGGUUCACAAUCCAAUUUGGUUAGCUAAAUAUCAACUAAUUAUUAAUGUAGAAAUAAUGCAGAAUAUUAACUAUUUUCGCAUUAUCGAUUACAAUGCUUUCACAUCAUUUCUCACAUCAUUUCUAUAUAUCAAUAAUUUGUCAAGAUUUAACUAACUAAAUUAUGUUGUAGGACUUGAUUAAGGCAAUUCAGAAAUUUGGAGCAGAAAAUUGCAACAAACUAAAAUUUGAGAAUCAAAAUAUCACGCACCUCAUAGUUUGAGGACCAAAAGUAUAAUGUAACUUAUUAUAAAGGGGCAAUUGCUUAUAUACCUCUGAAAAAUUUUCGACUUUCUGAUUUAUCCCUUUUAGAAGGCUAAUAUUAAAAAUAUCCUUUUUUACGUUCAAACCUAUUUCAAAUAUACCCCUAUGCUGCAUUUAGUUCGGAUAUAUGUAAGAACUGCUUAUUAAAGGGAUAAGUAUAAGUUCAGGUUAAAUAGAAACUAGAUCAAUUUUGUGUUUAGAUGAAAAUUAGGUUGUUUUUAGGAAUAAGGUAAAUAGUGUUUGGAUAGUUAAAAUAGAACAAGGAGAAUAAGAGGUAUAAUUUUAAAUUAAAUUUUUUAUCUAAUUAAUUAACAUCAAAAUAUUAUUUAAAAAUUAUUUAAUAAAUUAAUAAAUUUAUUAGCUAUGAAUAUUUUAUAAGAUAAUAAAAAUAUAUUAAUUAAUUAAUUAAUUAUAAAAAAUAAUUUAAUUUUUUAAUUAAUUAGUUAAUUAUUUUAGCUAGAUAACUAGUAAGAAAAAGUUAAUUAGACUAAUAGAAAUAUUAAUGGUUGAUCAAUAUAAAUAUUAGUUUAUGGAUAAAUACAUUAAAUUAGUAAUAAUUAAUUAUAAAUAAUAAAUUAAUUACUUAUUUUAUUAUUUAAGUAAUAAAUAAUAAUUUGAAUAUAUUAAUUAGAUUAAUUAAUAAUUUAAUACCAUAAAUAAAAUUAAAUUUAGACUUUAAUUAAUAUUGUUUCAACCUGAGAACAAGUUUGCUCCGGAUAAAAGGGUGGAACAGCAGCUCCAGUCUUAUACCAGCUUAUUUCAAGAACCCGAGAACUACUGUUCUCGGAUACUAAAUACCACGUUUGGGAAUAAAGGGGGGAACAAGGACUUAAUUAUUCCUCCCUUGCUCAAACACCACCCUAGAGUUAAAUUCUGUUAAUGAACUGUUAGCAAUAGUUGUUAUCUGUAUGAAAUUAUUAUUUUGCCCUUUCAAAUAUAUCCUUCUACCAUCACCGACUUUUCUUAUUUGCCCUUAAGUUAGGAGUACAAAAGUAUUUUGAUUUUUAGUCUUUUCAAAUAUAGCCUUCUACCAUCACCAACAUUUCUUAUUUGCCGUUAAGGUAAGGGCAAAAGAUGCAUUUUAAUCUUUUAACUCUAGUAGAUAUUUAACUCACAUUUAACCUAAGUUAAUUUAAUGGGUGGUAAAUGCAUGGGUAUUUUAGAAUAACAGAGAAACAUAUGAAGGAUAUAUUGGAAAGAAAAAAAUAUGGAUAAAUGAGAUAUUUCUAUAGUUCUCAGGGGUAUACAGGCAAUUAUCCCUAUUACAAAUAUACUUUUAAGAAAGGACAAUUACUUAUAUACUCCUGAAAAAUUUUCGACUUUCUUAUUUUCCCCUCUUAGAAGGCUAAUAUUAAAAAUGUCCUUUUUAUGUUCCAAAUUAUUUCAAAUAUACCCCUAGAGCUAAUUCUAUUAGUGAACUAUUAAUAAUAGUCAUUAUCUCUGCGAAAUUACUAUUUUGUCUUUUCCAAUACACCCUUCUACUAUCACCAACUUUUCUUAUUUAUCCUUAAGUUAGGAACAAAAGAAGUAUUUUGAUUUUUAGUAUUUUCAAAUAUACCCUUCUAUCAUCAUCAACUUUUCGUACUUGCCCUUAAGUUAAGGGCAAAAAAGAUAUUUUAAUUUUUUAACUCUAGUAGACAUUUAACUCGAUCACGUUUAACUUGAGAUAACUUAAUGAUGAUAAUUGCAUGAAUUUUUUUGAAUAAUAAAAAACAUAUGAGAGGUAUAUUGGAAACAAAAAAAAUGGAGAUAAAUUUAUUAGAUCUUUCCGAAGUUUUAAGGGU
rnacentral:lncRNA from 1 species